rnacentral:lncRNA from 1 species
CAUAUUCGAGCAGGAAAACUUCUAGAACAGACAAGGUUUUCCAUCUACAGCCAUCUAUUGACAACAGAUACAUUUUCAUUCAGCAAACACUGUUAGCAUUCAAGAUACUGGCAGAUUCACUUGAUUCUUAUUAGUUUGAUUAGUAGCAAAGCAUAUAACCUGUAUUUCUAAGCCAAGUUGUGCUAUUGAUUAUGUUAACUUUAUUGUUCUCAUAAAGUGAUAUGGAGGAAAUAAUCAAUGUAGGAAAAUUAGGUGAAGAGAUGAUGUCAAAUCUUGAACCUCUUACAAAAUUCCAAGUUCUUUACUUGAAGAAGCUACCAAAUUUGAACAGGGUCCACUGGAAGGCCUUGCCAUUCCCUGAUGCAUGCAGAAUUUUUGUAUUUAAAUGCCCAGAGCUUAAGAAGCUGCCGCUGGAUCUUGAAAGGGAGGCCAAGGUAAAAUUCUUAUCAAGGGAAAGGAAGAUUGGUGGAAACAACUUCAAUGGGAGGAUCAAGUAACUCCGAAAGCAUUGCUUCCAUUUUUAAAAUCAACCAACAAGUGAUUGAGGGGGCAUCAUCAACAUCAUCAACAUGGAUGGAGAGAUUUUGGAGCAGAUCAGCCGGGUUUAGUACGACCUGUGGUGGUUUCUUUUUUGUGACUUUUUUCCCUUUCAUUUUUUCACUUCCUGUCAUAUUAUCAUUUCUUUGUCUCUGUUUCUAUUGCUGGUGUUGCUGCAUGCUUGCAGCCCUUGACAAAGUUAGCUAGUUUUUUUGUUUAUUAAAUUUUGUAUGUUCGGUCGGGACAGUCACAAAGUACUACUUGUUCUAUAUGGGGGUGAUGUGAAUCAACUUUUCAAUUAAAUAUUCUGUGGUAAUUGUGAAUUCAAUUUCAUUUGUCUCCUGCAAAUUAUGAAGAAAGUGCAGAGUUACAAUAUGGAAAAGUUCACUGGCAAAUACUUUGUAAAAGCUUCGGAGUGAAACAGGGAAUGCACUUGCAACUAAGGACAAAUUGGUGGCCAGCUAAUUCAUUCAUUUUAUGUACAUUCAUCUUUUUAAUUAUUGAAGAUAAGUGGUUCGUUGCUUUUGUUGUAGAUAAAAUCCAGACGACCUCAAUUGUGAGAUUGAAAAUAUUUAAAAUAUCUCUUAAAUUAUUAUAAACUUUAAUUUAUCUUAAUUUUAUUUAAAAGAUAAAAGAAAAAUGUGGUUUAUGGAUAAAUUUUUUUUUUAUCUUGUUAAUAAAAUGAAAUAAAUUAAAAUUUACAAUAAUUUAAAGUAUUUUAAAAAUUAUUAUUUCAUAAGAGAUUAAUAUGAAAUUAAUCCUUUUUACUUUUUGAAUGUGAAAGGACAAGAAAAGAGAAAGCAAGUGUCACUGCUUUUUAUUUUAUUUGAAAUCGGAGUUAUCCCAUAUACUUUACUACUUUAGCUCUCUCCUCAAGGUGAGAUGCGUGAGUUGGGUGAAGAUUUGGUGAGUCACCCGUAUAUAUAUAUAUAUAUAUAUAUAUUAUCUGCUCGGUGAAAUUUUUUUUAAUCUGAGCUUAGAAUCUAGGAUUAAAAUUAUGGAAAAAUUUAAGUAUUACACACACGCACACUAUUCGGUCAAUUUUUUUUUAAUCUGAGUUUAGAUGUAGAAUUAAAGUUCAAAAUGAAUUUACUGUGUGAUAAAUCAAUUUUUACAAUGUUGUAAACUGAUUUAUGGUAUUAUAAAUCCAUCUUAAAUUUUAAUCUCAGAUUCUAAGUUCGGAUCUAAUAAACACUCUCUCCAAUUAUGUUGUCUAUAAUUUUGCAUUCAAAGAAACUUCACGAAAAAUAUAAUAUCAUGUGUAGCCCCAGAAAAUUUAAUAACAAUAAAAAAGAUAUCAUAAGAAAAGAAAACUCAUAAUUGUUCAGAUAUUUAUAAAUUAGUGGCCGUUGGAAAUUUAACUGCAAGUGCCAAUCCGAGUGCACAAAAGACUUUUAGCCAUACUUUUAGCCAUAUGUCAUUCAUUGUUUGUUUGCUGCAUUCCCUCUCAUUUUCUUAAUUAUUGAAGACAGGUUGCUCAUAGCAUGUAAUUUUCAAAUGUGGAACCGCAGCUAAUGUCACUAUUUUAAUUUGGAAUUAAAUUAGGGCCCAUGUAUAAAAUUUAUAACAGUAUAUUGCAGCGUGAACUAACUUUUAUGUUUAUCUAAACACCUUAAAUUUAAGGCAAAUUAUGGCAUAAAUAAGAAUUAUAACAGAACAUUUAUGAUGUAUAGCAAAAGAGUUGUGAUGAAGAUCUUGAAGACAUAAUAUUAGCGCCGAAUUAAGUAACUAAGAACACCCCUGAACUGAAUAUUGGUUAUCAAAAUUGUGUUACUUGCACUCCUAUUAACUAAAAGUUUGGUUCUGUUCCAUUUGAGUUUUUAUCUUCAAAUUUCAAAAUCUUGCUAAGUUUUGACAAUCACAAAGGCUCAGUUUGCUUGUUCUAUAUUUGUAUGAUACGAAUCCAAAUUUUUGUGUUCUAUUUUCUCAAUUUUGAAUACAGAUUCUUUUCUUCUCCCGCAAACCAGAAAGAAAUGUUGUAUUAAAAAAAAUGGAAAUAACUUCAUGACAACAAAAAUUAGGAAAAAUAAUAUAAACCAAAUUAAGAUAAAUAAUAUCAUUUUCUAGACAAACAGGCAAAAAUGGAAAAGGAUAUUUCAAUUUCUAAAUUUUCUUUCAUGUUUGCUUCUCGCAUAGAAUCAUUUGGUAUUAACAAAUUUUUUACUUAUUAAACAAAAGUUUUUAAGAUUUUUUUGUUUCCUGCUGUUAAUCUAUGAAUGGUUUCAUUGUUGGAGUUUCUUUCAGAAGACAAGAAUACUUUGGUUAAGUGUUUGGCUAAGUACUAAAUUAAAGGUUGUUAGAUAGAAGAAAUUAAAAAAAAAAUUCCUAACCCUUUAUUCAGUGUUUAAUCAGCAAAUAUUCAACUCAACAUGAAUCUUAAUCAUCUUUAAAAAAAAAUUAUUCAAUUUUCUAAUAAUAUUUAUGCAGGUACUAGAAAUUAAAACCCUAUUUACAUGGAUGCGUGCCCAUCGGUCCAAUUUAAAAAAAAAAAGAGAAAAAAUAAAUGUAAUCCAUGAAUUUGGUUAAUUUUCCUUUGUUUGUUUCUUUCUGUUCUCCUCCCCCCCCCCCCCCCCCCCCCCUCAAUAUCAUUCCUUUUUGGCCGCCCAAGGACAUUUUCACAAAUACCUUUUGUGCAGAAGUCUUUUAAACCAUCAAUCGGAAGAAACAUGCUUCCAGUGAUACCUCCAAUUAUCAUUGAUGACUUUUCUUACUCUAAUGCUAUGUCAAUUCCAACAUUUGUAUGUUAAUAUAACAUAAUCAAUGAUUUGGAUAAUUGAUUACUUUUACGGAUUGUGGACUUUUGCGGAUUUUCAAUCUAAUCCAAUCCACCAAUUCACAAAUUCAGAUUUUUACUGAUUAGAUUUCUACAUAUCAAAUGAAUUGAGCAGACUAGAUUGGAUUUUGAACAUUGCUAAUUUGUAUGUUAAUUAUAAGAUAAUCAAUUAUUUGGAUAAUCCCUUGUGUUUUAUCUCUAAUUAGAACAUCAAUCUUCACAAUAUCUACAAUGCUACAAUGGCUAUAAAACAAAACCUGCUUGCAAAUUGUCAAGGAUACUUAUCCUUUCGCUUGACAAGUCAUUUGGAAAAAUAUUGUCCCUUGGCGGCUCCAUGUCUUCUCUGCCCCUCCUUUUGGUCUUAAUGUACGGUUGCAUAGUGAUAGUUUAGGCCCUUAGGGACUACUUUCCCUGGUGUUGUUAAGUCUUAGCUUGUGCUAGGCUUGUGUUUCUUACCAAAAGAAAAGGAAUACUUCUCCGAAAUAAUCUCUAUAUAUAGGAUGGUUGGAUUCACUUGUUUAUAUAACAGAUCAAUUAGUUCUCUGUAAGUAGAGAGUUUCUAGUAUGAGAGAAACGGUAGGUCUAUUGAGAUAUUAUGUGUUAUUAGGAUUUUGGUUGUGAAGAAAAAUACUAGAGUGAUUGUGUUAAUUUUCUAUGUAGUGGAUUUUUCUAUCGUCAUCUUUGUGGCUGUGAUUUUUCUUUCAUAUAGAAGUUUCCCACGUAAAUUCUUAUGUUGUGUGAUUAGUUUUAUUCUCUAUCUAUUUUUUUGUUUAUUAUUUGUUUGAUAUUUUAUUUGUAAGAUGUUGGAUGGGAUAAAAUUCCUUAACAAAUAACGGAUUAAAAAUCUUGAAGAAAAAGCUCAAGAGAUCUUCAAGAUUUGAAGUGUGAACAAGUUCAUAUUACUGCUAGAUGAUAUAUGGGAGCGGGUUGAUUUAGUAAAAAUGGGUGUCCCUCUUCCUAGAUCAGAAAACAGCACAUCCAAAGUGAUAUUUACAAACCCGUUCUGAGGAAGUUUGCAGCUUAAUGGAAGCUCGUAGGAGUUUUAAAGUGGCGUGCUUAUCAAAUAAAGAUGCUUGGGAAUUGUUUCGAUACAAAGUUGGGGAAGAAACUUUGAACAAUCAUCCGUUAAGGGGUGUGGUGGUUUGCCACUUGCACUUUUUACCAUCGGCCGAUCUAUGGCAUGCAAGAAGACACAGCCGAAGAAUGGAGAUAUGCUAUUCAAGUGUUCACUUCGUCCGCUUCCCGUUUCCAGGUCUGGAAGAAGGGAUAUAUACUCUUGUAAAAUUUAGUUAUGAUAGUUUACCCAAUGACACAAUGACACCUUGUUUGUUAUAUUGUAGUUUAUAUCCAGAAGAUUGUUGCAUUUCUAAAGAGAAUUUGGUAGAUUGUGAGAUCAGUGGAGGAUUUUUGAAUGAAUUGAAAGUGACUGGUUUGGAGAAAAAAAUCAAGCAUACGUCAUUUUGGGCAUUCUUCUUCAUGUUUUUUUUUUUUUUUUUUUAUGGAAAAUGGAGGAGAUUGUGAAGUGAAAAAUGCAUGCAUGACGUUAUUCGUGAUAUGGCUUUGUGGAUCGCAUGCGACUAUGAGAAGGAGAAGGAGAACUUUUUGGUUUAAGUUGGUGUUGGUUUAACUAAGGCACCAGAUAUUAGAGAUUGGGAAAAGGUGAGGAGAUUGUCAUUGAUGAAAAAUAAAAAUGAGAAUCUAACUGAGGCUCAUACAUGCUGUAACGCCACAAAUUUCCAUAAUAUUAAAUUAUAGAAAUUGGGCUUUCAUUGAGAAUUAUGGGUGGCCUAUAACCCUUAUUAAGAAAGGGAUAUUAAAUUAUAAAUAGAGGUUAUUUAUGAGAUAGUUUUGAAAAAGGGUUAUUUUUCCUAAUUAAAUAGGGUUUCUUAAGACUCCCUAUAAAUUCAUACUUUUUCCUUUCCAUAACCCUAAGUUCACGACGUUUAUUCUUCUUCUCUGCUGCUCUUUACGCUCCUAACGCUCCUACCCAAAUCUUAGGAUUCAAACCUUUGUUUAGGAGAGAAUCAAAACGACGGGUAAGUUAUUCUCUCUAUUCUCAAAAGAUUUCUAAUCAUUCUAUCUAGGGUUUAUAUUGGCACGAUUCUAGAUGGUUAUAGAUCAUAAUGCAUUAUUUAGAAUGUAUUUAGGCUUUGUUUAGAGUUUUGACUUAUUAUGAGUUUAGUUAAUCAAUCCUUGACGUAUUAAGCACAUAGGAUAAUUCUGGACAGCAUGAGUAUCUCGAAUUUAAACCUAUAUUUUCUGAACGAGCUUUCUUAUGAAAUUUAUAUUUCUGGAAACUAGACAUGUAGGGCUUCUUGAAUAAAUUUUAUUUCAUUAAAUUCGACUUCUUUUUCAAUUUUACAUGUAUUUUCGAAAUAGAAACCACUGCACUGGAAAACUGCGAUUCCAGCAUUGCAAUCGGAUUCACAAGAUUAUUUGUACCACCAAAUGAACUCUGAAAAUUAUGAAAUUUUAUAUGUAGGUUAAUAUAUAUGUCUAGGAUUCCCAGUUUUAAUUUCAUAAUUUUCUAAUUUUUAUUUUAUUUUAUAAAAAUCACAGAACCCGUUCUGUUUGGUUUAGGUUAUGCGAAAACAGUUUCGAAUUUGUUGAGAAAUAAAUAGUUUUGAAAAUGUUUUUGAUUUCGGAUCCUCUUGAAAAUUUUACAUGGGGUACUCAUGGAUAUCCAGAAUAGUUUCAUAGAACAUUAUGUCAUUAUGAGUUUUAGAUUAAGAGUCAAAAUUCUGAGAAUCAGACCUGUACGGUUAUGAAUUAGAAAAUCAGAUUCUUAGAAUAAGUUAUUAAUUGUCAUAUCUUGUACUUCUUUAAGGUGUUGGAGGUGAUUGAGACUCUUAGAGGCUUAGAGGCGUGUUAAUUCAAAUUCUUUAGUCGAGGUAAGUAACUUCAUUCCUAAUAUACUGUAUAUGUAUAAGUAUUUUGAUAUUAUUAUUAUAAGUAUAAAUGUUUUCAUACUACUUAGAAGAUUAAUGGAUUUUCAUAACAAAAUUAGCAUAUGAAAUGUUUUCAAAACCUAAAUUCUUUUUAACAAAGCAUUUUAUAAAUACUUUUUAAAUAUGUAAGUUAUUUUGUUACAUGCCUACUUUUAUGAUUUUAUUUAUAAAAUAUUUUGCAAGCCUAAAUUAUUGUUAUGGACUUUUAUGAAUCUGAUACGAAGGUUUUGUGCCUAUAUAUGAUUUCAAUUAUAUAUGAUUGUACGGGGGCCACCUCCUGGGACUAUAUGGGCGCCACCACUUGAAGGCCACAGCGUCGCAAAGUGCCACGUAUAAAUCAUUAUGUUUUGGCUCAUUGUCCGUAGUCAUUUUGAUUCUGAUUCUGAUUGUAUAAUACGAUAUAUGUCUGUUCUAGACCAGUACUGGGUUUCUGUUCUGAGUGUGCACACGAUAUUCUGAUUCUGUUCUGGCUGGGUCACCGGGACUAUAGGUGACACUAUGUGACAUAAGCUAACAUUGAAACGACUCGUCCCGAAUCCCCCCAAGCGAGUCUAUCUAGUCUCAUCAAAACGGACUUGAUAAUAAUUCUAUUCGUAAAGAUUCUGCCGAAAAUUUGGCAGAGUCUCCUUUAUAUAUAUAACACUCCCAAUCUACAAAUAUGAAUAUAACACUCCCAAUACAAUUCAAUAUACAACAAACUCCAGUGCUCAACAUCCUCGACAAAAAUGCUGAGUUUUAUUUCUCUAGAGUCUUAAAAGAUAAUAUUAUAACGAAUAUUAAUAUCUCAAUUUAUUCUUAAUCUCAAAAGAAUAAUAUAACAAAAUUAUACAAUCCCAAAAGAACAAGAUGACUAAGAUGUCCUAACAAAAACAUUUAUAUCUUCUAACACCAUCACGUGGCCAAGACUCAAAAUAUAUUUACAGUCGCUGGGUCGGUCUGGUGUACCUGCAACCUCUUGGUGAGGGGGAGAAAAUAUAAUAAAAACGGGGUGAGUUUAAAACUCAGUGAGAUCAGUGAGUGGAUAGUAGUUUUGAAAAUUAAUUCUUACUUUAAAAGAAAUAAUCAUAUCAUUUCCAAACAUGAUUUCAUUAAACCAUAAGCGAGAAACCAGUAAUAAAUCAUUAAACAUUUAAAUCAGAUUACUAACCAUAGAAAUCAUCUUACAAUAUCAUAUAGAAUUCACAAAUUUGAAAAUCAUCACCAAACAAGUACCCAGGGAAAUAAUCUCGUCAUAUCCGGACCUCAACGAACGGGCAAUGAUGUACUAUCUGGGUAACGUCACUCCCCGGAGCUACACGGAUAGACAGGGAAAUACCAUAUCAUAUCUCAUCAUAUCUGUGCAUGCAUAAUCUAGUCCCCAAGGGAUAAAAGCGCCCAAGCACACGGCCCAAAGCCUCUGUGUGUACUUAGACGGGCCCCAAAGGCCUGUAUCUCAUCUGUAUCAUAUGUAUCAUUUGUAUCUCAAUAUUUGUCUGUAUCUCAUAUUUGUAUCUCUCUAAUCAUCAUACCGCAUGCAUAUGCCCCCAAAAGACAAAAACGCCCAAACACACGGCCCAAAGCCUCUAUGUGUGUUCAGACGGGCCCCAAAGGCCUCUCAUCUCAUAUCAUCUGUAUCACUGUAUUUGGAGGGGAAGGGUACUAGCUAAUGAUUUCAAAAACAAUCAUUAUACUCAUAUUCACAUACCUCUUAACCAUAUUUUAAAUCAUACCAUAUUUGAAUUGUCUUUUCUUAUCUUUAAAGUAUUAUCAUGCUUUAUUCAAAAUCGAUACGCAAAAUCAUCAACCAAACAUUUCGAGAAAUCAUUAAAUCAGAACAUUUAAAAUACUUAUUUCGCAAACAUGCUUUACUAUCAUAAUUAACUAUGAAAAUAGGUUUUGUAUAUUCCACUCACAGUGACGGUGUUCACGGUCGGUUAUCGUCCACGUCCGCGGACCGAUUCUCGCUCGCGGAUUCUCCUAAAUCAAGGAAACGACAUAAUUAUUUUUUGUAAAUCGGAAUUAUGACUAAAUUUAUGCAAUAAACUCGAAACGAACAUUUAUCCAUAAUUUACAACUCCCGUGUCGAUAAAAUUACUAAAAUGCCCUUUUGUUAUUGUUAUGUUUUGGAAGAGAUUAUUUAGUGUUAGACGUUGGAAUUUGUGGAUUUGUUUGAAUAAGAAUUUAAGGUAUUUCAGUUAGGAAUUUAUGAGUCAGGAUUACGAUUUAUAAGUAACAUCCUUCUUCACGUGCUCCGCACGUGUUAGUUUUGCGGUGUUACACAUGCCCUCAUCUCCUCACUUUCUUUCUUGACGAUAAUGAGUUUCGGAAGAUCCCCAGUGACUUCUUCCAGUUUAUGCCUUCUCUCACUGUUUUAAACUUGUCAUGUAUUAAACUAAAGUCAGUUCCUUUAGGGACUUCAAGGUUGGUUCCACUACAACAACUCGAUCAUUCAUAUUGAAGCAUAAAAGAGUUGCAAGAAGAGUUAAAUGCCCUGAUUAAACUUAAAUGCUUGAGUAUAGAUCAUGUAGAAGAGCUAAUUACAGUUCCACAACAACGGAUAUUUAAUUUUUAAGGUUACAUGUGUUGAGAAUGUUCGAUACUAUUAGUUUAAAUUUUCAAGAAGCAUUAAAUAAAGACAGCAUUUUAUUUGGUGGGGAGGAAGUUUUAGCAGAGGAGUUGCUCGGUUUGAAAUAUUUGGAGGUAUUGAGCUUCACUUGAGAAGUGUUCGUGCUCUCCAAUUUAUUUCGAGCUCACAUAAGCUACGAAGUUGUACUCAAGCGCUGUUCCUCCAAUCCUUCAAUGAUUCGACAUGGCUUGAUGUUUCACUUUUGGCAGAGUUAAAAGCACCACUACAGAUUUAAGUAUUUUUGGGUGUAGAAAAUUGGAGGACUUGAAGAUGGAAUAUACUGGGGGAGCGAAAAGCAAGCGGCAACCUUGUGUUUUCUAAGGCCUACAUACAGUUCACAGAGAGGUUUGUUCUAAAUUGAAGGACUUUGACAUUCCUUGUUUUUGCUCCAAAUCUCAAGAACUUGUAAAUACAAAAUUGCCCUGCUGUGGAAGCAAUCAUCGGUGUGGGAGAAUUUGCGGAAGCUCUAGAGGCGGUGGAAAAUCUAAACCCAUUUGCAAAACUCAGUAUCUUGGACUAGAAAAUCAGCCAAAUGUGGAGAGCAUCUAUUGCAAGUCUCUGCCCUUUCAGAAAUGACUGUGGAUAGUUGCCGUUGUCUUAAAAAGCUUCCUCUCUACUCCAACAGUGUAAAAGAGUGGACAAUUGUUAUUUCAUCAUUCGGAGAAUUAAUGGUGCAAUGAGAUUUAGCAGUUAACUCUCGUGGGAAGAGCUUGAAUGGGAAGACGAAGCCGCUCCAAUUGCUUUUCAUUCCUGUUUCAAAUCUCUGAUCGGAUUGGAGAUUGCAUUUCGCCUCAGGUUCGUGCUUUUCUUGAAUUUUUCUCGUUAACUUCAUUUGUUCAUUUAUCCAUUUUUUUUAAGGAAUCAGAAGGGUUAAUAUUUUUGGUUGUGUUAGGUCGACUUCUAAUCACGAGGCAGAAGGAGUUGAGAUGAAGUUUAAUUUUGGUGGAGAAAUUGUUUGAUUUAAAAAAUUUAAAUGAGUUGACCAUCAUUCUUUAGCAUAUUUGUAUGAACAGGAGUGUGAAAAUAUGCAAACUGUCCAGCUGUAUGUGUAUAACGUAAUAAUUUUGAGGAGUUAAAACAUUGAAGAAUAUUGAUGUUUCCAUUGUCAGACCAAAUAUACUUAAUUACUUGAGGAUAACGAUUACUGCUAAUACGUUUGCAAAGAAAAAACAUGCCUAUUGAAAAACUCAUCUUAUUAGCAACAGUAUUAUAAGUAGUAUCCAAUCAUAGUUUCAUGCAAGAUUUUGAGAUUUUUCAAAUGCUGAUUCCGGGAAUGGAGAUUAAUAGAUAAUGGAGACAGGUUGACUGCAAUGGCUAAUUGCAAGAGGGAAUUUUAGUCGUAAAAAAAGACCAACUAGCAAAGCAAAUUCCAAAUCUCGGAAUGAAGUAGCAAAAAAAAGAAACAAACAAAUGGCAAGAGGAAGUGACUAUACAAUAAUAACAUCGACUUGCAAUUCAACAUUUAUACAGUUUUACACACCAAGAAAGGAAAAAAUUACAAUAGAAAUUUGGCCACUAAAAGAUGCUCGUUCAUGCUUAUGCCUGUCAUAUGGAUUUGAAACAUGGAGUAAAAGCAUUUAGAGUGGCUUCAUCCUUCCACUGCAGCUCAUUCCACCAGUGUUGCUCUCCCCUAAUAACAAGUUUUUGUUCCUUGGCACUGUUGUAAUCGAGUGGAAGCUUCUUGAGAUUCGGGCAGCCAGAUACAAACAAUUCCAAGAGAUUUGGAAAGGGCAAUGCAUUCAAACAGAUCUUCUUCAAAUUUCUUAGAACUUGCAACCGAAGAUAUUGGAGUUUCGCAAAAGGUUUUAGCCCGGGAACUUCUUCCACUUUCCAAACACUGAUUAUUUCUUCCAUCCCAUAACAACGUUCUAUAUGGACCACCUUGAGAUUUGGAGCAAAAACAAGCCAUGUCAUCUCCCUCAAUUUACUGCAACCGUCUAUGGUAACACUUUGAAGGCUGUUGAAACCCUACGGUUCUCUUGUUGUUUGAACUUCUGCAUAGUCAACCUUUAGCUCUUCCAAACUUGUACAAUGCACAAAAUCUAGUUUGUCAAGAUACUUGAGAUCUGCUAUGGACAAAAUAUUCCAUGACCUUGAAUCCUCACAGCGGCGAAGCUCUAAAGCAUAUUUACAACUCUUAUACUGUUGGCGGCUCAAAAGUCUUCGUAGAGCAUAAAAACUUCUUAACGUGACGCUUAAUACAUUUAAAUGUUCCAAAGUAAUCAACUCCUCUACCAAAAUUUCACUACCACCAAAUAGAACGCUAUCUUCUGGAACUGUAUCGGCAGAGCCACAAUCUAGCAUCCUCAACACCUUUAACCCAGAAAAAUUACAAAGCAGUUGCCGUGGAAUCGUAUGGAGAUAACGCAUGUACUCCAAGUUCAAACACUUUAGAUUUUUCAAGGCCUUUAGUUCAUGUGGCAACUCUUUGAUGAAAGUUUCUGAAAGAUUAAGAUAUUGUAGUGAAACCAAUUUUGAAAUUCCUGAAGGCAAUUGACUCAAGGAGCGAUUCUUUGAUAGGUUUAAAACUUUAAGAGAAGGCAUAAAAUCGAAGAAAUCACUAGGGAUAGUAUCUAACAUAUUAAUUCCGAGGAACAAAGUUAUAAGAUGAGGGCAUAUUGGAGUUAUUGGUAAAAUCACAAUUUUAUUUCUCAUCAACGGUAUCCUUCUCUUAUCUUCCCAUUUUUUAACCUCGGGUGGUUCAGUUAAUUCAAUACCGGCAGAAACCAAAAAGUUUUCAUUCUCCACUUCACAGGCUAUCCACAAGGUCAUAUCACGAAUCACAUCAUGCAGUUUUACAUAAUCUGAUCCUGCUUCUUCCAAUAGGCAUGCAUGAACAAGAACACCAAUAAUGCAGUAUCCUUGGUUAUGUACUCCAUUAAUUCCUUCAUUUUCCUUCAGAAAACCCUCACCAAUCCAACACUUUAUCAAUUCAGUUUUGCUAAUUUGAUAAUCCUCAGGAAAUAAACUACAGUAUAACAGACAAGAUCUAAGGACGUCACUAGACAAACUAUCAUAACUGAAUUUUAAAAGACGAAACACCUCUUUCUCCAUACCUGGAAAUUCAUAAGCUGAUCUCCUUAACAUCUGAAUUGCAUAGCUCCGUUCUUCGGGUCUCUUCUUGCUGCUCAUGGCACGACUAGUGGUAAUAAGUGCAAGUGGCAAACCACUACACUCCUUUGCCACAGUUUGGGCUAACUCCGGAAUAUCGGGAUGACUUUCAAGAGUCUCUUGUCCGACCUUCUUUAGGAACAAUUCCCAAGCAUCUUGAUCUGCGAAACACUCCACCUUGAACGUUUUUUGAGCUUCCAUGAGGCCACAGACGUCCACAAGACGAGUCGUAAAGACUAUCUUUGAUGCAUUUCUUGAACUCGCAGGAAAAGGGACACCCACUUUGGCUAAAUCAAUUCUUUCCCAUAUAUCAUCUAACAAUAGCAGAAAUUUCAUUUUGCUCAAUAAAUUGAAUAUACCUGAUGCUUUCUCUUCAAAGCUUCAAUUCUGAAGCCAUCCUAUUCUUUCUCCGAUUUUUUGUUGAAUUCUCUCAAGUUGCAUGUCUUUUGACACCACCACCCAAAUCACAAUAUCAAAAUAAUAGUGUAGUCUUGCCGACUCCCCCCAUGCCAUAAAGUCCGAUGAUUCCAAAUUGUCCUUCUACAAGACAUCUCCAAACUUUAUCAAAUGUUGAUUCUAGGCCGAUUAUUGUUGGCUGAAGAGGCCUUUUAUCCACUGCUGGUUGUGGUACCUUUUCAGCUACCACAGCAAAAUCCCCAUCGUCUAUUAAAGUAGCCACAAGCUGCAGCUUUUUGGACACCUUUUUCCCAAACUUGUAGCUUGACUUGCAGUUCUUGGAGCAGUAGCCUCCAAGGCAUAGUUUUUCAAUUUCUUGAGAGGUGUCCCUUGUCAAUUCACCUACUUCAGCUUCCACAGCCUCCACCCUUGAAAGCCAACCUUGCACUCUGUUCAGCCGUCUUAGUUAUUGUUGCUCAGCAUUAGCGACCCUCAUCAUCACAUCGUUCUUUGUUUCAAUUAGUUUCUGCAAUUCGGUCUGGACGGCAACCAGGUUAUUUUCAAGCUGGCUUAGAUAUGCUGCUUUUCUGCGGAUACAAUUUAUGAAGCCAGUGGAAAGGGCAUCACAUGUAAGUUGGAUUCCCAAAAUAUUACCCAUAGUUUGUAUGAGAUUCAGAGUACAAUAGAAGGAAUGCAACACAGUAUGUAUUCGGUUGUGGUGUCUAUGAUUUUACAGUCGCAGAAGCUUAUUCACCUUGUGAGAGCUGAUCAGGUGGGCACCAUCACUCUCCUUACGCUUUAUAGAGAGCGAUAGUCCAUGUGGUCAGAUCUCAUUCAGAUAACUAGCCAAGUGGGCAAUCGCUCCACCUUAUCAAAAUUCUUCAUCUAUAAUAAUAUCAUGAGUAGGCCUUGAAUUUUUCUUUUAAUUUUAACAUUUAAAAGGUAGAGGUGAAAAAGUCUAAAUAGUAUUUUUGUCCUCGUACUUUAAUAACAUUUCUUGAAAGUCACUCGAUCUCAAAAUUUAAUUAAGAAGAUAUUAUAGAUUUAUAAGCAAGCCUUUAAAAUUUAUUUGCAAGUAAGCCCAUAAGACUUACUAAAAGUCGUCAACUCGUCAUGACCAAAAUUGAAAAUUCUUCCGCGUGUGAAAUACGGCAUGCACAGACGUAUUAAAAACAAAGGCCAGCUAUGAUAUUCUUCGUAUAUUUGCAUUCCCUAUUAUCUUAUUAAUAAUUUCAGACACGUAGUUCGUUGCUUGUGAUUUUUCAUAUGCAAAAGCACAGUCAGUGUUACAAUUUACAAUUACAAUUGAGUGCCACCUAUAUACUCCUUCAUUCUUUUCAAAAUAUGUUGUAGGAUGGGUAAUCGUGACAAAAGUGAUUUUUAAAAAGAUUUGUUAUAAUAUUAAAAUUAACUUUUAAUUUUUUUUAAAUUACUUUUGAGAUUUGUGAAAAAAAUCCUAAACGGGUCUCAGAAGUAUAAUUAGAACCACGAAUUUAUAAAAUGAUCAAAGGAAUCCAUUGCCUAAUAUUAUAGUACGCAAUUGAUUGCUAUAAACUAAACUUCUAUGAUCUCACUUCAUAAUAAUUUAUUUUCAAUCUCCAUCAUGGUAGAAAAAUUUCAUCAAUCAACAUACCCUACCACCACCCAGUAGUCGACCAUUUAUCAUCUUCUAUCCGUAAAAAAAAGGAAAAAAAAAAAAGAAAGGAAAAAUUUAGUCCAGAAAAGAAAAUAUCGCAAGACCAAACAGAGAGAGAAAAUAGAAAAAGCAAAGAGCUGUACUGAAUACCGGCAGUGAUGGCUCCGUACUUGACCAUUUAGGUUUGAUUCUGCAUUAACAUAAUAUUUUUUCUGCACUGCAUUCACAUCACAACCAUUGAAUAGUCGUGAUCUAUUUUUCUAAAGCGAAUAAUACUAUCUUCUCGUGUCGGUGGCUUGAUCAUAUAACAAAAUAGACUAAUAAUGUUUCAAUAGACAUUUUGGUAAAUGGAAGAAGUUAUGAUCUGUCCAUUUUUAUGUUACUUUAUUUUAAUUUGUUAAUUACUAUUAAUAUCUUUGAGUGUGGCAGAAUCUUGACCUAAGAUAUGACUAGGCUCCACAUGUUAUAUAUUAAUUUGAUUAAGCCUAGCUAAUUGUUAAUUAUUAAUUUGAUUGCGGCUUUUUAUUUUACCCACAUUUUUUACGCGUGAAAUCUUUCUUAGUGAAAAACUACACGUAUGUGCAAAUAUUCGGAAUGGACAUUUUAGAAAGAAAAAAAAGUAAAAGAAAAUGUUUGAGGGAAAAAUAGGAAAGGCAAUAGAGCGCCACGUGUCAACCAAUGGAAUGAUUUCAGCACAAUCGGAGGUACCCUACACAAUCCGAGGUGCCCGGCAUGACUUGAGGUACCCCGUAUAAAUAGAGGUAUCCCACACAAAUAGAGGUACCUCAUAUAAUAUGAGGUACCCCAUAUGAAUAGAGGUACCCCAUACAAAUAGGGGUACUCCGCGUAAUAGGGGGUACCCCACGUAACUCGAGGUACCCGGCAAAGCGGAUGCAAGAGAAUCCACCGAAAAUACCCGCCAUGAGAAACGUCUCCGCCUCCUAAAAGAUAUCAUUUGAUUUUGUCAGAAUUAGGAAUCAAAAGCGACGUGCUAAAAGGAGGGACAGCCGCCUGCUACCUCUGCCAAAAGUGAAGGACACUGUCCCAAGGACAGUGGUCCCUAGCCGCCUACCCGACAGCUACUGCAGAGGUACCCUGGACCACUCUCCAGCGCGCGCCACGUUUUCAAAAGAUGAGAUACGCCGCGAACAUGCAAAUAACGGCCCAAAAAAUUAUAAAAAGGUAAAAGGACGUUAGCCAAAAAGGGUACGCCACGUGGUAGCUGAGGUACUCCAUAUAUAAAGGCGCCUAGGUUUCAUCCUCCAAGAGGCUCUCAUUCGCCCAAAAACACUCACACUCCAGAAAAUAGGUUUUCUUCAACCUUAAACCCUAAUUUACAAAGGGCUAGCUAGCUCUCUUUACCAUAAAAGCUUGAGUUUGCUAACUUGAGCGUCGGAGUGUGAACGCCGGGGUACCCCGGCUUCACCUCUAACCUCCAUUUCACUGUUUUGCAGGUGUGGAGCCCAUCUCGAAGGAUACCUCUCUUAGUUCUAAACCUUUCACCAUUGAUACCACUCUCUCUCCCUUUCUCACCUCCCCCAAAUCUUAGAUACACCGCACCGCACACAAUAAACUAGUGAGGUACCCCAUCUCCCCCAAAAAUAUAAAUUUAUUGUUCUAGAUUGGUUUGACUUUUCCUACCCCAAAAUCAGUUGAAAACAGAAAAUGACUAAAAAGUAAAAGAAAAUAGACACCCAAUUGUAAUUACGAGUACAAUAGAAGGAAUGCAACACAAUACCGAUUUUGCAGUCGCUGAAGCUUAUUCACCCUAUGAGGGCUGAUCAGGUGGGGGCCGUCGCUCUCCUUACACUCUUAUAGAGAGUUAUAGUCCAUGAUCUCAUUGGGAGAACUAGCCAAGUGGGCAAUCGCUCCACCUGAUCAAAAUUCUUCAUCUUAUAAUAAUAUCUUGAGUAGGCCUUCAAUUUUAAUCUUUAAAAGGUAGAAGAGGUGAAAAAGUUAAAUAAUAUUUUUGUCCUCCUAUAUAACAUUUUUUGAAAAUCACUCGAUCUUAAAAAUUAAUUAAGAAAAUAUUAUAGAUUUUUAAGUUAGUGGCCCUUAAAAUUUAUUUGCAAGUAACAAUUAGAGAAAAGUCGUCAUGCCCAAAUGACUUACUAAAAGUCUGCAACUCGUCAUGACCAAAAUUCUUCCGAGUGUGAAAUACGGCAUGCGCAGAUGCAUUAAAAACAAAGGCCAGCUAUGAUAAUCUUUGUAUACUUGCCUUCCCUAUUAUCUUAUUAAUAAUUUCAGACGCGUCGUUCGUUGCCUGUGACUUUUCAUAUGCAAAAGCGGAGUCAGUGUUACUUGCAUUCCCUGUCACCUUAUUAAUAAUUUCAGACACAUCGUUGGUUGCCUGUGAUUUUCAUAUGCAAAAGCACAGUCAGAAUUACAAUUUACAUUUGGAAUUGAGUGCCAUCUAUUUAUUCUAGCUGGAUCUAAAAUGAUAUUGCAUUAUUGCACUGACUUUUUAGUCACAGCGUUUCUCUAUGAAUUCCUUAAACUUUAAACACAUCAUGGAAUAAUUAUUUUCUUAAAGACCAAAUUAACAUAAUUCUUAAAUCAUUUAUAAAACAACAUUUAUCAUAUAACAAAUCGUACAUGAAUAAAUUUACCUUGAACCGUAGCAAACAAACAAGAAUCUCAACCACAUCAAUAUCAUAAUCCCUUCUGACCUUAACAGUAAUUUUAUUCGUCCUUAAUUCAUAGGUAUAAGUAUCCCAAUAUAUACUUGAUGUCAACCUUUACAAUUCUUUACAGAAUUGCAGCAGACCAAAUUUGUAUACAAAACUGAAAUCAUACAGUAAUUGAUGUUUUCGAUAGAUUUUAGGGUAGGAAAAGCCAAACCAAUCUAGAACAAUGAAUUUGUAUUUUUGGGGGAGACGGCGUACCUCACUAGUUUGUUGUGUGCAGUGUGGUGUAUCUGAAAUUCGGGGGAGGUGAGAAGGGGAGAGGGAGUAGCAACAAUGGAGAAAGGUCAAAACCAAGAGAGAUAUCCUUAAAAAUGAGCUUCACGCCUGCAAAACAGUGAAAUAGAGGUUAGAGGUGAAGCCGGGGUACCCUGGCGUUCACACUCCGACACUCAAGUUAGCAAACUCAAGCUUUUAUGAUAAAGAGAGUUGGCUAACCCUCUGUAAAUUAGGGUUUAUGGUUGAAGAAAACCUAUUUUUUAGAGUGUGAGUGAGAGCAUCCAUGGAGAAUAAAAUAUAGGCACAUUUAUAUAUGGAGUACCUUAGUUGCCAUGUGGCAUACCCUUUUUGGCUAACGUCUUUUUACCUUUUAUGAUUUUGGGGCCGUUAUGUGCAUGUUCGCGGCGUAUCUCAUCCUUUGGAGACGUGGCGCACGCUGUGGUCCAAGGUACCUCUGCAGUAGCUGUCGGGUAGGCGACUGAGGACCACUGUCCUUGGGACAAUGUCCUUCACUUUUGGCAGAGGUAGUAGGCGGUUGUCCCCCCCUUUUGGUACUACGUUUUUUAUUCCUAAUUCUGACAAAAUCAAAUAUUAUCCUUCAAGAUAUGGAGAUAUUUCCUAUAGUGGACUUUUUCAGAGGAUUCUCCUGAGACAGACCUAUCGGGUACCUCAAGUUAUAUGGGGUACCUCGAUCCAUGUGGGGUACCUCGAGUUAAUCUGGAGUGAAGUGGGGUAUCUCUGAUUAUGCUGGGUACCUUUAAUUAUGUGGGAUACCUCUAAUCAAGCCGGUACUUCUAAUUACGCCGGGUACCUCUAAUUGCGCGGGGUACCUCUAAUCAAGCCGCGUACCUCUAAUUACGUCGGGUACCUCUAAUCAUGCAGGGUACCUCUAAAUCAGGCAGGGUACCUCUAAUCACGUCGGGUACCUCUAAUCAUGUUGGGCACCUCAAGUUAUUCCGAGUACCUUAAAUUAUGUUGAAGUUAUUCUGGGUACCUUGAAUUAUGCUGGAGUUAUUCCGAGUACCUCGAAUUAUACGGGGUACCCCAGUCUAUGUGGGGUACCUCUGACCGUGCCAGGUACCUCAAAUCAUGGCAUGUACCUCUAAUCGUGCGGGGUACCUCUAAUCAUGUCGGGUACCUCAGAUUGCACUAAAGUUAUUCCAUUUGUCGACACGUGGCGUUCUGCUAUCUUUCUUAUUUUUCCCCCAAACAAUUGAAUACAGUGAAAAUAGACAUGAUGGGAAUUAGUAUAUAUAAAUAUCUUAAUAAUUUAAAAGUUUCUUAAACUGAUUUUACAUAUCUGAAAAAUUAUAGAAAUCGGAACUGCUGCAGAAAUCAUAAUUUUCCAGCGAAUGUGUUACAACUUCAGAAACUCAUAAGAAAUUAAAUUCUUGGGAUCACAAAAUAAUUCAAUAGAAAGCUUAAGAUGUCUAGUUCAUAAAAUCUGAAUUUUUUUUUUAAUAAGAUCUUUGGAAUUUAAGAGAUUCAGCAGUACUUUUAUUACAUCAAUUCUUCAAACAAUCACCAAUCUAACAUUCAUCAAAAUUAAGUCAUAAAAGUCAUGUGGUUUAUAAAAAGAAUUACCUGAAAAAGAUUAGCCUUCCCCUUUCAAAAGCAACGUGAAACUCCAAAAACUCUUCUUCCAUUACCUAUUCAAACAUGAAAAAAAAAAAAAAAUUUGGUGUCUCUUCUUUAAAUGCGUGAUGAGUGUGCUCUGUUUUCUCUGUUUUCUCUGUUCUUCUCUUUCUUUUUUAGAUUUCGAAAACCUAAAGAGUGUUGGAGUCUUUAUUUUCUAAAAACAAGACUUUUCCAUGUAUUCAGUUAAAUUAAAUUACGUCCAAAUGCUAUGUCAGUUCCAUCAUUAGCAUUUUUUUUUCCUUUUAACACCAACAUUAGCGUAUGUUAAGUGUCAUAAUCCAUAGUUGGACAAUUUGAAAUCUCUUCGUGUUUUAUCUCAAAGUAGAGCUUCAAACAAUUUGUACCUCACAAAUUUACAAUAUCUAUGAGGGCUAAUAAGACCAAACUCAGGCAUAUUGUCAAAUGUGCUUAUACUUUCGCUUGACAAGUCAUUUUAAAAUUGUCUUUCAAUGCCAAAAAACCACAUAAACUAAUGGUCCACUACUUUAAUUUGAAAGCAUGCAUGCGAUCGCCAUUAAUCAAGGAUGUUAGGGUCAUGCUGCAGAGUAUAGAACUUGAUUUUAUGGGAUAGCCUUCUUUCUUUAUAAUUUUUAAGUUUAAUACUGUUACGCAAGUAGCACAUAAGUUGGAAAACAUAACAUAAAUUUUGAAAAAUGUAUAGUUUUCGUUCCCUUUUUUCCCCUCUAAAAAUGGGAAAAAAGAACGUAAUUUUGAUUUAUUUAAAUUACUGUUGUGAUAACAAUUUUUAUUUUAUUGAUUAUUUACCCAUACAUGUGGCAAAUUUUUUAAGAUAAGGUGAAGGAUGAAGCUCAAAAAUAUAAAUUAUAGAAUUAAUUACCCUCUGUAGUAAGUUUAAAGUUUAUUAUUUUUAACUACAUAUUUAUAAUUUAUUUUUAUUAUGUGUUAAUCUAUAGAUCUAAAUUCACUUCGGAACCAUAUACAUAUUUAGACAUAAUGUGCAUGUUAAUCUAUAGAUCUAAAUUCACUUUAGAUCUAUAUGAGUAUUUAGACAUAACGUAUUGCAACCAUAUUGGCAUGUUCUCACUAUAGUAUUGGUGUAUUGACAUUAUAUCUAAUUGUCCCUAUAAAUCCAAAAAUAAUCUAGAUAUACAAAUUAACAUAAAAUAAAGAUAAUUGGUAGAAAAUGCAAAUUAUAAACAUAUAAUUGAAAACGAUAAAUUUAAAUUUACUUAAGAAAGUAAUUAAUCACUUAUUUCUUUUUUAUAAUAUGACAAAUAUUAUAAUAAAUAUUAAUUAAUAAUAAUUAGAAUAACAAAUUAAGGAUAUUUUAAUAACUUAAAAUAAUUUAUUUUGAUUUCGAGACAAAAUAAACACAUGAAUCGCAAUACAACUCAUUCUGAUUCCACUCAUUUAGAUUUCAACAUAUUUUAAUUAAUUCAAGUGCUCUCCAUUAUAAUUGAAGCCGCUGCCCCACUCGUGAUUCCAAACUUUAUCUUUUUCCUUUUUAAAAUUAAUGCAAGCAGCCGCUGUCCUUUUUAUUAAUUAAUUAAUUAAUUCGGCCGCCCACAUUUCUUUUCCUAAUGUCUUCGGCUUUCGAUUUUCUUUUGUUUUCUCUUUAUUCUUAAAACUGUGAAAAUAAUAUAUAAAUUAUGAGCGUAUCAAUCAAUAAAUUAAAAAUAAUAAUUUUUAUUUUUAUUAAAUAUAUAUUUUUCAGUAUUAAUCAGUUAUCUAAGUAACUAAAAUCAGUUAAAAAUAAAUAAAUAAAUUAUUCUUAAAAAAAAAACUUUUUAUACCACUCACUAUGCUGGCUGUCAAGGGUAGAAGCUUUGGGGACUGAAGUUGGUAACUUCUACAAGUAGUCUUAAGUUGACUGGCAACAACUAUAUUGGCAUUUAGACAUAAUGUUCGGCAACCAUAUUGGCAUGUUCAAAUGUUCUUCCUAUUGUAUUGGUGUGUCGCUCUAACUGCCUUAUAGAUCCAAAAAUGAUCUAAAUUUACAAUUUAACAUAAAAUAAAAUAAUUGGUAGAAAACAAUUAUGGUUCAUUUACUUAUUAGUAAUUAGAAUAGACUGAACUUAGCAUGAGUUGUAUUGCCGUUAAUAUGUUUAUGUUGUCCUCAAAUCGGAAUGAAUUAUUUUAAGUUACUAAAAUACCCUUGGUUUGUUACUCUAAUUAUUAUUAUUUAAUAUUUAUUUUAGUAUUGUCAUAUUAUUAAAAAGAAAUAAUAAUGAUGAUAAUAUUAUCAUUAUUGUUUGUUAUAUUAUUAUUAUUAAAAAAAUUAUUGUUAAUAACAAUAAUAACUUUAUUUCAAUAAUAAAAAUGAUAAAAUUAAUAAUAACAAUCAUGACAACAACAAUAAUUAUUUAUUAUGCCAAAAAUAACAAUAAUAAUAAGAAUAAUAAUCAUCAUCCUUUUUUCCCAAAGAAGCAUUAUCAUCAUCAUUUCAAAAAAAAAAAAAAAUCAUCAUCAUCAUCAUUUUUGUAGUGGCUGCCUAUCGGCUGCUGCUUUCAUGCAAGAUUGACUUGCGACGCUUCAACUGCUAUUAUUUCUGGCAAUGUCAGGUGUUGUUGUUUCAAUGUGGGGAGAAGCUGUUUCGGUGCGCUAACGAUGGGAAGUGUUGUGGCUGCGAUUCGGGGAGCUACUGGUUCAGUGCACUAAUGACGGCAGGUGUUGCUGCUCAAUGCGAGGUCCAUGGCCAGUUGUCUUGUUUUACAGCCAGCUCUUGUAGGAAAUUCUUCAUCCAAAAUAUUUUUUUGUAACCUUCAAUAAUUGUAAUAUCAUUUGCUUCCGUGGUAGAAAAGACAACUCAUUGCUAAAGUCUAGAUUGUGAUGAGACUGCUCUCCCAGCAAAAGUGAGCAAAUAUCCUAGUAGGAAUUUUUCAAAAUCAAUAUCUCCUGUCAUAUCUACACACGUUUGUCACCACCAAAAUAUAAACAUAUUCUGGAAAUGCCUCUAAGAUAUCUGAGAGUUCAUUUCACUGUUGUCCAGUGCUCUUUGCCGAGAUUGAAGAGAAACCGACUGACUACACUAACUGCAUAGGCAAUAGCUGGUCUUGUACAAAAAAUGGUGUACGCCAAACUGCCAAUUGCCAAACACUGAGAAAUGGGUUUUGCUCUUGAGAUUUUUGGGAACAUGAAGAAUAAAGAUGUAAUUUCUUGGACUACCAUUGUUUCGGGGUAUAUAAAUAGAGGACAAGUCGAUAUAGCUCGACAGUAUUUUGCUCAGAUGCCAGAACGAGAUUAUGUCUUAUGGACUGCCAUGAUUGAUGGGUACCUUCGAGUGAAUAGGUUCAGAGAGGCUUUGACACUUUUCCGGGAGAUGCAAACUUCAAAUAUAAGGCGAGACGAGUUUACCACUGUUAGGAUUCUUACAACUUGUGCGAAUCUGGGGGCACUAGAACUGGGAGAAUGGAUAAAGACUUACAUUGAAAAAAAAAAGUCAACAAUGAUAUAUUUGUGGGGAUUGCUUUGAUAGACAUGUACUGUAAAUGCGGAGAUGUUGAGAAAGCUCAAAGGGUAUUCUGGAAGAUGCUUCGAAAGGACAAAUUCACAUGGACGGCCAUGAUUGUUGGCCUUGCCAUCAGUGGCCAUGGUGAUACAGCUCUUGAUAUGUUUUCCCAAAUGCUUAGGGCUUCGAUCAGACUAGAUGAGGUAACUUAUGUUGGUGUUCUGUCUGCCUGUACUCACAAUGGUAACGAAAAUUUUGUGAUAAAUAGAUGCAACUUAAGGUGAGAAUUGGAGGAAACGAAAUAGACUGAAGUUGUUCAAUCAUCGGUGGUUGCUAUAUGAUUUUAAGUUGUUCAAUCAUCGGUCGUCUCUAUUUGGUUUUCUCCAAUAUCUCAUCUCCAGUUUUGACUCAGAUUCUGUCUUACCGCUAGUAAUUACAUAGACUUGCUGCCAAAGGUAAGAAUGGGAAUAAAUUAAAUAGAUUAUGUCGAUAACGAAAUAGAUUUACUAUUGCUAUGUGCAUUCUAUUUGGUUCCUGCAAAAUAUUUUCUCCUGCCUAAAAUUUUUUGAAUAAGUAAGUUUUUACCUUACGCAAGAAUUGUGCUAAGAGUAAUUCCAGUCUCUCUAUGUUUCAAUGAAGACGUAAAACUUGUGUUUUAGAGCACCAAUGUUAUGCUUCUUACAAUUGGAUUUUAAUUUACUUCGUAAAACUUUUGUCAAAAUGUACUACGGGUGUAUUUGAAAAUGAGGUACUGUAGCUUUUAAGCUACAGCUGCUAUGGAAAAAAAAAACUAACUAUGAAAUAAAAGUUAAUAAUAUAUAGUAAAUAUAAAUUUUAAAUAAUAAUUUUGAUAAAAUUAUUAAAGAUAUAAUAGUUUUUUUAUUAUACAAGUGAAAAAUUAUAUAAACAUAGUUUUCAAGUUACAGCAGCUAGUGUUUACCAAACACUUUAGUACUGUACUUUUUAAGUUACAGCUGCCCAACAUCAAUCUCAAACGCACCUUAAGGAGUAGUGCGCCAAACACCAACUUUAUUACAGAGAGGACUUUGGUUAAACUUUAAGAAAAACACCGAUGGUUGUCGAAGCCAACAAAUAUAAAUUCCUACUCUAAAUAAAUUGUAUAUAGUGAUUGAGCAGGGUCGUGUCCACAGAAAUCGGUAAUUAUUUAAAUCCUUUUAAAACGUAAAACAUAAAAUGGGGGUUUUGUUGACAAUAAUAAAAAUCAAAUUAAAAUAAUAAGAAUGCAAAUUAAAGUUGUAAUUCAAAUUAGAGAAAGCUCUGGUUGAAGGAAUUAACUCAGCUUGAUUCGACUACUGAUCAUUGAUUCAAAUAUAGAUUAUUAUUACUCAUGAAUAGACCGGUUAUAGCUACUGAGACCCUCUAAUAGCCAAUCUCUCCUUAACUAGUCGAUAACCAAGGUACGACCGUUGGUUAUUUCCCUAAUCAAUAGACAACCCUAGAUACGAUCAUAGGAUUUAAUCAAUUGACAGCCUGAAAAACCAGAGAGACCCAAAUCCUAAUCAACACAUAUGAUGAUUCAUUUAAAUUAGAUUGUUUAUUCUCACAACACAACUCUCUGCUAUGUUAUUUGUCACAAACAUUAAAUUCUUCAUACGAUGAAUCCUUUAAUUGACAAUAGAUUAAGUUGAUAAUUAAAUAGUGGCCAAUUACCUAAUUAACAAACAUAAUCAUGAAAAUAAUUCAGAGAAUAAACAAAUACCCAAAAAUUAAUAAAACAAUUAAAGCACAAGAAAAAUCUCACAGUAGUGAUGAAUCAAAGCUUCAUUAACCUUCAACCAGAAAAAUAGGUUUAGUUCCUCAUAGAGAGAAGAGAAAAAUUAGAUCUAGGGUUUCUUUCUUUUUCUCCAAUCCAAAUCUCCCAUUUUCAAAAUAGAUUCCUCCCUUAAAUACUCUCUCUCUCUUCUCCUCUAGAAUUCUAUUUAAAAUAAAAUACUAGUAUCUGAAAUAUUAAAUUCGUAAUUACAAAAAUAACCAAAAAUACAAAACACGUUAAACUAAAAACUGCAGGUCCGCAGUUGACAGCACGCGCCCACGCCUUAUCAACAAAGUUCUUCUGCCGCUCAUAAUUUCUCCAAGAGAACAAUCAUCCUUAAACAUCAUCUUGUAACUCAAUUUUAUCACCAAUAAAUAGAAUUGCACCUACAAAAGUAAAUCACAAGUAAAUCACUAUUAUUAAGUGCAAAACAUCGAUAUUAAGGGAAGUAAACAAUGCAAAACUAGUGCAUAAAUUGCACUCUAACAAACACUCAAAGGAAGAGUUAUAAAUUAUUAUAGAAAUAUUUCACAUAAAUAAAAGCCAUUCCACAAUGCGAAGAUCGUGCUAUCAUCACCAGAAACCAUCGGGAGCAUUCAGGGUUUCCAUGAAAACGCCAUUUCAUUCCAAGAGUCAAUGGUGAGUAGAAAGUGGUGCAAACGAUAAUCAUUCUUAAUGCUAUAAGUUUUUGCUAAAUUAUGUCUUACCCAAAAUGAUGAUUUAAUUUCCAUUCUCAAUUAAUUUUCAAGUUUCAACACUUUUCUUUGUAGCAUGACAUUGGAAAGAUCUUGUACUACUAAAAGCUAGCACCACACGUUAAUUAUUGUUAAGUUCUUUUUCAACGUGAAAUAAAGGAAGUAGUCCUUCGUUAAAACCAUUAUAGCCAAAUUUCAUGUAAUUGGACACUUACAGACUUUCAUUUCAAGCUGGAAUUUGGUCCAACGUUUCAAAGUUGACCCAACUAAUUGUCUGAUCAAGUCCUACACAACUAAGACCCUCAAUGAAUGAGGGUGAGACUGCUAAAAAUUACGACAGUUGAUAUUAUUAUUAUUAUUUUGGGAUAAAUCCUUACCAAGGUGAGUGAGGAGAUUUUAUCAAAAUAAAAAUAAAAUAUAACAAGAAAACUAGCUAAAUUAAAAUAUUACAAAAGCUAGAUGAACUGAAAGGCAGCCUAAAAACAACCUUAUGCAAAAGAGAAGCAACAUGCUAGUAUUCCAAGCUUCUUGUUAUAAAAGUGUAGAAUGAAGUAGGUGACGUAGUUUUAAGUUACACCUCCAUGCCCAAUCACAAUAUCAAAUAAUGCUUAAAGUAGUUAUAUUAACUCUUAAAUUUAUAAAUAAUUAAAUUUUUAAAAGUAUGGAUUUAUAUUAAAAAAUUUCUAUAUAAAUAAAUAAUAUAUGCAUUUUUACAACAUAGUCUUUAAAUUUAAACUUUUCUAGAAAAAUCUUCUGGAUAUCUUUUCUAUUAAAAAAGAGUUUCUCAAAAUUUAUAAAAGUAACUUAAAGUUUUGUCUUCCCUUUUCUUUUAGCUUAUACAUAUGUGUGUGUAUUCUUUUAUAGCAAUAACUAACGUUAUUUAUUUUUAAAUCAUAAAAAAAUUAUGAAAAAAAAAAUGUACCAAAUUUAAUUGGACACAGCACAAUGCACAUGCAUAGAACACAUUCUGAAAAGCCAUGCUAUUCGGAAAUUGACGAAUGGAAAGUGAAGAGGCAGCAGUCAAUGCCAUUUCGGCUUGGCCCAAAAUUUCACCAGUUUGUUAAUCAGUGUUCUGCAGCUCUUGCUGCUUUCCUAGAGAUUCUGCAUCUUUUGCAAUUUGAUUGAUUAAAAAAAAAAAAUUAGUGGCCAUUUGGAAUGGAGGAGAGAUUUGUGUGAAUGGUAUAGGUGAAAAAUUGGAUGAAAAUAAACAGGCAACCGUCCGUAUAAAACAACAAUAACAAUAUACAAAAAGAUAAGUAAUUCACGAAAGGAAAUUUACGGUUGUUUCUAAAAAACAUACACAUUAAUUUCACUUAUACUCUAAGAUUUGCCAUCAUGACUGGACUUGUGAGGAAUUUGGAAACAUGUAUGAUGUAGAAAUGCUGAAGUAGCUUGAACCAGAUGGUGAAAUCGUCUAGCGGUCAGCGGGACAUGAAGCUAUAGGGGUUGUUAGUUGUGUUUUGGAUAUUUACAGACAUGCUGAGUUUGAGUUUAUAUCUUAACUUAAAAUUUGUAGUUUUCACUUGAAAAGAUUCAGUUAAAAAUUGAUUGGUGGAAUUGUUAAAAAGUCUAAAUUUUUAGUUCAAACCUAUUGCAUAUUUAAGAACAUCUCAAAUGAAUUGCUUACUGCUAUCGUCGUCAUCAUUGCCCAUAUAAUAAUAAUAAUUAUUAUUAUUAUGCCUUUAUAAUUAUUAGUAUCGCUGUUAUUAUUUUUAUGGGUAAAUGGUUUUUCUAUCCUGGCAAUUUAAGCCAAUUACCUAACUAAUCCAUGUAAGUUUAAAAAUGUUUCAAAAGAUCUUUAUUUUAUAUAUGUUUCCACUAAAAUUUAUUUAAUUAUUCUUUAUUUUUCAAUUAUUGCAUGUUCGAUUUUUUUGAGUUCUAAGCUAUAUCAAUAGAAAUGUUAUCUUAUCCAUAAAAAGUUAGAUCCAACAAUUAUGAAAAUUACUAUGGAGCUGCUUUGAAUAAUUUUUAAAAAAUACCACAAGUAAAUAAUAAUUAGUUUAAAUAGUGGAGACUAAAAAGCAUUCACCCUUAUUCUUUAUCUGUUAUUUGUUUUUUUUUUCCGUUAAUGCACAUGUUAUACAUUUGAAACAUUCCGUUAAUUGCCAAUUAUGUAAGCGAGAUAGUAAUUUAAUUUUUUUUUUAAAAAAGUGAAAAUUAAUCCUAUGCAAUGUGAAUAAAUUUCUUUCCAUUUUCCUUCUCUCUUUUUAUUUGAUAAUUAAGUUUCAACCUAUGUACCCAAAAUUUCUGCAACAGGUAAAAAACAUAAAAAUAUAUGAUUGUUAAUGUAAACACGCGGAAGUUCAUCAUUUCAAUGUUCAGUAUUUCCAAUUUUGGCAUACGAAUAUAUUCCACUCAGAAAGCCAAAUAUUAAAAUUCUGAUUUUAAUUCAUUCAUCAUAUCUCAUUUCAAUCCCAAAAUAUUCAAGAGGAUCCAAGUUACCAUAAGACUUCAGAGGCUCGAGCCUUAGCCAGAGACGGUUAAUUGAUAGACUAUGUGCACUGGAAGCCUGCAAUGCAGACUGAUUGAUUUAUCAGUUUGAAGUGUGCCAGGAAUGAAGAACUGGAAUAUCACCGUCAAGCAAGCACCCAGUGAAGCAAUACCAUGGAAUGCACAAUCCGGCCUUGCUAGGUGACACUGGAGGCUUUUUGAAAAGUGCUUCAUGCUCACUUGCACAGAUUGAGCAUCCCCUCUGGAUAUUGCCCUCUCUGAUCGAGUCUGAGCACUCAAAUUUCGGUCCUCAGAUGGAGCUACAGCUUUCUCUCCAAUAACCAACAAUUUUCUAAACUCAGCACCUAGUGUGAUCAGAGUUGUUGAUAUUUGUAAAUGGAGAUCCCCAUAUUUGCAAAUGGAGACAUUUAACAAAUCACCAACAUGCUUCAUCCGGUCUACGAAAUUCUGCAGCUGAUUCAAAUCCGGAACCUGAACCAGAGUCGAAGGUAAAUCUUGAGCCAUAUCUAAAGCAGUUUGAAGUUCAAGUACUUGAGCCCUUGACAGUGGUUUUGAAAUUGGAACAUCUUGAAUUACUGCAGACUUGUACCCUUUGGUUUCAAAGGUAAGGAAAGGCAUUGCUUGAGUACAAUUUGGAGGCAGCUUCUUCACCAAUUUUAUUUGGAGGCGAUUGGCAGUGGAUCCAGCUGCACCAAUUUCAGAGCAAAUACUGACACUACUUCAAACAGCACACUGAAGAAGCACUAUGUCUAUGGCAAAGGCAAUGCAGUCCUCAUUUUGGCUUGAGAUGCGGUAAUCAUCGAAGAGAGUUUCCUUAUGAAACUGGGCAACACAUUGAAUCCCUUCACCACUGAGAAGGUUGUGGAGGAAGUACGCUUUCUCUCUAGUGAGGAAGAGGUGGCAUACCUUCCCCAUUUUGUCUAGGGCAGUUAGGAAUCUUUUUUCUAAGAGAUUUACUCCAUUCUCUGUGAGAAAUGCUUUGAACUUCAUCCCUCUGUCUCUAUCCUCACUUAUCAGUAAAACAGUUGAAAGUGAUACAAGGAGAGAAAAGGAGAGUACUAAGAUAUAUAGACAAGAAAAACAUUAGGUGUCGAUCUUACAUGUUAAUACUUCAAACAGUAUCCUAGAAAGCUAAAAACUGCAGAAUGGCUUGAAAUUUGAAAAGAACACAUGCUUUUCCUCCUUAACUUGAGAAAAUGUUUAACAUAGCGCGCCUUACAGAAGCAAGCAAUUAGAACUUUGCACAAAAACAUUCAAGAAGACCAAUAUUUCAACUAUUUUACUGAUGAAAAUCUCAAAGCACAAAUGGCAUUGCAUUUUGUCCUCAACUGUAAUAUUUCUUGAUGAAAAUCAGUACAGGUCCCUCAUUUGUUAUGGAAAGCUUUCUUGUAGUCUGACCGGUUAAUUCACGGGUCUAUAAUCAUCUUGCAAAGUUACGGACAUUUCUUUCGAUUUAAAGUCUUUGCAUCACCACCUCAUCACACACCAAGCCAAUAUUCUGUCUACCUCUACAACAAAAAGUUUUAAGUAAACGAUCCUAAUGCACGCAGCCAAAUAAAAUGCAGUAAGAAUAUUCAACUUAAAAAUCUGAAAGUCAUCUUGGUGAAUUACCUUCUUAGGGGAAGUUCCAUGAUUUACUAUACUAGACAGAACUGAGCAAAAGCUUCCAUUCGACAGAUUUUGACAAUAAUGAUGCCAACAGAUCCUCAUUAAAUCCAUUAAAACUCCUAAGGUUCAUUGUUCAUGGAUGUUUACAGAGUUUUGGUCAUCAAAUAGCUCAGACCACAAUCCCAAACAAAAGACGAGUGAAAGUUAGAUAACGAGCAGCUAAUUGUAAAUUCUAACUUAACUCUUCAUCUCCAUUGUAAAAAGGAAACAAAAUGGAGACGCGCAAAAUGAAUAAGGAGAACAUUUGAACUCAAAUGAAAUGAGGGCGCGAAAGCAAACAAAUGGCAUGCACAAACAAACCAAGCCUCAAUCAAAAACUAAUUGACCAUUAAAAAAAAUAAAAAUUGGUCAGAGAAUGAACUCCAAAUUCGGGAGUGAAGCAAGAAGCUUUCACUAUUUCAGAAGCUCCUGUACAAAUUAAUAAGUUAUGCUCUUUGGAGACAAUCCUAAAUUCCAAGAGAAACAGAGCUCAAAAAAAUUUUGCAAUUAUGAGCAAAGGAAGUGAAGCACAGCAUUCUACCACACACAGGAAUUGUAUAACAUGAGAUCGAUAUAUCGAAUUGGAAGAACUCAAUUCUAAUUUGUGUCAAAAAUCAAAAUUAGAAGAUUUCAUAUUUCGACAGGAACAAGCAACAGGGGAGGUUCAAAAUUUCAGCCAUAACAUGCUAAAAUUGCUACAUUUAACGGUUUAUUUUCAUGGAUUUUCUCCGGAAACAAACAGAAAAUUACGGUUUAGAGAGCUGACUGACCCUUUGGCUUUUAGAAUUGAGAAGAUCGCGCGCCAAAUUGGAAGAGGGGAAGUGAAAGUGCGAGUUUUAAACUUUUAAUAUGGGUAUUAGAUAAGGAAAUUUCAUUAGGUUGCGAGGGUAAAAAAGGAAAGAGAUAUCAUUAUUUUAUUAUCGAUAAUUAUUAACUUUUUUUUCCCCAAAAAAAAGAACAAGCAAGGAUAUUUUAUUGUCAUUUGCAACCUUUAAUUUUUUUAAAUGCUAUUAGAAACACAAGACAACAAAGAAAUGCUUAUUUUUUCCAAAAAUUAAAAUCAAUUGUUUAACUUGUUAUUUCAUAAUCCAACUCCACCACUAAGUUAAAGAAAAUUGUUUUAAAAUUACUCGAGUCAUAUCCUAUGGACCAACAAAAUACUUAUUUUUGUUUUUAUUUAUUUUUGCAGGAAAUUAAUAACUUAAAAAUACUGAAAGCUAUUGUAAAAAUUUUUAUUGUUUUUAUUUUUACUGGAAAUUAAUAACUUAAAAAUAUUGAAAGCUAUUGUAAAAAUUUUUAUUAUCAACCUCAUAAUUUUUUUUUUUUUUGGGGGGAGGAGAAUUCAAACAUUUUUUUAAAAAAUUUCCAAGAAUUCUUGACACCCAUCUUAAUUAAAAGCUAUAUUUUUAUUCAAGAGUCAUGCUAUUCAUUCACUCACAGACCAAAGGCUUUCCGCAGCAAUAUUAUUAUUUAAAUUACAACAAAGGGGAAAUCGAAUACGUCAUACAGAAACUUAAAGCUCAAUCUACAAAAUCUAGAGCUCUGAGCUACAUAAAUUACACUUGAUGAUCCUCUACAAGAUGAAGCUUGUUCAAUAUCUCGUCCAAAGCUUGCAAAGUAACCUUGUAACGAUCUUGAGAUUGCCGGCCUUCCUCAACGACCUGCACGAUGCGUUUGUACAAUCAUCAUACCUGUGCACCGGAUUUUUAAUAUCAAUGGCACUGCAGCUGUGAUCAAGAACAUACGAGUGUUUAACAUCUUUUCUCCAUCGAGAAAGAAUGUAGUGAGAUGGGAUCUCCUGCAUGCCACUCUGGUUUAGAACACAAAGAAUGUGCCUGCAUAAAUAUCCCCUGAAAUUGAACAACCCACAAACACAAAGCACCUCCAAGUCGGAGGCAUUGUACAAAACAUCGAAAGCCCUUGAAUCCUUCUUGUUGCCACCAACCUCGAAUUCUUCCUUCACUAUGUAUGUUAUAGGUCCAUCAGAACUAAUAUGUUUUGUGCUAUAGCAAGAGUACAUAGCCUCCACCUCCGUCUGAAACUUCCUUAACAUUUCAUUUGUGUACAGUUUUGAGAGUUGAAAUUCAUAGUAACAUCUUGGUUUCCGGAUACAACUUGAAUUUCUUGAAUCCAUAUCUGCCAAGGCUUCCAGUUGAUAAUUCGCCUGCAGUGCUUGAUCAUACUUGUCUAAGAAUUCUUUCAAAGGAGUAUUCUUAUCAAGAUAUCCUUCAAAGUAUGAAGUAGAAACCUCAUUCUGCAGGAAUGAAAACACUCCUGAUAAAAAUGCUUCCUUCAAAUAAACAGGAGCCCACCCUUUACGAUCUUCAUAUAAAGUUUGAAUCCAUCCAUGAUCCUUCAUUCCAUGACGUUGAAUCGUGUCCUCCCAAGCUGUCUCAAAUUCCUCAGGCCUAAGAGAGUGAUAAAUUGCCCUAUGCAAUGCAGCUCUAAUAGCUUCAUAUUCAAAAUGUCCUUGGAGAUUCUCUGGAAUUUUUUGCGUGACACAUGACAAUGAAAAACAAUGAUAAGCUCUUGGGAAAACAUCGCCGACAGCAGUUUGCAAGAUUCUACAUUGGUCAGUGAUGAUUGUUUGUGGAAAGCGUCCUAACAUACAUGUAAGCCACACCCUAAACAACCAUGUAUAUGAUUCUAUAGUCUCACUGGCAAGUAAACCACAGCCCAACAGCACUGAUUGUCCAUGAUGAUUCACCCCAAUGAACGAAACCAGCGGUACAUCAUAUCUUUCUGCCAAGCAUGUAGUAUCAAUUAAGACUACAUCACCAAAGUACCUAUAGGCAACUCUUGACCUGGUAUCAGUCCAGAAGAGGUUUCUCAGGCAUACCUUUUCAUUUAGAUCCACCACAUUAAAAAAGUUUGGAUGUGUCAACUGCAAACGACAAAAGAAACUCUGGACAGCUUGUGCAUCUCCUGGUUUAAGCUUCAAUUGAUUUGAGCUAUUAACAUCAUUUCCAAAUACUCCAUUGGCAUCUACAUUACCAUUUCCCUCGGCAUCAAUGAUAAGAGUUCGAAACAGUAAUUUUUUGAACUUCUUGAGCACCAUCUAAGAGCAAUGUUCUUUUGGUUCCAAUACCCAUGUGCUUAUGAGACUUGUAAAACUUCCCGCUUCUUGGGCUUAACAAGUGGUUAUGCUCAAGCUCGACUUCAAUGAUUCUCCAUCUUUUGGUUUCCAUCAACCUAAACUUUAUCAUUGCUGGACAGCCAGUUCUUGUUUCUGGUCUUGGGUGGUUUGCCUCGCUUUUCUUCUUGAAGCCUGCAUUACUACAGCUGAGCUUUCCUCUAUACUUUUCUCUACUCUUUCGGUACCAUGUAUUGCUAACUCUAACACCAAAACCCUGUUCCUUGGCAUAGCAAUUAUAAAAGUAAUAUACGUCAUCAUACGUCUCAAACUCCAUUCCAACAGCAGGAGGCAAUGGAUUUUGGAUUAUCCCAGUUUGUCCAACAUAUUCAGUCAUCGCACAAUCUCCUACGACCUCAAAAUCAUCAGCUUCAUCAUCACCUACUGGUUUAGUAUUCAGAGAAACUUCAUCCACCUACAAUAGAUGUUUAAUGAAGUGCGCUUUAAGGAGAAAAAGCAAAAUCAGUUCAAGGAAUGAUAAUAUAGCCAUACAGUUACUUUCAUAAAGCUGCGUAUUUCAUCAAUACUUUAACAACAUACAACUGCCUGAGAACAUAUAGACAUGUCAUAGACGCUUGAAUUAAGUAUUGGUACAAAUUAGCACACAUCAUGUGGGACAAAAUUUCAGUCACUAAACCCAAUGCCCUUUUUUUUCACAUCAUACCAAGGAACGGAUUAAACCCAAUACCUUCUUUUACACCAUACCAAAGAACAGAUUAAAUCAUCAAUGAAAAUUAAUCACAUAAUAAUUUAACUAGACAAUUGAAGAGCUUGAAACAGCACAAAACUUGAAUCUGAUUAUGAUAAUUGUUGAGUCCUGGUAUCGACAGCUUUCCCUCAAUGAUAAGACAAUGAACAUAAACUUCACACAAAAAAAUUAUUUAAACUGACAGCCCAUGAUAUAAAUCAAUCAAAAUUAACUCCUUUUACAAAUUACAUCUUGUAUUCAUUUACAUCGAAACACAAAAAGGAAGCAGGAGCCAGAAAAAAACAACAGCAGAGAAACUUAUUUCCAUAAGGUUUACGAAAUAAGGAAUUUAUUAAGACACAAAAUUUGAGGUCACCAAUAAGAAUUUGGUUCUCAUUCUCUUUUUCUUCAUUUUUCACUUAUUGAUGGAGUUAGCGUACAAUCCUAAAUGAUAAAACCCCAUCUCCAUCUUUUUCAACUAGAGCUAAAGCAAAGCUUUUUAAGAUGUUUUUCCCUAAAAAACUCAAUCGUACAAUGUUUUUCAAUAUUAAAUACACAACUCAAUCUUCUCCUAACUAACUCUAAUAAUCUCUUAACUAAGGAAGAUUAAGCUCCACUUGUAAGCUAAAACAAGUUUCUUAAAUCAAGCCCCAAUGCUCUAUACUAUUCAACAAGGCCUCAUAAAUGAUAAAACUACCUCUACAAAGAUACCCAUUUUAAUUUCGCAAACUAAAAUCAAACUCCUGAAACGUAACGAGCAUUAAAACAAACAAGUCCGAACAAGAACUGAAAAAUGAUACGUAAACCCGUUUCGACAAACAGUUUCCAAUCAAUGAGCAAAAAAGUUAAUGGAAAACAUGAAAUUCAAACGAAACAUACCUUAGGUUGAUAAAUUAGUAGGGCAAAAGAAAUUUUAGCGAGAUAUGGGAUCAGGGAUUUUGCCACGGUGAUGUUAAUUGCGACAUUCGGGUGGCUCAGCAGCCUUCGAGGCUGAAACUUUGAUUGACCAAAAGCUUCCCGUUCGUUGAUUCUCUAAUUGCAGAAACGAAACUGGCAGUGUACAGAAGAAGUACGCUGAUUUGAUAAUUCUGUGAAAAUCAUUGUUUUUUUUUCAGAUUUUUAAUGUGUUCGAUAAAAUAUCAAAAUCUCAAAAACUUUUGUCUUUCAUUUUGGGGGGGAAAAACCCAUUGAGAUCCUUAUUUUUUUUUCUUAUAUAAUCUGGGUUAAUAAUUUGCAAAGUCUAUUACUUUGCACCCAUGCAUGCUGCGUUUCAAUUUACAAAAUUGUACGUGAGUGCAUCGAGCUAAAAUUUGUAAAAAGAAAAUAAUAAUAACAUGUUAAAAAUGUGAUUAUUAUGAAGAAAUUUUAAUUUAGUUAAAUAGGUGACGAUGGAUAGGUAUAAAAUCUGAGAUCUUUUAUGAGAUUAAUAAAUAUGUUGAGUUUGGAUUAGUUCAAUUUUGCAUAAUACAGAAUAAACACAACCUACUAAUCUAAGUUACCAUCUUUUCCCGUCAUCAGUAGGGAUGGCAAUGGGCACCGCCCGCAGCGGGUUUGCCAUUACCAAAUUCAAACCCGCACAAAAUUUAAAUUACCAAACCCACCCGCAACCCGCAGCGGGUUUUAAUUUUUUUAUAAAAACCCACCCGCAGCGGGUUUUAACAAUUACCAAACCCGCAAUGGUAUCCGGCGGAUUUUUUGCGGGUUUCCGUAUUUAAAAUCACAAAUGUUUAAUAUAUAAAUUUAUAAUAAUAACCUCAAAUUCCAUAUAACAUACUCAAUUUUAUAUUUAAAUAAUGUAAAUGAAAAAUUAAAAUUUCCACAUCAAUUCAACACAAAUUCUCAAAUUUAAGUAUAAAUUACACAAAUCCAUUUAAAAAACACAAACUAGUAUCUAAAAAUAAUAAUUACAUUUCAUAUUAUCAUUUAAAACAAGCUCCAAGAGAAGAUAUUCAUUUCAUUCACCACCAUAAGCACCCAUCCAACACAAUGCCUAUAAUAAUAAUUAAGAUUAAUAUUUUCAAAUACUAAUUCGAAGGAAAAUGCCUCUAGUUUUCUUUAGAUUAUGACUUUAGAAUAGGAGAUAGGUCACAUACACACAUACACAACUUUGAGCCUUUGGCUAUUUGGUAAUUUGAUUAAUGACAUUAUUUUCUUUAUACAUUUUUAGAUUAAAAUUAAAUUAAAAAUAUUUGGAAAAAAUAUUGCGGGUUUGGUGGAUAUCCAUGCGGGUAUCCACCGGAUAUAAGGUUAAUACCAAACCCACCCGCAUCCAUGUGCGGGUUUUAAUUUAUAAUACUAAAUCCGCCCGCAACGGGCGGGUUUUGGCGGGUGGGUUUGGGCGGGUUUGCGGGUUUGCGGGUACAAUUGCCAUCCCUAGUCAUCAGGUACCUGUUUGAAAAAUAAUUAUAUACAAUUUUAUUUGCGUCUUCUCUCUAAAAAUUUGGGACUCAAAUGUUAUUUCUAAUUGUUAAAAUUACAAAAAUGCCACCUUUCUCUUCAGCUAAAGGAGUGCAAGGUCAUCUGUAUAAUUGAAUCUGCAUCAUCAACAUCAAUUUCUAUUGCCGGUGUUACUGCAUGCUUACAGUUGCUUGACAAAGUGAGCCAGUUUUUUGUUUAUUAAUUUUUUUUCUUGUCGAGACAGUCACAAAGUAUUACUUGUUCCAUAUGAGAAUGAUGUGAAUCAAUUUUUCAAUUAUACAUUCUGUGGUAAUUAUUGUGAAUUUAGUUUCAUUUGUCUUGUCUCCCGCAAAUUAUGAAGAAAAUGCAGACAUACAAACUUACAAUAUGUAUUUGCGUUAGUAUAAAAACAAUUGUUAGAUGAUUAAAGCGAUUUUUUUUUUUACAGCAUUUGAUUGUAUUAGUUAAAAUCAUUUUUUAAGGAUAAAAAUAAGUAGAAAAUUAUUCUCAUGUAGUGUGGAAAUCUUUUCUAAUUUCUUGUUGACUUGUACAUUUAUUUCAGAAUUUCCAUUCAUUAGUUCUACUGUUUUAAUCUUUGACUUAGCUACCGUAGUUGACUUUUUAUAUCAAAGGCUUAAACAGCAUGCAUUUUUGAAUUGACUGAGAAUAAUUUGGUGGACAAAUUACUCUUUAAAUGGCUUAAAGAGUAAUUUAAAUGGCUUAAACAGCAUGCAUUUUCAUGCCCAAGUCACUCGUCACGUCCUUUCAUCGAAACAAAGUGCCCGGUGCAAAUGGUGUGAUGUAAAACACUUUUUUAAAUUGUCAUUUUUUUCCUUUGCUUUUGCUUUAAGUUUCUAAAUGCUCAACGCCAUAAAUCCAUGCAUUCUUAAUUUUCGUUUGCUGUAUUGAUUCCCAACCCUCUAUGUCACAAGGUUUUGAAUGCCAGUAAUUAAGUUAAAUUAAACAUAUUUUAAGUCCUACUUUAAAUUAUUGAAAAAUGUAUUAUGGUUGAACUGAAUUUUAACUAAAAAAUAUAUACAAAAUAAAAGAUUAAUCAUAUCUUUUUAUGAGGAAGGUUCUGACCACAGCCACUUAAAAUUAAUUGAGUGGAAUAUUGCAAAAUAUAUAUAAACCAUGCCAAAACUAGAUGUUUGAGUAAUGAAAACGAGAAUUCAUAUGACUCAGAAAUAUGGUUGCUUUCCUUUUUCUGAAAGGAAAAAAAAAAGGGGGACCAAAAAGGACCAAAAUGAACAAAAAUGGAAGGCGAAGGUAAGCAGACAUGUUAUUUGUUUUACCUAAGAUGCCAGAUGCAACUCCCCAUUGAUGGUGAUCGAACAUUAUGGCCAUUUUCUUAGUAAACAAAAAAUGAAUUUUGAACACUCAACAACGAAAUUUGAGCAGAAGAUCAAGCAAGGGCCUCGAUCUCAAAGAAGAUACUAUGAAACCCUACUUAAUGGUUAAAUAACUGAUACACCUCUCUGCAACCAAGGCUGUAUCGAUAAAUUGGCACUCUUCGAGUGAGGGCUGACUCCAAAAGAAAUUCACAAAGAUGAGCAAGAGUGGGGAGAGAGAUGGAGAGUGAGAGAAGAAUAGAGAAAAGUUAAAAAGAAAUGAUUCAUUCUGGAUUCCUUUUGCACGAAUUAGUUAUGCUAUACAUAUACUCCUCUGUCUUUUGGCCUUUAAAAGAAUACAGCUCAGCAUAACUUUGUAACAGAAAAUAUGACAGCAACAUAAACCAGCAAAAUAUAAAGCUCUAUCAAUUUCACUAUACGACAUAAUCUUUAAACCACACAGGGGGUCUUCUCACUCUUGUGCCGGUAUACCCUUCCUCACGAGCUACUUCUACUUCAACUUGUGAUGAGGCUUCCUUCAUGGGCUGCACACAAUUAGACUCAUCGAUGAGCUGCCCUUCUCGUAAAUAAUCCGGUUGAUCCAGCUGAAUGUGGAAGGUUGUAUCAUCCCCUCCAGCUUCAAAAUUCACCUUGUCCUCAAGGUGAAAAUCGGGAUAAAGUUUACAGAAGGUGUCGAACUCUUCCCAAGUAGAAUCUUCAGGCGAACUGGCCAGCCAUUGAACCAGAAUUUGGCGACAUCUCAUUCCUUGUUUAAGCACGGUUCUAAUAGCGCAAACUGCAGCAGGGAGAUAUAAUGGCUGAUUGUCCACACUAGUUAAUGGCAAGGAAUGGUGAUCAGGUGUAUGAGAACCAAGAAAGGGUUUGAGAAGUGAAAUGUGAAACACUGGAUGGAUCUUGGAACCACUGGGCAAGGCAAGCUUAUAAGCUACAGGGCCAACUCGAGCGAGUACAGGAAAGGGGCCAUAAUACCGUUUAGCUAGCUUUUGACAAGAACGAGAUGCCACUGUAUUUUGGCGGUAUGGCUGAAUCCUCACUAGAACCUGGUCCCCAACAGCAAACUGAGCUUCGCGUCUAUGUGCAUUAACCUUUUGAAUCAUGCGAUGUUGAGCUUGACGCAAAUUCUCUUUCAAGGUACGAAGUAAUGCAUCCCGUUCACUUAAUGCUUCAUCAAGAGCUUGGAUUGAAGUAGAGCCCUUCGAGUAAGGAGGAAUUGCUAGAGGUGGUCGCCCAAAAAGAGCUUGAAAAGGAGACAUUUUGAUGCUGCUGUGAUAAGUAGAAUUGUAGGAAAACUCAGCCCACCCAAGUAGAGAUACCCAUGAGUGUGGUUUGUCUUGGGUGAAAGUGCGAAGAUAUUGCUCCAAGCCGCGAUUGACAACCUCCGAUUGCCCAUCUGUUUGUGGGUGAUAGGCUGUACUGUGUCGAAGGGUAGUGCCACUUAACUCAAAUAACUUCUUCCAAAAAUUGCUCAAGAACACAGGGUCGCGAUCAGAAAUAAUAGAAGUCGAAAACCCAUGAAGCUUUAUUACCAUAUCCACGAAUAAUUUGGCAGUCUUCACUGCUGUAAAUUGAGUGGGAAGGGAUCCGAAGUGUGCUGAUUUCGUAAGGUGAUCAACCACUACUAAUAUCACCGUGAAACCUCGCGAAACUGGAAGGCCAGUAAUGAAAUCCAUAGUGAGUUCGUCCCAAACUAAAGUGGGGAUAGGAAGCGGCUGCAGUGGACCUGCUGGUGCUUGAGUAGAAUAUUUAGUCUGUUGGCACACAAGGCAUUCGGCCACGAAUCGCUCAACGUCCAUACGCAUUUUAGGCCAAAAAAAAUUAGAUGCCAAGCGGACCAGCGUGCGUUUGAUGCCUACAUGCCCUGCAAGUGGAGUAGAGUGGAAUUCAGCCAAUAGAACUGCUUUCAAGGAUGAUGAUGGGCUGAUAUAGUAACGAUUGCGAUAAAAAAGGACCCCAUUAUGCAGCGAAUAAUCCCGUGAAAGAGACCCCACAGCAAACUGCUGAUGAAGAUCAAUCAUUUCCGGAAGUGUGGAAUUCUCUAGUGUUAGAGUUGCUAACAACUCAAACGACGGGCGACUAAGGAGGGGCAAACAAGAAGCAGUCACUGUUGGUGUUACCUCACCAGCCUCGUCAUGAAUUCGUGAUAAGGCGUCGGCUGCAAGAUUGGUACAGCCCGGUUUAUACUCAAUGCGGAAGUGAUAGCCUAGUAAUUUUCUGAUGUAGACUUGCUGAUCCGGAGUUUGAACUACCUGCUGGAGAAGUUCCUUAAUGCUCUUAUGGUCAGUUCGGAUUACAAAAAAUCUACCCAAUAAGUAUUGUCGCCAUUUAUGCACCGCUUCAACAAUAGCGGUUAAUUCCUUGAUGUAGGUAAAAGAAGCCCGAAGUCGAGGACCUAAUUUCUUACUGAAAUAAGAUAUGGGGUGCCCCAAUUGCAUAAGCACAGCCCCGAUACCCACAUUAGAGGCGUCAGUCUCAAGAAUGAAGUCGGAGUCAAAAUCUAGUAGCCGUAACACAGGGGCUUCCACCAUUGCUCUCUUAAGAGCUUCAAAUGCGUCAGCUGCUGCUGGUGUCCACUGGAAGGCAUCUUUACAAAGCAAAUCAGUAAGUGGGGCUGCUAAAGACGCAUAUCUGCGAAUAAACCGCCGAUAAUAACCCGUCAAACCCAAAAAACCUCGAAGUUUUUUAGUAGUAUGAGGAGUUGGCCAACAAACCAUAGCUGCAAUUUUCUGAGGAUCGGCUCACACACCAAAGGCCGAAACAAUGUGGCCCAGGUAAUCGAUAGCGUCUUGGCAAAACAAGCAUUUGGAUAGCUUGACAAAGAACUGGUGAAAAUGAAGGCACCACAAGACUUGCUGAAGGUGACGCAAAUGUUCCUCUGCUGUAGCACUAUAAACCAAAAUGUCAUAAAAAAAAAUAAUCACAAAUUUACGCAAAAAGAAAGCGAAAAUCUGGUUCAUAGUAGCUUGGAAGGUAGAAGGCGCGUUUGUUAACCCAAACGGCAUGACGAGGAACUCGUAAUGGCCCUCAUGAGUGCGAAAAGCCGUUUUAUAAAUGUCUCGGUGGUGCACGCGAAUCUAAUGGUAACCAGCCCGUAAAUCCAACUUGCUAAAGAUUGCUGCCCCGCCUAAUUCAUCGAAUAAUUCGUCGAUAGUUGGAAUGGGGAAUUUAUCUUUAAUGGUGGCGGCAUUCAAAGCCCUGUAAUCAACACAGAAACGAUAGGUCCCAUCUUUUUUUUUUUACCAACAAGACCGGUGACGAAAAUGGACUUUGACUCGGUUGAAUGAUGCCUUGUUCUAACAUUUCACGGAUUAGUUCUUCCAUCUCAUUUUUUUUGGAAAUGGGGGUGGCGAUAUGGGCGCACAUUUAUGGGAGUAGUGUUGGGGAGGAGGUGGAUUCUGUGAUCAAUUGUGCGAUGUGGCGGCAGGGUAGUAGGUGGAAGAAAUAAGUUGCGGUAAGUGUGUAGAAGAUCAACAAAUGGUGUGGUUAAAUGUGGAGGUAAUUCGAAGGAAGAACUCUCGGGAUUGCUUUCCGAUUCCUCCCCGGGUAUAGGUACCUGUUGCAGAGCAUACAAACUAUAAAUAUCAGCACUGUGGACUAGAGAUUGCAACUGAUGAAAGGUGAUUAGGGAGGGAGUAAUGGAUAGUUCGCCGCGAAGAGUCACUGGUGCCCAACAAAAUUCCAUAGAGAGGGCAGAGUAAUCAUGAGAGACACGACCCAAGAGUUGCAGCCAUUGUAUUCCCAACACCACAUCAGGCCCCUCAAUGGGCAGAACAAAGAGGUCCAAAGUGAAGAUUGUUCCCUGCAUCGUGAGAGCAACUUGAGGGCAAACAUAUUUGCACACUAGAAAAUCCCCAUUGCCAAUAUAAACACGGAAAUUUGUUGUUGGUUGUAUCGGUAAGCCCAAACACUCUGCCACUGCUGGUUUGAUAAAGUUGUGGGUACUUCCGCUAUCGAUCAAUACUUGAAAGCUGUGAGAACCAACUUUGCCAACCAAACGGAGUGAGCGGGGAUUGAUUUGACCCGCCAAAGCAUUCAAACUAGAAAUAUCCCCUGUUAUGACCUCUUCGACAGGAUCCAGUGGCAACUCUUGUUCACAAGAAGCAAGUUCAUUAUCAUCAGUACCCAUGAGAAGCAAAAACUUACUGCGACAGCGAUGAUUAGCACUAUAUUUUUUAUCGCAGUUAUAACACAAUCCCUUCUCACGCUUGUCACGUAGCUCUGCUGGAGUAAGGCGGCGAAUCGUUAAGUUGGGUGUGGGUAGAAGUGGUGGUAAUGUGUUUGGUUUCGGGGGUGGGGAAGUAUUGUGGGAGUGAGAUAUGGUUUGGGCCAUACCAGUGGAAUGGUGCGGCUGGGUUGAAGCAAUGGGAUAUGUGUUAAGCUGAAAUUUGGGUGACGGGAAGGUUGUGGUAUGAGUAGGUGACAUGGUGUUCCAUUUUGGUAAAAAACGGUGUCCUUGUUUGGCUUCCUCAGCAUGGGCUUCAUAGGCACGAGCUAGUGCAAAUGCUUCCAUUAGAGAAGAAGGCCGAGCAAAAAGCAGCUCACGACGAAUAUCGGAUUUCAAUCCCGUGAUAAAAAAACUUAUCAGAAGCGGUUCUGAAAUUCCAGUCACGUGAUUCAUUAAAUCUUCAAAAGAGGUCUGAAAUUCUGCCACUGUUGUAGUUUGGGAUAACUUAGACAAAUUUCCUUGAGGAUCUUCAUAGAGGGAGGCACCAAAACGAUGUUUAAGGUUCUGCAAAAAUUCUUUCCAUGUUGUAAGCAAGCUGUUCAUUUUCAUCCAUUGAUACCACGCUGCCGCGCGUCCUUCCAUAUGAAAAGAAACAAUUCGCAAACGAAGAGUUUUUGGUGUACCGUGGAAAUCAAAGAACUCCUCAAUUCGAAAAACCCACCCGUUUGGGUCAGAUCCAUCAAACUUAGGAACCUCCAUCUUCAUAGAACGGAGCACAGGGGACAGCUCAAUACCACUGGAAUUUACCUCAGUCGAAGAAGAGGUUAGGUGUGGUGGAUUAGGAACCCGACCCGAGUGAUUGGAAGACUCAUGGAUCUGUGAACGCAAAUCAUCAAGGCGAGAAUCCACCGUGGCCAUAUACUGUUGCAGCGUUUGAUGUAAGGACAAUGUUUGGCUCUCGAACUGUUCUUGGAUCGUCUUUAAAAGGUCAGAAUCCGUCAUAACGAUAGCAAUGAAAGCACCACUGAUACACCUCUCUGCAACCAAGGCUGUAUCGAUAAAUUGGCACUCUUAGAGUGAGGGCUGACUCCAAAAGAAAUUCACAAAGAUGAGCAAGAGUGGGGAGAGAGAUGGAGAGUGAGGGAAGAAUAGAGAAAAGUUAAAAAAAAAUGAUUCAUUCUGGAUUCCUUUUGCACGAAUUAGUUAUGCUAUACAUAUACUCCUCUGUCUUUUGGCCUUUAAAAGAAUACAGCUCAGCAUAACUUUGUAACAGAAAAUAUGACAGCAACAUAAACCAGUAAAAUAUAAAGCUCUAUCAAUUUCACUAUAUGACAUAAUCUUUAAACCACCCAGGGGGUCUUCUCACUCUUGUAUCGGUAUACCCUUCCUCACGAGCUACUUCGACUUCAACUUGUGAUGAGGCUUCCUUCAUGGGCUGCACACAAUUAGACUCAUCGAUGGGCUGCCCUUCUCGUAAAUAAUCCGGUUGAUCCAGCUGAAUGUGGAAGGUUGUAUCAAUAACUUUCAUUCAGCUUUGGACCUUAUUUCGUGAUACGGAAAGACAAACCUUUCUUGGCCAGCAGUGUCCCAAAUCUGAGCUUUGAUGAUGAUCUUGCCGUUGAUGGUGACAGUUCUGGUUUGGAACUCGACGCCAAUGGUUUAUUUCGAUUCAAAGCAAAACUCAUUCUUGGUGAAUCUCGAAAGAAUCUGAGACUUGCCCACGGCCGAGUCACCGAUCACCACUACCUUGAAUACAAAGUCUAUUUUGUCAGGAAUCAUAUUCUCUCGUUGUUGAUGACGAUGAUCGGUGCCAUCACCACUCAUUUCUUCGUUCAUUCAUUCUAUGUCCAUUGAUCUUUUUGAAUUAUUGAAGACAAGUGGCUCACCGCUUUUAGUAUUGGUAAAAUUCAGAUAAUCUCUAUUCCGAAAUAAUAAUAUUCAAAAUAUAUCUUAAAUCAUUAUAAACCUCAAAUCUAUUUUAAUUUUAUUUAAAAGAUAAAAGAAAAAUAGGUUAUGUUGGUGAUUUUUUAUUAUCUUUUUAAUAAAAAUGGAAUAAAUUGAUGUUUAUAAUUAUUUAAAGUAUUUUAAAGAUUGCUAUUUUAUGAGAGAAUAAUAUUUCACUUUUUUUUAGUGUGAAAGACCGAAAAAGGACAAAGCAAGUUUCCCUAAUUUUUAUUUUAUUUGAAAUUGGUCAUCUCAUAUACUUCACCCUUCAACACUAUAAUUUUUUUUGUUAUAAUUUUAUUAUUUUUUUCUCUUUUACACAUGCAUGUGAAUUACUUUUCUUUAAGCUCCUGAAUAUUUAAGACAAAUCAUGGAAGAGAUGAGAGUAUAACAAGAUGAUCAAAAUAUGUAACAAAAAAAUUUUAGAAGUGAAAAAUAUGUUAGAGUCGAAGUAAAACUCUGAGGUGAUGUUUGAUUUGAAGAAAAUGGAGGAGAGGAAAAGAGUGAAAUGGAGAGUAAAAGAGAGAAAAGGAGAGGAGAGGAGAGUGAAAUUUUUUUCUAAUGUUUGGUUUGUCACAUAAUUAUACAAAGAAAGGAAAUCUCUAAUUUUUUAUUUAGACAAUUUUAACCUUAAUAAGUAUUAAGCUUUCAAUAUUUAUCAUGUGUAUAAUUUAAAAAAAGUAAAUGGUAGAAAGCGGUUUCUGAUUCCGGCCACAUCGCCGGCAAUGGAAGGUACUUAUCAGAACAUCAAGAGCCGGCCAUCAUUCCCUAGCCAUCACUGCUGUCGGAACACUGCCAGAAAGCUACCGAUUGAACCGCGAAAAGUUGUGGAAAUCGCUGCCUCAAAUCGGUGAGUUUCGCCUUUUUCUGGUCACGUCGUCGCCUUGGCUUUGUCCAUCAAGGCUGCCACUUCCAUUUUCAACCAUCCAUAGCCACUAUUAACCGCCAAAUCACCGCCGAUCAGCGGGAUCUGUGGAAGUUAAAAAGUUUCUAAAAUUUUUUAAUUGGAUUUGAACAACAUACAACCAUUUUUUGAUCUUGAUAACGAUGUAGUAAUGUUGAUCGUUGGUCGGCAAGUCGAAUGGUAGUGGCAGUGAGUAACACGCGCCAAUGACAUCGGCGGCGGCGGCGGCACUAUCCGGCAACUGUUAAAAUUAAUAUUUUAUAUUUGUAGAUUAAAUAAAUUUAUUUUAUUAAACUUUUUAAAUCAUUAUUUAAAUUUAAUUAAUUUAAAUUAUCUAUAAUGUUGAAUUGAUAAAAUAAAUUUAUAAAUAGUAAUUAUGUGAUUACAUUAAAUAAGUUAAAAAGUUGAAGGGUUAUUUUUGGAAGAUUUAGUUUCCAACACAAAGGGAAUUUGAAUUCUUCACUUCUUAGUGUGGAAUUCAAAUUCUAUAUUGUAAUGGAUAUUAAAUUCCAAUAGAAAUUAAAUUCUUAUAAGUUAUGUCAAACCAAACAACGGAAAUAAAAAAAAAAGAAUUUAAAUUAUUUUCCUUUCCUCCACCCUCUCCUUCCAACCAAAUACAUCCUGAAAAUAGAGAUAUUGAUUAAUUUAGAAGAGAUGCAAGCAAAAGAUAUUCCACAAAAAAAAAAAAGCAAUAUGUCCCUUUGGAGGGCAAACUUGUCAGUUUUAAAAAAGUACAUGCUUUGGAUUGAUAGUUGUAGGAUAUUUGUUUUGUCACUAUGUAUUAGUUGGAGAAGUCAAGCCUUGUGAAGAAUGUUAUGAAAGAGCAAAGGAUAUUCCUGAUAGCUGAUAGAGCUCUAUUUGAUUAUGUAUCCAGUGAAUGGAUGUGUUGUUGGAAGAUAUUUGAGUGCAUUAGUUCAUAUGUGUCUGUCAAUGUGAUUUUAAUGAUUUUUCCACUUGUUUGUUGUAAAAGAUUAUUGUAAAUUGAAAUGAACUUGAUGUUGUAAUAUUUUCUCCUUAGUAGAAUUUCACCUAGUAUGUAUUCAGUUGUGUUGUCUAUAAUUUUGCAUUUGAAUAAGUUUCACCUAAAAUAUUAGCAUGAGUAGUGGCCCUUGAAACUUUGGUCAAAAUUAUUGUUAUUAUUUCCGACUAGAUGUAAAUUUUUUAUUAAAUCUCGUUAACACAAUUCUUAAUUAAAAGUAUAGGUUAGUGUUGGUGCAAGAUUUGCCACACCAAAUUCUGCCUAGCUGUCAAAAGUGCAAAACAAAUGAAGAGAAAGCACAAAUACAAGACUUGAAUAAGGAUACAACGAAACUUAAAUUCAAGAGAAAAUGAUAGCUAUAUCUCAAGAUUUGAAAAAAUGGCCAUGUAGAUUUUUAAGAUUUCAAUAAGCGACUGAGAUUCAAAUAAUAUCCUUUAAUUCUAUUAACAAAAAACAAAGACUCAAAUAUUUUAUGAUAAAUAAAAAUAUAAUAUUAAAAUAUAUGUGAUAAUAUACACAUUUUAAAUACUUUCAAUCCAAAAAAAUAGUUAUGUUUUACAAUCUAUUAGACAUAUUUUAUUAAAUUAAUAUAAAUUUUCUAUAAAAUAAGAAUAUAAUAUUAAAAUAAAUUUACAAAAAUUUAAAGAAUUUUGAAUGUAAAAUAAUUUUAAUAUAUUAAUACGUGAGUUUUUUUAUUAAUAUAAAAAUUAUUUAACUUUAAGAUUUUUAAAAUCUUUACAAUAAGUAUAACUAUAUUAUUUACAUUUAAAAAUAUUUAAAUAUUAUUAACCUACAAUUAUAUUUGCAUUUGUUAGAAAUUUUUUAAGUCAAAUAUUUUGCACUUCUAUAUUAUUAGAAUUAUUGCACACAAAGAAAGAAACAUAUACCUUUAGAAAUUGUUUUAUUUUAAAAUAGAGAUGAUGAUUAGUAUAAGGAUGAAAAAAAGGAUAAAGAAUAUUAAUGAUUAACGAAAUCUCUAUACAAAUUGAUUUUAGUAGGAAAAGAAUGAGAUGAAUGAAUUCUUUUACAGUUAGAAACAUAGAUGAUGAUUAUUAUAACGAAGAAAAAAGAUAAAGAAUAUUAAUUAUUAAUGGAAUCUCUAUGCAAAUUGAUUUUAGUAGGAAAAAAAUGAGUUAAAUGAUUUAGAGUGCGUUUGGAAUUGAGAUUGGGCAGCCAUAGAUUUUAAGUUACAACACUGAAGUGUUUGGUAAAUACUAGCUGCUGCAGAUUGAAAGUUAUGUUGAUAUGAUUUUUCACAUGUAUCAUAGAAAAUAUAUUACAUCUUUAAUAAUUUUUUUAAAAUUUAUAUUUGCUAUAUAUUAUUAAUUUUUUUAUAGUUAUAAUUUUUUUUCCACAGCAGCUGUAGCUUAAAAGUCACAGCACCUCAAUCUCAAACAAAUCCUUAGACAUUCAUAGUGUGUUUAUUUUUUGGAUUGGUGAAUCAAAAUUAUUGACAACGCUAACUUCAUCUUCAUUGUUCGCAAUCCAACAGCAGCAAUUGUCACAAAUAAUGAUAUCUCCAAUGAUGAUGACAAUUAUUAUUAUUAUUAUUAUUAUUAUUAUUAUUAUUAUUAUUAUUAUUAUUAUUAUUAUUAUUAUUAUUAUUAUUAUUAUUUAUUAAUUAAUUAAUUAAUAUAUUAAUGUUAAUAUUAUUAUUAUUAUUAAGAUUAACAAUAAUUAUUAGUAAUACAAUUUUUUGAAUAAAAAUAAUCACAAUAAUUAAAAUACAAAUGAAUAAUUAUGACAAUAGUUAAUUAAUAUCUUUUUAGUAAUUUGUAAUAAUCUAACUCAUUUUGAUUCUGAUUAUUAUAGUUUAAGUAAAUAAAUUAUUAUGAUUUUUAUUCUCCUUUCCCAUUUUAACUCACUUCGAUUCCAGUCUAUUCCGAUUUCUAUCUAAUAAAUGCACCAUUAGUGCUAAAGUAAUAUUUCAUACAUAGAAAAAUAAAAACUACACCUAAGGUUAAGGGAAAGGACUUCAAAACUCUCUUUUGAUCAUAAUACAUUUUGUCCUAAUUAACUUAAAGAUUUUGAAUCUAAUAUUUUAUAAUAAAUAAAAAUAUAUUCCUAAAAUAAAUAUAAUAUCAAUAUUUAAAAUAUGUUUUAAUAUUUUACAAUCUAUCAUACACAUUUUAUUAUAUUAAAGUAGAUUUUAUAAUAAAUAUAUAAAAAAUUUAGAAAAUUUAGAAUAUUAUAUAAAAUAAUUUUAAUAUAAUGCGUGAGAUAUAUUUUAUUAAUUUAAAAUGUUAUUUUACCUAAAAAAUAUGAUAAAUUAAUAAUUACAUAUUUGAAGCUAUUUCAAAUAUUAAAAAAAUUUAAUAUUAUUAAUCUUUUAGAUAGAUUAAAUUAUUUUUUAUAAGAGAGAUUAAAUUAUUUUAAAAUGCCUUAAUUGUUUUUACUUUUAACGUUACCGGCCUUUCUUUUAUUUUAUUGCAAAUUAAUGCUAACAAGAAAAAGCUAGAUCAUAUUCCACAAAAGUAAAAGUGACAAACACAACCAGCUGGAAUCUUUUAUAAAACUACAAAUUAAAAUGGAUUUUUUUUUUGUUGAUAAAGUACACGUGAAAGUGGAUUCUUUUAUUUUUUUUUAAUGUGUAGACUCUUUUAUUGAGCACAAAUAUAGAGUAGUCGAGACGAUUAGGGUCUUUUAUUAAACUACAAAUUGUAUAGUCUUUUUCAAAUUGUUCAGAUAUUUCUAAAUUGGUGGCCCCUACAAUCCUCGAUAAUUGUACCGAUAUUCACAAGUUGGUGGCCCCUACAAUUAUCAACUGUGCAAGUGCUCAUUCACAAUCUUCCAGGUCAUGCUCUUAAUAAUUGUUUUUUUUUUUUCCUGCAUUCCCUUUCAUGCUCUUAAUAAUUGAAGAGCAUACUUUUCAAAUGUGGAGCCGCGGCUAAUGUCGCUAAUUUAAUUUGGGAUUAAAUCAAGGGACCAUUAUAUUGCAGUGUGCAUUAAUUUUUGUGUUUAUCUAAACUCCUUAAAUUUAAGACAUAUUAUGGCAUAAAUAAGAAUAUAACAAUAGCAAAAGAGUUAGAAAGUGUAGAGAAGAUCUUGCAGAAAUAUAAAUAAUAUCUAUUUUUAAAAUAAUAUCAAUUUUUAAAAUAAUUUUUAAUAUUUUAUGAUCCAUUAGGUAUAUUUUAUUAUAUUAAAGUAAAUUUUAUAAUAAAUAAAAAUAUUCUUAAUUAUGUAAAUCAUAAUUUUUUUAUUAAUUUUAAUUUAAAUUAUGUGAAUAAAAAUUAUUAAUAAUAGCAACACAAAUGAAACAUUAUUAUUAAUAAUAUAGUACAAAAUUAAUAUUUUUUUACAAUAAAAUAUUUAUUAUUAUUAAUUAAAUAAAUAAUUAAUAUUUAUUAAAAUUAAUGUUUAAUAUUAUUAAUUUAAAUAUAAUAUUUAUUUAUUUUUAUUUUAUUAAAUUUAAUAAAAUAAAUAUGUUAUAAUUAUUAUUUUUAAUAAAUAUGAUAUUAUUUAUUUUAUUAAAUAUUAUUUAUUUAUUUUAAUUAUGAGGGUAAAAAGGAAAGAGGGGGGAGUGGAUUUCCACUCCCACCUCCUCCCAUGGGAGUGAGAAUCCCACUCCCCACUCCAAAAUUAGGUGGGAUCCAUGGAGUGGGAAUCCCACUCUCUCCUUAAAAAUGGUAAGUAAACACUAGAAUGUGAGGAAUCCACAUUUUACACUUUCAUUCCAAAAAAUAAACACUACCUAACUAGUUUUUAUUAAAGGCAAGUACAAACUAGUCAAGAAUCGAAUAGUCUUUUUCAAAUUCUUGUUUUAUUAUUUUUCAAAAUUAGUUUUUAGUAAUUACAAUCGGGUCAUUCAUUAAUCAUUAUUCAGAAGUUAGUGUGGGUAAAGGAUAAUUACUAACUGUUUUUCCUUCAAAAGUUAGUGUGGCUCAUGUUUGCAGGUGCGAAUGUGCGAUGCUCUCUUUUUAAAGGCAAUUACAGUGGGUCCCGAAUCAUUACUAAAAUUUGUCUUCCACAGCCCACCGCAGCUUCAGUUAAUCAAACUCCAUCAAUUUUCUUUCUUAACAAAAUUCUAAAGAUGUGUAGCAUUUUUCAGAUCACAUGCGAUGGUGCUUUUUUCAAUCGUUGCUUGGAUUGCUUUCUUGGAAAAGCAGCAUACAUACGUAACCUCCAAGAUAAUCUUGUAGCCUUGCAGACUGAAUUGGGAAAUCUGAUCGCUAAAAAGAACGAUGUGAUGAGGAGGGUUGACAAUGCUGAACGGCAACAAAUGAUAAGGCUGGAAGGAGUGCAAGUGUGGGUUUCGAGAGUAGAAGCUGUUAAAACUGAAGCUGAUCAAUUUAUAAGAGACGGCUCUCGAGAAAUUGAAAAAUUAUGUGUUGGAGGCUACUGUUCCAAGAAUUGCAUGUCAAGCUACAAGUUCGGGAAAAAAGUGGCUAAAAAGCUACGGGAUGUGCGGACUUUAAUCAGUGAAGGAGUUUUUGAGGUGGUGGCUGACAGAGCUCCAGAGUCUGUAGCAGAUGAAAGACCUACUGAGCGAACAGUAGUAGGCUUGCAAUCACAACUUGAACAAGUCUGGAGAUGUCUUGUAGAAGAAUCAGCGGGAAUCAUUGGCCUAUAUGGUAUGGGCGGUGUUGGUAAAACUACACUACUGACCCAUAUCAACAAUAAAUUUCUCGAGAGUCCAACCAACUUUGAUUGUGUGAUUUGGGUUGUAGUUUCAAAAGACCUGCGACUCGAAAAAAUUCAAGAAGAUAUUGGGAAAAAGAUAGGUUUGGUUGGUGAUUCAUGGAAGAGUAAAAGUGUAGAGGAGAAAGCUGUCGACAUCUUCCGGAGUUUAAGAGAGAAGCGAUUUGUAUUGUUGUUAGAUGAUAUAUGGGAGCGGGUUGAUUUAACAAAGGUGGGCGUUACACUUCCCAGACCAAAAAAUACUACCUCAAAAGUCGUAUUCACAACCCGUUUCAUCGAUGUUUGUGGUAGCAUGGAAGUUGACAGGAAGUUUCAAGUAGCAUGCUUAUCAGAAAAGGAUGCUUGGGAACUGUUUCGAGAAAAAGUUGGGGAAGAAACUCUUCAGAGUCAUCAUGAUAUCGUUGAGCUAGCCCAAACUGUGGCCAGAGAGUGUGAUGGUUUGCCACUCGCACUUAUUACUAUUGGUCGAGCUAUGGCCUGCAAAAGGACAGCCGAGGAGUGGAGACACGCAGUUGAAGAGUUAAGGAGAUCAGCUUCUGAGUUUGCAGGUUUGGGAGAAAAGGUGUACUCUCUUUUAAAAUUCAGCUAUGAUAGUUUGCAGAAUGAGACGAUUAAAUCUUGUUUCUUAUAUUGUUGUUUAUAUCCCGAAGAUUAUGGAAUUCUUAAAUGGGACUUGAUUGAUUGUUGGAUUGGCGAGGGAUUUUUGGGGGAAUCUGACAGGUCUGGUGCAGAAAACCAAGGAUAUGACAUUUUGGACACUCUUGUUCGUGCAUGUUUAUUAGAAGAGGUGGAAGAUAGAGUAAAAAUGCAUGACGUUAUUCGUGAUAUGGCUCUAUGGAUAACUUGUGAAAUUGAGAAGGAGAAGAGAAACUUUUUGGUUCGUGCAGGUGCUGGAUUAAAAGAGGCACCGGGUGUUAAAGGAUGGGAAAAUGUGAGAAGAUUGUCAUUGAUGCAAAACCAAAUUGAAACUCUGUCAGAGGUUCCCACAUGCCCUCAUCUCCUCACUUUAUUUCUUGACUUUAAUCAGGAGUUGGAGAUGAUCGCGGAUGGCUUCUUCCAACUUAUGCCUUCUCUCAAAGUUUUGAAGAUGUCAAACUGUUCGAAUUUGAAAUUACCUGUUGGGAUGUCAGAGUUGGGUUCAUCACUAGAACUUCUCGAUAUUUCAGAAAACAGCAUAACAGAGUUACCGGAAGAGUUAAAGAAGUUGGUAAAUCUGAAAUGUUUGAAUUUGAGGUGGACACAGCAUUUAAAUAAAAUUCCACGGCAACUAAUAUCAAAUUCUUCAAGGUUACGUGUGUUGAGAAUGUUCGCUACUGGCCGGUUCAAUUUUCAUGAAGCACCAGAAGACAGCGUUUUAUUUGGUGGGGGUGAAGUUUUGAUACAGGAAUUGCUCGGUUUGAAAUAUUUAGAGGUAUUGGAGUUGACCUUGGGAAGUUAUCAUGCUCUCCAAAUUCUUUUGAGCUCAAAUAAGUUAAAAAGUUGUAUUCGAUCUCUUUACCUCCAGUUGACCGGAGAUACAACGUCAAUUAUUGAUGCUACGGCUUUCGCAGAUCUAAACCACCUCAAUGAAUUAUAUAUUUAUAAAGGUAUUGAGUUGGAAGAAUUGAAGAUUGAUUAUACGGAGAUAGUACGAAAAAGGCGGGAACCUUUUGUUUUCCGUAGCCUUCACUGUGUUACUAUGAUUUCGUGCCGUAAAUUGAAAGAUGUGACAUUCCUCGUUUUUGCUCCAAACCUCAAGUCUCUUCGGCUAUUCGAUUGCGGUGCUAUGGAAGAAAUAAUCAGCGUCGGAAAAAUUGCUGAGACUCCUGAGAUGAUGGGACAUAUAAGCCCUUUUGAAAAUCUCCAAAUGCUUCAUCUAUCGUUAUUGCGAAAUUUUAAGAGCAUCUACUGGAAGCCAUUGCCUUUCGCUCAUCUAAAAGAAAUGAUGGUGCAUCGGUGCGAUCAGCUUGAAAAGCUUCCACUCGAUUCCAACAGUGCAAAGGAGCGUAAAUUUGUUAUUCGUGGAGACACACAGUGGUGGAACCGACUUCAAUGGGAGGAUGAAGCCACUCAAAUUGCUUUUCGUUCCUGUUUCCAACCUCAGUCCUGAGCGGUGGUCGCAAAAUUUGAUUUCUGGUGAGUGCGGUUGUCUUUUAAAAGAAGAAUUUAAAAGAAAUUUAUUCUUGUCGUUUUCUUCUCUGUUUUUAUUUCAGUUUCUUUCUCUCUCUCUCUCUUUUUGUCUUCUGCAAAUCACAAUUAAAUGUUGAAUUAAUGGAAUUAAUGCUUCAUAAAUUUGCCGGCACUGCCAUUACUUUUUUUUUUUUAAUACAAAUUGAUACUUUAUUUAUAUCUUCUUAGCGAUAUAAUUUCCUGUCAAUUGACGAACGAGAAGAACAUAUGACUUAAACCAAUUCUCGCAUAAACUUGCUGUAAAAAGAUAUAAUCUCACUGAAAUGCACACGUCUAGAAUGAAUAGAAUUAAAACAGGGAAAAUAUUAGGUAUAUUAGCCUUCUUUACUGAAAAUCAAAUGACAAUAAAUUUUUUGAAGUUUUGAUUUUCUAUGGUCAAUUCCACCUUUUGCAAUUUCUUCUGUUCUAACAAAAACCAAUUUCUUUGUUCAAGUAUUUUCGUUUGGGUAUUAAUAAUUCUCCACCGAAAGAGUGAACUCUUGGAUGCUGCUCUUUUGUUCUCUGUUUUUAUUUCCCCUUUUUUCUUUUGGUCUUCUGCAAAUCACAAUCAAAUGUUGAAUUUGUUGAAAAAAUAGCAUAACAUGCUAUUUUGAGAGCACAUUUUGAGUGGGUCCCACUUAACAAAAGUGAAAAAUAUUGUGAGGUUCGGAUUCUACUCCGUUGAUACUUCAAUAGUAUAAUUUUAUUUUCUCAAAAUGGUGCUUGGGUGAAUGAGAAAUUGUCUCUCAAAGUUCACCCUUGAAGUUGAAAAUUCGAAAGGAAAUGAGUCUUAUCCCACAUGGGAAAAAGAAGCCUAGGAAUUAGUGUUUAAAUAUAAAUACUUAACCAUACAUGAGUAAGAAUUAUAAGGAUAGAGGCUCUCUCCACACGCGUGCGUGCGCAGGGGGGGUGCGAAUCCAAGCUUGAUUUGGUUGAACUCGUGUGCGUCCUGCGUACACGAAUGUCAGCCCAAAAUCAUCCAUGCAAGCUAGGCACCUUUUGAAUUCAAAUAAAUUGGUGACAGCUUUUUAGCUGUUAUUCACGUUUUUUUUAAAUUGAUUUGGCUGUUAUAACAAGGCACCUUCACUUCUGUUUUUUCCACUUGCAAAAACGAGCACAAAGCACACUUGUUUUCCCUUCAUUCUUCUUCGUCUUUCUCUGAUCGAGUUCGCUGUUGUGGUUCGCCGGAAAUUCUAGCCUGUGCUUGACUGGAAGUUCGUACCCGUUGCAUCCUGGGAAACAAAUACCAAUAAACCUUAAGCACUCCGAAUAGGUGGUAAAUCUGUUUUAAGGAGACUGUUUUGUGCAGGCCUCGGGUUCCUUUCUUUUUAUUUCAAUUCGGUUUCUUCCUCUUCUGUUCUUCAUUUAUUGUUUCCGAUUGCUAGUUUACACUAGCUAACAUAUAAUUUGUUAUCUCACUGUUUUAUUUUCUUACAGAAUUAAAUGGAAUUAAUUCUUUAUAAAUUUGCCUGCAUUGCUUUUUUUUUUUGGGGUCGGGGGGGGGGGGGGGGGGGGGGGGGGGGGGGGGGGGCGAAUUGAUGCUCUGGUUUUUGACUUUUUGUUGUCAAAUUUUACUCUGUUUUUUCAAAUUGAUGCUUCAAUAUUUGAAUCAAAUUAAUGCUCACGUAAAUUUGUCUAGUUGCCGUAAAAGAUAUAAUUAGACUGAAAUACACACUUUUAGAAUCAAUAGAAUUAAACAGAGAAAACAUUAAGUAUAAUAGCCAUCUUCACAUAAAAUCAUGUCAUAAACACAUGAUUAACAUUAAGUUAAAAUUUUGAAGUUUUGAUUUUCGAUGGUCAAUCAUACCCUUUAUAAUUUCUUCUGUUCUAACCACAAUAAAAUUUUUGGUUCCAGGAUUUUUAUUUGGGGUAUUAAUAAUAGUCCACCAAAAGAGUGAACAGUUGGAUGCUGCUCUAAGGGUCUCUAAUGUAAUCAAUAGCUGGAAGCAAUUGAGAAGGCGGUCGCUACUGUGUGCAAAGCCAUGCAGUAUUUGUUAUUCAUCUUAGUAAUUAUGAAGCUUCGGUAAAAUUUUCAUGAAUUUGUAUGAAUAUCGUUGUUCCAUUGAGUUGUAUAUGAAUUCAAAUGUAAAAUAUUCUUUGGUUUUCAAUUUUGAAUUCAAUUUCUUUUUCUUAAGCAUGUUGUGCAGAAAUGAUUUCUAUUAAAUCAUUUUUGAUAAACUAUUUAAAUUAAACAACUGGAAUAAGAACUGUAAGGAUUUAUCGUAAGCAGUCUAAUAUGAUAAUUCUGAAACUAUUAAUUAUUUUUUUCAAUUUGUUGCAGGGAAAGCCAAAUUUUGCGUUUUUCAGUUUUAUCUGAUAUGGAAUUUAUUUCCUCUACACUAGCUACCUAAAGAUUUAUCAAAUUGCUUCUCUUCCCUGCUUCAAAUAUCUUCAUGGCAUCAUAGGAAAAGAGAGUUUGGGUUGUAUUUAUUAGAGUUUUUAUUUUUUUCGUUAUAAGCAAAUUUAUUUUAAAUACUUUAGUAGUAACAGUUUUUAUUGAAUAAUAAUGGGGGAUGGUUAUUAUAGGUUCAAAUAGUUGUUAGAACAUUAUAAAAAGUCUAUUUACUAUCAAAUGUUUUAAAUUGAUGCAACGUGAUAAUUGUCUCAUAUAAUUUUUUUAUAAUAUAUAUGUCCCAUAAUCUUAACAUGAAUAAAUGAAUUUCAACGGUUAAAUUUGACACGAUUAUUAAAUAGAUCAUAUCUAUAUUAAUUCGAUUUAAAAUUUGGCCACAUUUGGAUUUAGAGUUUCUAACAUGAUAACUUGUUUUAUAACAUGAUUUACUAAUCAAUUAAUAAUAAAUCAAAUGUUAGUCAAUUAAAUAUGUGGUACAUUUGUCAUAUUUUAAAAUUAUUUAUUUAUGUUUGAAAUAAAUUUGACUAGACUUUGUGCAGGUAAUAUUGCAUAAUUUCUAAAAAAAAUGUAAUAAAAACAUGUUAAAAUGUUAUUUUUAUGAAGAAAAAUUGAAAUUUUAUUAAAUAGGUGACACAAUAAUAAAUGGAUGCUUGUAAAAAUUGAAAUUAUUGAUAUAAUUAUUAAAUAGAUUGGAUUGAAGUUAGUUUAAUUUUGACAAGAUAAUAAGACGACGCGACACAAAUACAGCCAACCGGUCAACCCAAAUUGCCACCUUUUAUUUUCUUCUUUGUGUUACUUCUCUAAAAAUUUGUGCCAUCGCUUACACUUUUAAAUCUAUCAAAGAACCGUUACUUGGGAAGAUUGCCAUCAGGAAUUUCGAAAUUGAUUUCACUACAAUACGUUAGUCUUUCAGAUACUUCCAUCACUGAGUUGCCAAAAGAGCUAAAAGCCUUGGUAAAUCUUAGGGCAUGUUUGGCACGCGGUAAUAUAUAGGAUAAGGACUCCGCAUUGCAUUAGAAUUAUACAAUCUCGUGUUUGGCAGUUACAGCUCAUUGCAUUAACUAAAAUUUAUAAUGCGGUAACACCCGCAUAAACUACACCCGACCACCCCCCCCCCCCCCCCCCCCCACGGGUUUAUACGGGUUUGCAAUAGAUCUUUCUCCUUCCCUCAACUUUCUCCUUCUUUAUGCUCUCUCACGAACACAGCGCUCCACACCAGGCCAUCGUCCUUCGCCGCGCAACACCCAGCUCCACCACCACCCCAUCCCGCAACACCACUGCCUUCUCUUUUAACUUGCUGACGCACGACACUCGACCACCAUGCAAUCUUCUAUCUCUGCGUGACAGCCAGCUCCGUCACCACCCCACUGUGCAAUACCACCGCCAUGCUUGCCUUCGCCUCCUGAAUCAACGAACUACAACUUUGAUUUUUGAAAAGGUCUUUCUCUUUAUUUCUUCUCACGAUUUCUGUAACAAAACAGAGGCUAAAUAUCACAUGUCUCUUUCUCAUACUAUUCCAAGCUAAAUAGCAAAAGCAAUAGAUUCUCAGACUCAUAUAUGAUCUUCAAGAAGCCGGAGGUUCUCGAUUUAUUUAAUUUCUCUUUAUAUAUAUUUUUUCCAACUGUUAACUUUAAUUUUUUAUGUAAAUGCUUCACAACAUGUUGGAAUUGCUAUUUCUUUGAUAAUUUGGGGAAAUUGAACCCUAACGAAGCAAAGUGAGGGGAAAUUUUCUAUUGGGUCUUGUCUGAGGAGUGUGUAGGGAUUCUUGUGUUGCUGUUGGCUUUCGCUUUGAAUUUGAUGACUGUGGGUUUUUGUUUUGGUUUUUUGGUUUCGUGAGUGGAGGGGAUUGUAAAGCAAAAACAGAAAGCGCGAUAGGAAAUGGAGGGAAGGUGUUUCAUGGUUGUUCUCACUGACAUUUUGUUGUUCUGUUCAUGCUUUAAUUUUCGUUUGAUUUUCGAACAUGCUGCAGUUUGAACUUUGAUGAACUGAGCUUUGCAAGUUAGACACAUGUCUCGUCAUCGGUUCAACGGCGUUCUUUACCAUAGAAAUUUGUGUUUUAUUGUUGUUGUUGUUGUAAGCUUUUCUUGAUUUUGCAGUGAGGCUUGAGGAAAAGAAAAGGAAAAGCAAUGUUGAUUUCAUUCAAUGGCAUUAUUCUAAGACGUAAAAACAAAUAAUCUGGACCAAAUUGAAACGAUCAUAUCACUAUAUUUUCAUUAAACAUAGGCUUUUUGGUUACCAAAUUGAAACAAUAAAAGAAUGAAAAAGAUUUUAAGUUUAUGGAUUAAGCAAUCCUAGAAUUUGAAUUUAUGAAAUUAGAAGACCAAAAAUUGUAAAAAUAUUGUCAGUAUAAAAUUAAUGUUGUAAAAAUAAAUGUUAUACUGACAAAAAUUUAAAGUUAUAAAGUUUGAUUUUUAUGAAGAAUUAUGAUAUUAAAAAAUAAUGUUAAAUUUCUCAAUUUUAAAAUUUUUGAUAUUUAGUAUUUUUUUAAGUAUUAAUAAAUAUUAUUUUUUAAAAUAUGUAAUCAAAAUUAAUCAUUAAAAAAUUAAUACAGUACAAUGCGGCACCAAACAUAGUAUAACUAAAAAUUAAUACAAUACAGUGUAAUACCAAAUAUUGUACAACAUUAUUAUAAUACAAUGCUAAUGCAAUACCGCAUAAUACAAUACACCUGCAUUAAAAUAAUGUAAUAUAACAUAAUACAAUACAGUGUGCCAAACGCACCCUUAAGUGUUUGAACUGGAGUAAAUGUAUAUCGAACCAUCGGUGCGAAAGCUACGAUCAAAGACGACCAACGGUCGAUCGAACUCAUCAGCGCUGGGGAGUCUAAGUGGGGUCUCAACAUCAUGAUGGCGGAUAAUGUAGGCCCCAACUAAGCCAGCCAAAAGGUUGAUCCUAGUCAAGCCCAUGGCAUGAUCAUGGUACCACAAAUUCCCCGGCUGUUGCAUGUUGUGAAAGUGGUAAGUUUUCUUAGUCCAAGUGGGUCCCUUUUCUUUAAAUCCAGCGGUGAACCAUGAAUUUGAGUUUCCAUCACUCUCGGGUUCAUCAAUGCCUCCAUGGAGGUGCACUACAGUAGGAAUUCCCUUCUUGCGUGGAAUGGCAGUUGGAAUUGUGGGGUCCCAUGGAAGUAUGUGUUUUGAAGGGAGAUGAUUUUGCCACGUCACGUAGGUGUCAAUCCCAUGGAGGGCCUCGAUGGUUGGACCAGGGACGGUUGCUGUGUGCUUCGAUGUACCGUAGGCAUACACUGGGGUUUGGAGGUAUAGGUCUCUGUGGAAUUUCUGCACUAGAAAGAAAAAAGAUAAGCCAGAAAUCGUUGAUUAAGAAUAGAAUAAUAAUGAAUUGGAAGAAUUAACUAUAUUUUUUAGAAUAGAAAAUAUUUUGAGUGGUGGGCUAUCAUUAUUUUUAAUUAAAAUAUAAGUUUUUAUAUUUUUUAAAAGUUAAAUUUAAAUUUUAUAGGGAUUUAUAUUUUAUAGCAACUAUUUUAAUAAAUUUAAUAGGAAUUAGUUAGAAAAUUAAAAUAUUUUUCCCUUUUAUUUAUUUAUUUUUUUUUGGCCAGUGCAUCCGUCCCUGUCUGGGUCCCCCACAUUGACUAAACAAAAUCAAUGUACAGAGAAAACUAAGGCAAAAAAAUUAAGGACAUGUGUGAUGUGGGCUUGUGGCCUAAAUAAAAUGCUUGUAGAUAAAGUACCCCUUUUUUUUUUUUUUUUAUUAAGGUGAUUUUUCUCAUGAACACGAAUGCAUCCUAAUUCUACUGUGUACAAAGCAAAUAAAAUGAUUUUUCUCAUGAGCAAGAUCGUAGAUUUCCAAAACAACCAAUUUGUUGCUUGGUAAAUCUUAAUCAAUGGCAGGAAGCAAUUGAGAAGGUGGUAGCUACUGUGUACAAAGCCAUGCAGUAUUUGCUAUUCAUCUUAAUAAUUGUUAAGCUUUGGUAAAAUUUUCAAAAUAAGUUGACAUAUUAUUUUGAGAUUUGGUUCAUGAUUUUGUAUGAAUAUUGUUGUUCCGUUUGAGUUGGAUGUGAAUUCAAACCUAAAUAUUCUUUGGUUUUCAAUUUUGAAUUCAAUUUCUUUUUCUCAAGAAUGUUAUGCAGAAAUGAUUUUUACAAAAUCAUUUUUGAUCAAUUAUUUAAAUUAAACAAUUGGAAUAAGAAUUGUAACGGUUUAUCAUAAGCAUGCUAAUAUGAUAACUUGUUUUACGAACGAUUAAUUAAUCAAUUAAUAUUAAAUUAUAUAUUAGUCAAUUAGAUAUGUGUUAUAUUUGUCAUAUUGUAAAAACUAUUUAUUUAUAUUUCAAAUAAAUUUGACCAGAGGUUACGUAGGUAAUACUACAUAAUUUCUAAAGGAAUGUAAAAAUUUAAAAUUUUAUUAAAUAGGUGACUCAACCAUAAAUGGAUUUCUGCAAGAAUUGAGAUUCUCGAGAUAAUUAUUACAUAGGGGGAAUUUUGGUUGGUUCAAUUUUGACAUGAUAAGAAGACAACACAGCGCAGAAAACCCAAAUUGCCACUUCUACAGUUGUAAUAAAAGAUACCUGUUUGAAAAGUAAUUAUAAACUAUCUUCUUUGUGUUAUUUCUCAAAACUUUUGUGGCACAAAUGUUAUUUCCCUAGUGAAAAGUACGAAAUACCCUCUUUCACGUCGGCAGAAGCAAAGCAAAGCUAUGAGCUAUCUCUGUAUACUUGAAACGCCAUUGCUAAACGAUUCUCGAUGAUGGGUGCCACUGGGCCAGUGUUGUCGCUGAUUUGCAUGAUUUAUUAGUUGUCCACAUGCCAGAGAAACCAUGGUGGCAUUGAAGUUGCCCAGUUGGUUAGUUUUCUGAUCAUUUUUUUAUUCAAUUAUUUAUUUUUUUAGAAAAAUGUAAGAAAUAUGUAGAAAUGUUGACAGCUAUGAUUUUGAAACUUUGCCUAAAAUUGUUAUCAUCACUUAUUUAAAGAGAAAUCCUAGAAACAUGACAUGAUUAGUAGCCUAAUUCAAAAUUAGACGUGAUUACAACAAGAGAAAAGUGGAGAGAACUUGAUAAUCGAGUGCAUUUAGAAUUUAAUUUUUCUUUUAGCUGCCGAUCAUUAAAUUUUUUAUUUCAGAAAAUUAUACCUAGAAUAUUUCAAGGAUAUACUAUGAAGAUUAUGAAGGUUUGAUUACAUGUCACUAUCAAUUGCCCCAAUCAUUUGUAGUAAAUUAAUUGAUCAUUUUGAUGCAAAUGAUUCCCUACUAAAAAAUUCAAGUCAAAGCUGAAUUGCACAGUAGUUAGUCGAGCUUGCACUUCAAAUUAAGUAUUGUAUUUUCUGCCUGGUUUGGUUGAUUAAAGUGUGUGCAUUUGCUUAUGAACGUUGUAGUAUAGAAAUCGAAACAUUUGUUUUUCGCUAAGCCCAGAAGCAAAGUUCUUUGUACUGUACUCAUCACUUCUCUUCGUUCUCUUUGUUGAAAUUUUAUCCAAACAGCGGUUUCUUCGAAUUUGUGCCUUCUCUUACACUUUUAAAUCUAUCAAAGAACCGUUACCUGAGAAGAUUGCCAUCAGGAAUUUCUAAAUUGAUUUCACUAUAAUACCUUAAUCUUUCAGAUACUCCUGUCACUGGGUUGCCAAAAGUGCUAAAAGCCUUGGUAAAUCCUACGUGUUUGAACUGGAGUGCAAAAGUUAUCUCUCCACAAUUCCAAAACAACUGAUUUGUUACUUUUCAAUGCUACACGUUCUGCGAACGUUCAGUUGUGGUUAUCUUGCUGAAAUACCAGAAAAUAGGGUUCUAUUUGGCGGUAGUGGAUUCUUGGUUGGGGAGUUGCUUAGUUUAAAACGUUUAGAUGUAUUAAGCAUCACCUUAAAAGGUUUUUCUUCUGUCCAAAAACUUAUGAGCUCCCAACAGUUUCAAAGCUGUACAAAAUGUUUGGAGCUUAUAGACUGUGAUGAUUCAAAGUUGUUUGCCUUGGCAGAGUUGAAGCAUCUUGAAAAACUAGGUUUUUCAAAUUGUGGAAAUUUGGAAGAUAAAUUACAUUUAUAAACUGUGGAUCGCCCUUUAUAAGUAUUAGGCUUAUCCCAUACUCGAGCAAUGUGGAAUACCUUUAUAAGCAUUAAGCCUCUCCCAUACAAUUUCUGUACAUGACUCUUCUUUUUUUUUUUUUUUUUUUUUUUUGAAGAUCGUUAAAAGUGGUUGAUGAUCCGUUUUGUAAUAUCAUAGAGGGAUCAUGAAUUCCUUUUCUUUUCUGUGGCUAGGCAACACUUUUGGCCAAAGUAAGGAAAUCUAUUUUAGGGAAUGUAAAAACCAGUUGUGGGAUGUAAUAGUUUAUUAUGCACUGACAAUAACUUUUUGUAUAAUUGUCAGUUUAAUGAAUACGAGAGGAACUCUGUUGGCAAAUUCAUCCAUGAUAGAUGCUAAAAUUAUACCAGCUGCCUUAACUAAUUUUUCUCAACACUGGUAUUGAACAGGAAAAUGAAUAUGCAAUUUGUAUUUGUGCCAUUGUGGAGAAUUUGGAUAUUCUUAUUCUUACUAACAAGGAGAGUAUUUGCCUCAUCUUUAAACAAUGAAUCUUUGAGAAAUGAGGAGUGGGUCAUUGGUAGUGUCAGAGUGUCUUCAUGUAAAUGUUCAUUUAUUUGUAUUUUGAACUAUUAUUAGAAUCUUUAUAUGCCAAAUUAGUAAUACAAAUGUUGAGAUGAUUUUCCCUGUUGAUCAUUUCAUUCUUGAGAGCCAUGUACAAUACUAGGAUACCAGAGAAACCAAGGUAGCAUUGAAGUUGCCCCAGUGGCUAGUUUUCCGAACAUUUUUUAUUCAAAUUUUUAUGUUUUAGAAAAAUGUAAGAAAUAUUUAGAAAUGUUGAUAGCUAUGAUUUUGAAACUUUGCCUAAAAUUGUUAUCAUCACUUAUUGUUUCUUAUUUAAAGAGAAAUCCUAGAAACGUGACAUGAUUAUUCCAUACUUGUUUUAAUAUUAUUUAUUAGCAGCCUAAUUCAAAAUUAGACGUGAUUAUUUGUUACUUUUAAUGGUACAUGUUCUGGGAAUAUUCAGUUGUGGUUAUCUUGUUGAAAUACCAGAAAAUAGCGUUCUAUUUGGUGGUAGUGGAUUCUUGGUUGGUUUAAAUGUAUUAAGCAUCACCUUAAAAGGUUUUUCUGCUGUCCAAAAACUUACGAGCUCCCAAAAGUUUCAAAGCUGUGCACAACCUUUGGAGCUUAUAGACUGUAGUGAUUCAAAGUUGUUUGCCUUCGCAGAGUUGAAGCAUCUUGAAAAACUAGGUUUUUCAAAUUGUGGAAAUUGGAAGAGUUUAAGUUCUGCUGUGUCGAGGAUGGAAAGGCUCGAGAAUGUUUUCGUGUGAACAGCCUCCAACGAGUUAAGAUAAAGGCUUGUCAUAAAUUGAGGGAAGUGACAUGGCUUGUAUUUGCUCCGUAUCUUGAGGUUAUUCAAAUAGACAAAUGUAUGGGGAUGGAAGUAAUAAUCAGUGCAAGGAAAUUGGGUGAAGUUCCAGAGAUGAUGGCAGAUCUAAACCCUUUUGCUAAACUCCAAUAUCUUGGCCCACGAGUUCUACCAAAACUAAAAAGCAUCUAUUGGAAUCAGUUGCCCUCUCUACAUGUCAGGCGAAUUUUGUAUCUGAAUGCCCAAUUCUCAAGAAGCUUCCACUUGGUUUUAACAAUGCAAAGGAAUCUAAAACUAUCAUUAGGGGAGAAGAACACUGGUCGAAUGAGCUGCAAUGGGAGGACAAAGUGACCCUUAAUGUUCUUCUUCCUUGUUUCGGAUCCAUUUGAGGGCAUCAACAUGGAUUGAUACUUUGCAGUGGAGAAAUUCGAAUAAAACCUAUGGUAAGCGCUUUUCCAUUUAUUGCAUAUUUGUAUCUAACUUUUGUUUUCCUUUGUGGUUAAAUUUUGCUCUAUAUACGUUGUUGUACGGUGACAUUCUCAUAUCAAUUAUUAGCUUUUUAAUUAUCUUCUCACAUUAACUGCCCCUUUUGAUCAUGUAGGAUAUGCUGAUGUCAAAGAGUCGUAAUUUGGGAUGCAAAUGUAAGAAUUAGACAGAUGACCAGUUGUUUUGAAGCGCUCGAAGAAGGAUUAAUUACGUCAUUGAAAGCCUCCAAUUUUGUGACUUUUUUUUUUAAUUUGUUGUUUUUUCUAUUUUUAGAUAGCUUGAUUGUUAGUUGUCGUGAUGUAAUGCUUUAGUGUAGAAAAAUGAUAUUCGGCCAAGGCAACAUUAGGAGGGCACCUUGUGCAUGCAUACUAGUGGAUAAUUUCGGCAUGCUAAAUCCAAUUAGGGUGGAUGACCCUUUAUAAGCAUUAGGCUUCUCUCAUACCCGAAAACAAUGUAGAAUACGCUUAUAAGCUGCGGAUCACCCAUUAUAAGUUUUAGGCUUCUCCUACACUCGAGCGAUGUGGAAUACCUUUAUAAGCAUUAAGCUUCUCCCAGUAUCUUUAUGUUAAAAAUAAUAAUAAUAAAAGAAAUCCAUUUUAAAAUAGACUCUUUUUUCUUUUUCUAUAUAAACAAAUGCAUUCUUCAAAUCAAUUGUGGGCAGAAGAAGUUAGUAGAAAAGAACUAGUCCCCUUUCAUUCCCCCUUAAACCUCACCAAAGCCUCUUUUGUAAGCUUUUCGGAUUUUCUUUCUAUAUUGCUUACGAUCUCAUUUUUGAUUGAAUCACUUCUUUUGCAUGCUGCAUUUUUUGUUUGUUGUAUUUGGAUAUUAUCGUAUCUGGAAUGCUGUUAUGAUUGAUGGAACAAGUAAUCGAUUUUUGGUCUGAUGGAAGUUGACUUAUUUAUUUAUUGUUAUUUUUAUUUGAAAUUAUGUACAAUUGCAUUUCAUUCAUUUCUUUCUCCCCCCCCCCCCCCCCCCCCCCCCCACACAUAUAUUUGUUAUGUAUAAUUGCGUUUCAUUUGAUAUUGAUCAUGCUGUAGAUAAACCAUGUGAUUGUAGAUGGGGAUUUCAAGUUUGUUGAAUAUUCAAGUAAGUGAAGUAACUGUCAAAAUACUAGUGAAAUUGGGAGCUUUAUUCAUGAGCUUGUGGUUUUGAAAAUUACCACAGUUCAACCGAUGAAGGUUCCUUUUUGGGGUUCUUCUUUUUCUAGGCUGCAAUUAGGAUAUGUACAUGUUAGACAAUCUUUUGUGAGUUUAGCAUAUCUGCUCUGAUUUUGUCUUUUAUUCCCCAAUCUUAUAAUUACACAGCAUGAAUGUUGAGUGAUUGUAUAGAAAAUUUGUGUUAUAACCAAAGCAUUGUGAAGGAGUUAAGUUAGUGGCUUCUGUUUUAUUGGCAUUGAUUGGGUAGAUUAUGAGUUACAGUGAUUCAAUUUGUGAUCCAAACUUUGCUUUAAUUUCUGUUUUCCCUAAUUAUUUAUGUCAAAUUUAAAUCCAGAAGCAUGUACUGAUUUUUUCUUUUUGUAUUAAUCUGUGAAGUUUAUUUGGAAUGGAAGUAUCUGGGUUGGGUCUAACGGAUUAAAUUAUGACAUUGGGGGGAAGGCAGUAAAGGGUUUGCUUGACACAUUUGGUUCUGUGUUUACUUUGCGAGAAAUAGCUUUUGGUUAUCACAAUGCCGGGGGAAAUCCCGAUUUGGCUGGUGAAUUUCUUUGUGACAAAUAGGCAAACACAUCAACCUCUUCUAUCCAUCCUUCUACUGGUAAGGCAAGGGGUAAAGAGUCUUCAAAAUCAUCAAAUAGUAACAUCUCUGAGAAUUCAUUUUAUGCAAAUGGAAAAUCUAGACCUUCUAAGACAAAAUGGCGUCCUGUAUCAGGAGGUACCGUUUCAAGUUUUCUUGGUAAAAAUUAUGUUAAACCUGCACAGCCAGCUAAUGGCACAUUUCUAGCAUCAAAGCCAUUGAAGUUGGAUCCAAAGGGGUUUCCCAUGUCUCCACUUUUGCGGAGAAGAUACUAAACUGAAACAAUCAAAGGAUGACCAUUUGCAGAAGGAUAUGGAAGAUUUUCUGUUUAAAUUGCUAGGAGAAGUGUUCCAAUUUAAUACAUAUUGUCCUUUUCAAUGUUCUUUCUUUCUUUCUCUUCUUUUCUUCUUCUUCUUCUUUUUUCUUUUUGUGUGCGUGUGAUCACUAAUUUGGUAUUGUAGUUAAGUUGCAGAUAGUUGUGGAUAUGAUAUGCAAAAGGUAAGGACUAUAUCUUCCUGAUGGAGGCCUCUGCUUUUUCCUUUAUGCAUAAUUUAAUAAAUCGCAUCUUCCUUUGUGAUCGUUAUAUCAUAUCAAAGACAAGUCUUAAAUACUGCUGUCAUAUGUUAAGGUUCAACUUGCAGUUUGAUUAACAUUCAUGGCUCAAAGUCCUGAAAAAACUUGCCAGUAAUUGUAAAAUGACAUUCUUUGCUUUUAAUGCAAUAGAGGGAACAGGGAAGUAUAGCUUUGGAAGCCUGGAUUGGUAACUAUAGAGAGACUUAGUAUUUCAUUGAUAAAAAUUCCCAUAACCCAAGGUCAAGAAAAUUUUAGAUCGUUAAAGACUUCAUUUUGUUUCGGCCAGAAAUGUUUGUUUCGAUCGAAGACUUGAACCAUUUUCAUUGAACCUGAUUAUGAUGCUUUACGUUAUGCAUGUUCCUCUUAAUCAAGAAAAGUUGAGGUGAUGAUUUUAUAUUUCUAUAUUGUAAGUUGAAAUAAUAAUUGGUCUGCUUGUUUCUGUAGCUUGAUAACAUGAAUUUUCCUUCUCAAGUUAAUUUAAUCAAUAAAGUAAUUCUUCAAAGAAAGUAUGCCCAUUCUAUAAUCAUUUUCUUAACUAACAUGUUUUUUUCUUCACUUUUCAGAGCAUGUUGAAACUAAUUGAUCGCUCGGCAGAGACUUUGGGUGAGAAGACAAAAUUUCUUGGUAAAUCCUCUGAAAAGGUAUGCAUAAUUCCGGAGUAUUAAAUAACCAAUGGUCAUAAUUUUUUUACAGGACUCUUUUCUUGUGGAGAUGAUUAAAAGUGGCUGAUGAUCCAGUUUGUAUAUCAUAGAGGGAGCAUCAAUUCCUUUUCUUUUCAGUGGCUAGGCAACACUUUCAGGGCAAAGUAAGGAAAUCUAUUUUAGGCAAUGUAAAACCCAAUGGUAGGAUGUAAUAGUUUAACAUGCACUGACAAUAACUUUUUGUAUAAUUGUCAGUUGAACGAAUACAAGAGGAACUCUGUUGACAAUUCAUCCAAGAUAGAUGCUAAAAUUAUUUAUGCAUGCCAGUUGCCUUAACUAAUUUUUCUUAACACUGGUAUUGAAGAGGAAAAUGAAUAUGCAAUUUGUAUAUUGUGCCAUGUGGAGAAUUUGGAUAUUCUUAUCUAAGUAACAAGGAGAGUAUUUGCCUCAUCUUUAGACAAUGAAUCUUUGAGAAAUUAGGAGUGGGUGAUUGGCAGUGUCUUCAUGUAAAUGUUCAUUUGUUUGUAUUUUGAACUAUUAUGAGAAUCUUUUAUAUGCCAAAUUAGUAAUGCAAAUGUUCAGAUUAUUUUUUCUGUUGAUCGUGCAUUUGUGUCCGCACACAACCAUUGUAUAUCACUUCAUUCUGAUGCGCAAGUCUCUGUAGUUUAGAAGAAAAGAAAUAAUAAUGAUAUAUUAUUGCUUGAUUCAUGAUUAUUAAAUGAUUAUGGCUUUAAAAAACCUACAAAUUCCUUCUGUUGAUAGAUGAAUGUACCAAGUUUGCUAUAUCUUAGAUUACCAUUUCCAAGAUAAGUUCAAAUUUUUUCUUUAUCCUUUUCCAUCACAGUUGCAUUUUAAGUGUAAGAUUUGUUAUUAAUACCUGGUUUCCUGUCAUUAUGAUUUCAUAAACAGUGUAUGGGUAUGUGCUCUACUUUUGGAGGGCCUCCACGUGAAAGAAAAUUGCAACAAUUGAAUUCUUCCGGAUGGUAUGGUAUUUAAUUUAUUUUCUCAACCUCUUGUAAGACUAAUAUAUUUUCCUUCAGUAGACACGGCAUGGUGGGAAGGGUUUUUUAUUGAAAGAAUUCUGAUAUUUCUUAGACUUUGUUUUGGAAGGGGGUGCAGGGGUUUCUCAUCCAUAUAUGGUUACUUGAUUAGCUUUUGACUGUAUUGCCUCAAUCGUGCAAAGGAAGAUCCAAAUACAAACGAAGGAGAAUUGUUUAGACACCCAGAAGAUGGAAAUGAACUACAGAAGGAAGUUUUUGCUGCUUUAUUUAGUGCUCCUGAGAAAUCUGAUGAAUUUCCUGAAAUUACGGUGAAGACCAAGUGUGAGGUCCAAAGCAUUAGGAAAGGUGGUGAGUGAACUGCUGGAGGAAUUGGUACAGAAUACAAGGCUAAUGUGGUGUACUUGCAGCAAGAUAACCGGAACAGUACGUGCUCUUAUAUUAACUAUAUUGACUGGAUUUGCUAGUGUGUGCAUUUUCGUGUGUAUACUUUUGUAUUUAUGCAUAUUAAUGUGUGUAGGAUUCUUGAUUUCUGCCACUUACUGGAGAACUAAUGGAAAGCUUUAUACUGGUAUAUCUGCAAUAACUAAUGGAAACUAUGAUAUUAAUAUUUUCUCUCGCUUGGAGAACUGCAUAACAGAUAUACUUUGUGGCUCUGGAAUACUAAAGAUUCUGCAAUAACUAAUGGAAACUAUGAUAUGAAUAUUUUCUCUCACCUAGAGAACUUUGUAACAGUUACACUUUGGGGCUUGGAAUGUCUAAAGAAUUUUGUCUGCUUCAGUUAGAUCAAAUAUCUUUUAGUUACAUACAUUAUAGAAAAGAUAAAGUUCUCUGAAUCUGAAAGACUUAAAAUUUUGCAUAUUUCUUGAAAGGGAAAUAUCUGUAGAUACUAGUUCAUGCAUUGUGGUAGCAUCAGUGUUAAAGAAAAACAGCAGUAAGUUAUUAUAUAGAAUUAGGUUCACUUGCUUUAAAUCCUGGUCUGGUCAACCAUAUGAACCUGUAAGUGGUUCUGUAGAAAUAUAUAUAUAUGGGGAGAAAGUAGCUAAAUUUUCCUUUCAUUUAUGGGUUUGGUCAUUUUUUCCCCUUAUUUAUGUUUUCUCACACAUUUUUUAUAUGCCCCAAACAUGCAAUUUUGUAUGUGUCAAUUGCCUUUUAAGUUUUAAAAACCAUAAAGUAAGAAUACAGUUUCUUGUCAGGCUAUUGAUGCAUUUGCUCGGGGGGAUCAUGCUCGAGCAGGAAAACUUCUAGGACAGGUAAGGUUUCCAUCUACAGCCAUUUAUUGACAACAUAUAUAUUUUCAUUCAGCAAGCACUGUUAGCAUUCAAGAUGCUGGCAGAUUCACUUGAUUCUUAUUAGUUUGUUUAGUAGCGAAGCAAAUAACCUGUAUUUCAAAGCUAAGUUGUGCUAUUGAUUAUGUUAACUUUAUUGUUCACAUAAAGUGAUAUAGAGGAAAUAAUCAAUGUAGGAAAAUUAGGUGAAGAGAUGAUGUCAAAUCUUGAACCUCUUACAAAACUCUAAGUUCUUUACUUGAAGAAGCUACCAAAUUCGAACAGCAUCUACUGGAAGGCCUUGCCAUUCCCUGAUGUAUGCAGAAUUUUUGUAUUUAAAUGCCCAGAGCUUAAGAAGCUGCCCCUGGAUCUUGAAAGGGCAGGCCAAGGUAAAAUUCUUAUCAAGGGAAAGAAAGAUUGGUGGAAACAACUUCAAUGGUAGGAUCAAGUAACUCAGAAUGCAUUGCUUCCAUUUUUAAAAUCAACUGACAAGUGAUUGAAGGGGGCAUCAUCAACAUGGAUGGAGAGAUUCAGGAGCAGAUCAGCAGGGUUUAGUACGACCUGUGGUGGUAGCUUUUUUGUGACUUUUUUCCCUUUCAUUUUUUCACUUCCUGUCAUAUUAUCAUUUCUUUGUCUCUGUUUCUAUUGCUGGUGUUGCUGCAUGCUUGCUGCCCUUGACAAAGUUAGCUAGUUUUUUUGUUUAUUAAAUUUUGUAUGUUCGGGACAGUCACAAAGUAGUACUUGUUCUAUAUGGGGGUGAUGUGAAUCAACUUUUCAAUUAUAUAUUCUGUGGUAAUUGUGAAUUCAAUUUCAUUUGUCUCCUGCAAAUUAUGAAGAAAGUACAGAGUUAGAAUAUGGAAAAGUUCACUGGCAAAUACUUUGUAAAAGCUUCGGAGUGAAACAGGGAAUGCACUUGCAACUAAGGACAAAUUGGUGGCCAGCUAAUGCAUUCAUUUUAUGUACAUUCAUCUUUUUAAUUAUUGAAGAUAAGUGGUUCGUUGCUUUUGUUGUAGAUAAAAUUCAGGCGACCUCAAUUGUGAGAUGAAAAUAUUUAAAAUAUCUCUUAAAUUAUUAUAAACUUUAAUUUAUCUUAAUUUUAUUUAAAAGAUAAAAGAAAAAUGUAGUAUAUGGAUAAAAAAAUUUUUAUCUUCUUAAUAAAAUGAAAUAAAUUAAAAUUUACAAUAAUUUAAAGUAUUUUUAAAAUUAUUAUUUCAUAAGAGAUUAAUAUGAAAUUAAUCCUUUUUACUUUUUGAAUGUGAAAGGACAAGAAAAGAGAAAGCAAGUUUCACUGCUUUUUAUUUUAUUUGAAAUCGGAGUUAUCCCAUAUACUUUACUACUUUAGCUCUAACAUUACAAUGUUUUUAGGCUACACUUUUAUUUUUCUUUUUUCCCCUUUUUUUAUACAUGCAUGUGGAUUACUUUUCUCUAAGCUCCUUAAUAUUUAAGACAAAUCAUAAAAGCGAUUGAAGUAUAACAAGAUGAUCAAAACAUUUAACCAAAAAUAAAUAAAUAAAUAAAACAUUGAAAAUGGAGAUGUUGAUUAAUGUAGAAGAGAUGCAAGCAAAAGAUAUUCCCAAAAAAAUGAAAAAAAGAAAAAAGCAACGUUAGUUCAUCCAUGUCUGUCAAUGCGUUUUUUAUGGUUUUUUUUCCAGUUGUUUGUUGUAAUAGAUUGAUUGCAAAUUGAUAUGAACUUGAUGUUGUAAUAUGUUCGCUUUUGUGGAAUUAAAUUUGAAUAUUCAAGAUUAUUCAAGUCUUAUUUAGUAUGUGUUUAGUUGUGUUGUCGAUAACUUUGCAUUCGAAUAAGUUUUCACCUAAAAUAUUAGCAUGAGUAGUAGUCCUUGAAACUUUGGUCAAAAUUAUUGUUAUUGUUUCUUUUAGAGGAAAUUUUUUUAUUAAAGCCUCGUUAACACUAUUUCUUAUUAAGAUUAUAAGUUAGUGUCGGUGUAGGAUUUGCAGCGACAAAUCCUGUCUAGCCACGUGUCAAAAGUACAAAUAAAUCAAGGGAAAAGCACAUGUCGCGGAUUAGGAUCCAAUAAAAUUUAAAUCCCAAGGAAAAGGACAAUUGUAUCCUAAAGUUUCAAUAAGAGAUACUGAUAUAUCUUUUGACUAAUGUUAUUUUUUGGCUUCAUUAAUAAAAAGAUCCAAUAGUUUAUAACAAAUAAAAAUAUAGUAUUAAGCUAAAUGUGAUAAUAUAUACAUUUUACAUAAUUUCAAUAAAAAACAUUUUAAUGUUUUACAAUCUAUCAGACAUAUUUUAUUAAAUUAAUAAGAAUUUUCUUAUAAAUAGCAACAUAAUAUUAAAAUAAAUUUAUAAAGAUUAAAAUGUAAAAUAAUUUUAGUAUAAUUAAUACGUGGGAUAUAUUUUGUAAAUUAUAAAAUUACUUAACCCAAUGAUUUUUAAAAUAAAUAAAAAUAAAUUAUUCACAUUUUGAUGUAAAUAUUUAAAACAUUUUUAUACAUUAGUCCACAAUUAUUUAUGUUAUAUUUGUAUUUAUUAGAAAUUUUGAAAGUCAAAAUGUUUUUCACCUCUAUCUUAUUAGAAUUAUUGCACACAGAGAAAGAGCCAUAUAUGCUUUAUAGCUUUAAAAUCGGUUUGUUUUAUAGCUGGGAACAGAGAUGAUCAUUAUUAUAAGGAUUAAAAAAAGAUAAAGAAUAUUAAUGAUUAACGAAAUCUUUAUGGAAAUUGAAUUUAGUAAGAAAAAAUUGAGCUGAUUUUAGUGGUAUAGUAAUAUUUUAUAUAGAGAAAAGUAAAAGUUGCACCCCCAAAUGUUCAAAACUCUUUUUUAAUCAUAAUAUUCUUUUUCCUAGAUAACUUAAAAAUUUGACUCUAAUAUUUUAUAAUAAAUAAAAACAUAUAAUCCUAAAAUAAAUAAAAUAAUAUAUAUUUUAAAAUAAUCUCAAUAUUUAAAAUAUAUUUUAACAUUUUAUAGUCUAUCAGAUAUAUUUUAUUUUUUUAAAGUAAAUUUUAUAAUAAAUACAAACAUACUAUUAAAAUAGAUAUAUAAAAUUUUUAAAGUAUUUUGAAUAUUAUAUAAAAUAACUUUAAUAUUGUUAAUGCGUGAGAUGAAUUUUAUUAACUAUUAGAUAGACUAAACUAUUUAUAUUAUUUUCUAUUUAUUAUAAAAUUUCAAAGUUAAUCUUUUUAACUACUAUUCAAAAGAUGUUAUGAUAAAAACAGAAUUUUUGUGUUUUUAUUGAAAAUUUGGAGUUUACAUCUAUUUUUUCAAAAAUUCGGGGUGUAACUGUUUUUUCCCUUUUAUAUAUACGAACGGUGGUGAGAAAGCUUGAUUUAACGUUAUUUAUUUAAAUAAAAUCUCAGUUAAAAAUGUACAGAGAAGAAAUUUCUGUUGGUAUUUUAGUCUUUUACCAAUUAAUUGUUUCACUUUUAGCGCUAGUGGCGUUGAAAGUUGUCAAGAAAAAGCAAGACCAUAUUCCACAAAAGCAAAAGUAACGUAGGCUCUUUUAUUAAAGGCAAAGUAUAAAGUAGUCAAGAAUCGAAUAUCCUGUCGUCUACUCUUUUUUUAAAUUCUUCUUUUAUUAUCUUUUAGAAUAGUUUUUGGUAAUUACAAUCAUUAUUCAGAGUUAUUGUUAUCUUCCGGGGCAGUCUCUGUUCAUCGAAGUCGUUACCUUUUUUUUAUGGAUCAGUUCCAGUGGUCAGCAGUAAUUUUCUUAGAACUCGGAUCUUUAAUUCGAGUUUCUGUGUGAAUUAAUAAUAAAAAAUUUUCAUUACACGCAAUUUAAGCUACGAAUUACUUUUUGCAAAGUUGAAUAUGAAAUUGGAGAAAUUAAGUAAUUUAGAAUGUUGGUAAAAAUUGACGAACAUAUCUCCAAUUACAGUAAAACCUCUCUACAGUCAUAACAUUAUAACAAAAUUAAUUUUAUUACUAUGUUGAGGUAAUAUAGGUUUAGUUACAAAAUUAUUGUUUUAAUAUGGUUGGUGUCAAGUGAUAUAAAGGUUAAAUAUGCAGUACAAUGAUAAUUAAAUAAUGAAGCGUGUCAAUUCUAAUGUAUAUAUAUUAAUGAUAUAGAUAGACAUAGUUUUAAAAAACUAAUUAAUGUAUAUUUAUGUAGUGUUAUGAAUAUGGAAAGUCAAGCCUACACUUGACAUUAUCCUUAGUUUUUUCUCUCAGUUAAAUUCUACAAAUAUUGUACAAUGAUUGGGCAAGAACUCUAAAUUAAGAAUAAAUUAUUGUCACAAAUAAUUUUAGAAAAUAUUUUAUUUCGUCUUAAACCUUUAAUGUAAGUAAACAUAUAUAUAUAUAUAUAUGUGUGUGUGUGUGUGUGUGUGUGUGUGUGUUUGUGUGUGUGUGUGUGCAUAUUUUGCAACGUAUAGAUAAUUGUUAGUAUAUGGAGACAAGUCUUUUAAGGUAGGACCUAGAAAAAUUUAUAACUUACUACACUGGGGAGUUUUUAUUCCUUUUUAUAAUUGGCUCAUAUUGAUACAUUCUUACACAAAAAUAUUACCAUUGACAUAUUUUACUACAAUUAGUUUAGAUUCUUUAGAACAUUUGUUAGGAAAAAAAAAAAAAAGAAAAGAAAACAUCCCUUGGAUGUAGCUCUCCUGACUAUUUAAAUCUUUUAAGGAAAAAAAGAAAAAAAGAAAAACUGACACAUUCAAAUCUUGAAGCAAUUACAUUAAAACCUCUCCAUAAUGAUAGGAAUAAUCUCCAUUUAGUAAUAAAAAAUUUUGUUCGCAAUUUAGGCAGAGUUAUAAAUAAGAAUAAAAUCCUCAUUGUAAUAAGUUAUAUUUAUUAUGGAUCCCAUCCUAAGGAACUUGUCUCUAUAUAGUAAUAAUUAUUUGCAUAUUAUAAAUAUAUAUGUUGCAUUAGAUUAAACGAACUUGUCUCCACAUACUACUAAGACAACAAGAGAAAGUUAUUAAAGAGAACACAAAUAUUUAGAGAUUUUUAAGAUUACUUUGCAUAUUUAUAACAAUAAUACAUUGAUAUAUGUAUUAGUUUUUUGAUAUAUUAGAUUUGACAUGCUCUAUUAAUAAAUUAUUAAUAUGAUGCAUACUUCAUCUCCAUAUCCUUGCAGUAAAAGUAACUAAGUUGUAACAAUAAUUAUUAAUACGAUGCGUACUUCAUCUCUAUAUCCUUGCAAUAAAAGUAACUAAGUGAUAACAAUAAUUUUUGUAACUACAUGUUUAUUAGGUUUUAACUGCUUCAUAAUAAUAAAUUAGUUUCGUCCUAAUAUUAUAAUUAUGUAGAGUUGUAGUGUAUAGACACACCCAAUUUAAAUAGUAUCUCAAAUAAAAUUGUCCCCACAAAAAAGAAAAAAGGGUAAAGGAUUGUUAUUUCUUCAAACAUCAGGAGCACGUUUGUACAAGUGCGAUGCCUUUCUUUUUUUUUUUGAAGGCAACGUCAGUGGGUACUAAAUAGGACGUGCGUAAAUCUUUCUAAAAUUUCUCCGGUAUAACUCACAGAGAUCAUUACUUUUCUCUUCCACAGACCACAGCAGCUUCAGUUAAUCCGACUCAAUCAAUUUUCUUGGUUUCUUCGCUUAUCAAAAUUCCAAAAUAUGGGUAGCAUAUUUCAAAUCACAUGCGAUGGUGCUUUUUUCAAUCGUUGUUUGGAUUGCUUUCUUGGAAAAGUAGCAAACACAAGUAAGCUCCAAGAUAACCUUGUUGCCUUGGAGACUGAAUUGGGAAAACUAAUCGCAGCAAAGAACGAUGUGAUGAUGAGGGUUGUCAAUGCUGAACGGCAACAACUGAGAACGCUGGACCAAGUGCAAGUGUGGCUUUCGAGGGUGGAAGCUGUUAAAACUGAAGCUGAUGAAUUGAUAAGACACGGCUCUCAAGAAAUUGACAAAUUAUGUGUUGGAGGCUACUGUUCCAAGCACUGCGCGUCAAGCUACAAGUUCGGGAAACAAGUGGCUAAAAAGCUACGGGAUGUGCAGACUUUAAUCGGCGAAGGAGUUUUUGCGGCGGUGGCUACUGAGGUGGUGCCUGAGAGAGCUCCAGAACCUGUAGCAGAUGAAAGACCCACUGAGCCAACAAUAGUAGGCUUGCAAUCACAACUUGAACAAGUUUGGAGAUGUCUUGUAGAAGAAUCAGUGGGAAUCAUUGGCCUAUAUGGUAUGGGCGGUGUUGGUAAAACUACACUAUUGACCCAUAUCAACAAUAAAUUUCUUGAGAGUCCAACCAGUUUUGAUUGUGUGAUUUGGGCCGUAGUUUCAAAGGACUUGCAACUCGAAAAAAUUCAAGAAGAUAUUGGGAAAAAGAUCGGUUUGGUUGAUGAUUCAUGGAAGAGUAAAAGUGUAGAGGAGAAAGCUCUCGACAUCUUCCGGAGUUUAAGAGAGAAGAGAAUUGUAUUGUUGUUAGAUGAUAUAUGGGAGCGGGUUGAUUUAACAAAAGUGGGCAUUCCACUUUCCGGACCAAAGAAUACUACCUCAAAAGUCGUAUUCACAACCCGUUUCGUCGAUGUUUGUGGUAGCAUGGAAGCUGACAAGAAGUUCCAAGUGGCAUGCUUAUCAGAAGAGCAUGCUUGGGAACUGUUUCGAAAAAAAGUUGGGGAAGAAACUCUUGAGAGUGAUCAUGAUAUCGUUGAGCUAGCCCAAACUGUGGCCAAAGAGUGUGGUGGUUUGCCACUCGCACUUAUUACUAUUGGUCGAGCUAUGGCCUGCAAAAGGACAGCCGAGGAGUGGAGACACGCAGUUGAAGUGCUAAGAAGAUCAGCUUCUGAGUUUGCAGGUUUGGGAAAAGAGGUGUAUCCUCUUUUAAAGUUUAGCUAUGAUAGUUUGCAGAAUGAGACGAUUAAAUCUUGUUUCUUAUAUUGUUGUUUAUAUCCCGAGGAUUAUGGCAUUCUUAAAUGGGACUUGAUUGAUUGUUGGAUUGGUGAGGGAUUCUUAGAGGAAUCUGACAGGUUUGGUGCAGAAAACCAAGGAUACUACAUUGUGGGCACUCUUGUUCAUGCGUGUUUACUAGAAGAGAUAGAAGAUGAUAAAGUAAAAAUGCAUGACGUUGUUCGUGAUAUGGCUUUAUGGAUAGCUUGUGAAAUUGAGAAGGAGAAGAGAAACUUUUUGGUUUGUGCAGGUGCUGGAGUAGGAGCGGUACCAGAUGUUGAAGGAUGGGAAAAUGUGAGAAGAUUGUCAUUGAUGCAAAACCAAAUUGAAAUUCUGUCAGAGGUUCCCACAUGCCCUCAUCUCCUCACUUUAUUUCUUGACUUUAAUUAUAAAUUGGAGAUGAUCACCGAUGGCUUCUUCCAAUGUAUGCCUUCUCUCAAAGUUUUGAAGAUGUCAAACUGUGGGCAUGUCAAAGUUUUGAAAUUACCUUUUGGGAUGUCAAAGUUGGGUUCACUACAACUUCUUGAUAUUUCACAUACCGGCAUAAGAGAGUUACCAGAAGAGUUAAAGUUGUUGGUAAAUCUGAAAUGUUUGAAUUUGAGGUGGACACAUAUGUUAAAUAAAAUUCCACGGCAGCUAAUAUCAAAUUCUUCAUGGUUACGUGUGUUGAGAAUGUUCGCUAUUGGCUUUGAAAAUUCCAAAGAACCAUCAGAAGACAGUGUUUUAAUUGGUGGGGGUGAAGUUUUAGUACAGGAAUUGCUCGGUUUGAAAUAUUUAGAGGUAUUGGAGUUGACCUUGCGAAGUUAUCAUGCUCUCCAUUCUUUUUUGAGCUCAAAUAAGUUAAAAAGUUGUAUUCGAUCUCUUUUCCUCAAUAAGCUGGGAGAUACAAAGUCGAUUGAUGCUACGGUUUUGGCAGAUCUAAAGCAUCUCAAUGAACUAUGCAUUCGUUCGGCUGUGGAGUUGGAAGAAUUGAAGGUUGAUUAUACAGAGAUAGCGCCAAAAUGGUCGGAACAUUUUGUUUUCCGCAGCCUUCACAGUGUUACUAUGGAGCGGUGCCAUAAAUUAAAAGAUUUGACAUUCCUCGUUUUUGCUCCAAGCCUCAAGUCUCUUUCGCUAUACGGUUGUAAUGCUGUGGAAGAAAUAAUCAGCGUUGGGAAAUUUGCUGAGGUUCCUGAGAUGAUGGGACAUAUAAGCCCUUUUCAGAAUCUCCAAAAGCUUGAUUUAUCACAUUUGCCAGCUUUGAAGAGCAUCUACUGGAAGCCAUUGCCUUUCGCUCAUCUGAAAGAAAUGGUGGUGCAUUGGUGUGAUCGGCUUAAAAAGCUUCCGCUCGAUUCCAACAGUGCAAAAGAGCGUAAAUUUGUUAUUCGUGGAAGAGCAGACUGGUGGAACCAUCUUCAAUGGGAGGAUGAAGCCACUCAAAUUGCUUUCCAUUCCUGCUUCCACUCUAAUGAAAUAUAAAUUCCUUAGCGGUGGUUGCAAAAUUUGAUUUGUGCUUUUUCUUAAACUCUUACAUUUAUUUCAGAUUCGUUUUUUGUCUCCUGCAAAUCACAAUUAAAUGCUCAAUUAUAUGGAGUCAAUGCUUUAGAAAAUUUUCAAGGCACUGCCAUUUCCUUUUUUUCAUUUUUUUUUUGGGUCGAAUUGAUGCUCUGGCUUUUUACUUUUUGUUGUCAAAUUUUGCUCUGUUUUUUCAAGUUGAUGCUUGAAUAGUUGAAUUCAAUUAAUGCUCACAUAAAUUUGUUUAGUUGCCGUGAAAGGAUAUAAUUAGACUGAAGUACACACUUCUAGAAUGAAUACAAAAUGUGAAGUAUACUAGCCCUCUUUACAGAAAAUCAAAUGAAAAUCAAUUUUUUGGGGCGUUGAUUUUCUAUGGUCUAUUAUAUACUCUUUUUAAUAUCUUCUGUUCUAACUAUAACCAAAUCCUUUGUUCAAGGAUUUUUAUUUGGGGUAUUGAUAACUGUCCACCAAAAGAGUGAACACUUGGAUGCUGCUCAAGGAUCUCUAAUCAAUAGCUGGAAGCAACUGAGAAGGCGGUCGCUACUGUUUACAAAGCGAAUCAGUAUUUGCCAUUCAUCUUAAUAAUUAUGAAGCUUUGGUAAAAUUUUCAAACAAAGUUGAACAUGUUGUUUUGAGAUUUGGUUCAUGAUUUUGGAUGAAUAUCGUUGUUCCGUUUGAGUUGGAUGUGAAUUCAAAAUCUAUAUAUUCUUUGGUUUUCAAUUCUGAACUCAAUUUCUUUUUCUCAAGCAUGUUAUGCAGAAAUGAAUUUUACUAAAUCAUUUUUGAUGAAUUGUUCAAAUUAAACAAUUGGAAUAAGAAUUGUAAAGGUUUAUCAUAAGCAUGCUAAUAUGAUAAGUUGUUUUAUGAACGAUUAAUUAAUUAAUCAAUUAAUAUUAAAGAAUAUAUUAGGCAAUUAGAUAUGCGUUACAUGUCAUGUUUAAAAACUAUUUAUUUAUAUUUCAAACAAAUUUGACUGGAUGUUGUGUAGGUAAUACUCAUAAUUAAUUUCAAAACAAAAAAAGUAAUAAAAACACGUUAAAUUUUGUUUUUAUGAAGAAAAAUUUAAAAUUUUGUUAAAUAGGUGAAAAUAAUAAAUGGAUUCGUGUAUGGUUUGAGAUUCUUGACAUAAUUAUGAAAUAAGCCGGAUUCGACUUAGUUCAAUUUUGACGCGAUAAGAAGACGACACCACACAAACACACGAUAAGAACCGGUACCUGAGAAGAUUGCCAUCAGGAAUUUUGAAAUUGAUUUCACUACAAUACCUUAAUCUUUCAGAUACUCCCAUCACUGAGCUGCCAGAGGAGCUAAAAGCCUUGGUAAGUCUUAAGUGUUUGAACUGUACACAAAUUAUCUCUCUACAAUUCAAAAACAACUGAUUUGUUACUUUUCAAUGCUACAUGUUCUGCGAAUAUUGAGUUGUGGUUAUCUUGUUGAAAGAUCAGAAAAUAGAGUUCUAUUUGGUGGUAGUGAAUUGUUGGUUGGGGAGUUGCUUAGUUUAAAACGUUUAAAUGUAUUAAGCAUCACCUUACAAGGUUUUUCUGCUGUCCAAAAACUUACGAGCUCUCAAAAGUUUCAAAGCUGUACAAAAUGUUUGGAGCUUAUAGACUGUGAUGAUUCAAAGUCUUUUGCCUUGGCAGAGUUGAAGCAUCUCGAAAAACUAGUUUUUCGAAUUGUGGAAGAGUUUAAGUUCUGCUGUGUUGAAGUUGGAAAAGCUCAAGAAUGUUUUCGUUUGAACAGCUUUCACCGAGUUAAUAUAAAGGCUUGUCAUAAAUUGAGGGACGUGACAUGGCUUGUAUUUGCUCCAAAUCAUACGGUUAUUCAAAUAGAAAAAUGUAUGCAGAUGGAAGUAAUAAUCAGCGCAAGGAAAUUGGGUGAAGUUCCAGAGAUGAUGGCAGAUCUAAACCCUUUUGCAAAACUCCAAUAUCUUCGCCUGCGAGUUCUACCAAAAUUAAAAAGCGUCUAUUGGAAUGAGUCACCCUUUCCGCAUGUCAGGGAAAUUAUUGUAUCUGAAUGCCCAAUUCUCAAGAAGCUUUCACUCGGUUUUAACAAUGCAAAGGAAUCUAAAAUUGUCAUUUAUUACAUGUUUAUAUCUAACUUUUGUUCUCCUUUAUGGUUAAAUUUUACUAUAUAUAUGUUGUUAUACGGUGACAUUCUCGCAUCAAUUAUUAGCUUUUUAAUUCUCUUCUCGUAUUAAUUGCCCUUCUGAUCAUGUAGGAUAUGCCGAUGUCAAAGAGUAGUAAAUUGGGAUACAAAUGUAAGAAUUAGCCAGAUGACAUGUUGUUUUGAAGCUUUCGAAGGACUAAUUAUGUCAUUCAAAGCAUCCAAUUUCGCUACUUUUUUUUUUUUUUCAUUUGUUGCUUUUUCUAUUUUUAGAUAGCUUGAUUGUCAGUUGUCGUAAUGUAAUGUUUUAGUAUAGAAAAAUGAUAUUCGGCCAAGACAUCGAUAGGAGGGCACAUUGUGCAUGCAUACUCGUGGAUGAUUUUGGCAUGCCGAAUCCAAUUAGUGUGAAUAACCCUUUAUAAACAUCAGGCUUCUCUCAUACCAGAUAGAGGUGGCAAAAAUACCCGCUCGGUCCGGAUCCAGACCAUACCCGGGCGUUGUGGGUCGGGUAUUACUUAAUCUGGGUAUAAAGUCGAGUCGGUCUUGGGCAUCACUUGAUAAACCCGGAACCCAGAUUUUAUUAAAAAAAUAUUAUAAAAUAUAUAUUAUUUUAAAUAUUUAUAUUUAUUUGACUCAUUUAUUAUACAUAUAUAAAGUUUUAAACACGUAAAGUUUAUAUUUUCAUGUCAAAUUUUAUUAAAAUAAAUUUAACACUUAUAAAAUUACCUAAAAAUAAAAAAUAUAUAUACAUAUAAUAUUAAAAAAUAUACAAUUCGGGUACCCAGAUUAAAAUCUAGCCUGGACUCGGACCCAGACCGAUUGCAUCCAAGCAGGAUCCAGUCAUUGCAAUAAUCGGACCUGGCCUGGGGUUUCGCCAUCUCCAAUACCAGAGCAAUGUAGAAUAUGUUUAUAAACUGUGAAUUACCCUUUAUAAGUAUUAGGCUUCUUUUAUACUCGAGCGAUGUGGAAUACCUUUAUAAGCAUUAAGCUUCUCCCAUACACUUUAUGUUAAAAAUAAUAAUAAUAAAAUAAAUCCAUUUUAAAAUAGGCUUUUUUUUUUCUUUUUCUAUAUAAACAAAAUGCAUUCUUCAAAUCAAUAGUGGGUGGAAGAAGUGAGUAGAGAAGAACUAGGCCCCUUUCAUUCCCCUAAAACCUCACCGAAACCUCUCUUGUGAACUUCUCAGAUUCUCUCUCAAUAUUUCUUAUGAUCUCGUUUUUGAUAGAAUCACUUCUUUUGCAUGCUGCAUUUUGUGAGUUGUUUUUGGGUAAUAUCUUAUCUGGAAUGCUGUUAUGAUCAAUAGAACAAGUAAUCAAUUUUUGGUUCGACGGAAGUCGAUUUAUUUAUUUACUAUUAUUUUUAUUUGAAAUUUUGUACAAUUGUGUUUCAUUCAUUUCUUUUCUUCUUUUUUUUUUUUAUAUUUAUUAUGUAGAAUUGUGUUUCAUUUGAUAUUGAUCAUACUGUAGAUAACUAUGUGAUUGUAGCUGGGGAUUUUAAGUUUUGUGAAUUCAAGAAACUGUCAAAAUGCUAGUGAAAUUGGGACCUUUAUUCAUAAGCUUGUGGUUUUGAAAAGUAGCCCGGUUCAACUGAUGAAGUUCCUUUUUGGGAUUCUUUUUUUUCUAGGCUGCAAUUCGGAUAUGUACGUGAUAGACAAUCUUUUGUGGGUUUAGCAUAUCUUCUUCGAUUUUGUCUUUUAUUCCCCAAUUUUACAGCUACACACCAUGAAUGCUGGGUGAUUGUACAGAAAAUUUGUGUUAGAACAAAAGCAUUGUGAAGGAGUUUCUGUGCUAUAAGUUAUUGGCUUCAGUUUUAUUGGCAUUAAUUGGGUAGAUUAUGUGUUACAGUGAUUCAAUUUGUGAUCCACACUUUAAUUUUCUCUUUUCCCCAAUUAUUUAUGUCAAAUUCAAAUCCAGAAGCAUGUGCUGAUUUUUUUUUUUUUGUGUUAAUCUGUGAAGUUUAUUUGGAAAGGAUGUAUCUGGGUCUAAUGGAUUAAAUUAUGACAUUGAGGAAAAGGCACUAAAGGUUUUGCUUGACACAUUUGGUCUGUGUUUACUCUGCAAUAAAUAGCUUCGCUUAUCGGAAAUCCCGAUUUGGCUGGUGAAUUUCUCAGUGACAGACAGGCAAACACCUAAACCGCUUCUAUCCAUUUUUCUGCUGGUGAGGUAAGGGGUAAAAAGUCUUCAAAAUCAUCAAAUAGUAACAUCUCUCAGAAUUCAUUUUAGAAAAAUGGAAAAUCUAGACCUGCUAGGACAAAAUGGCGUCCAGUAUCAGGAGGUACCGUUUCAAGUUUUCUUGGUAAAGAAUAUAAUAAACCUGCGCAACCAGCUAAUGGCACUUUUCUGGCAUCAAAGCCAUUGAAGUUGGAUCUAAAGGAGUUUUCCCAUGCCUGCACUGUGCAGAGAAGAAACUAAACCAAAACAAUCAAAGAAUGACCAUUUGCAGAAGGAUACGGAAGAUUUUCUAUUUAAAUUGUUAGUAGAAGGGUCCCAGCUGAACAGGGAUGUGAUUCAGGAGGUUCUCGGUAAUGUCUUAAAUAUACUGAUGCCAAUUUAAUACAUAUUGUCCUUUUCAAUGUUCUUUCUUUCUUUUUUUUUUCCCUUCUUCUUCUUUUUUCUUUUUGUGUGCAUGUGAUCACUGAUUUGGUAUUACGCUUAAGUUGCAGAUAGUUGUGGAUUUGAUAUGCAAAAGGUAAGGACUAUAUCUUCCUGAUGUAGGCCUCUGCUUUUUCCCCUUCUAUGUAAUUUAGUAAAUCACAUCUUCCUUUGUGAUUGUUAUACCAUAUCAAAGUCAAGUCUUAAAUACUGCUGUCAUAUGUUAAGGUUCAACUUGUAUUUUGAUUAACAUCCAUUUGCUGCUGCUUCCAAAAGUGAGAAUGAGAUACUUUGGUUAAUUUCAGUGGUUGAACCCAAUAGAGAACUUUAUUUAGAUCUUCAUGGUUCAAAGGCCUGAAAAAACUUCCUGUAAUUGUAAAAUGCCAUUCUGUGCUUUUUAUGCAAUAGGGAACAGGGAAGUAGAGCUUUGGAAAAGCCUGGAUUGAUAACUAUGGAGAGACUUAUUAUUUAAGUGAUGAAAAAUUCCCAUCACCCGCGGUCAAGAAAAUUUCAGAUAGUUAAAGACUCCAUUUUGCUUCAGCCAAAAAUGUUUGUUGCAAUGAAAGACUUGAACCAUUUUCAUUGAACCUGAUUGUGAUCCUUUACGUUAUGCAUGUUCCUCUCAAUCAAGAAAAGUUGAGGUCAUGAUUCUAUAUUUCUAUAUUGUAACUUGAAAUAAUAAUUGGUCUACUUGUUUCUGUAUCUUGAUAAGAUGAAUUUUCCUUCUCAAGUUAAUUUGAUCAAUAAAGUAAUUCUUCAAAGAAAAUAUGCCCAUUCUAUAAUCAUUUUCUUAGCUAAGAUGUUUUUUCUUCACUCUUCAGAGCAUGUCAAAACUAAUUGAUCGCUUGGCAGAUACUUUGGGUGAGAAGACAAAAUUUCUUGGUAAAUCCUCGGAAAAGGUAUGCAUAAUUCCCGAGUAUUAAAUAACCAAUAGUCAUAAUUUUUGUACAUGACUCUUUUUUCUCUUUUUUGUGGAGAUCAUUAAAAUUGGUUGAUGAUCCAUUUUGUAAUAUCAUAGAGGGAUCAUCAAUUCCUUCUCUUUUCUGUGGCUAGGCAACACUUUCUGGCCAAAGUAAGAAAAUCUAUUUAGGUAAUGUGAAAACCAACGGUAGGAUGUAAUAGUUUAUUAUGCACUGACAAUAACUUUUUGUAUGAUUGGCAGUUUAAUGAAUACAAGAGGAACUUUGUUGACAAAUUCAUCCAAGAUAGAUGCUAAAAUUAUUUAUGCAUGCCAGUUGCCUUAACUAAUUUUUCUUAACACUUGUAUUGAACAGGAAAAUGAAUAAACAAUCUGUAUAUUGUGCCAUUGUGGAGUAUUUGGAUAUUCUGAUUUAAGUAACAAGGAGAAUACUUGUCUCAUCUUUAAACAAUGAAUCUUUGAGAAAUGAGGAGUGGGGGAUUGGAAGUGUCUUCAUGUAAAUGUUCAUUUAUUUGUAUUUUGAACUAUUAUGAGAAUCUUAUAUGCCAAAUCAGUAAUACAAAUGUUCAGAUGAUUUUUGCUGUUGAUCAUGCAUUUGUGUCUGCACACAACCAUUGUAUAUCACUUUAUUCUGAUGUGCAGGUAUGUGUAGCUUAGAAGAAACGGAAUAAUAAUCAUCUAUUAUUGCUUGGUUCAUGAUUAUUAAACGAUUAUGGCUUUAAAAAGUCUACAAAUUCCUUCUGUUCAUAUGUGAAUGUGUGAUGGGUGUCGAAGCCAACAAAAAUAAAUUCCUACUCUAAAUAAAUUGUGUAUAGUGAUUGAGCAGGGUCGUGUCCACAGAGAUCGGUAAUUAUUUAAAUCCUUUUGAAACGUAAAACGUAAAAUGGGGGAAUUGUUGACAAUAAUAAAAAUCAAAUUAAAAUAACAAGAAUGCAAAUUAAAGUUGUAAUUCAAAUUGGAGAAAGCUCUGGUUGAAGGAAUUAACUCAGCUUGAUUCGACUACUGAUCAUUGAUUCAAAUAUAGAUUAUUAUUACUCAUGAAUAGACCGGUUAUAGCUACUGAGACCCUCGAAUAGCCAAUCUCUCCUUAACUAGUCGAUAACCAAGGUACGACCGUUGGUUAUUUCCCUAAUCAAUAGACAACCCUAGAUACGAUCAUAGGAUUUAAUCAAUUGACAGCCUGAAAAAUCAGAGAGACCCAAAUCCUAAUCAACACAUAUGAUGAUUCAUUUAAAUUAGAUUGUUUAUUCUCACAACACAACUCUCUGCUAUGUUAUUUGUCACAAACAUUAAAUUCUUCAUACGAUGAAUCCUUUAAUUGACAAUAGAUUAAGUUGAUAAUUAAAUAGUGGCCAAUUACCUAAUUAACAAACAUAAUCAUGAAACUAAUUCAGAGAAUAAACAAAUACCCAAAAAGUAAUAAAACAAUUAAAGCAUAAGAAAGAUCUCACAGUAGUGAUGAAUCAAAGCUUCAUUAUCCUUCAACCAGAAAAAUAAGUUUAGUUCUUCAUAGAGAGAAGAGAAAAAUUAGAUCUAGGGUUUCUUUCUUUGUCUCCAAUCCAAAAAUCCCCCUUUUUCACAAUAGAUUCCUCCCUUAAAUACUCUCUCUCUCUUCUCUUUUAGAAUUCUAUUUAAAAUAAAAUACUAAUAUCUUAAAUAUUAAAUUCGUAAUUACAAAAAUAGCCAAAAAUACAAAACACGUUAAACUAAAAACUGCAGGUCCGCAGUUGACAGCACGCGCCCACGCCUUAUCAACAAAGUUCUUCUGACGCUCAUAAUUUCUCCAAGAGAACAAUCCUCCUUAAACAUCAUCUUUUAGCUCAAUUUUAUCACCAAUCAAUAGAAUUGCACCUACAAAAGUAAAACACAAGUAAAAUAUUAUUAUUAAGUGCAAAACAUCGAUAUUAAGGGAAGUAAAUAAUGCAAAACUAGUGCAUAAAUUGCACUCUAACAAAUUCCCCCACACCAAGACGAUGCUUGUCCUCAAGCAUAUAACUCAAGAUUAAUCCCAAAUCUCCACUCAAUUCUCAUCUCAACUCAUCCAAAAAUAAUUUUAAGCAAGCAUACCUCAAGAAAUUAAGUCGAUCAACAUUCGAGAGACAAGGAUUUUAAAGCAUAGAAUUUCAUAAGAUAGAAUAAGAACAUUCAACCACCAAGAAGAUCCAUUCAAAAUUCAAGUGCAACAAGAUUUAAUAGCCCUCUCAAUAACUUCACUCCAUGCACUCAAAGUGUUUAGGGUGUCAUUUAUUCACUCAAAUCAAAUCAAAGAAUGCUAUUACCAUAAGCUUGCUCAUAUAUCACAUCUCAAUCCACAAAACAUGAAUAAAAUGCAAAAAUCUAAGGGUCUUAAAAGGGUUGUAAUGGGGUUAAAUGGGUUAAAUGAAAAAGAAAGGUUUACGAAAGAAAACAAAAAUCAAAAUGAGAAGAAUGAACUCAUUGAAUGAACUUAUGAUAUCAAAAUGCUUAUUUCUACUCAAGUCACCAAGAAUGUAAACAUUUUUUUUUUCAAUUUUUUUUUUCGAUUUUUUUUUUCUUUUUUUUUUCUCUUUUUCCUUUUCUUUUCUUUUUUUUUUUUUUUUGAAUCAAACAAAAGAAAUGAACCUUGCACAAUUUAAUUCAAGCAUAAUGCUUGUUGAUCUAAUUGAGAAACUUUAAUACAAGGUAGAAAAAGCAACAAAAUAUAUCCACACAAUGAGUCCAAAAAUCUCCUUAAAUUGAGGCUCAAAAAGAAGAAAAAUGGUUAAGUAGACGGAGAGAAUUAGAUGGGUAAUGGUUAAGGCUCAAACAAAGGUAGCAAAUAAAGGUCUUCGGGUAGAGAAAAAGGAAAAAGCGAGAAUAGAAAAAUGGUAAAUUGUUUGCCCUUAUUAUUUUAAUGCCUAAAAUCCCGUAAUGUGGCUUCAACAUGCAUAACAAAGCAAGUUCUAGAAUAAACAAACUAGGAUUGAUAUUCACAUAACAAAAAUAAUUAGAGCAAAGUGGUUGCUCAUAGGCUCAAAUCCUCACAAAGUUGGUAAAUUUGCCAUCAAAUCAUGUACACUCUUCAAAUGAAUCAACCAUCAAUAGUGGUGUAGAAUGGGAAGAAGGUAUGAGUGAAGGAAAGGUAAAAAUGAUAAGAAGUGAGAAAGAUGUAUGUAGUAAUAUGAAAAGUGAAAGAUAAAAUGUGAGUGAUGAAAGAGUAUGAUAGAAUAAAAAUAGAUGUAAAUAAUUUGAGAUAGAUGGGAAAAAAGUAGUGAGAAAGAAAAGAAAAGAAAAAUAAUAAUAUAUGAAGCAUACUAACUCCAAAAUCAUUUAAGGAUGAGUAGAGUGAAAACAAUAAUUCCAGACAUCAAUAAUGCAAAAAUCCCUCCCCCACACCAAGAACUUACAUUGUCCCCAAUGUAAGAUAAUUAAAGCUCACAUAAAAAUUAAAGCGCAAGGAUAAAAGAUUAAAGGCAAAAAAAACUUCCCUGAAUUGUGAGCUUUGAUCCACAUAACGUCUAUGGUUGCGUUGCGAUUGCUGCUCGGCUGGAGCUUGCUUGAUGGGCGCGGGAUGGAGCUGAUUGUGUUACGCGCGCGCGCUGGGGCUGCUGGAUCUGCGCGCUGCGUGGGCUGUGUUGCGCGCGAGAGCAGGGCUGACGCUGGUUUUGCGCGCUGCUGGGCGAAGGCUGGAUCUACGCGCGCGGUUUGCUGCUUGCUAGACGCGGGAUGCUGGUGCUGCUGGUUGCGUUGCAGGUGGGACUGAUGCGGUUGCUGCUGGUUCUGCGCGCUGGAGCUGAGGGUUGCUGCGGGAAAACGAUAAUCAACAGUGAAUUUUUUUGAAUUAGGGAUUUGUGAACAGUGAUUUGUGAUUUUUGUGUUUUUUUUUGUGUUUUUUUUUUAAAUAAAUAAAGAAAAUAUAUAUAUAUAUAUAUAUAAGAAAGAAAAGAAGGAAAAAAAACUUUUUUUUUUCGUUUUUUUUAUAAAUAAAUAAAAAAUAUAUAUAUAAGAAAAGAAAAUAAGGAAAAAAAAACUCUUUUUUUUUUUUUUUGAAUCACUUUGAGACACUAAAAAUUUCAGAAGUACUUUUCUAAUAAGCACGUAGGCACGCCUUAAAACUAUUUUACUUUAAAAAUUACAGAAGUACUUAUUAGUUAAGACGUGGGCACGCCUUAUCAAAAAUUUUCUUCUGACCAAAAUAAGCAAACACAUUAUUUAAAAAAAAAAAUAUGAAUCAAAAUUAAAAGAAGAUAUAACAAAAACCAAAAUAAAUAAAUCAUUUGGGUUGCCUCCCAAAAAGCGCCUUUGUUUUAUGUCUUUGGCUAGACACAUUUAUGCAUCAAUCUCCAUAAUUAGGACUCUCGAGAGCCACAUCCUCCACAAUAUUCACCGAAAAACCUUCAUAAAAAGGUUUUAAGCGAUGACCAUUAACCUUAAAAACUUUGUCAGAGGUCGGACUCCGAAUUUCAACUGCACCAUGAGGAAAAACAUUAGUAACAAUAAAAGGUCCAACCCAGCAAGAACGUAAUUUACCCGGAAAAAGUUUAAGCUUAGAAUGAAAAAGAAGAACUUUUUGACCAACAGAGAACUCCUUUCUCAAAAUCAUUCUAUCAUGAAAUGUCUUCGUCUUUUCCUUGUAAAAAAUUUCCUGCGCUAUAGGGUUAAUAACAUCCACAGAAAAUACCGAAUGUUCCUCACUAGGAUAUUUCAUGGCAUCAUUCAUAUUGAAUUCUAUAACCUCUCCAUCAAACUCCAUAGUGAGAGUCCCUUUAUGUACAUCCAUUUUAGUCCUAGCAGUCUUAAGAAAAGGUCUUCCUAGCAAAAUUGGGACAGAAUUAGAGGAGUUAUCCUCUUCCAUAUCAAGUACAUAAAAAUCAGCAGGAAAAACCAACUCAUUAACUUGUACUAAGACAUCUUCUAAUACCCCAUCAGGAUAUGCAUUAGACCUAUCAGCUAGUUGAAUUAUCACGCCAGUUUCUUUUAAUGGACCAACAUUCAAAGAUGAAUAAAUGGAACGAGGCAUGACAUUAAUAGAAGCUCCUAGAUCUAACAUAGCCUUUUCAACUCUAACACUACCAAUUUUACAAGGGAUAGUAAACAUACCUGGAUCCUUGCACUUACGAGGUAGUUUCUUUUGGAGAACUGCUGAAACAUUCUCCCCCAUGUGAACUUUUUCAUCUCCUCUUAAUUUUCUCUUGGAGGUGCACAGUUCCUUAAGGACUUUAGCAUAUCGAGGUAUUUGUUUUAUAGCAUCUAAUAAAGGAAUAUUUACCUCAACCUUGCGAAAUGUCUCAAGGAUGUCUUUCUCUUGUUCCUCCUUCUUGGAUUUUGCAAAUCGGCUUGGAAAAGGAGGAGGUAUCACAAUAGGUAGGGGUUUAGCUCUGGUGGGUUCCGCAUCAUGAGAUUGAGGCAUCAAUUCAUUCUUCUCAAGUUCAUCUUCUACAUGCUUUGUCACUUUCUUACUAGGCUCUUGCAACUCCGUCCCACUUCUAAGAAUGACAGCACUAACGUUUUCCUUUGGAUUCACCUCAGAUUGUGAAGGCAAUCUCCCCAAUACUUGAGACUCCAGACGGCUCACUGUAGUCGCCAAUUGACUCAUUUGGUUCUCCAAGUUCUGAAUGCUUGCUGUAGUUGCCUGCUGAAAUUGUUGAGUGUUAGUCGCAAGUGAUUUAACAAUUUCUUCAAGAGAUAUACCUGACUUGGAGUUUGACUGUGGAAGUGCUGGUUGUCUUGGUGGAUACUGUUGUGGGAAUCCUGAUUGCCUAACUCCAUAGCUGAAGUUGGGAUGAUCCUUCCAUCCCGGAUUGUAUGUUUGUGCAUAAGGAUCAUACCUCCUCUGAGGCAUGCCUGGAAAUCCUCCAAUUGCAUUGGCUUGUUCAACGGGUUCUUCUUGAAGUGUAGGACACAUAUCAGUUGAAUGACCCAUAUUGUAACAAAUGCCACAAGUCUUCACCUGUUGCACAUUACCUACAACAAACUUUUCCACAAGAGAAGUAAGUUUAUCUAAACGUUGUUCAACAGAAGAAAUAUUUACCUCAUUCACCGUUCUUGAAGUGGCAUCUUGUCUGCUGCCAAAUUGUUGUGCAUUGGCAGCCAUAUUUGAGAUCAACUCCCUUGCUUGAGUAGGGGUCUUGUUCACCAACACACCUCCACUAGCAGCAUCUAUCAUACUCCUAUCCAUCAAUGAUAGUCCUUCGUAAAAAUAUUGAAUAAGAAGUUGAUCAGAGAUCUGAUGCUGAGGACAACUGGCACACAAUUGUUUGAAUCGCUCCCAAUACUCAUACAAAGUCUCCCCAGGAAGUUGUCUGAUCCCACAAAUAUAUUUUCUGAUGUUGGCAGCUCUUGAAGCAGGAAAGUACUUCUCAAGGAACUGCUUCUUCAAACCAUUCCACGUUGUAAUCGAUCCAGGAGGCAAGUAGUACAACCAAUCUUUAGCUAGCCCAUCUACAGAGAACGGAAAAGCACGCAGCUUAAUCUGCUCUUCAGUCACGCCUUGUGGUCUCAUACUUGAACACACAACAUGAAACUCCUUAAGAUGUUUAUGAGGAUCUUCACCUGCAAAACCAUGAAACUUGGGUAAUAAAUGAAUAAGACCAGACUUUAAUUCAAAAUUUACCUCCAAAUCUACAUAUUGAAUGCAGAGUGGUUGCUGAUUCAAGUCUGGUUCAGCUAACUCUCUAAGAGUUCUUUCUACAGGUGCAGGUCUAUUCAUCACUUGUUCUUCCGAAUCACUAGAUGAUUCAACUAAAUCAGGCACUGUAUCUGUUUCAGAAAGCAAAGGCGACGAGGAUCGUUGCUUAGCUCGCUUCGUCUGCUGUCUCAGCUGGCGAGCUGUCUUCUCAAUUUCGGGAUCAAACGAAAGUGUACCUGUACGAGAAGAACGAACCAUACACAAAGUAAAACGUAAAAAGGAUUAAAUAAAUGACACCAAUCCCCGGCAACGGCGCCAAAAUUUGAUGGGUGUCGAAGCCAACAAAAAUAAAUUCCUACUCUAAAUAAAUUGUGUAUAGUGAUUGAGCAGGGUCGUGUCCACAGAGAUCGGUAAUUAUUUAAAUCCUUUUGAAACGUAAAACGUAAAAUGGGGGAAUUGUUGACAAUAAUAAAAAUCAAAUUAAAAUAACAAGAAUGCAAAUUAAAGUUGUAAUUCAAAUUGGAGAAAGCUCUGGUUGAAGGAAUUAACUCAGCUUGAUUCGACUACUGAUCAUUGAUUCAAAUAUAGAUUAUUAUUACUCAUGAAUAGACCGGUUAUAGCUACUGAGACCCUCGAAUAGCCAAUCUCUCCUUAACUAGUCGAUAACCAAGGUACGACCGUUGGUUAUUUCCCUAAUCAAUAGACAACCCUAGAUACGAUCAUAGGAUUUAAUCAAUUGACAGCCUGAAAAAUCAGAGAGACCCAAAUCCUAAUCAACACAUAUGAUGAUUCAUUUAAAUUAGAUUGUUUAUUCUCACAACACAACUCUCUGCUAUGUUAUUUGUCACAAACAUUAAAUUCUUCAUACGAUGAAUCCUUUAAUUGACAAUAGAUUAAGUUGAUAAUUAAAUAGUGGCCAAUUACCUAAUUAACAAACAUAAUCAUGAAACUAAUUCAGAGAAUAAACAAAUACCCAAAAAGUAAUAAAACAAUUAAAGCAUAAGAAAGAUCUCACAGUAGUGAUGAAUCAAAGCUUCAUUAUCCUUCAACCAGAAAAAUAGGUUUAGUUCUUCAUAGAGAGAAGAGAAAAAUUAGAUCUAGGGUUUCUUUCUUUGUCUCCAAUCCAAAAAUCCCCCUUUUUCACAAUAGAUUCCUCCCUUAAAUACUCUCUCUCUCUUCUCUUUUAGAAUUCUAUUUAAAAUAAAAUACUAAUAUCUUAAAUAUUAAAUUCGUAAUUACAAAAAUAGCCAAAAAUACAAAACACGUUAAACUAAAAACUGCAGGUCCGCAGUUGACAGCACGCGCCCACGCCUUAUCAACAAAGUUCUUCUGACGCUCAUAAUUUCUCCAAGAGAACAAUCCUCCUUAAACAUCAUCUUUUAGCUCAAUUUUAUCACCAAUCAAUAGAAUUGCACCUACAAAAGUAAAACACAAGUAAAAUAUUAUUAUUAAGUGCAAAACAUCGAUAUUAAGGGAAGUAAAUAAUGCAAAACUAGUGCAUAAAUUGCACUCUAACAAUGUGCCAAGUUUGCUAUAUCUUAGAUUAUCUUCUUCCAAGAUAACAAGUUCAUAUUCUUUUUAAUCUUUUUCCAUCACAGUUGACUUUUAGGUGUUAAGAUUUGUUAUUAGUCCCCUGUUAUUAUGAUUUCAUAAACAGUGUACGGAUAUGUGCUCUAACUUUGGAGGACCUCCACGUGAAAGAAAAUUGCAACAAUUGAAUUCUUCCGGAGGGUAUGGUCUUUAAUUUAUUUUCUCAACUUCUCGUAAGAUUAAUAUAUUUCAUUCAGUAGGCACAGCAUGGGGGGAAGGGUUUUUAUUGAAAGAAUUCUGAUAUUUCUUAGACUUCGUUUUGGAAUGGGGUGGAGGGAUUUCUCAUCCAUGUAUGGUUACUUGAUUAGCUUUUGACUGUAUUUCCUCAGUCAUGUAAAGGAAGAUCCAAAUACCAACGAAGGAAAAUUGCCUAGACACCCGAAAGACAGAAAUGAGCUACAGAAGCAAGUUUUAGCUACUUUAUUUAGUGCUCCUGAGAAAUCUGAUGGAGACCGAAUGGAGGUCCAAAGCACUGGGAAAGGUAGUGAGUGAACCGCCGGAGGAGUUGGCACCGGAAUGCAAGGCUAAUGUGGUGCACUUGCAGCAAGAUAACCAAACCGGUAUGUGCUCUUAUAUUAACUAUACUGACAGGAUUUGUGAGUGUGUGCAUUUUUUUGUGUAUACUCUUGUAUUUAUGCAUAUUAAUGUGUGUAGGAAUUUCUGCCACUUACUGGAGAACUAGUGGAAAGCUUUAUACCGAUAUAUCUGCAAUAACUAAUUGGAAACUAUGAUAUUAAUAUUUUCUCUCACCUGAGGAACUGUGUAACAGAUAUACUUUGUGGCUCUGGAAUACUAGAGAUUCUGCAAUAACUAAUGGAAACUAUGAUAUGAAUAUUUUAUCUCAACUGGAGAACUUUGUAACUUGUAGCUCUGGAAUGUCUAAGGAAUUUUGUCUGCUUCAGUUAGAUCAAAUAUCUUUUAGUUGCAUACAUUAUAGAAAAAGAUAAAGUUCUCUGAAUCUGAAAGACUGAAACAUUUUGUAUAUUUUGUGAAAGGGAAAUAUCUGUAUAUACUAGUUCAUGCAUUGAGGUAACAUCAAUGUUAAAGAAAAACAGCAAUAAGUUAUUAUGUGGAACAAGGUUCACUUGCUUUAAAUGCUGGUCUGGUCAACCAUAUGAACCUGUAAGUUCUGCAGAAAUAUAUAUAUGGGGAGAAACUAGCUAAAUUUUCCGUUCAUUGAUGGCUUUGGUCAUUUUUUUCCCCUUAUUUUUCAGCUUUCCUUCUCCUGAAGUAUGUCAACAACUGCAGAUAAUGAUGAAGAGGACAGCUUGCAGGCUCUUCUUAGAGCCAUGAUGGAAUAUAGGGGCACAAUGAAGGAACAUUGCAAAGCUGUAGGUUCUUUUUCUCCUGUCAUUUAUGUUUUCUCACACAUUUUUUAUAUGCUCCAAGCAUGCAAUUUUGUAUGUGUCAACUGCUUCCUAAGUUUUAAAAACCAUAAUGUAAGAAUACAGUUCUUUGUCAGGUUAUUGAUGCAUUUGCUCAGGGGGAUCAUGUUCGAGCAGGAAAACUUCUAGAGCUGACAAGGUUUUCCAUCUACAGCCAUCUAUUGACAACAGAUACAUUUUCAUUCAGCAAACACUGUUAGCAUUCAAGAUACUGGCAGAUUCACUUGAUUCUUAUUAGUUUGUUUAGUAGCAAAGCAUAUAACCUGUAUUUCAAAGCCAAGUUGUGCUAUUGAUUAUGUUAACUUUAUUGUUCACAUAAAGUGAUAUGGAGGAAAUAAUCAAUGUAGGAAAAUUAGGUGAAGAGAUGAUGUCACAUCUUGAACCUCUUACAAAGCUCCAAGUUCUUUACUUGAAGAAGCCGCCAAAUUUGAAGAGCGUCUACUGGAAGGCAUUUCCAUUCCCAGAUGUAUGCAGAAUUUUUGUAUUAAUGCCCAGUUCUUAAGAAGCUGCCACUGGACUUUCAAAGGCGGGCCAAGGUAAAAUUCUUAUCGAGGGAAAGGAAGAUUGGUGGAAACAACUUCAAUCGGAGGAUCAAGUAACUCAGAAUGCAUUGCUUCCAUUUUUAAAAUCAACUGACAAGUGAUUGAAGGGGGCAUCAUCAACAUCAUCAACAUGGAUGGAGAGAUUCAGGAGCAGAUCAGCAGGGUUUAGUACGACCUGUGGUGGUUUCUUUUUUGUGACUUUUUUCCCUUUCAUUUUUUCACUUCCUGUCAUAUUAUCAUUUCUGUCUCUGUUUCUAUUGCUGUUGUUGCUGCAUGCUUGCUGUCCUUGACAAAGUUAGCUAGUUUUUUUGUUUAUUAAAUUUUUUAUGUUCGGGACAUCCUUGACAAAGUUAGCUAGUUUUUUUGUUUAUUAAAUUUUUUAUGUUCGGGACAGUCACAAAGUACUACUUGUUCUAUAAGGGGGUGAUGUGAAUCAACUUUUCAAUUAUAUAUUCUGUGGUAAUUGUGAAUUCAAUUUCAUUUGUCUCCUGCAAAUUAUGAAGAAAGUGCAGAGUUACAAUAUGGAAAAGUUCACUGGCAAAUACUUUGUAAAAGCUUCGGAGUGAAACAGGGAAUGCACUUGCAACUAAGGACAAAUUGGUGGCCAGCUAAUGCAUUCAUUUUAUGUACAUUCAUCUUUUUAAUUAUUGAAGAUAAGUGGUUCGUCGCUUUUGUUGUAGAUAAAAUUCAGACGAUCUCCAUUGUGAAAUGAUAAUAUUUAAAAUAUCUCUUAAAUUAUAAUAAACUUUAAUUUAUCUUAAUUUUAUUUAAAAGAUAAAAGAAAAAUGUGGUAUAUCGAUAAUUUUUUUAUCUUCUUAAUAAAACGAAGUAAAUUAAAAUUUAUAAUAAUUUAAAAUAUUUUAAAGAUUAUUAUUUCAUAAGAGAGUAAUAUGAAAUUAAUCCUUUUUACUUUUUGAAUGUGAAAGAUCAAGAAAAGAGAAAGUAAGUGUCCUUGCUUUUUAUUUUAAUUGAAAUCGGAGUCAUCCCAUAUACUUUACUCCUUUAGCUCUCUCCUCAAGGUGAGAUGCGUGAGUUGGGUGAAGAUUUGGUGAGUGUUGUGAUAUGCGUGCUACUUUGAGAAUUUAUAGAUAGCACAAAACGCAGCGUUCUGUGUUAAUUGUGGUUCUUACUGUGGUAAGAAUCUCAUUUUCUUAUUUCAACAGGUUUACCAGAAGAAAAAUCCCUCAGAUCACAUCACUGCCUUUUCUCUCAUUUUCUCUCUCUAUAUUUUCUAAUACAUUCUACAUAUUUUUCAUGUCCUCACAUACUUGUAUUUCAAAUGCAAUAGAUGUGUUUAUAUAGAGGCUAAUGAGAGUGAUUAAAGUUAACUAAAAAACUUCUAUGUAAAAUAAACUUCUAUGUGUUUAAAACCAAUAAAAUAGUAAGUAUAGCAGCCCUUUUUACAAUAAUGAAGUGAAAAUUAAUUUAGCAAGAUAUUUUCUUAAUUUAUACUUUCUUUUUUGAAGUUUUUAUUUUCUAUGGUCAAUUAUACCGUUUACAAUUUCUUUUGAUCUAACUACAACUAAAUUUUUGGUUUAAGGAUUCUUAUUUGGGAGUAUUAAUAUGUGAGCGAACGCUUGGAUACUGCUCAAUGAUAUCUAAUCAAUAGCUGGAAACAAUCGAGAAGGCGGUCGCAGCUGUGCACAAACAGCUUUGGUAAAAUUUUUAAACAGAGUUGACAUGCUAUUCUGAGAUUUGGUUCAUUACUUUGUAUGAUUUUUUCUCAAGCAUGUUAUGCCGAAAUGAACAAUUAAAAAAGAAGAAGGAAAAGUUAGGGUAAAAUUUUUACUAAAUCAUUUUUUAUUAACUAUUUAUAUUAAACAAAUGGAACAAGAAUUGUAGUCAUUCGUCAUAAGCGUGCUAAUAUGAUAAUUCUCUGACUACCAUUUUCUAUUUACCCCUUUUGCAGCAGGGAAUCCAAAUUUUGAAUUGUCCAAUGAUCCACAAUCAAUCCAAUGGUCCAAAACUUUUGGUCGUUAUGCGAAAAAUUUUCCCAAUUUUGGGCCAAUAUUCUAACAAGUUUUAUUGAAGGGCUGGACUAUUGGCACCCCUCUAAAAUUUCCUUAAAACCCCUUUUCUAUUACAAUUACAUUUAAAGAUAAAAAUAAUUACCAAUUCAUCUAUUUUAAUAUUUUAUCCCUCUUCAAACUUUUCUAUUUUCUUCUCAUCAAAAUUUUUCCCUCAAAUUCUCUGUAUUUUUUUGUUUUAUUCAUUUAUUAACAUAUUCUUUUUAUUAUAACAAAUCCAAAUUUUCAAGCAAAAUUAUAGUACAAUAUUGAUUGUUGUUUGCUUUAUUAGAAGGGACUUUUUAGCUGAGGAAAUAAAAACUGUAUAUUUGGUUUCUUCUAACUGCUCGUUGACGAUAGUCACGGCAUCCUGCACAUUUCUAAUGACUUCCUUUAGUAUGUUCUGCUUCUACCUCAUUAGUUCCAAAUAGCUUCUGUUAUCCCAUGCGUACUUCUUAAAAAUAACUUCUGCUAUUUUUUUAAUUAAUUAUUUGAAUCUUGGAGUUUUCUUUUUUAUCUUUUCCACAAUUUUUCAUUCGGAUUUAUUCAUAAUCAUACUAAAACUUUUUACAUUAUAAUUCUAAAGAUAUUGAAUCUAAUUCACUAAUUUGUAUUAAGAAGUUUAUCGCAUAAAUUUUGUGUGGAGAUUGAUAUAAUAAGACUCUAAAAUAAUUUUAGAAAUAAGAAAAUAUUAAGAAAUCGAAAGAUUAACAAAUUAGAAAUAAGGGUAAUUCUGACAUUAAAUGAAAUAUUAGGGACAAAGGAGUUUUUAGAGGAUUUUAACGGGUGCCAAUAGUUCAACUCUUUAUUGAAAUAAAAGGGAGAGGAUCGUUAAAUUGAAAAGUCCAUUUUAUUAUCAAGUGUUUUAAAUUAGUGCAACGUGACAAUUUUUACUGAUGAUAUCUUCUAUUUUUUUCAUAUAAAAUUAAUGUUAUUUUACUUACAAAUAUAAACUCCUAAAUAUUUGUAGUAGAUUUGAAGUUGAGCCCAUGAAACGGUAAUGAGGAAUUAAUGAGACUGAGGAUCUGCAAUUUAGUCAUGAAAAAUUUGUAAUUAAGCACGACUAAAUUUCAAUUUUCUCUUUGUAAUUUCUUUGGGUGCCUGAAAUUUUUUCUCCCUUAAUUUUCUGAUUACAAGUGCAUAAUUGUAAGUGCAACCGAUUUUAUUUUCAGGGAAUACUAUCGGACGGUGUGGAUAUAUAUAUAUAUAUAUAUAUAUAUAUACGAGAAAUGUUCCAAUUCAGAAUUUUAAAGUGUAGGAACGUCUGGGAAAACGCAUAAACCGUGCAGUUUAAACGCUUUAAGUUUUAAGCCUUUAAAACCCCGCAGUUUUAAAGUUUUCCUAGAUGUUUUCCGCACUUUAUGAUCCCGGACUAGAAAACUACUAUAUAUAUAUAUAUUAUCUGCUCGGUGAAAAGUUUUUUAAUCCGAGCUUAGAAUCUAGGAUUAAAAUUAUGAAAAAAAUUUAAGUAUUACACACACACACACACACUAUUCGGUCAUUUUUUUUUAAAAUCUGAGUUUAGAUGUAGAAUUAAAGUUCGAAAUGAAUUUACUGUGUUAUAAAUCAAUUUUUACAAUGUUGUAAAUUGAUUUAUGAUAUUAAAAAUCCAUCUUAAAUUUUAAUCUCAGAUUCUGAGUUUGGAUCUAAUAAACACUCUCUCCGAUUAUGUUGUCUAUAAUUUUGCAUUCAAAGAAACUUCACGAAAAAUAUAAUAUCAUGUGUAGCCCUAGAAACUUUAAUAACAAUAAAAAAGAUAUCAUAAGAAAAGAAAACUCAUAAUUGUUCAGAUAUUUAUAAAUUGGUGGCCGUUGGAAAUUUAACUGCAAGUGCCAAUCCGAGAAAAGUCUUCGUGCAGGAAAGACUUUUAGCCAUACGUUCUUCCAAGUCAAAUGAAACAGUGGAUGUACAAAGAAUAAGACAUGUCAUUCAGCUGCAGAUUUCAUGGCCAGUAUGACUCAUUCAGUCCCUUAUGGGUUACAUGUUUUUGAUAGCCCGCCUGUGGGUAUUUAUUCAAUUAUUUUACAAGACAUAUUUGGGGUUGCUAAACCCCGUAUGGUUCUGUCUUAGCUCGUUUUAUUGAGCCCAUUUUAAUCAAAAAAAAAAAAAUAAUAAGACAUGUCAUUCAUUGUUUGUUUGCUGCAUUCCCUCUCAUUUUCUUAAUUAUUGAAGACAGGUUGCUCAUAGCAUGUACUUUUCAAAUGUGGAACCGCAGCUAAUGUCACUAUUUUAAUUUGGAAUUAAAUUAGGGCCCAUCUAUAAAAUUUAUAACAUUAUAUUGCAGUGUGAACUAACUUUUAUGUUUAUCUAAACACCUUAAAUUUAAGGCAAAUUAUGGCAUAAAUAAGAAUUAAAACAGAACACUUAUGAUGUAUAGCAAAAGAGUUGUGAUGAAGAUCUUGAAGAAAUAUAAUAUUAGCGCCGAAUUAAGUAACUAAGAACACCCCUGAACUGAAUAAUGGUUAUCAAAAUUGUGUUACUUGCACUCCUAUUUACUAAAAGUCUGGUUCUGUUCCAUUUGAGUUUUUAUCUUCAAAUUUCAAAAUCUUGCUAAGUUUUGACAACAAAAAGGCUCAGUUUGCUUGUUCUAUAUUUGUAUUAUAUGAAUCCAAAUUUUUGUGUUCUAUUUUCUCAAUUUUGAAUACAAAUUCUUUUCUUCUCCCACAAACCAGAAAGAAAUGCUGUAUUAAAAAAAAUGGAAAUAAAUUCAUUACAACAAAAAUUAGGAAAAAUAAUACAAACCAAAUUAGGAUAAAUAACAUCACUUUCUAGAGAAGCAGGCAAAAAUGGAAAAUGAUAUUUCAAUUCUUCAAGAUCCCAAAUCUCUGUUUCUAAAUUUUCUUUCAUGUUGCUUCUCGCAUAGAAUCAUUUGGUAUUAAUAAAAUUUUUACUUAUUAAACAAAAGUUUUUAAAAUUUUUUUUAUUCCUGCUGUUAAUCUAUGAAUGGUUUCAUUGUUGGAGUUUCUUUCAGAAGACAAGAAUACUUUGGUUAAGUGUUUGGCUAAGUACUAAAUUAAAGGUUGUUAGAUAGAAGAAAUUAAAAAAAAAAAAAUCCUAACCCUUUUAUUCAGUGUUUAAUCAGCAAAUAUUCAACUCAACAUGAAUCUUAAUCAUCUUUAAAAAAAAAUUAUUCAAUUUUCUAAUAAUAUUUAUUCAGGUACUAGAAGUUAAAACCCUACUUACAUGGAUGCGUGGCCAUCGGUCCAAUUUAAAAAAAAAGAGAGAAAAAAUAAAUGUAAUCCAUGAAUUUGGUUAAUUUUCCUUUGUUUGUUUGUUUCUGUUCUCCCCCCCCCCCCCCCCCCCACCCCCUUUUCAAUAUCAUUCCUUUUUGGCCGCCCAAGGACAUUUUCACAAAUACCUUUUGUGCAUAAGUCUUUUAAACCAUCAAUCGGAAGAAACAUGCUUCCAGUGAUACCUCCAAUUAUCAUUGAUGACUUUUCUUACUCUAAUGCUAUGUCAAUUCCAACAUUUGUAUGUUAAUAUAACAUAAUCAAUGAUUUGGAUAAUUGAUGACUUUUACAGAUUGUGGAUUCUUGCGGAUUUUCAAUCUAAUCCAAUCCACCAAUUCACAAAUUCAGAUUUUUACGGAUUAAAUUUUUACAGAUCAGACGAAUUGAGCAGACUAGAUUGGAUUUUGAACAUUGCUAAUUUGUAUGUUAAUUAUAAGAUAAUCAAUUAUUUGGAUAAUCCCUUGUGUUUUAUCUCUAAUUAGAACAUCAAUCUUCACAAUAUUUACAAUGCUACAAUGGCUAUAAACAAAACCUGCUUGCAAAUUGUCAAGGAUACUUAUCCUUUCGCUUGACAAGUCAUUUGGAAAAAUAUUGUCCCUUGGCGGCUCCAUGUCUUCCCCGCCCUUCCUUUUGGUCUUAAUGUACGGUUGCUUAAUGAUAGUUUAGGCCCUUUAGGGACUACUUUCCCUGGUGUUGUUAAGUCUUAGCUUGUGCUAGGCUCGUUUUUCUUACCAAAAGAAAAGGAAUACUUCUCCUAUAAGAAAUAAUCUCUAUAUAUAGGGUGGUUGGAUUCACUUGUUUACAUAACAGAUCAAUUAGUUCUCUGUAAAUAGAGAGUUUCAAGUAUGAAAGAAACGGUAGGUCUAUUGAGAGAUUAUGUGUUAUUAGGAUUUUGGUUGUGAAGAAAAGUACUAGAGUGAUUGUGUUAAUUUUCUACGUAGUUGAUUUUUCUAUCGUCAUCUUUGUGGCUGUGAUUUUUCUUUCAUAUAGAAGUUUCCCACGUAAAUUGUUAUGUUAUGUGAUUAGUUUUGAUAUUUUAUUUGUAAGAUGUUGGAUGGGAUUAAAAGUUCAUAUUACUGCUAGAUGAUAUAUGGGAGCGGGUUGAUUUAGUAAAAAUGGGUGUCCCUCUUCCUAGAUCAGAAAACAACACAUCUAAAGUGAUAUUUACAAACCCGUUCUAAGGAAGUUUGCAGCUUAAUGGAAGCUCGUAGGAGUUUUAAAGUGGCGUGCUUAUCAAAUAAAGAUGCUUAGGAAUUGUUUCGAUACAAAGUUGGGGAAGAAACUUUGAACAAUCAUCCUGAUAUCCUUGAGCAAGCACAAUAGUUGUUAAGGAGUGUGGUGGUUUGCCACUUGCACUUUUUACCAUCGGCCGAUCUAUGGUGUGCAAGAAGACAUAGCCGAAGAAUGGAGAUAUGCUAUUCAAGUGUUCACUUCGUCCGCUUCCCAUUUCCAGGUCUGGAAGAAGGGAUAUAUACUCUUGUAAAUUCAGUUAUGAUAGUUUACCCAAUGACACAAUUACACCUUGUAUGUUAUAUUGUAGUUUAUAUCCAGAAGAUUGUUGCAUUUCUAAAGAGAAUUUCGUAUAUUGUUAGAUUAGUGAAGGAUUUUUGAAUGAAAGUGAUUGGUUUGGAGAAAAAAAUCAAGGAUAUUUCAUUUUGGGCAUUCUUCUUCAUGGUUUUUUUUUUUUUGGAAAAGGGAGGAGAUUGUGAAGUGAAAAAUGCAUGCAUGACGUUAUUCGUGAUAUGGCUUUGUGGAUCGCAUGCGACCAUGAGAAGGAGAAGGAGAACUUUUUGGUUUAAGCUAGUGUUGGUUUAACUAAGGUACCAGAUAUUAGAGAUUGGGAAAAGGUGAGGAGAUUGUCAUUGAUGAAAAAUAAAAUUGAGAAUCUAACUGAGGCUCAUACAUGCCCUCAUCUCCUCACUUUCUUUCUUGAUGAUAAUGAGUUUCGAAAGAUCCCCGAUGACUUCUUCCAGUUUAUGCCUUCUCUCACUGUUUUAAACUUGUCACAUAUUAAACUAAAGUCAGUUCCUUUAGGGACUUCAAGGUUGGUUCCACUACAACAACUCGAUCAUUCAUAUUCAAGCAUAAAAGAGUUGCAAGAAGAGUUAAAUGCCUUGAUUAAAGUUAAAUGCUUGAAUAUAGAUCAUGUAGAAGAGCUAAUUACAAUUCCACAACAACGAAUAUUUAAUUUUUAAGGUUAUAUGUGUUGAGAAUGUUCGAUACUAUUAGUUUAAAUUUUCAAGAAGCAUUAAAUAAAGACAGUAUUUUAUUUGGUGGGAGUUAAAGAAACAGAAAAUAAGUGUUUGGCUAAUAAAAAAAUAAAAUGAGAUCUGGAAACUUUUAAUCCUUUUAUUUUCUCAAGCUUAAGUUGCUACUGAACGAUUACAAACAUAUAUAUACAAGUGUAGCUGCUCAGCUGAAGAUUACUAAACUAACUAACUGAUUACAAAUUGAUUAACAAACGCAUCACGUGUAUGAGUACAAGCAGCUACAUAACCACCUGGUGCCAGCUGGCAGUACAUGUCAUCAACUUGUAACUGAUUAUAGAAGCUUCUGUGAUCCUCUGCUCUGUGGUCCUCAGCUUGACUACAAAUAUGAGUUUCCUUAAGAUCCCCCCCAAGCUCAAAGGUCUACUAAUGACAUGGAGUUUGGACCUGAAGUAGCUGAAUUUUGGAAGAGAUGAAGCCUUCGUGAGAACAUCAGCAACUUGUUCAUCUGUAAGAAUGUAUCUCACUUCUAAUUGCUUUUGAAGUACCUUAUCUCGGAUGUAAUGGAUGUCCAACUCGAUAUGCUUAGACCUGGAGUGAAACACAUGAUUUUUGGCUAAUUUCCCAGCACUCUGAUUAUCACACCAAAGCACUGGUGUUGGCAGUUUUACAAUGUUGAGCUCAUAAAAUAAAGAUUCCAGCCAAGAGAUUUCUGAACUUGCUGAUGACAGUGCUCUGUACUCAUUUUCAGUGCUGGAUUUUGCCACUAUGGCUUGUUUCUUAGAGGACCAUGAAAUCAAAUCGUUGCCAAGAUAGAUGCAAUAUGCUCCAAUAGACUUUCUAUCAUCUAUAUCACAAGCCCAAUCUACAUCUGAGUACCCAUUCAAACCUGUAACUUCAAGCUCCCCUUCUUUCUGAAUAUAUAUUCUAUAAGUAACAGUUGCUUGAAGAUAUCUAAGUACAUUUUUACAAGCAAGCCAGUGCUGAAGUGUAGGAGCACUUAGAUACUGACUUAGCUUAUGAACUGAGUAUGCAAUAUCAGGCCUGGUGAGUAUCAAGUAUUGGAGCCCUCCAACAAUGCUUCUAUAGAGAGUUGGAUCUUCAAAUUCUUUCCCCAAACAACCCUUUGCUACCUUUUCUAAUUUCUAACUUUGUGCUGAGAGGUGUAUCAGAACCUUUACAGUUCUGCAUUGAAGCUCUACUUAAGAGGUCUUCGAUAUAUUUUGUUUGUGAUAAAUGUAUCCCACUAUCUGUAUAACACACCUCAACACCAAGAAAGUAGGAUACCGAUCCCAAAUCUUUUAAGGCAAAAACCUUACUAAACUUAAUGAUGAAGGUUUCCAACAGGGAAAAAUCUGGUCCUGUAAUGAGAAUAUCGUCCACAUAGAUAAGAACAAGAAUGAUACCUCUUCUGUCAUGUUUGAUGAACAGGGAUGUAUCAGCCUUGGAGUUGAAGGAAUUCUAGCUUGUAAGACACCCUUUGAGUUUGUCAUACCAAGCUCUAGGAACUUGCUUCAAGGCACAAAGAGCUUUGCUAAGUUUACAGACAUAGCCCUCUUUGGUUAUGAAGCCCUCUGGUUGUGUCAUGUAUAUAUCCUCUAAAAUAUCUCAAUUAAGAAAAGAAUUAUUUAUAUUGUAGAAAAUAUGGAAAGAUUAGAUUAGUUGACAUUCCUGAUUUCUAGGAUUAGUUGUCUAAUUUGUCUGAUUUGUACAGCUAUUACUAAUUUGUAUAUUUUCAGAAAUUAGAAAGUUAAAUUUGGAAUAUGUUGUCCUAUAAAUUAACCCUAUUGUACUGGCUGUUAGAGGUACUUAAAAAUAAGAAAAGAUAUUUAUUCUUCUCCUCUGUUAACAUGGUAUCAAAGCUAUGGCAGAAUUAAGCCUAGCUUGACUCCCAUACGGAUCAGUUCAUUGCCUUGUUGUAAUGGCGCAAAACACCAUGCCUGGGGUUACAGUAAUUGGUGAUACUAAUUCCACUGCUACAUCUAUUGGAAUUGGUACAGGGGAGUUUCUUCCGUCGGGAUUUGGAAACUUGAACGGAAGUGAGAGUUUUCCCAUGCAAUUAACCGGUCACAAAUUGAACGGUAAAAACUAUCUAGAAUGGGCGCAAUCCAUUAAGUUGGUGGUCGAUGGCAAGGGUAGACUUGGCUACAUCACCGGUGAGACGAAGGAGCCGGAAAAAACUGAUCCAACAUGGAAGACUUGGAAGUCAGAAAAUUCCCUAGUUAUGUCCUGGUUGAUCAAUUCCAUGGAGGUUUCUAUUGGGAGGACGUAUUUGUUUCUUCCCACCGCAAAUGAUGUAUGGGAUGCAGUCCGAGAAACGUAUUCUGAUCUAAAAAAUUCAUCAUAGAUUUUUGAAUUGAAAACAAGACUAUGGCAGACUAGGCAAGGUGAUCAUGCUGUUUCUGAGUAUUACAACGAGAUGAAGGCUUUAUGGCAGGAGCUUGAUAUCUGCUAUAAAGAUGAUUGGGCCUAUAUGACAGAUAGUGUUCGUUAUUUAAAAAGAAUUGAAGAUGAUCGUGUUUAUGAAUUUUUGGCAGGUUUGAAUAAGAGCCUUGAUGAAGUGAGAGGCCGGAUUCUUGGCAGAAUUCCUUUGCCAUCAAUCCAGGAAGUAUUUUCAGAAGUACGACGAGAGGAAGGUCGACGCAAAGUGAUGUUAGGAGAAAAAACUGUAUCUGCUCCAGAAGUUUCAGCCCUAAUGACAGGGACUAAUCACAAUAAUUCCCCAUACCAAGCACGAUAGAACAAGAAAGGAGAAAAGGUGUGGUGUGAUCACUGCCACAAACCACGUCACACUAGGGAGACUUGCUGGGAUUUACACGAAAAACCUCCUAAUUGGAAGCCACGAAAUUUUAGUCAGUCAAACCGUGACUCAAAGGCCUUCCACUCAACCACUGAGGAGAAUGGAAACACUGCAACUACAACUACGACACCUUCAUUCAGUAAGAAAUAGUUAGAACAACUGUACUUUUUCUGUCCAGAUAAGUGACCAAUCCAGUAUCUUCUUCUUAUUCCUUAGCCCAGAAAGGUACUUAUCAAUUUGCUAUCUUCAAUGUGUCCACUAUUCCUCUUUGUCCAUGGAUAAUAUAUUCAGGUGCCACCGAUUAUAUGACUGGAUGCUCUAAAUUAUUUUCUUUCUAUAGUCCUUGUACAGGCAAUCAAAAAAUUAAGAUUGCUGAUGGCUCCCUCUCGGCAAUUGCUGGGAAAGGGUCAAUUGUUAUAUCUAAUACUCUCGUUCUUCACGAUGUCCUUCAUGUUCCAAAUCUCUCUUGUAAUCUUUUUUCUGUAAGUAAAAUAACUCGUGGUUUAAAGUGUUGUGCUAAAUUUCUUCCAAAUUGUUGUGAAUUUCAGGAACUGGAUACGGGGAGGAUGAUUGGCAAUGCUAGAGAGUAUGGCGGUCUCUAUUACUUUGAUGAUGGGAACUCUAUGUGUCAGCAACAGAAAAUUUUGAAUCUUGGAGCAUGCUUUAGUUCUACUGAUGAUAAAAUAAUGCUAUGGCACCGUAUGUUAGGCUAUCCUAAAUUUUUAUAUUUAAAACAUUUGUUUCCAACCUUAUUUCGUAAUAAACUUUUAUUGUCUUUUCAAUGCGAUAUUUGUCAGUUAGCUAAACACCAUCGUGCAUCUUUUCCUAUUCAACCAUAUAAAGCAUCCAAGCCUUUUACCCUUAUUCAUAGUGAUGUGUGGGGUGCCUCUAGGACAUCCACCAAUUCUGGAAAAAGAUGGUUUAUAACAUUUAUUGAUGACCAUACACGCCUAAGUUGGGUCUAUCUACUCAAAGAAAAAUCUGAAGCAGAACAUGUUUUUAAAAACUUUUAUAAUAUAGUUGAAACACAAUUUCAAACAAAAAUUCAAGUGUUCCGAAGUGACAAUGGGAAGGAAUACUUUAAUCAAAUAAUGGGGUCAUUUUUCUUAGAAAAAGGAAUUGUUCAUCACAGCUCUUGUAAUGACACUCCUCAACAAAACAUAAUAGCAGAACGGAAAAAUAAGCACCUCCUAGAAGUAGCUAGGUCUUUAAUGUUCACCACUAAAGUUCUUAAAUACUUAUGGGGAAAAGCAAUUCUUACUGCUACAUAUCUUAUUAAUAGGAUGCCAUCAAGAGUUUUGAACUUUCAGCCACCAUUGACAGUUUUUAAAAAAUUCUUUCCAAUGACACGUUUGACUUCAGAUUUACCUUUAAAGGUCUUUGGAUGUGUUGCCUUUGUACAUAUACACAAUCAUAAUAGGGAUAAACUAGAUCCAAGGGCUGUAAAAUGUGUUUUUCUGGGCUAUUCUCCUACUCAGAAAAGGUAUAAAUUUUUUUAUCCUAACAAACAAAAAUAUUUUGUCACGAUGGAUGUUACCUUCUUUGAGUCUCAAAGUUUUUUUAAUCCUCCUCUUCAAGGGGGGAAAGGAAAUGAAGACUCAGUGUUUGAGCUUGACAUGAAUACUAAUGGUGAGGCAAAUAUUGAAACUGAAAUUUUUAAUCCUAAUACCUUGAAUAAGGAGGAUAUGAGGAUUACCUUAGUGCCUGAACAUAAAACUGACACUACGAUAAUAGACGAGACAUGCUUCAAUGAUGAGAGAUUGUUCGGGAAAACUUACACUAGGGAGAAACGGAUUCAAAGUAAGAAAAAUGCAGCGAUACUUCCUCAACGCCAUGAAUCUGAUCCAAUUCCAGAUUCGAAAAACAUUGAUUCUGAAAAUCCAGGUACAAUCUCUAAAUUUAUAGAGUAUGAGUCUUUAUCUAUCCCACAAGUACAUUCUGACCCUCUAGAUCUUCCCAUUGCUCUUAGGAAAAGAAAUAGAUCAUGUACUCAACAUCCCCUUUUCAAUUUUGUGUCUUAUAAGAACCUGCCAUUAUUUUAUCAUACUUUUGUCUCACAAUUUUCAAGUGUGGAUAUACCUAAGUCUAUACAGGAAGCGCUAAAGGUUCCUAAAUGGAAGAAGGUUGUUCGUGAAGAAAUGGAGGCUCUAGAAAAAAAACAGAACGUGGGAGAUGGUUUUACUUGCCUGAAGGAAAAUUGAUUAUUGGUUGCAAGUGGAUUUUCACUGUGAAAUACAACUCAGAUGGAUCCUUGGAACGCUAUAAAGCAAGGUUAGUAGCAAAAGGAUUCACACAGACCUACGGAGUUGAUGAUCAAGAGACAUUUGCUCCCGUAGCCAAACUAAAUACCAUUCGAAUACUACUCUCUGUAGCUGUUAAUUUGGAGUGGCCAUUGUUUCAAUUGGAUGUUAAAAAUGCGUUCCUCAAUGGAGAAUUGGAAGAGGAAGUAUAUAUGGGUGCACCCCCUGGUUUUGAAGACAAGUUUGGAGGAAAGGUGUGUAAAUUGAAGAAAUCCUUUUAUGGACUGAAGCAGUCUCCUCGUGCUUGGUUCGAGAGAUUUACUAGGUUUGUUAAAAAAGAAGGAUAUAGUCAAGGACAAUCUGAUCAUAUAAUGUUCGUGAAACACACAGAUGGUGGAAAGAUGGUUGUCCUAAUUGUAUGCGUAGACGACAUAAUACUUACUGGAAGCGAUAAUGAUGAAAUGAAUAAGCUGAAGAAGCACCUGGCAUCGGAAUUUGAAAUUAAGGAUUUGGGUCCCUUACGCUAUUUCCUGGGUAUGGAAGUUGCAAGAUCUAGAAUGGGAAUUUCUCUGUCACAAAGAAAGUAUGUUUUGGACUUGCUAGAGGAGACAUGAAUGAGUGGUUGCAGACCAAGUGAUAACCCCGUGGAUCCUAAUCAGAAGUUAGGAGAGGUUUCCGAUGGAGUUCGAGUUAAUAAAGGUAGAUAUCAACGUCUCGUAGGGAAACUCAUUUAUUUAUCUCACACAAGACCUGAUAUUGCCUUUGCCGUUAGUGCUGUAAGUCAAUAUAUGCACUCACCCUAUGUGGAACAUUUGGAGGCAGUUCACAAGAUUCUCAGGUACUUAAAGAGGACACCUGGAAGAAGGUUAUUAUUUAAGAAGAGUGAUCAAAAGAGUGUAGAAGUCUUCACAGAUGCAGACUAGGCAGGCUCAAUUUCAGAUAGAAGAUCAACAUCUGGUUACUGUACAUUCUUAUGGGGAAAUUUAAUUACUUGGCGAAGCAAAAAACAAAACGCGGUUGCCAGGAGUAGUACUGAAGCUAAGUUUAGUGCCAUGGCAAAUGGAGUUUACAAGGUAUUAUGGAUUAAAAGAGUCCUUGGAGAACUGAAAUUAGAUAUUGAAGCACCUAUGAGACUGUUCUGUGAUAAUAAAUCAGCAAUAAGCAUUGCAAAUAAUCUUGUUCAGCAUGAUCGUACAAAGCACAUUGAGAUUGAUAGACAUUUUAUUAAACAAAAGCUGGAGAAUGGAGUUAUAUGUAUGCCAUUCAUCCAUUCAGAGUAAUAAACAGCAGAUGUUCUUACCAAGGGACACUUCAGGCCAAAGUUUGAAUCUUUCAUUGACAAGUUGGGCAUGAUUAAUAUCUAUGCACCAACUUAAGGGGGUGUAGAAAAUAUGGAAAGAUUAGAUUAGUUGACAUUCCUGAUUUCUAAGAUUAGUUGUCUAAUUUGUCUGAUUUGUACAACUAUUACUACUUUGUAUAUUUUCAGAAAUUAGGAAGUUAAAUUAGGAAUGUGUAGUCCUAUAAAUUAACCCUAUUGUACUGGCUGUUAGAGGUACUUAAAAAUAAGAAAAGAUAUAUAUUCUUCUCCUUUGUUAACAUAUAUCAAUUUGCCUGACUUUCCAACACUUCAUCACUGCCAAACUCAGUAUAGUUCUAAUUGUAAAAGACUUUACCACAGGACUGAAAGUUUCCUUAUAAUCCACUCCUGCUGUCUGGUGAAAGCCCUUGGCCACCAAUCUUGCUUUGUGUUUAGAAACUGUACCAUUUGUAUUGUACUUGGUUCUAAAAACCUAUUUACAUCCAACCAACUUGUGCUAAGAUGUCACAGGUACUAGAGUCCAUGUGUUAUUGUUGGUUAGAGCAUCAAAUUCUAAUUGCAUUGCAGCUUUCCACUUAGGAUCAGAUAAAGCUUCAUCAACAGUGGAUGGUUCCAGGCUGUUAUGUGAUGUUAAGAAUGCUUUAGGCUUGAAUAUACCAGCUUUUACUCUGGUAAUCAUAGGAUGAUUUGGCAGAGAAUGUUGGGAUGGUUGUGUGGAUUGAGUAUGAGAUGAUGAUGGCUGUUGUGUAUGUGAAGCAUCUAUGAUAGAGGGUUGAAAAUGUAUUUGAGAAGGUGAAACAACAAAGGUUGUAUUGUGAUUGUCAGAUGAGGAGUGAUCACUGAAAUGAUGAGAUUGAGCUUUAUCUUCUGCAGAGCCAGCUUCAAAGGUUUCUUGAUUGCUAUUGGGAAGUGAAAUAGUAUAAGAUUGAAGAAGACUGUAAUGAAAAUCAGAGAGUUUAGAUGGUGAAGUUAAAAAUUGUGAAUUUGAUGUGUAAGGAAAAGAGGUUUCAUCAAAUAAAACAUGACUGGGUAUAAAAUUCUUUCCAGAAGAAUGAAUACACUUGUAACCAUUGUGUAAAGGGCUGUAACCAAGAAAUACACAUUUUGAGGUAUGAAAAUGGAAUUUGUGAGUAUUAUAAUCCCUUAGGAAUGGAAAACAUGAACAACCAAAGACCUUGAGAAAUUUGUAAUCAGGUUUGGUUUUGAAAACACAUUCAUAAGGUGACUGCAUAGAUAGUAUGGGUGUGGGAAGUCUAUUGAUAAUAUAGGUGGCUGUAUGGAAGGAAUCCCACCAAAAUUUUAUAGGUAAAGUGGCUUGAGCAAGUAAGGUGAGACCUAGCUUGGUUAUGUGUCUAUGUUUUCUCUCAAUUAAGCCAUUCUGAUUGUGAGUAUAGGGACAUGAGUUCCUAAAUUGAAUACCUUCCUCAUGAAGAAAAUUAACAAAUGAUCUAUACUCUCCACCCCAAUCUGAUUGAAUACACUUGAUGGAUCUAUCUAGCUGUUUCUAAAUUUGCUUUUUAAAGAUUUUAAAAACAACUAGUGUUUCAUCCUUGGUUUUUAAUGGGAAUAUCCAUGUGAACCUCGAAAAAUCAUCCACAAAACUCACAUAGUAUCUGUAACCUUGAACUGAAAGCACAGGGGCAGGUCCCCAUAAAUCAGUGUGCAAAACCUUUAAUACAUGCUUUGUUUUGGUAGUAGAAACUGGAAAAUGUAAUCUAUGCAUUUUUCUCAUUUUACAUGCAUCACAUGAAUCAAGAAAUUUACUUCCAUUUAAAUUCUUGAAAGCUGAACAAGAGUUUAUUACAUGACUUAAAACUUUGGAAUUAGGAUGACCAAGUUUCUGAUGCAAUACAGAAACACUCAGCAUAUAAUUUGGACUGAUACAAGGUUCUGCUGCAGUAUGCAAGCAGGUGCUUGUUUGAUUAUUGACAACUGAUUGAACAACUGAAAACAUAAACAGGGGAACAUCUGGAAUUUUGGAUUGAGUGGCGUCAAGAGACCUUUGAAAUGAUUGAGAAGAGACUUUAUUAGAGGGAAACAAUAGCAAUCUGUAUAAACCUUUUUCAGCUUUGCCCUGCAGUAUGAUCAAAUUCCUUACCUUGUCCUUCACAUAAUAGGAUUGAUCAGUAAAUUCAAUAACAAUAUUGUUAUCUUUGGUUAGCUGAGAUAUGCUAAUAAGGUUCUUGGAUAUUUGUGGAACAAAUAGCAUGUUGUUUAAUUUGAGUGUGUUAUGAUCAGAAGAGUUAUGCAUUCUUAACACAGCAUUUCCAACAUGUGUUAUGUGCAAACCAGUACCAUUUCCAAUUAUGAGUUUAGAGUUACCUGCAAAAGGUUCUGUCAUAGUCGUAUUUCUCAUGUCAUUGGUAAGAUGGUGUGUAGCUCCACUAUCCAGAUACCAGUUGACAUCAGCUGCACCAUCCAUAUCAGCUAGAUAUGCAGCUUUGGGAUUUCUAUUUGGAGGAGGUCUGUAAGCACCAGAGGUAAAGAAUUCUUCAAGUUUCUAGCAGACAUUUGCAGUAUGACCAGUUUUGAAGCAGUUUUAGAAGCAUUCCACUGAGGUUUAGGAUUCAUUUGGGGCCUAAUAGAGUUAUUGUUACCACCCCCACCAUUGUUCCAAUUUCCUGAGCCUAAUCCCCUUUGAUUAUCACUUUGAAAUCCUCUGAACUGGUUAUUUGAAUUAUUUCCAGAACCAUUUCCAAUGAAACCAGAUCUUCCAUAGCCACCUCUGUAAUUAUUUCCAAAAUUUCCAGCAUUAUCUAAACCAGAAAAAUAGUUAUGAUUUCCAGAUCCUCUACCACCUGAGAAGUUUCCUUUCUUAAAACCUCUGUUCUAAGCUAAAUUAGCUUCAAAAUUAUGCUUAACAUCCAUUCCAGAAAGCAUAUGUGCUUGUUGCUCAAUUCUAGCCUCUUAAGUCAACAACAUAGCAUAAGCCUCAUUCAAAUUCAUUUUAUCACCACUUAUUUGACCAGUAAUAUAAGUAGCAACAACAUUAUAAUCUGGUCCUAGUCCUGAGAGUACAUGCAAAAUUAAAUCAUCACUGCUUAAGGCACUUCCUGCCGCAACCAUGUUAUCAACAAUAUUCUUCAUUUUAAUGAAAUACUCAUUGAUUUUCAAAUCAUCUUUCCUAGUUGAAUUUAUCAAAUAUCUCAAAUGUAAGAGUCUGGAUUUUGAUUGUGAUCCAAAUUGGGUUUCAAUAGCUUUCCAUACCUCAAGAGAAGUUUCCAGAUUAAACACCAGGCUUAUAAUACCUUCACUCAUCGAUGAUAGCAACCAGCCAAGGAGUACUUGAUCUUGUGCUUUCCAGCUUGACAAAUCUGGAUUCUCAAUAGAUCUAAGUUCAUCGUCAAUCCUCUGAGCAAUAUGAGAUGGAGGAGGAGUGACAGUUUCAUCAAUGAAUUUUUCUAACCUAUUGCCGCAUAUGGAAGCUAAAACUUGGGACCUCCAGAUCAGAUAGUUUGCCUGAUCCAGUUUCACAGGAGUAUUGAAAGUGAAUGAGAAGUUUGUUGAGUUUGCAUGAACAUUUGAAGUGUGGUUUGAUGAGGCAAUAUUCAGAGACGCCAUGACUAGCUCUGAUACCAAGUUAAAGAAACAGAAAAUAAGUGUUUGGCUAAUAAGAAAAUAAAAUGAGAUUUGGCAACUUUUAAUCCUUUUAUUUUCUCAAGCUUAAGUUGCUACUGAACGAUUACAAGCAUAUAUAUACAAGUGUAGCUGCUCAGCUGAAGAUUACCAAAUUAACUAACUAAUUACAAAUUGAUUAACAAACUCAUCACGUGUAUAAGUACAAGCAGCUACAUAACCACCUGGUGCCAACUAGCAGUACAUGUCAUCAACUUGUAACUGAUUAUAGAAGCUUCUGUGAUCCUCUGCUCUGUGAUCCUCUGCUUGACUACAAAUAUGAGCUUCCUUAACAGUGGGGAGGAAGUUUAAGCAGAGGAGUUGCUCGGUUUGGAAUAUUUGGAGGUAUUGAGCUUCACUUGAGAAGUGUUCGUGCUCUCCAAUUUAUUUUGAGCUCACAUAAGCUACGAAGUUGUACUCAAGCGGUGUUCCUCCAAUCCUUCAAUGAUUCGAUAUGGCUUGAUAUUUCACUUUUGGCAGAGUUAAAAGCACCACUACAGAUUUAAGUAUUUUUGGGUGUAGAAAAUUGGAGGACUUGAAGAUGGAAUAUACAGGGGGAGCGAAAAACAAGCGGCAACCUUGUGUUUUCUAAGGCCUACAUACAGUUCACAUAGAGGUUUGUUCUAAAUUGAAGGACUUAACAUUCCUUGUUUUUGCUCCAAAUCUCAAGAACUUGUAAAUACAAAAUUGCCCUGCUGUGGAAGCAAUCAUCGGUGUGGAAGAAUUUGCGGAAGCUCUAGAGGUGGUGGAAAAUCUAAACCCAUUUGCAAAACUCCAGUAUCUUGGACUAGAAAAUCUGCUAAAUGUGGAGAGCAUCUAUUGCAAGCCUCUGCCCUUUCCAUGUUUGAAAAGAAAUGACUGUGGAUGGUUGCCGUUGUCUUAAAAAGCUUCCACUCUACUCCAACAGUGUAAAAGAGUGUACAAUUGUUAUUUCAUCAUUCGGAGAGUUAAUGGUGCAAUGAGAUUUGGCAGUUAACUCUCGUGGGAAGAGCUUGAAUGGGAAGACGAAGCUGCUCGAAUUGCUUUUCAUUCCUGUUUCAAAUCUCUGAUUGGAUUGGAGAUUGCAUUUCGCCUCAGGUUCGUACUUUUCUUGAAUUUUUCUUGUUAACUUCAUUUGUUCAUUUAUCCAUUUUUUUUUAAAGGAAUCAGAAGGGUUAAUAUUUUUGGUUGUGUUAGGUCGACUUCUAAUCACGAGGCAGAAGGAGUUGAGAUGAAGUUUAAUUUUGGUGGAGAAAUUGUUUGAUUUAAAAAAUUUAAAUGAGUUGAUCAUCAUUCUUUAGCAUAUUUGUAUGAACAGGAGUGUGUAAAUAUGCAAACUGUCCAGCUGUAUGUGUGUAACGUAAUAAUUUUGAGGAGUUAAACAUUGAAGAGUAUUGAUGUUUCCAUUGUCAAACCAAAUAUACUUAAUUACUUGAGGAUAAUGAUUACUGCUAAUACAUUUGCAAAGAAAAAACAUGCCUAUUGAAAAACUCAUCUUAUUAGCAACAGCAUUAUAAGUAGUAUCCAAUCAUAGUUUCAUGCAAGAUUUUGAGAUUUUUCAAAUGCUGAUUCCGGGAAUGGAGAUUAAUAGAAAAUGGAGACAGGUUGACUGCAAUGGCUAAUUGCAAGAGGGAAUUUUAGUCGUAAAAACAGACCAACUAGCAAAGCAAAUUCCAAAUCUUGGAAUGAAGUGGCAAAAAAACGAAACAAACAAAUGGCAAGAGGAAGUGACUAUACAAUAAUAACAUCGACUUGCAAUUCAACAUUUAUACAGUUUUACACACCAAGAAAAGAGAAAAUUACAAUAGCAAUUUGGCUACUAGAAGAUGGUCAUUCAUGCUUAUGCCUGUCAUAUGGAUUUGAAACAAGGAGUAAAAGCAUUUAGAGUGGCUUCAUCCUUCCACUGCAGCUCAUUCCACCAGUGUUGCUCUCCCCUAAUAACAAGUUUUCGUUCCUUGGCGCUGUUGUAAUCGAGUGGAAGCUUCUUGAGGUUCGGGCAUCCAGAUACAAACAAUUCCAAGAGAUUUGGAAAGGGCAAUGCAUUCAAACAGAUCUUCUUCAAAUUUCUUAGAACUUGCAACCGAAGAUAUUGGAGUUUCGCAAAAGGUUUUAGCCCUGGAACUUCUUCCACUUUCCAAACACUGAUUAUUUCUUCCAUCUCAUAACAACGUUCUACAUGGACCAUCUUCAGAUUUGGGGCAAAAACAAGCCAUGUCAUCUCCCUCAAUUUACUGCAAUAGUCUAUGGUAACACUUUGAAGGCUGUUGAAACCAUAAAGUUCUCUUGUUGUUUGAACUUCUGCAUAGUCAACCUUUAGCUCUUCCAAACUUGUACAAUACACAAAAUCUAGUUUGUCAAGAUACUUGAGAUCUGCUAUGGACAAAAUAUUCCAUGACCUUGAAUCCUCACAGCGGCGAAGCUCUAAAGCAUAUUUACAACUCUUGUACUGUUGGCAGCUCAAAAGUCUUCGUAGAGCAUAAAAACUUCUUAACGUGACGCUUAAUACAUUUAAAUGUUCCAAAGUAAUCAACUCUACCAAAAUUUCACUACCACCAAAUAGAACGCUAUCUUCUGGUACUGUAUUAGCAGAGCCACAAUCUAGCAUCCUCAACACCUUUAACCCAGAAAAAUUACAAAGCAGUUGCCGUGGAAUCGUAUGGAGAUAACGCAUGUACUCCAAGUUCAAACACUUUAGAUUUUUCAAGGCUUUUAAUUCAUGUGGCAACUCUUUGAUGAAAGUUUCUGAAAGAUUAAGAUAUUGUAGUGAAACCAAUUUUGAAAUUCCUGAAGGCAAUUGACUCAAGGAGCGAUUCUUUGAUAGGUUUAAAACUUUAAGAGAAGGCAUAAAAUCGAAGAAAUCACUAGGGAUAGUAUCUAACAUAUUAAUGCCGAGGAACAAAGUUAUAAGAUGAGGGCAUAUUGGAGUUAUUGGUAAAAUCACAAUUUUAUUUCUCAUCAACGAUAUCCUUCUCUUAUCUUCCCAUUGUUUAACCUCGGGUGGUUCAGUUAAUUCAAUACCGGAAGAAACCAAAAAGUUUUCAUUCUCCACUUCACAGGCUAUCCACAAGGUCAUAUCACGAAUCACAUCAUACAGUUUUACAUAAUCUGAUCCUGCUUCUUCCAAUAGGCAUGCAUGAACAAGAACACCAAUAAUGUAGUAUCCUUGGUUAUGUACUCCGUUAAUUCCUUCAUUUUCCUUCAGAAAACCCUCACCAAUCCAACACCCGAUCAAUUCAAUUUUGCUAAUUUGAUAAUCCUCAGGAAAUAAACCACAGUAUAACAGACAAGAUCUAAGGACGUCACUAGACAAACUAUCAUAACUGAAUUUUAAAAGACGAAACACCUCUUUCUCCAUACUUGGAAAUUCAUAAGCUGAUCUCCUUAACAUCUGAAUUGCAUAGCUCCAUUCUUCGGGUGUCUUCUUGCUGCUCAUGGCACGACCGGUGGUAAUAAGUGCAAGUGGCAAACCACUAGACUCCUUUGCCACAGUUUGGGCUAACUCCGGAAUAUCGGGAUGACUUUCAAGAGUCUCUUCUCCGACCUUCUUUAGGAACAAUUCCCAAGCAUCUUGAUCUGCCAAACACUCCACCUUGAACUUUUUUUGAGCUUCCAUGAGGCCACAGACGUCCACAAGACGAGUCGUAAAGACUAUCUUUGAUGCAUUUCUUGAACUCGCAGGAAAAGGGACACCCACUUUGGCUAAAUCAAUUCUUUCCCACAUAUCAUCUAACAAUAGCAGAAAUUUCAUUUUGCUCAAUAAAUUGAAUAUGCCUGAUGCUUUCUCUUCAAAGCUUCUAUUCUGAAGCCAUCCUAUUCUUUCUCCGAUUUUCUGUUGAAUUCUCUCAAGCUGCAUGCCUUUUGACACCACCACCCAAAUCACAAUAUCAAAAUAAUUUGGUGUUUUAAGGAACUUGUUGUUGAUUUGGGUUAAUAGUGUAGUCUUGCCGACUCCCCCCAUGCCAUAAAGUCCGAUGAUUCCAAAUUGUCCUUCUACAAGACAUCUCCAAACUUUAUCAAAUGAUGAUUCUAGGCCGAUUAUUGUUGGCUGAAGAGGCCUUUCAUCCACUGCUGGUUGUGGUACCUUUUCAGCUACCACUGCAAAAGCUCCAUCAUCUAUUAAAGUAGCCACAAGCUGCAGCUUUUUAGACACCUUUUUCCCAAACUUGUAGCUUGACUUGCAGUUCUUGGAGCAGUAGCCUCCAAGACAUAGUUUUUCAAUUUCUUGAGAGCUGUCCCUUGUCAAUUCACCUACUUCAGCUUCCACAGCCUCCACCCUUGAAAGCCAACCUUGCACUCUGUUCAGCCGUCUUAGUUGUUGUUGCUCAGCAUUAGAGACCCUCAUCAUCACAUCGUUCUUUGUUUCAAUUAGUUUCUGCAAUUCGGUCUGGACGGCAACCAGGUUAUUUUCAAGCUGGCUUAGAUAUGCUGCUUUUCUGCGGGUACAAUUUAUGAAGCCAGUGGAAAGGGCAUCACAUGUAAGUUGGAUUCCCAAAAUAUUACCCAUAGUUUGUAUGAGAUUCAGAGUACAAUAGAAGGAAUGCAACACAGUAUGUAUUCGGUUGUGGUGUCUAUGAUUUUACAGUCGCAGAAGCUUUUUCACCUUGUGAGGGCUGAUCAGGUGGGCACCAUCACUCUCUUUACGCUUUAUAGAGAGCGAUAGUCCAUGUGGUCAGAUCUCAUUCAGAUAACUAGCCAAGUGGGCAAUCGCUCCACCUUAUCAAAAUUCUUCAUCUUAUAAUAAUAUCAUGAGUAGGCCUUGAAUUUUUCUUUUAAUUUUAACAUUUAAAAGGUAGAGGUGAAAAAGUCUAAAUAGUAUUUUUGUCCUCGUACUUUAACUAAAUAACAUUUCUUGAAAAUCACUCAAUCUUAAAAUUUAAUUAAGAAGAUAUUAUAGAUUUAUAAGCCCUUAAAAUUUAUUUGCAAGUAACAAUUAGAGAAAAGUCGUCAGGCCCAAAAGACUUACUAAAAGUCGUCAACUCGUCAUGACCAAAAUUCUUCCGCGUGUGAAAUACGGCAUGCGCAGAUGCAUUAAAAACAAAGGCCAGCUAUGAUAAUCUUUGUAGUAUUAAUAAUUUCAGACGCGUCGUUCGUUGCCUGUGACUUUUCAUAUGCAAAAGCGGAGUCAGUGUUACUUGCAUUCCCUGUCACCUUAUUAAUAAUUUCAGACACCAUCGUUGGUUGCCUGUGAUUUUCAUAUGCAAAAGCACAGUCAGAAUUACAAUUUUACAUUUGGAAUUGAGUGCCAUCUAUUUAUUCUAGCUGGAUCUAAAAUGAUAUUGCAGUAUUGCACUGACUUUUUAGUCACAGCGUUUCUCUAUGAAUUCCUUAAAGUUUAAACACAUCAUGGAAUAAUUAUUUUCUUAAAGACCAAAUUAACAUAAUUCUUAAAUCAUUUAUAAAACAACAUUUAUCAUAUAACAGAUCGUACAUGAAUAAAUUUACCUUGAACCGUAGCAAACAAACAAGAAUCUCAACCACAUCAAUAUCAUAACCCCUUCUGACCUUAACAAUAAUUUUAUUCGUCCUUAAUUCAUAGGUAUAAGUAUCCCAAUAUAUACUUGAUGUCAACCUUUACAAUUCUUUACAGAAUUGCAGCAGACCAAAUUUGUAUGCAAAACUGAAAUCAUACAGUAAUUGAAUACAGUGAAAAUAGACAUGAUGGGAAUUAGUAUAUAUAAAUAUCUUAAUAAUUUAAAAGUUUCUUAAACUGAUUUUACAUAUCUGAAAAAUUAUAGAAAUCGGAACUGCUGCAGAAAUCAUAAUUUUCCAGCGAAUGUGUUACAACUUCAGAAACUCAUAAGAAAUUAAAUUCUUGGGAUCACAAAAUAAUUCAAUAGAAAGCUUAAGAUGUCUAGUUCAUAAAAUCUGAUUUUUUUUUUUAAUAAGAUCUUUGGAAUUUAAGAGAUUCAGCAGUACUUUUAUUACAUCAAUUCUUCAAACAAUCACCAAUCUAACAUUCAUCAAAAUUAAGUCAUAAAAAUCAUGUGGUUUAUAAAAAAGAAUUACCUGAAAAAGAUUAGCCUUCCCCUUUCAAAAGCAACGUGAAACUCCAAAAACUCUUCUUCCAUUACCUAUUCAAACAUGAAAAAAAAAAAAAAAAAAAUUGGUAUCUCCUCUUUAAACGCGUGAUGAGUGUGCUCUGUUUUCUCUGUUCUUCUUUUUCUUUUUUAGAUUUCGAAAACGUAAAGAGUGUUGGAGUCUUUAUUUUCUAAAAACAAGACUUUUCCAUGUAUUCAAUUAAAUUAAAUUAUGUCCUAAUGCUAUGUCAGUUCCAUCAUUAACAUUUUUUUUUUUCCUUUUAACACCAACAUUAGCGUAUCUUAAGUAUCAUAAUCCAUAGUUGGACAAUUUGAAAUCUCUUCGUGUUUUAUCUCAAAGUAGAGCUUCAAACAAUUUGUACCUCACAAAUUUACAAUAUCUAUGAGGGCUAAUAAGACCAAACUCAGGCAUAUUGUCAAAUGUGCUUAUACUUUCGCUUGACAAGUCAUUUUAAAAUUGUCUUUCAAUGCCAAAAAACCACAUAAACUAAUGGUCCACUACUUUAAUUUGAAAGCAUGCAUGCGAUCGCCAAUAAUCAAGGAUGUUAGGGUCAUGCUACAGAGUAUAGAACAUGAUUUGAUGGUAUAGCCUUUUUUCUUUAUAAUUUUUAAGUUUAAUACUGUUACGUAUGUAGCACAUAAGUUGGAAAACAUAACAUAAAAUUUGAAAAAUGUGUAGUUUUCGUUCCCUUUUUUCCCCUCUAAAAAUGGGAAAAAAGAACGUAAUUUUGAUUUAUUUAAAUUACUGUUGUGAUAACAAUUUUUAUUUUAUUGAUUAGUUACCCAUACAUGUGGCAAAUUUUUUAAGAUAAGGUGAAGGAUGAAGCUCAAAUAUAUAAAUUAUAUAAUUAAUUACCCUCUGUAGUAAGUUUAAAGUUUAUUAUUUUUAACUACAUGUUUAUAAUUUAUUUUUAUUAUGUGUUAAUCUAUAGAUCUAAAUUCACUUCGGAACCAUAUACAUAUUUAGACAUAAUGUGCAUGUUAAUCUAUAGAUCUAAAUUCACUUUAGAUCUAUAUGAGUAUUUAGACAUAACGUAUUGCAACCAUAUUGGCAUGUUCUCACUAUAGUAUUGGUGUAUUGAGUAUUGACAUUAUAUCUAAUUGUCCUUAUAAAUCCAAAAAUAAUCUAGAUAUACAAAUUAACAUAAAAUAAAUAUAAUUGGUAGAAAAUGCAAAUUAUAAACAUAUAAUUGAAAAUGAUAAAUUUAAAUUUACUUAAGAAAGUAAUUAAUCACUUAUUUCUUUUUUAUAAUAUGACAAAUAUUAUAAUAAAUAUUAAUUAAUAAUAAUUAGAAUAACAAAUUAAGGAUAUUUUAGUAACUUAAAAUAAUUCAUUUUGAUUUCGAGACAAAAUAAACACAUCAAUCACAAUACAACUCAUUCUGAUUCCACUCAUUCAGAUUUCAACAUAUUUUAAUUAAUUCAAGUGCUCUCCAUUAUAAUUGAAGCCGCUGCCCCACUCGUGAUUCCAAACUUUAUCUUUUUCCUUUUUUAAAUUAAUGCAAGCAGCCGCUGUCCUUUUUAUUAAUUAAUUAAUUAAUUCGGCCUCCCACAUUUCUUUUCCUAAUGUCUUCGGCUUUCGAUUUUCUUUUAUUUUCUCUUUAUUCUUAAAAUAGACUUAUAAUAAUAAAAUAUAAAAAUAUAAAAAAAAUUAACAUAAUCAAAAUAUAAUUUAACAGAAAAUUAAGAUAAAAAAUGUGAAAAUAAUAUAUAAAUUAUGAGCGUAUCAAUCAAUAAAUGAAAAAUAAUAAUUUUUAUUUUUAUUAAAUAUAUAUUUUUCAGUAUGAAUCAGUUAUCUAAAUAACUAAAAUCAGUUAAAAAUAAAUAAAUAAAUUAUUCUUAAAAAAAAAAUUUUAUACCACUCACUAUGCUGGCUGUCAAGGGUAGAAGCUUUGGGGACUGAAGUUGGUAACUUCUACAAGUAGUCUUAAGUUGACUGGCAACAACUACAUUGGCAUGUUCAAAUGUUCUCACUAUUGUAUUGGUGUGUUGAUAUUAUCUCUAACUGCCCUAUAGAUCCAAAAAUAAUCUAAAUUUACAAUUUAACAUAAAAUAAAAUAAUUGGUAGAAAACAAUUAUGGUUCAUUUACUUAUCAGUAAUUAGAAUAAACUAAAAUCAGAAUGAGUUGUAUUGCCGUUAAUGUGUUUAUGUUGUAUCGGAAUGAAUUAUUUUAAGUUACUAAAAUACCCUUGGUUUGUUAUUCUAAUUAUUAUUAUUAUUUAAUAUUUAUUAUAAUAUUUGUCAUAUUAUUAAAAAGAAAUAAUAAUGAUGAUAAUAUUAUCAUUAUUGUUUGUUAUAUUAUUAUUAUUAAAAAAAUUAUUGUUAAUAACAAUAAUAACUUUAUUUCAAUAAUAAAAAUGAUAAAAUUAAUAAUAACAAUCAUGACAACAACAACAAUUAUUUAUUAUGCCAAAAAAUAACAAUAAUAAUAAGAAUAAUAAUCAUCAUCAUUUUUUCCCAAAGAAGCAUUAUCAUCAUCAUUUCAAAAAAAAAAAAAAAUCAUCAUCAUCAUCAUUUUUGUAGUGGCUGCCUAUCGGCUGCUGCUUUCAUGCGAGAUUGACUUGCGACGCUUCAACUGCUAUUAUUUCUGGCAAUGUCAGGUGUUGUUGUUUCAAUGGGGGGAGAAGUUGUUUCGGUGCGCUAACGAUGGGAGGUAAUGACGGUAGGUGUUGCUGCUCAAUGCGAGGUCCAUGGCCAGUUGUCUUGUUUUACAACCAGCUCUUGUAGGAAAUUCUUCAUCCAAAAUAUUUUUUUGUAACCUUCAAUAAUUGUAAUAUCAUUUGCUUCCGUGGUAGAAAAGACAACUCAUUACUAAAGUCUAGAUUGUGAUGAGACUGCUCUCCCUGCAAAAGUGAGCAAAUAUCCUAGUAGGGAUUUUUCAGAAUCAACAUCUCCUGUCAUAUCUACACACUUGUAACACAGGUUUGUCACCACCAAAAUAUAAACAUAUUCUGGAAAUGCCUCUAAGAUAUCUGAGAAUUCAUUUCACUGUUGUCCAGUGCUCUUUGCCAAGAUUGAAGAGAAACCGACUGACUACACUAAUUGCAUAGGCAAUAGCUGGUCUUGUACAAAUCAUGGCAUACACCAAACUGCCAAUUGCUGAAGCAUAAGGAACUCCUCUCACUAAGAAAUGGGUUUUGCUCUUGAGAUUUUUGGGAACAUGAAGAAUAAAGAUGUAAUUUCUUGGACUACCAUUGUUUCGGGGUAUAUAAAUAGAGGACAAGUCGAUAUAGCUCGACAGUAUUUUGCUCAGAUGCCAGAACGAGAUUAUGUCUUAUGGACUGCCAUGAUUGAUGGGUACCUUCAAGUGAAUAGGUUCAGAGAGGCUUUGACACUUUUCCGGGAGAUGCAAACUUCAAAUAUAAGGCGAGACGAGUUUACCAUUGUUAGGAUUCUUACAGCUUGUGCGAAUCUGGGGGCACUAGAACCGGGAGAAUGGAUAAAGACUUAAAUUGACAAAAACAAGGUCAAGAAUGAUAUAUUUGUGGGGAAUGCUUUGAUAGACAUGUACUGUAAAUGCGGAGAUGUUGAGAAAGCUCAAAGGGUAUUCAGGAAGAUGCUUCGAAAGGACAAAUUCACAUGGACGGCCAUGAUUGUUGGCCUUGCCAUCAGUGGCCAUGGUGAUAAAGCUCUUGAUAUGUUUUCCCAAAUGCUUAGGGCUUCGAUUAGACCAGAUGAGGUAACUUAUGUUGGUGUUCUGUCUGCCUGUACUCACAAUGGUAACGAAAUUUUUUUGAUAAAUAGUUGCAACUUAAGGUGAGAAUUGGAGGAAACGAAAUAGACUGAAGUUGUUCAAUCAUCGGUGGUUGCUAUUUGAUUUUAAGUUGUUCAAUCAUCGGUCGUCUCUAUUUGGUUUUCUCCAAUAUCUCAUCUCCAGUUUUGACUCAGAUUCUGUCUUACCACUAGUAAUUACAUAGACUUGCUGCCAAAGGUAAGAAUGGUAAUAAAUUAAAUAGAUUAUGUCGAUAACGAAAUAGAUUUACUAUUGCUAUGUGCAUUAUAUUUGGUUCCUGCAAAAUAUUUUCUCCUGCCUAAAAUUUUUUGAAUCAGUAAGUUUUUACCUUACGCAAGAAUUGUGCUAAGAGUAAUUCCAGUCUCUCUAUGUUUCAAUGAAGACGUAAAACUUGUGUUUUAGAGCACCAAUGUUAUGCUUCUUACAAUUGGAUUUUAAUUUACUUCGUAAAACUUUUGUCAAGAAGUACUAAGCGUGUAUUUGAAAUUGAGGUACUGUAGUUUUUAAGCUACAACUGCUGUGGAAAAAAAAUUGUAAUUAUGAAAUAAAAAUUAAUAAUAUAUAGUAAAUAUAAAUUUUAAAUAAUAGUUUUGAUAAAAUUAUUAAAGAUAUAAUAGUUUUUUUUAUUAUACAAGUGAAAAAUUAUAUAAACAUAGUUUUCAAGUUACAGCAGUUAGUGUUUACCAAACACUUUAGUGCUGUACUUUUUAAGUUGCAGCUGCCCAACAUCAAUCUCAAACGCACCUUAAGGAGUAGUGCGCCAAACACCAACUUUAUUACAGAGAGGACUUUGGUUAAACUUUAAGAAAAACACUCAAAGGAAGAGUUAUAAAUUAUUAUAGAAAUAUUUCACAUAAAUAAAAGCCAUUCCACAAUGCGAAGAUCUUGCUAUCAUCACCAGAAACCAUCGGGAGCUUUCAGGGUUUCCAUGAAAACGCCAUUUCAUUCCAAGAGUCAAUGGUGGGUAGAAAGUGGUGCAAACGAUACUCAUUGUUAAUGCUAUAAGUUUUUGCUAAAUUAUGUCUUACCCAAAAUGAUGAUUUAAUUUCCAUUCUCAAUUAAUUUUCAAGUUUCAACACUUUUCUUUGUAGCAUGACAUUGGAAAGGUCUUGUACUACUAAAAGCUAGCACCACACGUUAAUUAUUGUUAAGUUCUUUUUCAACGUGAAAUAAAGGAAGUAGUCCUUCGUUAAAACCAUUAUAGCCAAAUUUCAUGUAAUUGGACACUUACAGACUUUCAUUUCAAGCUGGAAUUUGGUCCAACGUUUCAAAGUUGACCCAACUAAUUGUCUGAUCAAGUCCUACACAGCUAAGACCCUCAAUGAAUGAGGGUGAGACUGCUAAAAAUUACGACAGUUGAUAUUAUUAUUAUUAUUAUUAUUUUGGGAUAAAUCCUCACCAAGGUGAGUGAGGAGAUUUUAUCAAAAUAAAAUAAAAAUAUAACAAGAAAACUAGCUAAAUUAAAAUAUUACAAAAGCUAGAUGAACUGAAAGGCAGCCUAAAAACAACCUUAUGGAAAAGAGAAGCAACAUGCUAGUAUUCCAAGCUUCUUGUUAUAAAAGUGUAGAAUGAAGUAGGUGACGUAGUUUUAAGUUACACCUCCAUGCCCAAUCACAAUAUCAAAUAAUGCUUAAAGUAGUUAUAUUAACUCUUAAAUUUAUAAAUAAUUAAAUUUGUAAAAGUAUGGAUUUAUAUUAAAAAAUUUAUAUAUAAAUAAAUAAUAUAUGCAUUUUUACAACAUAGUCUUUAAAUUUAAACUUUUCUAGAAAAAUCUUCUGGAUAUCUUUUCUAUUAAAAAAGAGUUUCUCAAAAUUUAUAAAAGUAACUUAAAGUUUUGUCUUCCCUUUUCUUUUAGCUUAUACAUAUGUGUGUGUAUUCUUUUAUAGCAAUAACUAACGUUAUUUAUUUUUAAAUCAUAAAAAAAUUAUGAAAAAAAAAUGUACCAAAUUUAAUUGGACCCAGCACAAUGCACAUGCAUAGAACACAUUCUGAAAAGCCAUGCUAUUCGGAAAUUGACGAAUGGAAAGUGAAGAGGCAGCAGUCAAUGCUAUUUCGGCUUGGCCCAAAAUUUCACCAGUUUGUUAAUCAGUGUUCUGCAGCUCUUGCUGCUUUCCUAGAGAUUCUGCAUGUUUUGCAAUCUGAUAGAAUUAAAAAAAAAAAAAAAUUAGUGGCCAUUUGGAAUGGAGGAGAGAUUUGUGUGAAUGGUAUAGGUGAAAAAUUGGAUGAAAAUAAACAGGCAACCGUCCGUAUAAAACAACAAUAACAAUAUACAAAAAGAUAAGUAAUUCACGAAAGGAAAUUUACGGUUGUUUCUGAAAAACAUACAUAUUAAUUUCACUUAUACUCUAAGAUUUGCCAUCAUGACUGGGCUUGUGAGGAAUUUGGAAACAUGUAUGAUGUAGAAAUGCUGAAGUAGCUUGAACCAGAUGGUGAAAUCGUCUAGCGGUCAGCGGGACAUGAAGCUAUAGGGGUUGUUAGUUGUGUUUUGGAUAUUUACAGACAUGCUGAGUUUGAGUUUAUAUCUUAACUUAAAAUUUGUAGUUUUCACUUGAAAAGAUUCAGUUAAAAAUUGAUUGGUAGAAUUGUUAAAAAGUCUAAAUUUUUAGUUCAAACCUAUUGCAUAUUUAAGAACAUCUCAAAUGAAUUGUUUAUUGCUAUCGUCAUCAUCAUUGCCCGUAUAAUUAUUAUUAUGUCUUUAUAAUUAUUAGUAUCGCUGUUAUUAUUUUUAUGGGUAAAUGGGCUUUCUAUCCUGGCAAUUUAAGCCAAUUACCUAACUAAUCCAUGUAAGUUUAAAAAUGUUUCAAAAGAUCUUUAUUUUAUAUAUGUUUCCACUAAAAUUUAUUUAAUUAUUCUUUAUUUUUCAAUUAUUGCAUGUUGGAUUUUUUUGAGUUCUAAGCUAUAUCAAUAGAAAUGUUAUCUUAUAUAUCCACAAAAAGUUAGAUCCAACAAUUAUGAAAAUUACUAUAGAGCUGCUUUGAAUAAUUUUUAAAAAAUACCACAAGUAAAUAAUAAUUAGUUUAAAUAGUGGAGACUAAAAAGCAUUCACCCUUAUUUUUUAUCUGUUAUUUGUAUUUUUUCCCGUUAAUGCACAUGUUAUACAUUUGAAACAUUCCGUUAAUUGCCAAUUAUGUAAGCGAGAUAGUAAUUUAAAUUUUUUUUUAAAAAAGUGAAAAUUAAUCCUAUGCAAUGUGAAUAAAUUUCUUUCCUUUUUCCUUCACUCUUUUUAUUUGAUAAUUAAGUUUCAAUCUAUGUACGCAAAAUUUCUGCAACAGGUGCAAAACAUAAAAAUAUAUGAUUGUUAAGGGAAACACGCGGAAGCUCAUCAUUUCAAUGUUCAGUAUUUCCAAUUUUGGCAUACGAAUAUAUUUCACUUAGAAAGCCAAAUAUUAGAUUUGUGAUUUUAAUUCAUUCAUCAUAUCUCAUUUCAAUCCCAAAAUAUUCAAGAGGAUCCAAGUUACCAUAAGACUUCAGAGGCUCGAGCCUUAGCCAGAGACGGUUAAUUGAUAGACUAUGUGCCCGGGUCGAGCACUGGAAGCGUGCAAUGCAGACUGAUUGAUUUAUCAGUUUGAUGUGUGCCAGGAAUGAAGAACUGGAAUAUCACCGUCAAGCAAGCACCCAGUGAAGCAAUACCAUAGAAUGCACAAUCCGGCCUUGCUAGGUGACACUGGGGGCUUUUUGAAAAGUGCUUCAUGCUCACUUGCACAGAUUGAGCAUCCCCUCUGGAUAUUGCCCUCUCUGAUCGAGUCAGAGCACUCAAAUUUCGGUCCUCAGAUGGAGCUACAGCUUUCUCUCCAAUAACCAACAAUUUUCUAAACUCAGCACCUAGUGUGAUCAGAGUUGUUGAUAUUUGUAAAUGGAGAUCCCCAUAUUUGCAAAUGGAGACAUUUAACAAAUCACCAACAUGCUUCAUCCGGUCUACGAAAUUCUGCAGCUGAUUCAAAUCCGGAACCUGAACCAGAGUCGGAGGUAAAUCUUGAGCCAUAUCUAAAGCAGUUUGAAGUUCAAGUACUUGAGCCCUCGACAGUGGUUUUGAAAUUGGAACAUCUUGAAUUACUGCAGACUUGUACCCUUUGGUUUCAAAGGUAAGGAAAGGCAUUGCUUGAGUACAAUUUGGAGGCAGCUUCUUCACCAAUUUUAUUUGGAGGCGAUUGGCAGCAGAUCCAGCUGCACCAUUUUCAGAGCAAAUACUGACACUACUUCAAACAGCACGCUGAAGAAGCGCUAUGUCUACGGCAAAGGCAAUGCAGUCCUCAUUUUGGCUUGAGAUGCGGUAAUCAUCGAAGAGAGUUUCCUUAUGAAACUGGGCAACACAUUGAAUCCCUUCACCACUGAGAAGGUUGUGGAGGAAGUACGCUUUCUCUCUAGUGAGGAAGAGGUGGCAUACCUUCCCCAUUUUGUCUAGGGCAGUUAGGAAUCUUUUUUCUAAGAGAUUUACUCCAUUCUCUGUGAGAAAUGCUUUGAACUUCAUCCCUCUGUCUCUAUCCUCACUUAUCAGUAAAACAGUUGAAAGUGAUACAAGGAGAGAAAAGGAGAGUACUAAGAUAUAUAGACAAGAAAAACAUUAGGUGUCGAUCUUACAUGUUAAUACUUCAAACAGUAUCCUAGAAAGCUAAAAACUGCAGAAUGGCUUGAAAUUUGAAAAGAACACAUGCUUUUCCUCCUUAACUUGAGAAAAUGUUUAACAUAGCGCGCCUUACAGAAGCAAGCAAUUAGAACUUUGCACAAAAACAUUCAAGAAGACCAAUAUUUCAACUAUUUUACUGAUGAAAAUCUCAAAGCACAAAUGGCAUUGCAUUUUGUCCUCAACUGUAAUAUUUAUUGAUGAAAAUCAGUACAGGUCCCUCAUUUGUUAUGGAAAGCUUUCUUGCAAAGUGACGGACAUUUCUUUCGAUUUAAAGUCUUUGCAUCACCACUUCAUCACACACCAAGCCAAUAUUCUGUCUACCUCUACAACAAAAAGUUUUAAGUAAACGAUCCUAAUGCACGCAGCCAAAUAAAAUGCAGUAAGAAUAUUCAACUUAAAAAUCUGAAAGUCAACUUGGUGAAUUGCCUUCUUAGGGGAAGUUCCAUGAUUUACUAUACUAGACAGAACUGAGCAAAAGCUUCCAUACGACAGAUUUUGACAAUAAUGAUGCCAACAGAUCCUCAUUAAAUCCAUUAAAACUCCUAAGGUUCAUUGUUCAUGGAUGUUUACAGAGUGAAAAUUAGAUCACCAGCAGCUAAUUGUAAAUUCAAACUUAACUCUUCAUCUCCUUUGUAAACAGGAAACAAAAUGGAGACACGCAAAAUGAAUAAGGAGAACAUUUGAACUCAAAUGAAAUGAGGGCACGAAAGCAAACAAAUGGCAUGCACAAACAAACCAAGCCUCAAUAAAAAACUAAUUAACCAUUAAAAAAAAAAAAAACUGGUCAGAGAAUGAACUCCAAAUUCGGUUCGGGAGUGAAGCAAGAAGCUUUAUUAUUUCAGAAGCUCCUGUACAAAUUAAUAAGUUAUGCUCUUUGGAAACAAACCUAAAUUCCAUGAGAAACAGAACUCAAAAAAUUUGCAAUUAUACGCCAAGGAAGUGAAGCACAGCAUUCUAUCACACGUACGAAUUGUAUAACAAGAGAUCGACACAUCGAAUCAGAAGAACUCAAUUCAAAUUUGUCUCAAAAAUCAAAAUUAGAAGAUUUCACAUUUCGAGAGGAACAAGGGACAGGUCAGAUGCAAAAUUUUCAGCCACAACAUGCCACAAUUAACGGUUUAUUUCCAUGGAUUUAGAGAGCUAACUGACCUUUUGGCUUUUGGAAUUGAGAAGAUCGCGCGCCAAAAUGGAAGAGGGAAAGCGAAAGUGCGGGUUUUAAUAGGGUAUUGGAUUAGCAAAUUUUAUUAGUUUGCGGGGGUAAAAUAGGAAAGAGAUAUCACUAUUAACCUUUUUUUUAUAAGAAAAAAGAAUAAUAAAGAAUAUUUUAUUGUCAUUUGCAGCCUUUAAUUUUUUUUUAAAUGCUAUUAGAAAAAUACGACGACAAAGAAAUGCUAUUUUUUUAUUUUUUUCUUGAAGGUGAAAUCAAUUAUUUAGCUCCUUAUAUGUAAUCAAACUCCAUUUCUUACUUUAAGUCAUAUCCAACGGACCAACAAAAUAAUUAUUUUUUUUUCAUUCAUUUUUGCAGAAAAUUAAUAACUUAAAAAUAUUGAAAGCUAUUGUAAAAUUUUUUAUUAUCAACCUCAUAAUUUAAUUUUUUUGGGGAAGAAUUGAAUUUUUUUUUUUAAUUUCCAAGAAUUUCAUUCUCUAGUUUUUCCAUUAAUAUUACUUAUCUUCAUACCCAUCUUAAUUAAAAUCUGUAGUUUUAUUCAAGAGUCAUGCUAUUCAUUCACUCGGACCAAAGGCUUUCCGCAGCAAUAUUAUUAUUUAAAUUACAACAAAGGGGAAAUCAAAUACGUCAUACAGAGGCUUAAAGCUCAAUCUACAAAAUCUAGAGUUCUCAACUACAUAAAUUACACUUGAUGAUCCUCUACAAGAUGAAUCUUGUUCAAUAUCUCAUCCAAAGCUUAUAAAGUAACCUUGUAACGAUCUUGAGAUUGCCUGCCUUCCUCGACGACCUGCACCAUGCGUUUGUACAAAUCAUCUGUGAUCAAGAACAUAAGAGCGUUUAACAUCUUUUCUCCAUCGAGAAAGAAUGUAGUGAGAUGGGAUCUCCUCCAUACCACUCUGGUUUAGAACACAAAGAAUGUGUCUGCAUAAAUAUCCUCUGAAAUUGAACAACCCACAAACACAAAGCACCUCCAAGUCGGAGGCAUUGUACAAAACAUCGAAAGCCCUUGAAUCUUUCUCGUUGCUACCAACCUCAAAUUCUUCCUUCACUAUGUAUGUUAUAGGUCCAUCAGCACUGACAUGUUUUGUGCUAUAGCAAGAGUACAUAGCCUCCACCUCCAUCUGAAACUUCCUUAACAUUUCAUUUGUGUACAGUUUUGAGAGUUGAAAUUCAUAGGAACAUCUUGGUUUCUGGAUACAACUUGAAUUUCUUGAAUCCAUAUCUGCCAAGGCUUCCAGUUGAUAAUUCGCCUGCAGUGCUUGAUCAUAUUUGUCUAAGUAUUCUUUCAAAGGAGUAUUCUUAUCAAGAUAUCCUUCAAAGUAUGAAGUAGAAACCUCACUCUGCAGGAAUGAAAACACUCCUGAUAAAAAUGUUUCCUUCAAAUAAACAGGAGCCCAACUUUUACGAUCCUCAUAUAAAGUUUGAAUCCAUCCAUGAUCCCUUAUUCCAUGACGUUGAAUCGUGUCCUCCCAAGCUGUCUCAAAUUCCUCAGGCCUAAGAGAGUGACAAAUUGCUCUAUGCAAUGCAGCUCUAAUAGCUUCAUAUUCAAAAUAUCCUUGGAGAUUCUCUGGAAUUUUUUGCAUGACGCAUGACAAUGAAAAACAAUGAUAAGCUCUUGGGAAAACAUCGCCGACAGCAGUUUGCAAGAUCUACAUUGGUCAGUGAUGAUUGUUUGUGGAGAGCGUCCUAACAUACAUGUAAGCCACACCCUAAACAACCAUGUAUAUGAUUCUAUAGUCUCACCGGCAAGUAAACCACAGCCCAACAGCACUGAUUGUCCAUGAUGAUUCACCCCAAUGAACGAAACCAGCGUUGCAUCAUAUCUUUCUGUCAAGCAUGUAGUAUCAAUUGAUUUGAGCUAUUAACAUCAUUUCCAAAUACUCCAUUGGCAUCUACAUUACCAUUUCCCUCGGCAUCAAUGAUAAGAGUUCGAAACAGUCUAAUCUUUUGAACUUCUUCAGCACCAUCUAAGAGCAAUGUUCUUUUGGUUCCAAUACCCAUGUGCUUAUGAGACUUGUAAAACUUCCCGCUUCUUGGGCUUAACAAGUGGUUAUGCUCAAGCUCGACUUCAAUGAUUCUCCACCUUUUGGUUUCCAUCAACCUAAACUUUAUCAUUGCUGGACAGCCCGUUCUUGUUUCUGGUCUUGGGCGGUUUGCCUCGCUUUUCUUCUUGAAGCCUGCAUUACUACAGCUGAGCUUUCCUUUAUACUUUUCUCUACUCUUUUGGUACCAUGUAUUGCUAACUCCAACACCAAAACCCUGUUCCUUGGCAUAGCAAUUAUAAAAGUAAUAUACGUCAUCAUACGUCUCAAACUCCAUUCCAACAGCAGGAGGCAAUGGAUUUUGGAUUAUCCCAGUUUGUCCAACAUAUUCAGUCAUCGCACAAUCUCCUACGACCUCAAAAUCAUCAGCUUCAUCAUCACCUACUGGUUCAGUAUUCAGAGAAACUUCAUCCAUCUACAAUAGAUGUUUAAUGAAGUGAGCUUUAAGGAGAAAAAGCAAAAUCAGUUCAAGGAAAGAUAAUAUAACCAUACAGUUACUUUCACAAAGCUGCGUAUUUCAUCAAUACUUUAACAACAUACAACUGCCUGAGAACAUAUAGACAUGUCAUAGACGUUUGAAUUAAGUAUUGGUACAAAUUAGCACACAUCAUGUGGGACACAAUUUCAGUCACUAAACCCAAUGCCUUUUUUUUUUCACAUCAUACCAAGGAACGGAUUAAACCCAAUACCUUCUUUUACGCCAUACCAAAGAACAGAUUAAAUCAUCAAUGAAAAUUUAAUCAAAUAAUAAUUUAACUAGACAAUUGAAGAGCUUGAAACAGCACAAAACUUGAAUCUGAUUAUGAUAAUUGUUGAGUCCUUGUAUCCACAGCUUUCCUUCAAUGAGAAGAUUAUGAACAUAAACUACACAUAAAAAAAUUAUUUAAACUGACAGCCCAUGAUAUAAAUCAAACAAAAUUAACUCCUUUUACAAAUCACAUCUCGUAUUCAGUUACAUUGAAACACAAAAAAGGAAGCAGGAGCCGGAGAAAAACAACAACAGAGAAACUUAUUUCCAGAAGGUUUACGAAAUAAGGAAUUUAUUAAGACACAAAAUUUGAGGUCAACAAUAAGAAUUUGGUUCUCAUUCUCUUUUUCUUCAUUUUUCACUUAUUGAUGGAGUUAGCGUACAAUCCUAUAUGAUAAAACCCCAUCUCCAUCUUUUUGAACUAGAGCUAAAGCAAAGCAUUUUAAGAUGUUUUUCCCUAAAAGACUCAAUAGUACAAUGCUUUUCAAUAUUAAAUACACAACUCAAUCUUCCCCUAAUUUACUCUAAUAAUCUCUUAACUAAGGAAGAUUAAGCUCCACUUGUAAGCUAAAACAAGUUUCUUAAAUCAAGCCCCAAUGCUCUAUACUAUUCAACAAGGCCUCAUAAAUGAUAAAACUACCUCUGCAAAGAUACCCAUUUUAAUUUCGCAAACUAAAAUCAAACUUCUGAAACGUAACGAGCAUUAAAACAAACAAGUCCGAACAAGAACUGAAAAAUGAUACGUAAACCCGUUUACACGUUUCGACAAACACUUUCCAAUCAAUGAGCAAAAAGGUUAAUGGAAAACAUGAAAUUCAAACAAAACAUACCUUAGGUUGAUAAAUUAGUAGGGCAAAAGAAAUUUUAGCGAGAUAUGGGAUCAGGGAUUUUGCCACGGUGAUGUUAAUUGCGACAUUCGGGUGACUCAGCAGCCUUCGAGGCUGAAACUUUGAUUGACCAAAAGGUUCCCGUUCGUUGAUUCUCUAAUUGCAGAAACGAAACUGGCAGUGUACAGAAAAAGUACGCUGAUUUGAUAAUUCUGUGAAAAUCAUUGUUUUUUUCAGAUUUUAAUGUGUUCGAUAAAAUAUCAAAAUCUCAAAAACUUUUGUCUUUCAUUUUGGGGGGAAAAACACACUGAGAUCCUUAUGUUUUUUCUUAUAUAAUCUGGCUUAAUAAUUUGCAAAGUCUAUUACUUUGCACCCAUGCAUGCUGCGUUACAAUUUACAAAAUUGUACGUGAGUGCAUCCAGCUAAAAUUUGUAAAAAGAAAAUAACAAUAACAUGUUAAAAAUGUGAUUAUUAUGAAGAAAUUUUAAUUUAGUUAAAUAGGUGACGAUGGAUAGGUAUAAAAUCUGAGAUCUUUUAUGAGAUUAAUAAAUAUGUUGAGUUUGGAUUAGUUCAAUUUUGACAUAAUACAGAAUAAACACAACCUGCUAAUCUAAGUUACCAUCUUUUCCCGUCAUCAGGUACCUGUUUGAAAAAUAAUUAUAUACAAUUUUAUUUGCGUUGUCUCUCUAAAAAUUUGGGACUCAAAUGUUAUUUCUAAUUGCUAAAAGUACGAAAAUGCCCCAUUUCUCUUCAGCUAAAGGAGUGCAAAGUCAUCUGUAUAAUUGAAGCUGCAUCAUCAGUUUCUAUUGCUGGUGUUUACUGCAUGCUUACAGUUGCUUGACAAAGUGAGCCAGUUUUUUGUUUAUUAAUUUUUUUUCUUGUCGAGAUAGUCACAAAGUAUUACUUGUUCUAUAUAAGAAUGAUGUGAAUCAAUUUUUCAAUUAUGCAUUCUGUGGUAAUUGUGAAUUUAGUUUCAUUUGUCUUGUCUCCUGCAAAUUUUGAAGAAAAUGCAGACAUACAAACUUACAAUACGGAAGAGUUCACAGGCAAAAACUUUGUGAAAGCUUCCAAGUGAAACAGGGAAUGCGCUUACUAGUAAAGAACAAAUUGGUGGCCAGCUAAUGCAUUCAUUCUAUGUCCAUUGAUCUUUUUGAGUUAUUGAAGACAAGUGGCUCACCGCUUUUAGUAUUGGUAAAAUUCAGAUAAUCUCUAUUCCGAAAUAAUAAUAUUCAAAAUAUCUCUUAAAUCAUUAUAAACCUCAAAUUUAUUUUAAUUUUAUUUAAAAGAUAAAAGAAAAAUAGGUUAUGUUGGUGAUUUUUUAUUAUCUUUUUAAUAAAAAUGAAAUAAAUUGAUGUUUAUAAUUAAUUAAAGUAUUUUAAAGAUUGCCAUUUUAUGAGAGAAUAAUAUUUCACUUUUUUUAGUGUGAAAGACCGAAAAAGGACAAAGCAAGUUUCCCUAAUUUUUAUUUUAUUCGAAAUUGGUCAUCUCAUAUACUUCACCCUUCAACAUUAUAAUUUUUUUGGUUAUAAUUUUAUUAUUUUUUUUUCUUUUACACAUGCAUGUGAAUUACUUUUCUUUAAGCUCCUGAAUAUUUAAGACAAAUCAUGGAAGAGAUGAGAGUAUAACAAGAUGAUCAAAAUAUGUAACAAAAAAAUUUUAGAAGUGAAAAAUAUGUUAGAGUCGAAGUAAAACUCUGAGGUGAUGUUUGAUUUGAAGAAAAUGGAGGAGAGGAAAUGAGUGGAAUGGAGAGGAAAAGAGAGAAAAGGAGAGGAGAGGAGAGUGAAAUUUUUUUCUAAUGUUUGGUUUGUCACAUAAUUAUACAAAGAAAAGAAAUCUCUAAUUUUUUAUUUAGACAAUUUUAACCUUAAUAAGUAUUAAGCUUUCAAUAUUUAUCAUGUGUAUAAUUUAAAAAAAGUAAAUGGUAGAAAGCGGUUUCUGAUUCCGGCCACAUCGCCGGCAAUGGAAGGUACUUAUCAGAACAUCAAGAGCCGACCAUCAUUCCCUAGCCAUCACUGCUGUCGGAACACUGCCAGAAAGCUGCCGAUUGAACCGCAAAAAGUCGUGGAAAUCGCUGCCUCAAAUCGGUGAGUUUCGCCUUUUUCUGGUCACGCCGUCACCUUGGCUUUGUCCAUCAAGGCUGCCACUUCCAUUUUCAACCAUCCAUAGCCACUAUUAACGGCCAAAUCGCCGCCGAUCAGCGGGAUAUGUGGAAGUUAAAAAGUUUCUAAAUUUUUUUUAACUGGAUUUGAACAACAUACGACCAUUUUUUGAUCUCGAUAACGACGUAGUAAUGUUGAUCAUUGGUCGGCAAGUCGAAUGGUAGUGGCGGUGAGUAACACGCGCCAAUGACAUCGGCGGCGGCACUAUCCGGCGACUGUUAAAAUUAAUAUUUUAUAUUUUUAGAUUAAAUAAAUUUAUUUUAUUAAACUUUUUAAAUCAUUAUUUAAAUUUAAUUAAUUUAAAAUUAUCUAUAAUGUUGAAUUGAUAAAAUAAAUUUAUAAAUAAUAAUUAUGUGAUUACAUUAAAUAAGUUAAAAAGUUGAAAGGUUAUUUUUGGAAGAUUUAGUUUCCAACACAAAGGGAAUUUGAAUUCUUCACUUCUUAGUGUGGAAUUCAAAUUCUAUAUUGUAAUGGAUAUUAAAUUCCAAUAGAAAUUAAAUUCUUAUAAGUUAUGUCAAACCAAACAACGGAAAUAAAAAAGGAAUUUAAAUUACUUUCCUUUCCUCCACCCUCUCCUUCCAACCAAAUACAUCCUGAAAAUAGAGAUAUUGAUUAAUUUAGAAGAGAUGCAAGCAAAAGAUAUUCCAAAAAAAAAAAGCAAUAUGUCCCUUUGGAGGGCAAACUUGUCAGUUUUAAAAAAGUACAUGCUUUGGAUUGAUAGUUGUAGGAUAUUUGUUUUGUCACUAUGUAUUAGUUGGAGAAGUCAAGCCUUGUGAAGAAUGUUAUGAAAGAGCAAAUGUUAGAGUACAAUUUAUGCACUAGUUUUGCAUUGUUUACUUCCAUUAAUAUCGAUGUUUUGCACUUAAUAAUAGUGAUUUACUUGUGUUUUACUUUUGUAGGUGCAAUUCUAUUGAUUGGUGAUAAAAUUGAGCUAUAAGAUGAUGUUUAAGGAUGAUUGUUCUCUUGGAGAAAUUUAGAACGUCAGAAGAACUUUGUUGAUAAGGCAUGGGCGCGUGCUGUCAACUGCGGACCUGCAGUUUUUAGUUUAACGUGUUUUGUAUUUUUGGUUAUUUUUGUAAUUACGAAUUUAAUAUUUCAGAUAUUAGUAUUUUAUUUUAAAUAGAAUUCUAAAAGAGAGGAGAGAGAGAGUAUUUAAGGGAGGAAUCUAUUGUGAAAAAUGGGGAUUUUGGAUUGGAGAAAGAAAGAAACCCUAGAUCUAAUUUUUCUCUUCUCUCUAUGAAGAACUAAACUUAUUUUUCUGGUUGAAGGUUAAUGAAGCUUUGAUUCAUCACUACUGUGAGAUCUUUCUUGUGCUUUAAUUGUUUUAUUGCUUUUUGGGUAUUUGUUUAUUCUCUGAAUUAUUUUCAUGAUUAUGUUUGUUAAUUAGAUAAUUGGCCACUAUUUAAUUAUCAACUUAAUCUAUUGUCAAUUAAAGGAUUCAUCGUAUGAAGAAUUUAAUGUUUGUGACAAAUAACAUAGCAGAGAGUUGUGUUGUGAGAAUAAACAAUCUAAUUUAAAUGAAUCAUCAUAUGUGUUGAUUAGGAUUUGGGUCUCUCUGGUUUUUCAGGCUGACAUUGAUUAAAUCCUAUGAUCGUAUCUAGGGUUGUCUAUUGAUUAGGGAAAUAACCAACGGUCGUACCUUGGUUAUCGACUAGUUAAGGAGAGAUUGGCUAUUAGAGGUUCUCAAUAGUUAUAACCGAUCUAUUCAUAAGUAAUAAUAAUCUAUAUUUGAAUCAAUGAUCAGUAGUCGAAUCAAGCUGAGUUAAUUCCUUCAACCAGAGCUUUCUCCAAUUUGAAUUACAACUUUAAUUUGCAUUCUUGUUAUUUUGAUUUGAUUUUUAUUAUUGUCAACAAUUCCCUCAUUUUACGUUUUACGUUUCAAAAGGAUUUAAAUAAUUACCGAUCUCUGUGGACACGACCCUGCUCAAUCACUAUACACAAUUUAUUUAGAGUAUGAAUUUAUUUUUAUUGGCUUCGACACCCAUCAGCAAAGGAUAUUCCUGAUAGCUGAUAGAGCUCUAUUUGAUUAUGUAUCCAAUGAAUGGAUGUGUUGUUGGAAGAUAUCUGAGUGCAUUAGUUCAUAUGUGUCUGUCAAUGUGCUUUUAAUGAUUUUUCCACUUGUUUGUUGUAAAAGAUUAUUGUAAAUUGAAAUGAGCUUGAUGUUGUAAUAUUUUUUCCUUAGUGGAAUUUCACCUAGUAUGUAUUCAGUUGUGUUCUCUAUAAUUUUGCAUUCGAAUAAGUUUCACCUAAAAUAUUAGCAUGAGUAGUGGCCUUUGAAACUUUGGUCAAAAUUAUUGUUAUUAUUUCCGACUAGAUGUAAAUUUUUUAUUAAAUCUCGUUAACACAAUUCUUAAUUAAAAGUAUAGGUUAGUGUUGGUGCAAGAUUUGCCACACCAAAUUCUGCCUAGCUGUCAAAAGUGCAAAAUAAAUGAAGAGAAAGCACAAAUACACGACUUGAAUAAGGAUACAACGAAACUUAAUUUCAAGAGAAAAUGAUAGCUAUAUCUCAAGAUUUGAAAAAAUGGUCAUGUAGAUUUUUAAGAUUUCAAUAAGCGACUGAGAUUCAAAUAAUAUCCUUUAAUUCUAUUAACAAAAAACAAAGACUCAAAUAUUUUAUGAUAAAGAAAAAUAUAAUAUUAAAAUAUAUGUGAUAAUAUACACAUUUUAAAUACUUUUAAUCCAAAAAAAUAGUUAUGUUUUACAAUCUAUUAGACAUAUUUUAUUAAAUUAAUAUAAAUUUUCUAUAAAAUAAUAAUAUAAUAUUAAAAUAAAUUCACAAAAAUUUAAAGAAUUUUGAAUGUAAAAUAAUUUUAAUAUAUUAAUACGUGAGUUUUUUAUUAAUAUAAAAAUUAUUUAACUUUAAGAUUUUUUAAAAUCUUUACAAUAAGUAUAACUAUAUUAUUUACAUUUAAAAAUAUUUAAAUAUUAUUAACCUACAAUUAUAUUUGCAUUUGUUAGAAAUUUUUUAAGUCAAAUAUUUUGCACUUCUAUAUUAUUAGAAUUAUUGCACACAAAGAAAGAAACAUAUACCUUUAGAAAUUGUUUUCUUUUAAAAUAGAGAUGAUGAUUAGUAUAAGGAUGAAAAAAAGGAUAUUAACGAAAUCUCUAUACAAAUUGAUUUUAGUAGGAAAAAAAUGAGUUAAAUGAUUUAGAGUGCGUUUGGAAUUGAGAUUGGGCAGUCAUAGAUUUUAAGUUACAACACUGAAGUGUUUGGUAAAUACUAGCUACUGCAGAUUGAAAGUUAUGUUGAUAUGAUUUUUCACAUGUAUCAUAGAAAAUAUAUUACAUCUUUAAUAAUUUUUUUAAAAUUUAUAUUUGCUAUAUAUUAUUAUUAUUUUUUUUUAUAGUUAUAACUUUUUUUCCAUAGCAGCUGUAGCUUAAAAGCCACAGCACCUCAAUCUCAAACAAGUCCUUAGACAUUCAUAGUGUGUUUAUUUUUUGGAUUGGUGAAUCAAAAUUAUUGACAACGCUAACUUCAUCUUCACCGUUCGCAAUCCAACAGCAGCAAUUGUCACCAAUAAUGAUAUCUCCAAUGAUGAUGACAAUUAUUAUUAUUAUUAUUAUUAAUUAAUUAAUUAAUUAAUUAAUUAAUUAAUAUAUUAAUGUUAAUAUUAUUAUUGUUAAGAUUAACAAUAAUUAUUAGUAAUACAAUUUUUUGAAUAAAAAUAAUCACAAUAAUUAAAAUACAAAUUAAUAAUUAUGACAAUAGUUAAUUAAUUUCUUUUUAGUAAUUUGUAACAAUCUAACUCAUUUUAAUUCUGAUUAUUACAGCUUAAGUAAACAAAUUAUUAUGAUUCCUAUUCUCCUUUCCCAUUUUAGCUCACUUCGAUUCCAGUCUAUUCCGAUUUCUAUCUAAUAAAUGCACCAUUAGUGCUAAAGUAAUAUUUCAUACAUAGAAAAGUAAAAACUACACCUAAGGUUAAGGGAAAGGACUUCAAAACUCUCUUUUGAUCAUAAUACAUUUUGUCCUAAUUAACUUAAAGAUUUUGAAUCUAAUAUUUUAUAAUAAAUAAAAAUAUAUUCCUAAAAUAAAUAUAAUAUCAAUAUUUAAAAUAUGUUUUAAUAUUUUACAAUCUAUCAUACACAUUUUAUUAUAUUAAAGUAGAUUUAUAAUAAAUAUAUAAAAAAUUUAGAAUAUUUAGAAUAUUAUAUAAAAUAAUUUUAAUAUAAUGCGUGAGAUAUAUUUUAUUAAUUUAAAAUGUCAUUUUACCUAAAAAAUAUGAUAAAUUAAUAAUUACAUAUUUGAAGUUAUUUCAAAUAUUAAAAAAAUUUAAUAUUAUUAAUCUUUUAGAUAGAUUAAAUUAUUUUUCAUAAGAGAGAUUAAUCUUUUACUAAAAUUUCUCUUCCACAGCCCACCGCAGCUUCAGUUAAUCAAACUCCAUCAAUUUUCUUUCUUAACAAAAUUCUAAAGAUGUGUAGCAUUUUUCAGAUCACAUGCGAUGGUGCUUUUUUCAAUCGUUGCUUGGAUUGCUUUCUUGGAAAAGCAGCAUACAUACGUAACCUCCAAGAUAAUCUUGAUGCCUUGGAGACUGAAUUGGGAAAUCUGAUCGCUAGAAAGAACGAUGUGAUGAGGAGGGUUGUCGAUGCUGAACGGCAACAAAUGAGAAGGCUGGACGGAGUGCAAGUGUGGGCUUCGAGGGUGGAUUCUGUUAAAACUGAAGCUGAUCAAUUUAUAAGAGACGGCUCUCGAGAAAUUGAAAAAUUAUGUGUUGGAGGCUACUGUUCCAAGAAUUGCAUGUCAAGCUACAAGUUCGGGAAAAAAGUGGCUAAAAAGCUACGGGAUGUGCGGUCUUUAAUCAGUGAAGGAGUUUUUGAAGUGGUGGCUGACAGAGCUCCAGAGUCUGUAGCAGAUGAAAGACCUACUGAGCGAACAGUAGUAGGCUUGCAAUCACAACUUGAACAAGUCUGGAGAUGUCUUGUAGAAGAAUCAGCGGGAAUCAUUGGCCUAUAUGGUAUGGGCGGUGUUGGUAAAACUACACUACUGACCCAUAUCAACAAUAAAUUUCUCGAGAGUCCAACCAACUUUGAUUGUGUGAUUUGGGUUGUAGUUUCAAAAGACCUGCGACUCGAAAAAAUUCAAGAAGAUAUUGGGAAAAAGAUAGGUUUGGUUGGUGAUUCAUGGAAGAGUAAAAGUGUAGAGGAGAAAGCUGUCGACAUCUUCCGGAGUUUAAGAGAGAAGAGAUUUGUAUUGUUGUUAGAUGAUAUAUGGGAGCGGGUUGAUUUAACAAAGGUGGGCAUUCCACUUCCCGGACCAAAAAAUACUACCUCAAAAGUCGUAUUCACAACCCGUUUCAUCGAUGUUUGUGGUAGCAUGGAAGUUGACAGGAAGUUUCAAGUAGCAUGCUUAUCAGAAAAGGAUGCUUGGGAACUGUUUCGAGAAAAAGUUGGGGAAGAAACUCUUCAGAGUCAUCAUGAUAUCGAUGAGCUAGCCCAAAUUGUGGUCAAAGAGUGUGGUGGUUUGCCACUCGCACUUAUUACUAUUGGUCGAGCUAUGGCCUACAGAAAGAAAGCGGAGCAGUGGAGACGUGCAAUUGAAGAGUUAAGGAGAUCAGCUUCAGAGUUUGCAGGUUUGGGAAAAGAGGUGUAUCCUCUUUUAAAAUUCAGCUAUGAUAGUUUGCAGAAUGAUACGGUUAGAUCUUGUUUCUUGUACUGUUGUUUAUAUCCUGAAGAUUAUGGCAUUCUUAAAUGGGACUUGAUUGAUUGUUGGUUUGGCGAGGGAUUUUUUGGGGAAUCUGACAGGUCUGGUGCAGAAAACCAAGGAUAUGACAUUUUGGAAACUCUUGUUCGUGCAUGUUUAUUAGAAGAGGUGGAAGAUGAUGAAGUAAAAAUGCAUGACGUUAUUCGUGAUAUGGCUAUAUGGAUAACUUGUGAAAUUGAGAAGGAGAAGAGAAACUUUUUGGUUCGUGCAGGUGCUGGAUUAAAAGAGGCACCGGGUGUUAAAGGAUGGGAAAAUGUGAGAAGAUUGUCAUUGAUGCAAAACCAAAUUGAAACUCUGGCAGAGGUUCCCACAUGCCCUCAUCUCCUCACUUUAUUUUUUGACUUUAAUAAGGAGUUAAAGAUGAUCGCGGAUGGCUUCUUCCAAUUUACGCCUUCUCUCAAAGUUUUGAAGAUGUCAAACUGUUUGAAUUUGAAAUUACCUAUUGGGAUGUCAGAGUUGGGUUCAUCACUAGAACUUCUCGAUAUUUCAUAUACCGGCAUAAGAGAGUAACCGGAAGAGUUAAAGUUGUUGGUAAAUCUGAAAUGUUUGAAUUUGAGGUGGACAAUUUGGUUAAAUAAAAUUCCACGGCAACUAAUAUCAAAUUAUUCAAGGUUACGUGUGUUGAGAAUGUUCGCUACUGGCUUGGGCAUUUUUCAUGAAGCACCAGAAGACAGCGUUUUAUUUGGUGGGGGUGAAGUUUUAGUACAGGAAUUGCUCGGUUUGAAAUAUUUAGAGGUAUUGGAGUUGACCUUGGGAAGUUAUCAUGCUCUCCAAAUUCUUUUGAGCUCAAAUAAGUUAAAAAGUUGUAUUCGAUCUCUUUACCUCGAGUUGACCGGAGAUACAGCGUCAAUUAUUGAUGCUACGGCUUUCGCAGAUCUAAACCACCUCAAUGAAUUAUAUAUUUUUAAAGGUAUUGAGUUGGAAGAAUUGAAGAUUGAUUAUACGGAGAUAGUACGAAAAAGGCGGGAACCUUUUGUUUUCCGCAGCCUUCACUGUGUUAUUAUGGUUUCGUGCCGUAAAUUGAAAGAUGUGACAUUCCUCGUUUUUGCUCCAAACCUCAAGUCUCUUUUGGUAGACGGUUGCGAUGCUAUGGAAGAAAUAAUCAGCGUCGGAAAAUUUGCUGAGACUCCUGAGAUGAUGGGACAUAUAAGCCCUUUUGAAAAUCUCCAAAUGCUUGAUUUAACGGCAUUGCCGGAGUUGAAGAGCAUCUACUGGAAGCCAUUGCCUUUCACUCAUCUGAAAGAAAUGGAGGUACUUAGGUGCGAUCGGCUUGAAAAGCUUCCACUCGAUUCCAACAGUUCAAAGGAGCGUAAAUUUGUUAUUUGUGGAUACACAAAGUGGUGGAACCGACUUCAAUGGGAGGAUGAAGCCACUCAAAUUGCUUUUCGUUCCUGUUUCCAACCAAUGGGAGUACUGAGCGGUGGUCGCAAAAUUUGAUUUCUGGUGAGUGCGUUUUUGUUAACGCUUAUGUUUUUAUUCCAGUGUGUUUUUCUUCUGUCUUCUGCAAAUCAAUGCUUUAUAAAUUUUCCUUUUCCCUUUUUUUUUGGGGGGGGGGGGGGGGGCGUGGGUCGAAUUGAUGCUCUGGUUUUUUACUUUUUGUUGUCAAAUUUGGCCUUUUUUUUUUUUUUUUUUUUUUACAAGUUGAUACUUUAUUUAUAUCUUCUUAGCGAUUUAAUUUCCUGUCAAAAGACGAGCGAGAAGAACAUAUGACUUAAAGCAAUUGAUACUUUAUUUAUGUGCAUUGUAUGUAAUAAAUAUUAAGUAUACUUUAUUUUGCCCUGUUCUCUGUUUUUAUUUCAGUCUCUCUCUCGCUCUCUCUCUUUCCUGUCUUCUGCAAGUCAUAAUUAAAUGUUGAAUUAUAUGGAAUUAAUGCUUUAUAAAUCUGCCUGCGCUGGCUUUUUUUUUUUUUUUUGUGGGGUCGAAUUGAUGCUCUGGUUUUCGACUACUUUUUGUUGUCAAAAUUUUCUCUGUUUUUUCAAAUUUAUAUCUUAUUCGUGAAAAGUGAUUUAAUUUCCUGCCAAAAGACGAACGAGAAGAACAUUAGAGUCAAACUAAUGCUCACAUAAAUUUCCCGUAAGAAUAUAUAAUUAGACUGGAAUGCACACCUCUAGAUUGAACAGAAUUAAAGCUGAGAAAAUAUUGAGUAUAGUAGCCCUCUUUACAGAAAAUGACGCGAAAGUUAAUUUAGAAAGAUAUAUUCUCGAUUAAUCCAUUUUCUGAAUUUUUUUUUUAUUUUGUAUGGUCAAUUUUUUUUUUAAAUUACAACCUCAUAGUCAUGCUAUUCAUUCACUCACAGACCAAAGGCUUUCCGCAGCAAUAUUAUUAUUUAAAUUACAACAAAGGGGGAAUCAAAUACGUCAUACAGAAGCUUAAAGCUGAAUCUACAAGAUCUAGAGCUCUCAAGAUGAAGCUUGUUCAAUAUCUCAUCCAAAGCUUGUAAAGUAACCUUGUAACGAUCUUGAGAUUGCCUGCCUUCCUCGACGACCUGCACGAUGCGUUUGUACAAAUCAUCAUACUUGUGCACUGGAUUUUUAAUAUCAACGCCACUGCAGCUGUGAUCAAGAACAUGAGAGCGUUUAACAUCUUUUCUCCAUCAAGAAAGAACGUAGUGAGAUGGGAUCUCCUGCAUGCCACUCUGGUUUAGAACACAAAGAAUGUGUCUGCAUAAAUAUCCUCUGAAAUUGAACAACCCACAAACACAAAGCAUCUCCAAGUCAGAGGCAUUGUACAAAACAUCGAAAGCCCUUGAAUCUUUCUCGUUGCUACCAACCUCAAAUUCUUCCUUCACUAUGUAUGUUAUAGGUCCAUCAGCACUGACAUGUUUUGUGCUAUAGCAAAGAGUACAUAGCCUCCACCUCCAUCUGAAACUUCCUUAACAUUUCAUUUGUGUACAGUUUUGAGAGUUGAAAUUCAUAGUAACAUAUUGGUUUCUGGAUACAACUUGAAUUUCUUGAAUCCAUAUCUGCCAAGGCUUGCAGUUGAUAAUUGGCCCGCAGUGCUUGAUCAUACUUGUCUAAGAAUUCUUUCAAAGGAGUAUUCUUAUCAAGAUAUCCUUCAAAGUAUGAAGUAGAAACCUCAUUCUGCAGUAACGAAAACACUCCUGAUAAAAAAGCUUCCUUCAAAUAAAUAGGAGCCCACCUUUUACGAUCUUCAUAUAAAGUUUGAAUCCAUCCGUGAUCCUUUAUUCCAUGACGUUGAAUCAUGUCUUCCCAAGCUGCUUCAAAUUUCUCAGGCCUGAGAGAGUGAUAAAUUGCUCUAUGUAAUGCAGCUUUAAUAGCUUCAUAUUCAAACAAUCCUUGGAGUUUCUCUGGAAUUUUUUGCAUGACGCUUUCCUUCAAUGAUAAGACAAUGAACAUAAACGAGACACAAAAAAAAUUAUUUUAAACUGACAGCCCAUGAUAUAAAUCAAACAAAAUCAACUCCUUUUUUUACACAUCACAUCUCAUAUUCAUUUGCAUUGAAGCACAAAAAGGAAGCAGGAGUGGGAAAAAAAAAACAACAGCAGAGGAACUUAUUUCCAUAAGGUUUAGGAAAUAAGGAAUUUAUUAAGACACAAAAUUUGAGGUUACCAAUAAGAAUUUGGUUCUCAUUAUUUUUUUCUUCAUUUUUCACCAAUUGAUGAACUUAAAAUACAAUCAUCAAUGAUAAAACCCCAUCUCCAUCUUUUUGAACUAGAGCUAAAGCAAAGCAUUUUAAGAUGUUUCAUCAUUUUUUUUAAUAAAAAAAAACCUCAAUAGUACAAUGUUUUUCAAUGUUAAAUGCACAACUCAAUCCUCUCCUAAUUUACUCUAAUAAUCUCUUAAUUAAGGAAGAUUAAGCUUCAGUUGUAAGCUAAAACAAAUUUCUUAAAUCAAGCCCCAAUGCUUUAUGCUAUUCAACAAGGGCUCAUAAAUGAUAAAACUACUUCUACAAAGAUACCCAUUUUCUAAAUUAAUUUCAAAAACUGAAAUCAAACUCCUGAAACGUAACGAGCAUUAAUAUAAUCAAACCCGAACAGGAAUUGAAAAAUGACACAUAAACUCGUUUACACAUUUCGACAGACACUUUGCAAUCAAUGAGCAAAAAAUUAAUGGAGAAGAUAAAAUUCAAACGAAACAUGCCUUACAUUGAUAAAUUAGAAGGGCAAAAGAAAUUUUAGUACGAUAUGGGAUCAGGGUCUUGCCACGGUGAUGUUAUUUGUGAUGUUCGAGCGACUCAGCAGCCUUCGAGGUUGAAAAUUUGAUUGACCGAAAGCUUCCCGUUCGUUGAUUCUCUAAUAGCAGAAACGAGACUGGCAGUAUACACAAGAAGUUCGCUGAUUUUAAAUUCCGUUGUUUGAGAUGGAAAUUUUUUUGAAAAAAUUAAUGUGUUCGAUGAAUAUCAAAAUCUCAAAAACUUUUUGUUUCUCAUAGCACCCAUGCAUGAUGUGUUGUUUCUCUAAAAGUUUGAGACACAAAUGUUAUUUCAAAUUGAAACGCCAUGCACUAGUAGUAGACUAGUAGGUAGGAGAAACCAAGGUUGAAGUUACUGUUCAUUUAUUUUUAUUUAUGAUUUUUUGUAAAAUGUAAGAAAUAUGUAGAAAUGUUGCCAGCAAUGAUUUUGGAACUUUGCAUAAAAUUUUUAUCAUUAUUGUUUUUGGUAUUAAGAAAUCCGAGGCGGUGAUUAGACGUAUGUUGCAACAAUUAAGAAAUUUCUUAUUGGAGAUAAUUUGGUAGGUUGCAACAAUUAGAGAAUCAUUUUCCUGUCAGUUAAUCAAUCAAUAAUAAAUUUCAAAUUGCAGAAAAUAAAAUAAUACUGUCACACUUAGAAUCAUCUUUUCUAUCUCUUUCAAUUGUGGCAAUCAUUUGUAACAAAUAAAUCAAUUUGAUGCACAUCAUUUCCCCAAUUCAAAGUUCAAGUCACUGCUCAAUUGCAGAGUAGUUAGUAGACAUGCAUGCAUGUUUAAUUAAGUACUGCAUUGUAGUAUCGAAAAUCAUAAUAUCUCACCAAGCCCGGAAGCAUAGCUCUUUAUCUUGUAAACGUUGAAAUCUUAUGCAAACUAUGGGAAACAUGAUCUCACUCUCAGUGUCACUUGAUUCCAUUUUCUGUUCUUGCCUUGAUUUCGAUGUUGGGAAUGUGACGUCUGAGUCCAAGGUUGAAGAUAAUCUCGAUGCCUUGCGGACUGCAAUGGAAAAAUAAGCGGAAACGAGAAAUGAUGUGAUAAGAAGAGUUACUGUUGCUGAAGGACAACAUCAAAUGCAACGAAUGGAUCGAGUGCAGGGCUGGCUUUCAAGGGUAAAAGCUGUGGAAAAUAAAGCUGAUGAUUUGAUGAGACACAGCUCUCAAGAGAUUGAGAAGUUAUGCCUUGGAGGCUUCUGUUCCAAGAACUGCAAAUGAAGCCACAGCCGUGGGAUAGAAGCUGCUACAAUGCUACGAGUUGUGGAGACUUUAAUGGGUGAAGGAUCAUUUGAAUUGGUGGCUGAGAGGGUGCCAGAAGAUGCAGCAGACUGAGCAGAGGAGAUAAAUUGUGAGUCAACAAUAAUGGGCAUGGUGUCGACUUUUGAGAAAGCCUGGAGAUGCCUUGAAGAAGAAUCAGUUGGAAUUAUUGGCCUAUAUGUCAAUGGGAGAGUUGGAAAUAUUUACUCAAAUCAACAACAAGUUCCUUGAUAGUCCAAAUAAUUUUGAUGUUGCAAUCUGGGUAGUGGUCUGCCAAGAUUUGCAACCCCAGAAGUUUCGGGAAAAGAUUGGGAAAAAGAAAGGCUUGUUCGAUGAGUCAUGGAAGAACUGAAGUUUUGAAGAGAAAGCACUCGAUAUAUUCAAGAAUUUAAGCAAGAUGAAGUUUGUAUUACUGCUGGAUGAUAUAUGGGAGCAGGUUGAUUUAAUUAAAAUUGGUGUCCCUCUUCCAAGCACAAAAAUUACAUUCAAGAUAGUCUUCACAACUCCUUCUAUUACAUUUGUGGCCUCAUGGAAGCUCACAACAAGAUUAAAGUGAAGUGUUUAAAUGACGAAGAAGCAUGGGAAUUAUUCUGCAAGAAGGUUGGAGAAGAUGUGGCGACUCUGUACAAGUGCUAAGGAGCUCAGCCUCAGAAUUUCUAGGUAUGUAAAAACAAGUAUAUCCUCUUUUGAAAUUCAGUUAUGAUAAUUUACCUAGCGAUAAAAUUAGAUCGAGUCUGUUAUACUGUAGUUUGUUCCCAGAAGACUUUCCAAUUAGCAAAAUGGAAUUGAUACUGAGAUACGAAAUCAAGGAUACUACAUUAUUGGUGUUCUUGUUCCUUUAUGUUUAUUGGAAGAAGAGGCUCCACUGUUUGUAAAAGUGCAUGAGGUGAUACGCGAUAUGCUUCUGUGGAUAGCAUGUGAAAUUUUAUUUUUAUUUUUUUAUAGGGAUAUCAUGUGAAGUUGAGAAGGAGAGAGAGAAUUUUUUGGUUCGUGCAGGUGCAAGGAUUAACUGAAGUACUAGACAUUUGGAAAUGGGAAGGGUUGAGAAGGGUGUCUUUGAUGAUCAACAAAACUGAGAAGGUAUCAGAAAUUCCUUCAUCUCACGAUCCACUAACUUUGUUGCUUCAACAUAAUUAUUUAGAGGUGAUCAAUAAUGACUUCUUCCAAUCUAUGCAUUCCCUUAGAGUUUUGAACUUAUCAUGUAAUCAUUCUCUAACUGAUCAUUUCAAAGUUAGUUUCCCUACAUACGAGAGUUGCCGAAUGAGUUAACGUUCGUAGUGAAUCUUAAGUUUUUGAAUGUGGAGUCUGCACGGUUUCUUCAUUCAAUUCCAGGGCAAGUGAUAUCCAGUUUUACGAUGUUACAAGUUUUGAAGAUGUUUGGUUGUGGCAGGUCAUCUUCUGAUCGUGAGCCACACCAGAAGAUAGCGUUUUAUUUGGAGGCAGUGAACUUUUGAUUGCGGAGUUGUUUGGUUUGAGAGACAUUUAGAUGUGUUGACCAUCAUCCUAAGAAGCUCCCAUGCUCUGAAAAGAUUUUUGAGCUCCAACAAACUUCAAAGUUGUACUCAAUCUCUCUAUCCUAAAUGCUUUGAUUCGAAGUCAGUUGAUGUUUUUUGCCUGGCUGAUCUGAAGCAUCUCAAUAGGCUAUAGAUAUUGCGAGUUGUAAGCUUUUGGAAGAAGUGAAGAUUGACUUUGUUGGGAAAGCACAAAUGAACUCAUGGUUUUCACAGCCUUAUGUCACGGAAGUUGUGUAAACACUGCACGGGUUGCUGCGCAAAGUAACCAUCCUAUGACAUUGAGCCAUGUUGAAAUAUCAUUUUGCUGUAAACUGAGGGAUUUGACAUAGCUUGCUUUUGCUCCAGACCUUCUUGUUGUUUCCAGAAAGCAUUGCCAUGAUAUAGAGGAAAUACUCGGUGUUGGAAAAUUAGGUAAAGAGAUGAUGUCAAACCUGGAACCCCCUAUAAAACUCCUAAGGUUAUGUCUGGCAUGUAGGAUUGGAUUGAACUAAAUUAUUAGGACUGGAUUAAAUUGGGUUAUAUUUAUAUUCUUAUGUUUGGUACAGUACUGGAUUGAACUAUAUUAGAUUAUAUUUAAAUAAUAUUAAAUAGUAUUUAAGUUGGUAUUUUAAUAUAAAUAUCAAUUAUCCAUGAAAUUUUAUAAUCAUAAUUAAAAUAAAUUUAAAAAGCAAUUACUAGAAAAAUUAAAUAUAUUACAAAAAGUUAUUGGGUAGUCAUAAUAUAAUAAGCAAAUAAAAUUAAAUAAAACAAAUUAAAUAUUUAAUUAAUUUUUAUCAAAUAUUUAAAAAUAUUAUAUAAAAUCAAUUAAUUAAUGGUUUUAUUAAUUUUCAUGAUUAUUUUUAAUAUUACAUUAGUAAUUAUUAAAUUUAAUACAAUCAAAUAAUGCAAUAAAUAAUUAAACGUUUAAUUUUAUCGAUUAAUUAUUAAAUAUACAAGUAAUGAAAAUUUAAUCUCAGGAGUUGGCAGAAGCAAAAGUACUAAUUUAAUUAGAUCAUAGAUAAUAAAUAAAAAUUAAUUUUAAGUAAAUCAUAAUAAAAAAAUUAAUUAAUUGAUUCAAUCAAUCAAUAUUAGGUGUAAAUAAAAAAAGAGUAAUGAUAUAGCCACAAAUUCUUGUACAAACUUAUUUUGUACAAACUCAUGUGUCAUGAUAAGAUUAGUUGAAUUAAAUAUCACUUGGCCCACAUGAUUUGUUUUUAUUAUUUUAUAUUUUUAUUCAACCAAUGAAUUAACGCCACGUCAGUUUGUACAAGAGUUUGUGGUUGUAUCAUCACUCAUAAAAAAAAAGAUACAAAUAAAAAUCUCAUAAAUGGACAACUUUUAUCUUUAAUCUUAUCCCAACUAAACACAUGUGUGAAUUAAGAUUAUUAAUCCCAUGAUUUUAGGAUUAAAUUCAAAUUAAUUCCCCCUUAAUCCAAUCCAACUAAACUUGUCAAACAUGGGAUAAAAGUUUAAUUCUAAAAUUAGUCCAAUUCCAUACUUAAUCCUAGCAUCCACAUAUAGCCCAAGUUGUUUGCUUAAAGAAGCUACCAAAUUUGAAGAGCGUUUACGGGAAGGCCUUGCGUUUCCCAGAUGUAUGCAGAAUUUUUGUAUCCAAAUGCCCAGAACUUAAGAAGCUGACGCUGGAUUUUGAAAGGGCGGGCCAAGGUAAAAUUCUUAUCAAGUGAAAGGAAAAUCGGUGGAAACAACUUCAAUGGAAGGAUCAAGCAACUCAGGAUGCAUUGCUUCUGUUUUUCAAAUCAACUGACAAGUGAUUGAAGGGGGCAUCAUCAGCCUGGAUGGGGAGAUCCUGGAGCAGAUCAGCAGGGUUUGAAUCUGCAUCAUCAACAUCAUCAGGAUCUCUAUUUCUAUUGCUGGUCGUAAUGCCUGCCUACUGUUACUUGAAAAAGUGAUUAAGUGAGCCAGUUUUUUGUUUAUUAAAUUUUGUCUUGUAGAGACAGUCACAAAGUAUUUUUCUUAGUUGUUCUAUAUGAGAGUGAUGUGAAUCAAUUUUUCAAUUAUAUAUUCUGUGGGAAAUUGCAAGUAUUUUUAAAAUAUGAUCGUUAUUAAAGGAAACAAAGGAAUCAACACAGCAUACUGAACCUCAGCAGUAUGAAGCUAAUGAUUAAACUCCUCACACAAUUCAUAACAUGCAAAACCAUUCACAAAAUCAUCCCCAGCAACCAUAAUUGGCGUCCAAUAGAAAUUUACAAGAAUUACUUUUCUGUUCAUGCAAUCGGCGUCCGAAUGCGGCUGAUCGGUCACCGGUGUUGGCGUUUACUGUGAUUAGACAAAUUGUAGGAAUUCAAAAAUAACUUCUAUAGGGGUAAUUUCGAUUUCACAUAAUUAAUUUUAUUUACAAUAUUUUAUUCCUGCUAGAUCAAUUGAGAUUCUUUCCACCGGGCACACCCUUCAUGUUCUUUUAUUUUCUGUCUUUUAUUAGCCGUAGGAUUUUACUACUCUUAUAUCCAACGGCUUGCCACAACAAGACAAAUGAGGUGGUACCUUCCAACCGCUGAAAGGUCGUUUUGGCCCCAGGUGAAAGAGGGAAAUAGGGAAUUGAUGCUAUAUUUUAUAUUUUCUAUUUUACUACUCUUGUAUCCACCGGCCUUUCUUAUAUUUUAUUGCAAAUUGAUGCUAACAAGAAAAAGCUACAUCAUAUUCCACAAAAAACAAAAGUGACAAAACAACCAGUUGGAUUCUUUUAUUAAACUACAAAUUAAAUGGACUUUUUUUUAAUAAACUAUAUAUGAAAGUAGAAUCUUUUGAAUAUAAGUGGGGUAGACUUCCUUUCCAAAACAAAAAAUGCGGGGUAGGCUCUUUUAUUAAAGACAAGUCACAAGACGAUUAGAGUCUUUUAUUAAACUGCAAAUUGUAUAGUCUUUUUCAAAUUGUACAGACAUUUAUAAAUUGGUGGCCCCUUGGAAAUUUAAUGCCAAGCAGAGAAAAGUCAUCAUGCACAAUCCUCAAUAAUUGUUUCGAUAUUUAUAAAUUGGUGGCCCCAACGAAUAAUUGGGAUCGGUUAUGGUGCAAUUAUAGAACCAUGGCACAGUUGCAUCCAGCCGUUAAAUGCACUUAGAUUGGUGAGGUUUAUUGGCAUCUAAUGGCUGAAUGUAACUAUAAUACGGUACUACAGUUACAACACAAGUUUCCACCAAUAAUUGUUCCGAUAAUUAUAAAUUGGUGGCCCCUUGAUAAUUUAACAGCAGCCUGCAAGUGCCAACCAGUGAAAAGUCAUCAUUCACAAUCUUCCAAGUGAAAUAGGAGAUAUACAAAAUAAUAAAAAAAAAACAUGUCAAUUCUUUUUUUUUUUAUUCAUUCCCUUUCAUGUUCUUGAUAAGGGAGGGAGGACGUGACAUGUAAUGUAACUUACACCCAAAUACAUAAAUAAUAUAAAAUGAAUGGAUAGAUGCCCGAGCAGAUCGGCAGGGUUCGAAUAUGACCUUUGGUGCUUGCUUUUUUUUUUUGUGAUUUUGUUUUUCAUUUUUUCCUUCCUGUCAUUUUAUCAUUUCUUUGGCUUUGUCUCUAUUGCGGGUGUUACUGCAUGCUUACUGUUGCUUGACAAAGUUUGCUAGCUGAAAGAAACUUAGUUCUAUAUUGUUUGGUAGGCUAGAAAAUGAAAGGAAAUAAAAGAAAAGCUUUGCAAAGAAAUCUGUUGGAUCUUUUAUUAUUCCAAACUUACAGUUUAAUGACUACUAAUUGAUAUUUAUAUUGAGCUACAAUCUCUUAACAUACACACGAGAUUGUUGCAACACAUAACCAUUUGCUGUAUAACUAACUUGACACAUCAGCUCAACCAGCUAACUAACUUUGACAGGUCAGCUUAAUGAUUUGAUCUGCUACAACCAGCUACACAACACAUCAUGCUCUGCUCCAGCUACACAGCAACAUCAUGCUCUGCUCCAGCUUCAUCUAAUUCACUAACAUCCCCCUUCAAGCUGAAAUGUUUAGGAUGAACAUUCAGCUUGCUGCGGAAGUAACUAAAUUGUUUGAAAGUAAGAGCUUUAGUCAACACAUCUGCAGUUUGAUCUUGACUAGGCACAUAACAGACUGCAACUUCUUUAGCAGUAACUUUAUCUCGGAUGAAAUGGAUAUCCAAUUCAACAUGCUUAGUUUUAGCAUGAUAGACUGGAUUAUAAGCUAAAGCAAUGGCUCCUUGAUUAUCACACCACAUCAUAGGAGUAGAGCUCAAUUUGAUGCUAAGUUCACCAAGUAAAGACUUGAUCCAGGUAACCUCUGAAGCAGCAUGAGCAAGAGAUCUAUACUCAGCCUCUGUGCUGAAUCUGGAAACAACAGCUUGCUUCUUGGACGACCAAGAGACAAGAUUAGGACCUAGAUAAACAGCAAAGCCAGCUACUGACUUCCUAUCAUCAUGAUCACAAGCCCAAUCAGAGUCUGAAAAACAAUGGAGUUGCAGAGCUCCUUGGUUGUAGAAUUGCAGCCUAAGAUGGAUAGUACCUUUUAAGUACCUCAAUAACCUUUUACAUGCUUCCCAAUGUUGAGUCCUAGGAUUGGAAAGGAACUGACUCAACUUAUUGACAUAAAAAGCAAUGUCAGGUCUGGUAAGAGUAACAUACUGAAGAGCUCCUAUAACACUUCUGUAUUGAGAAACAUUGUCAAUUGGCUCCCAUGAGUCUUUGGUGAGAUAAUAACCUGUAGACAUUGGAGUUGGCACAGGACUGCAAUCAAUCAUGCCAUGUUUGUCCAGAACAUCAGCAAUAUACUUUGCUUGUGUCAAGGAAACCCCUUUUGAAGACUUGCUGACUUCAAUCCCCAAAAAAUAGUGAAGUUCCCCUAAAUCCUUUAAAGCAAAAGUCUGAUGCAUAUUCUGAAUAGCUUGCUGAAUCAAUGAUGGACUGGAACCAGUGAUGAUAAUAUCAUCAACAUAGACUAAAACAAUAGUUAUAUGACCACUGUUCCAGGCAUAAAAAAGAGAGUUAUCAGACCUUGAAUGCUGAAAAUGCCACUGGGAGAUCAUUGCAUCCUUAAAUCUAUCAAACCAGGCUCUAGGAGCCUGUUUUAAACCAUACAAAGCCUUAUUCAGCUUGCAAACAUGAUUAAGUUUAGUUGAAUCAACAAAACCUUGAGGUUGAGCCAUGUACACAUCUUCAAUUAAAAUGCCAUUGAGGAAUGCAUUAUUAACAUCCACCUGCCUAAUAACCCAGUGGUUCAAUAUUGCUAAGCUAAGAAUAACUCUGAUAGUUGAAGAUUUAACCACUGGACUGAAGGUUUCUGUGUAGUCAACCCCAUGUGUCUAAUGAAACCCCUUAGCAACAAGCCUGGCUUUAUACCUUGAAACCGAGCCAUCUGAGUUAUACUUAAUUCGAAACACCCACUUGUUACCAACUAUCUUCACUGGAGUAGCAGGUAAAACCAAAUCCCAGGUGUGAUUAGUUUUAAGUGCUAGAUACUCUUCUUGCAUAGCUUUAUACCACAUAGGAUCAGAGAGUGCUUUGGAAACAGAAGUUGGUUCUGAUUGCUGGGCUAACAAGGCUGACAAAUAAACUUUUGGCUUAAAAAUACCUGCUUUUGAUCUGGUUACCAUUGGAUGACCAGAUGGUGCAUGUUGUGGUAAUGUAUGUGGAGGUGAGGAAUGGGAAGAUGAGAAAGGAGAAACUGAGUUGGAAUUAUCAGAAAAAUAAACUGGAGUAGAGUUUGGGAAUGAAAUAGAAGCAUUAGACUGAUGAUCAGUAGGUUGAGGUGCUGAUGAUGCUGCUAAAGGUGCUUGUAACUGAGUAACAGAAGAAGUAGAAGACUUAAAAGAAGACUCAGAGUGUGAUGUAGACUGACAGCUUAAAGAGGUUGAAGAAAACUCUACCCCAGACUCAUAAGGAAAGGAAUUUUCAUCAAAGGUGACAUAAUUGGAAAUAUACACCCUUCCAGAAGAGUGAAGACACAUAUAUCCCUUGUGUUGUGAACUGUAGCCAAUGAAUAUACAUCUAGCAGUUCUGAAAUCAAACUUAUAUCUAUUGUAUGGUCUGAGUGUUGGAUAACAAGCACAGCCGAAAGUUUUAAGUGUUGAAUAAUCUGGUUGAUAAUGAAACAACUUUUGGAAAGGAGAAAUGUUAUUUAGAACUGGAGUUGGAAGUCUGUUUAUCAAAUAGACAGCUGUGUGGAAUGCAUUCCACCAAAAUUUGAGUGGUAAAUGUGCUUGAGCUAAUAAAGUCAGACCUACAUCAACUAUGUGUCUAUGCUUCCUCUCAAUUCUUCCAUUUUGGUGAUGAAUAUGUGGGCAAGGGUGUCUAAAAUGGAUACCAGAAGUAGUGAGUAAUGAGGAAAAAGAUCUGAACUCCCCUCCCCAGUCAGUUUGGACAGUUUUGAUGGAAAGUUGAAGAUGCUUUUCAAUGAAUGUUUUGAAAUUUUUAAAAACUUCAAGAGCAUCAGAUUUUGCUGAUAAAGGGAAUAUCCAGGUAAACCUACUAUAAUCAUCUAGGAUUCACAGGUAGUAGUUAUAUCCUUGGGUAGAACAAACAUGAGAAGGACCCCACAGAUCUGCAUAUAUUAGUUGUAAAGGUUCUGAAGUUUUUGUUUCAACUGAAUCAAAAUGCAGCAUAUGAUUUUUCCCAUAUUGACAUGCAUAACAAAAUUUCAAACUUUCAACUUUAUUAAGAGCAGUAAAGUUGUUACAAGCUUUGAGUAUGGUUUUGAGAGUAUAAGGAGCUGGGUGUCCUAAUCUUCUAUGUAGAAGAUUUACAUAAGUUAAACCCUUUGCAACAACUGACAGACAUGACUUUUUAUUCAGCUCAUAAGAACUAACAGCAGAAGGCUUAUCAGAAGUAAAAACAGGAGAACAAGCAAAAAGAGACUGAAUUUUUUUUUUACCAACUGAACUGAGAAAAACUGAGUGAGCAGCAGCUUGUGAAGAGACUCUAUACAAGCCACCUUUAGCAACACCUUCAUGUAAAAUUUUCCCUGUGUUCCUGGCCUUUAUAAAACAGAAAUCACCAAGAAAUUCAACAGUAACUGGAUUGUCAGCCAAUAAUUUGGAAAUGCUAAGUAAAUUCUUAGUAAUAAAGGGAAUAUGAAGAACAUGGUUAAGAAAUAAAGAUUGAGAAUUUGAAGUGUUCAGCACAACUGAUCCUAUAUGUGUAACAGCUAAUGCAUUUCCAUCCCCAACAAAUAACUUCUCAGUACCAGUAUAAGCUUGUGAAUCUAGAAGUUUACCUAGAUCAUUAGUAAUGUGAUUUGUGGCUCCACUGUCAAUGUACCAGGAAAGAUCUUCAAUGUGUUCUGGAAGUGAAGAAGACAUAGUUGAGGAAGAUGAAGCACUUGACUGUCCAGGAUUAUUGUUUCCUUGACCAGCAACAAAAUUAGAUGAUCCAGGAGUGAAAGAGUAAUAGGCAGAAGGAUUGUUAUCUGGAUACACUAUAUUUCCUUGAUAACCAAAACCCCUGGGUGCAUGACCAAAACUAGCAUUUUGUCCAAAACCAGCAUUUGAACCAAAACUUCUUCCACUAUUACCAUUAUAGACUCUUCCUCUACCAUAUUGCCCUUGAUUAAAACCUCUGUCACCAUUCAUAUUGCCUCUACCAUGAUUCCUCUGUGGAACAUAAGAUGAGUUGUACCUAUUCCUGCAUCUAUUUGCUGCAUGACCAGGUAUGAAGCAAAUUUGACAAACAACUUCAGAGGAAUUACUACCAGUAUUAAACUGACCAUAUCCAUAUCCAUUAAAACCUCCAUAUCCAGAAUUAUUACCACCUCCAUAGUUAUUUCCAUAAUUUUUCUGAAAAUUUCCAUUAUUCUUUCUAGCAUAUGAGUUCUUCUGAGCAAUAUUUGCUGUCAUGUUAUGCAUCACAUCACCAGCAAUUUUCCCUUUCUUUUGCUCAACUCUAUUUUCAUGAUUCAACAACAAAGAAUAUAGUUCAUCUAAUGUGAUCUUUUCACCUCGAGCUAACACAGCUGUGACUAAAGACUCAUAGUCUGAUGAAUCAAGACCAGUUAAUAUAUGCAUCACAAGAUCAUUUAACUCAAUAGGUUUUCCAGCUAGAGCUAAAGUAUCAGCUAUGCGUUUUACUUUUACAAAAUAAUCAGACAUAUGCAUUGCACCUUUCUUAAUAGUUUGAAUCUGCAUUCUAAGUGUUUGAAUUCUAGCUUGUGAUUGAGAGAUAAACAUACUAGCAAGAGUCUCCCAAAGCUGUUUUGAAGUUGUAGAAUCAAUCACAGUAGCAAGCAGAUUUUGCUGUAUCGAUGACAUCAUCCAACUCAGUAAGAGUUGGUCAGUCUUCAUCCAAGCUACGAAUUCUGGAUUAAUAGAUCUGGAUCCAGAUUCAGUUAAAACUUCAGCUCCAUUGUUGUUUCCAGAAGAAAGAAACUGCUCAGGACAUUCUCGAUCGCCAUUGAUAAAUCCUUCCAAACCGUUUCCUUUGAUUGAAGUUAAAAUUUGUGUGCGCAACAGAAUGAAGUUGUUUUGAUCUAGCUUUACUGGCGUAACAAAACUGAAAGAGUUGUUGUUUUGAACUAUAUUUGCCAUUUAUGGCUCUGAUACCAUGAAAGAAACUUAGUUCUAUAUUGUUUGGUAGGCUAGAAAAUGAAAGGAAAUAAAAGAAAAGCUUUGCAAAGAAAUCUGUUAGAUCUUUUAUUAUUCCAAACUUACAGUUUAAUGACUACUAAUUGAUAUUUAUAUUGAGCUACAAUCUCUUAACAUACACACGAGAUUGUUGUAACACAACCAUUGCUGUAUAACUAACUUGACACAUCAGCUCAACCAGCUAACUAACUUUGACAGGCCAGCUUAAUGAUUUGAUCUGCUACAACCAGCUACACAGCACAUCAUGCUCUGCUCCAGCUACACAGCAACAACAUGCUCUGCUCCAGCUUCAUCUAAUUCACUAACACUAGCUUUUCCUUUUGUUUAUUAAAUUUUUUUAUGGUCACAAAGUAUUACUCGUUCUAUUUGACAAUGAUGUGAAUCAAUUUUUCAAUUUUAUAUUUUGUGGUCAACGUGAAUUCAAUUUCAUUUGUCUCCUGCAAUUAUGAAAAAAUUACAGUCAUAAUAUGGGGAAACCUGUGGUGCAACUGUGGUACCAUGUCACAGUUGCAUCCAGCCGUUGGAUGCCAAUAGAUCCCACCAAUUUAAGUGCAUCCAACAGCUGGAUAUAACUAUAGCACGGUACCACAAUUACACCGUAACUUGAUCCCAUAAUAUGGAAAAGUACACCGGCAGAAACUUUGUAAAAGCUUCGGAGUGAUACGGGGAAUUCACUUACUACUAAAGACAGUUGGUGGCAACCUAAUGUCCAUCCAUCUAUUUAGUUAUUGAAGAUUAGUGGUCCAUUUGUAAAUUUCAGAUUGUCUCUCUCUCUCUCCCUCUUGAAAUAACAAUAUUUAAUAUAUCUAUUAAAUUAUUAUAAAUUUUAAUUUACUCUCGAUUUAAAAUGGAGCAUGUCGAUAAAUUUUUUUUCUUCUUAAUAAAAUUGACGUAAGUUGUGUUUACAGUAGUUUGAAGUUUGAAAUAUUUUAAAGAUUAUUAUUCUAUAAGGGAGUAAUAUGAACUGAAAUUUACUUUUCAUGUGUGAAAUGAAAAACGACGAAGCAAGUGUCCCUGCUUUUAUUUUAUUUCAAGGAGGAGUCAUCUCACAUACUUUAGCUCUUAACAUUACAUUUUUUCUGGUUACAUUUUUAUUUUUUAUUUUUUUUAACACAUGCGUGUGGGAUGCUUUUCUGUAAGCUCCUUAAUAUAUAUUUAAGACAAAUCAUGGAAGAGAUGGGAUUAUAUCAAGAUGAUCAAAGCAUGUAAAAAAAGAAAAAAGAAAAAAAAAUUAAGAAGUAAGACACUGAAAAUGGAGAAGAGAUGGAAGCAAAAGAUAUUCCAAACAAAGCAAUCUAUCCCCUUUCGAGGGCAGACUUAUCAGGUUUAAAAAAGUACAUGCUUUGGAUUGGUAGUUACAAUCAAGGGAAAAUAAAUAGGAUCCAAUGAAAUUUAAAUCUUGGAGAAAAUAAAUAAUCAUGCAGAUUUUCAAGAUUUUAAUAAGGGAUACUAAUAUCUUAUUUUGAUUAAUAACAUUCUUUCACUGUGUUAACUCAAAAAAAAUAUUAUAAUGCUUUACAAUAAAUACAAAUGUCCUAUUAAAUGAAUAUAUAAAAAAUUUAGAAUAUUAUAUAAAAUAAUUUUAAUAUAAUGCGUGAGAUAUAUUUUAUUAAUUUAAAAUGUCAUUUUACCUAAAAAAUAUGAUAAAUUGAUAAUUACAUAUUUGAAGUUAUUUCAAAUAUUAAAAAAAUUUAAUAUUAUUAGUCUUUUAGAUAGAUUAAAUUAUUUUUUAAAGAGAUAGAUUAAAUUAUUUUAAAAUACCUUAAUUGUUUUUACUUUAAACAUUACCGGCCUUUCUUUUAUUUUAUUGCAAAUUAAUGCUAACAAGAAAAAGCUAGAUCAUAUUCCACAAAAGCAAAAGUGACAAACACAGCCAGCUGGAAUCUUUUAUAAAACUACAAAUUAAAAUGGAUUUUUUUUUUUGAUAAAUUACACAUGAAAGUGGAUUCUUUUGAAUAUAAGUGGGGUAGGCUCUUUUAUUUUAUUUUUGAAUAUUGUAUAACGGGACUGUAGACUCUUUUAUUAAACUACAAAUUGUAUAGUCUUUUUAAAAUUGUUAUAAAUUAGUGGCCCCUAAAAUCCUCAACAAUUGUACCGAUAUUCACAAGUUGGUGGCCCCUACAAUUCUGUUCAGUUAAUUUAACUGUGCAAGUGCUCAUUCACAAUCUUCCAGGUCAUGCUCUUAAUAAUUUUUUUUUUUUUUUCUGCAUUCCCUUUCAUGCUCUUAAUAAUUGAAGAGCAUACUUUUCAUUUUCAAAUGUGGAGCCGCAGCUAAUGUCGUUAAUUUAAUUUGGGAUUAAAUUAGGGGACCAUUAUAUUGCAGUGUGCACUAAUUUUUGUGUUUAUCUAAACUCCUUAAAUUUAAGACAUAUUAUGGCAUAAAUAAGAAUAUAACAAUAACAAAAGAGUUAGAAAGUGUAGAGAAGAUCUUGCAGAAAUAUAAAUAAUAUCUAUUUUAAAAUAAUUUUUAAUAUUUUAUGAUCCAUUAGAUAUAUUUUAUUAUAUUAAAGUAAAUUUUAUAAUAAAUGAAAACAUACUAUUAAAAUGAAUAUAUAGAAAAUUUAGAGUAUUUUAAAUAUUAUAUAAAAUAAUUUUAAUAAAAUAUGUGAGAUAUUCAUAUUUUAUUAAUUUAAAAUACCAUUUAACCUAAAGAUUUAUUUAUGAUAAAUUAAUAAUUAUAUUUUUGAAAUUACUUCAAAUAUUAAAAAAAUUAAUAUUACUAAUCUAUUAGAUAGAUUAAAUUAUAUAUAUUAUUUUCUAUUUAUUAAAAAAUUAAAAUUAUUUUUAAUUACUAUUCAAAAAAUAUAAUGAUAAAAAAAAAUCUUAACAUCUUUAUUAAAAAUUUAAAAUUUACAUGAUCAAUUCUCUAAAUAUUUAGGGUAUAUGUGAACAUCGGUGGAGAAGCUUUAUUUAAUAUUAUUGAUUUAAAUAAUAUGUCAAUUAAAAAUGUGCGGAGAAGAAAUUUCGGUGGGUAUUUUAGUCUUUUCAGCAAUUAUCAUGAUCAGAUCAGCCUUUAGCCUUGAAACGUCGGUCAGAAAGUUUUAAAAUUAACGCUAACAAGAAAAAGCUAGGUCAUAUUCCACAAAAGCAAAAGUGACAAAACAACCAGUUGGUUUCUUUUACUAAACUACAAAUUAAAAGUGGAUUCUUUUGAAUACAAGUGGGACAGACGAUUAGGCUCUUUUUAUUAAAGGCAAGUAAAAAGUAGUCGAAUAGUCUUUUUCAAAUUCUUGUUUUAAUAUUUUUCAAAACUAGUUUUUGGUAAUUACAAUCGGGUCAUUCAUUAAUCAUUAUUCAGAGUAAUUAUGAAUUUCCCAAUUAUAAUUACUAACUGUUUUUCCUUAACCACUCGGCUCAGCCCGAGUGGCCAGGGCUGCUGCCCUCCAAGUUCGAACCCCCACAAAAGUAUUGUGGGGGUAUUUUCUUUCUCAAUUAAUUUGAGUGAAGGUAGUCUUUUCCUUUAUCCAUGAGUGAGGAGUAGACAUCCCUCGAAUAUUUGUGAGGGUUAAAAUCUGAGUAGAGCUCUAUUAGCAUUGAUGUAAGUUGAUCCCAGUAAUUGUCUGAUCUGUAAAUAUCAGGUUAAAAUCUGGGCAAAGCUCCAUUAGCAUUGAUGUAAGUUGAUCCCAGUAAUUGUCUGAUCUAUAAAUAUCAGUUAUAGUCUCAUGUAAUAUGAGUUGUAAUCUGAGCAAUAGUCUCGUGUAAUAAAAAAAAAAAAAAACUAUUUUUCCUUCAAAAGUUAGAGACUCGUGUUUGCAACUUGCAAGUGUGAAUGUGCAAUGCUCUUUGUCUAAAGGCUAGUGUUUCUAGUGGGUCCCGACUCGAGCGUGCCUAAAUCAUUUUAAAAUUUUUCCCGUAUAAUGGACAGAGGUCAUUACUAAAAUUUCUCUUCCACAGGCAAUUACAGCAGCUCCAGUUUAUCAAACUCAACCAAUUUUCUUUCUUAACAAAAUUCCAAAGAUGUGUAGCUUUUUUCAGAUCACAUGCGAUGGUGCUCUUUUCAAUCGUUGCUUGGAUUGCUUUCUUGGAAAAGCAGCAUACAUACGUAACCUCCAAGAUAAUCUUGAUGCCUUGGAGACUGAAUUGGGAAAUCUGAUCGCUAAAAAGAACGAUGUGAUGAGGAGGGUUGUCGAUGCUGAACGGCAACAAAUGAGAAGGCUGGACGGAGUGCAAGUGUGGGUUUCGAGGGUGGAUGCUUUUAAAACUGGAGCCGAUGAACUUAUCAUAGACGGCUCUGAAGAAAUUGGCAAAUUAUGUGUUGGAGGCUACUGUUCCAAGAACUGCAGGUCAAGCUACAAAUUCGGAAAACAAGUGGCUAGAAAGCUACGAGAUGUGGAGACUUUAAUCGCCGAGGGAGUUUUUGAGGCGGUGGCUACUGAGGUGGUGCCUGAGAGAGCUCCAGAGCCUGUAGCAGAUAAAAGACCCAUUGAGCCAACAAUAGUAGGCUUGCAAUCACAGCUUGAACAAGUUUGGAGAUGUCUUGUAGAAGAAUCAGUGGGAAUCAUUGGCCUAUAUGGUAUGGGCGGUGUUGGUAAAACCACACUAUUGACCCAUAUCAACAAUAAAUUUCUUGAGAGUCCCACAAACUUUGAUUGUGUGAUUUGGGUCCUAGUUUCAAAAGACCUGCGACUUGAAAAAAUUCAAGAAGAUAUUGGGAAGAAGAUAGGUUUGGUUGAUGAUUCAUGGAAGAAUAAAAGUUUUGAAGAGAAAGCUGUGGACAUCCUGCGGAGAUUAGGAGAGAAGAGAUUUGUAUUGUUGUUAGAUGAUUUAUGGGAGCGGGUUGAUUUAACAGAAGUGGGCGUUCCACUUCCCAGCGCACAAAAUACUACCUCAAAAGUCGUAUUCACAACCCGUUCCAUUGGUGUUUGUGGCAGCAUGAGAGCUAGGCCGGUUAAAGUGGCAUGCCUAUCAGAAAAGCAAGCUUGGGAACUGUUCCGCGAAAAUGUUGGGGAAGAAACUCUUGAGAGUGAUCAUGAGAUCGUUGAGCUAGCCCAAACUGUAGCCAAAGAGUGUGGUGGUUUGCCACUCGCACUUAUUACUAUUGGUCGAGCUAUGGCCAACAGAAAUACAGCUGAGGAGUGGAGACAUGCAAUUGAAGUAUUAAAAAGGUCAGCUUCGGAGUUUGCGGGUUUGGAAAAAGAUGUAUAUCCUCUUUUAAAGUUUAGUUAUGAUAGUUUGCAGAAUGAGACGAUUAGAACUUGUUUCUUAUAUUGCUGUUUGUAUGCGGAAGAUUAUGUCAUUCCUAAAUGGGACUUGAUUGAUUGUUGGAUUGGUGAGGGAUUCUUAGAGGAAUCUCACGGUUUUGGUGCAGAAAACCAAGGAUACUACAUUGUGGGCACUCUUGUUCGUGCAUGUUUAUUAGAAGAGGUGGAAGAUGAUGAAGUAAAAAUGCAUGACGUUAUUCGUGAUAUGGCUAUAUGGAUAACCUGUGAAAUUGAGAAGGAGAAGAGAAACUUUUUGGUUCGUGCAGGUGCUGGAUUAAAAGAGGCACCGGAUGUUAAAAGAUGGGAAAAUGUGAGAAGAUUGUCAUUGAUGCAAAACCAAAUUGAAACUCUGUCAGAGGUUCCCACAUGCCCUCAUCUCCAUACUCUAUUUCUUGCCUCUAAUAAUAGUUUGCAGAGGAUCACCGAUGGCUUCUUCCAACUUAUGCCUUCUCUCAAAGUUUUGAAGAUGUCAAACUGCUGGAAUUUUACUUUGAAAUUACCUUUGGCGAUGUCAGAGUUGGGUUCGUCACUAGAACUUCUUGAUAUUUCAUAUGCCAGCAUAACAGAGUUACCAGAAGAGUUAAAGUUGUUGGUAAAUCUGAAAUGUUUGAAUUUGAGGUGGACAGAUACGUUAAAUAAAAUUCCACGGCAACUAAUAUCAAUUCUUUCAUGGUUACGUGUGUUGAGAAUGUUGGGUACUGGCUGGUUCAAUUUUCUUGAAGCACCAGAAGACAGCGUUUUAUUUGGUGGGGGUGAAGUUUUGAUACAGGAAUUGCUCGGUUUGAAAUAUUUAGAGGUAUUGGAGUUGACCUUGGGAAGUUAUCAUGCUCUCCAAAUUCUUUUGAGCUCAAAUAAGUUAAAAAGUUGUAUUCGAUCUCUUUACCUCCAUUUGACCGGAGAUACAGCGUCAAUUAUUGAUGCUACGGUUUUCGCAGAUCUAAACCAACUCAAUCAAUUAUGGAUUGAUGAAGGUAUUGAGUUGGAAGAAUUGAAGAUUGAUUAUACGGAGAUAGUACGAAAAAGGCGGGAACCUUUUGUUUUCCGCAGCCUUCACUGUGUUCGUAUAGAGCAGUGCCAUAAAUUGAAAGAUGUGACAUUCCUCAUUUUUGCUCCAAACCUCAAGUCUCUUGACCUAUCCUACUGCUCUUCUAUGGAAGAAGUAAUCAGCGUCGGAAAAUUUGCUGAGACUCCUGAGAUGAUGGGACAUAUAAGCCCUUUUGAAAAUCUCCAAAGUCUUCAUUUAUCGCAAUUGCCAGCUUUGAAGAGCAUCUACUGGAAGCCAUUGCCUUUCACUCAUCUCAAAGAAAUAUCUGUGGGUUAUUGCCGUAAUCUUAAAAAGCUUCCACUCGAUUCCAACAGUGCAAAGGAGCGUAAAUUUGUAAUUCGUGGAGAAGAAGACUGGUGGAACCGACUUCAAUGGGAGGAUGAAGCCACUCAAAUUGCUUUUCGUUCCUGUUUCCAACCAAUGGGAGUACUGAGCGGUGGUCGCAAAAUUUGAUUUCUGGUGAGUGCGUUUGUCUUUUAAAAGCAGAAUUUAAAAGAAAUUUAUUCUUGUCGUUUUCUUCUCUGUUUUUAUUUGAUUUCUGGUUAGUUUCUCUCUCGCACUGCCAUUACUGUUUUAAUUUCCUGUCAAAAGACGAGCGAGAAGAACAUAUAUAUGACGUAAACCAAUUGAUAAAUAUUAAUUGCCUGUUCUCUGUUUUUAUUAAGUAUACUUUAUUUUGCCCUGUUCUCUGUUUUUAUUUCAUUCUCUCUCUCUCCCUCUCUUUCCUGUCUUCUGCAAGUCAUAAUUAAAUGUUGAAUUAUAUGGAAUUAAUGCUUUAUAAAUCUGCCUACGCUGGCUUUUUUUUUUUUUUUUGUGGGGUCGAAUUGAUGCUCUGGUUUUCGACUACUUUUUGUUGUCAAAAUUUUCUCUGUUUUUUCAAAUUGAUGCUUUAUUUAUAUCUUCUUCGUGAAAAGUGAUUUAAUUUCCUGCCAAAAGACGAACGAGAAGAACAUUAGAGUCUAACUAAUGCUCACAUAAAUUUCCCGUAAGAAUAUAUAUAUAAUUAGACUGGAAUGCACACCUCUAGAUUGAACAGAAUUAAAGCUGAGAAAAUAUUGAGUAUAGUAGCCCUCUUUACAGAAAAUGACGCGAAAGUUAAUUUAGAAAAAGAUAUAUUCUUGAUUAAUCCAUUUUCUGAAGUUUUUUAUUUUGUAUGGUCAAUUAUACCUUCAUACUAAAAAUUUCUGAAGUUAUGGGGUUGUUGGAUGUGUUUUGGAUAUUUGCAGCUAAGUUUGAGUUUAUAUCUCAACUUAAAAUUUGUAGUUUUCACUUGAAAAAAUUCAGUUAAAAAUUUAUUGGUAGAAUUGUGAAAAAAGUUAAAAUUUUUAGUUCAACCCGAUUGCAUAUUUAAGAACAUCUCAAAUGAAUUGCUUACUGCUAUCAUCAUCAUUAUUGUCCAUAUAAUAAUGGAUCUUUAUUAUAUAUAUAUAUGUUUCCACUAAAAUAUAUUUAAUUAUUCUUUAUUUUUCCAUUGUUGCGUGUAAGAUUUAUUUGAGUUCUAAGUUAUAUCAAUACAAAUGUUAUCUUAUCCAUAAAAAAGUUAGAUCCAACAAUUAUGAAAAUUACCAUAGAGUUGCUUUCAAUUAUUUUUUAAAAAUACCAGGAGUAAAUAAUAAUUAGUUCAAGUGGUGUAGACUAAAAAGUGUUCACCUUUAUUUUUUAUCUGUUAUUUAUUUAUUUCAUUAAUGCACAUGCUAUACAUUUGAGACACUCCAUCCUAUGCAAUGUGAAUAAAUUUCUUUCCUUUUUCCUUUACUCUUUUUAUUUGACAAUAAAGUUUCCAUCUAUCAUCUAUCAUCUAUCAUCUAUGUACGCAAAAUUUCUGCAACAAGUACAAAACAUAAAAAUAUAUAUGAUUGUUAAGGGAAACACGCAGAAGUUCAUCAUUUCAAUGUUCAGUAUUACCAAUUUUGGCAUUAAGCUUGUACGAAUAUAUUCCACUUAGAAAGCAAAAUAUUAGACUCAUGAUUUUAAUUCAUUCAUUAUCUCUCAUUUUAAUCCCAAAAUAUUCAAGAGUAUCCAAGUUACCAUAAGACUUCAGAGGCUCGAGCCUUAGCCAGAGAUGGUUAAUUGAUAGACUAUGUGCCUGGGUCGAGCACUGGAAGCCUGCAAUGCAGACUGAUUGAUUUAUCAGUUUGACGUGUGCCAGGAAUGAAGAACUGGAAUAUCACCGUCAAGCACGCACCCUGUGGAGCAAUACCAAAGAAUGCACAAUCUGGCUUUGCUAGGUGACACUGGAGGCUUUUUGAAAAGUGCUUCACGCUCACUUGCACAGAUUGAGCAUCCCCUCCGGAUAUUGCCCUCUCUGAUCGAGUCCGAGCACUCAAAUUUCAAUCCUCAGAUGGAGCUACAGCUUUCUCUCCAAUAACCAACAAUUUUCUAAACUCAGCUCCUAGUGUGAUGAGAGUUGUUGAUAUUUGUAAAUGGAGAUCCCCAUAUUUGCAAAUGGAGACAUUUAACAAAUCACCAACAUGCUUCAUUCGGUCUACGAAAUUCUGCAGCUGAUUCAAAUCCGGAACCUGAACCAGAGUCGGAGGUAAAUCUUGAGCCAUAUCUAAAGCAGUCUGAAGUUCAAGUACUUGAGCCCUUGACAAUGGUUUUGAAAUAGGAACAUCUUGGAUUACUGCAGACUUGUACCCCUUGGUUUCAAAGGUAAGGAAAGGCAUUGCUUGAGUACAAUUUGGAGGCAGCUUCUUCACCAAUUUUAUUUGGAGGCGAUUGGCAGCGGAUCCAGCUGCACCAAUUUCAGAGCAAAUACUGACACUACUUCGAACAGCACACUGAAGAAGUGAUAUGUCUACGGCAAAGGCAAUGCAGUCCUCAUUUUGGCUUGAGAUGCAGUAAUCAUCGAAGAGAGUUUCCUUGUGAAACUGGGCAACACAUUGAAUCCCUUCGCCACUGAGAAGGUUGUGGAGGAAGUAAGCUUUCUCUCUAGUGAGGAAGAGGUGGCAUACCUUCCCCAUUUUGUCUAGGGCAGGUAGGAAUCAUUUUUCUAAGAGAUUUACUUCAUUCUCUGUGAGAAAUGAAUUGAACUUCAUCCCUCUGUCUCUAUCCUCACUUAUCAGAAAAUAAGUUGAAAGCACUUCGGAGAGAGAGAGAGAGAGAAUUAAGAUAUAUAGACAAGAAAAAUAUUAGACGUUGAUCUUACAAACUAAUACUUCAAGCAGUAUCCUAGAAAGCUAAAAACUGCAAGAUGGCUUGAAAUUUGAAAAGAGCACGUGCUUUUCCUCCUUAACUUGAGAAAAUGUUUAAUAUAGUGCACCUACAGAAGCAUUUAAGCAAUUAGAACUUUGCACAAAAACAUCAAGAAGACUAAACAAAUCAGAUGCAGUGUAUUUGUCCAAGCACAAAUUGCAUUUUGUCCUCAACUUUAAUAUUUAUUGAUGAGAAUCAAUACAGGUCCCUCAUUUGAUAUAGAAAGCUUUCUUUCUUGUAGUCUCACCAGUUAAUUCACAGGUCUAUAAUCAUCUUGCAAAGUUAAGGGCAUUUCUUUCGAUCUAAAGUCUUUGCAUCACCACCUCAUCACACGCCAAGCCAAUAUUCCAUUUACCUCUACAACAAAAAGUUUUAAGUAAACAAUCCUAAUGCACGCAGCCAAAUAAAAUGCAGUAAGAAUAUUCAACUUAAAAAUCUGAAAGCCGACUUGGUGAAUUGCCUCCUUAGGUGAAGUUCCAUGCUUUACUAUAGUUGACAGAACUCAGCAAAAGCUUCCAUACAACAGAUUUUGAAAAUGAUGAUGCCAAUAGAUACUCAUUCAAUCCAUUGAAAAUCCAAAGGUUCAUUGUUAAUAGAAGUUUACAGAGUUUUGGUCAUCAAAUAGCUCAGACCUAAUCCCAAACAAAAAACGAGUGAAAAUUAGAUCACGAGCAGCUGAUUGUAAAUUCUAACUUAACUCUUCAUCUCCUUUGUAAACAAGAAACAAAAUGGAGACACGCAAAAUGAAUAUGGAGAAAAUUUGAACUCAAAUGAAAUGAGGGCACGAAAGCAAACAAAUGGCAUGCACAAAAAAACCAAGCCUCAAUCAAAAACUAAUUAACCAUUAAGAAAAAAAUUGGUCAGAUAAUGAACUACAAAUUCAGGAGUCAAGCAAGAAGCUUUCAUUAUUUCAGAAGCUCCUGUACAAAUUAAUAAGUUAUGCUCUUUGGAAGCAAACCUAAAUUCCAAGAGAAACAGAACCCAAAAAAUUUGCAAUUAUACGCAAAGGGAGUGAAGCACAGGAUUCUAUCACACAUAGGAAUUGUAUAACAAGAGAUCGAUAUAUCGAAUUAGAAAACUCAAUUCGAAUUUGUGUCAAAAAUCAAAAUUAGAAGAUUUCACAUUUCGAGAGGAACAAGCAACAGAUGAAGUUCAAAAUUUCAGCCAUAACAUGCUAAAAAUGCUACACUUAACGGUUCAUUUUCAUGGAUUUUCUCGGGAAACAAACAGAAAAUUACGGUUUAGAGAUUUGACUGACCUUUUGGCUUUUGAAAUUGAGAAGAUCGCACGCCAAAUUGGAAGAGGGAAAGUGAAAGUGCGAGUUUUAAUAUGGGUAUUAGAUAAGGAAAUUUUAUUAGGUUGCGAGGGUAAAAAAGGAAAGAGAUAUCAUUGUUUUAUUAUCGAUAAUUAUUAAAUUUUUUUCCAAAAAAAAAGAACAAGCAAGGAUAUUUUAUUGUCAUUUGCAACCUUUAAUUUUUUAAAUGCUAUUAGAAACACAAGACAAUAAAGAAAUACUUAUUUUUUUCUAAAACUAAAAUCAAUUGUUUAAAAAAAAUUGUUUCAAAAUUACUUGAGUCAUAUCCAAUGGACCAACAAAGUAAUCGUUUUUAUUUUUAUUGAUUUUUGCAGGAAAUUAAUAACUUAAAAAUACUGAAAGCUAUUGUAAAAAUUUUUAUUAUCAACCUCAUAGUUUUUUUUUUUUUUUUUGGGAAGAGAAUUCAAACUUUUUUUUUUAUGAAUAUCGCUGUUUCGUUUGAGUUGGAUGUGAAUUCAAAUACAAAUAUUCUUUGUUUUUCAAUUCUGAACUCAAUUUCUUUUUUUCAAGAAUGUUAUGCAGAAAUGAUUUUUACUGAACGGCAACAAAUGAAAAGGCUGGGCCAAGUGGAAUGGUGGGUUUCGAGGGUGGAUGCUGUUAAAAUUGAAGCUGAUGAACUUAUCAGAGACGGCUCUCAAGAAAUUGACAAAUUGUGUGUUGGAGGCUACUGUUCUAAGAACUGCACGUCAAGCUACAAGUUCGGGAAACAAGUGGCUAAAAAGCUACGAGAUGUGGAGACUUUAAUCGCUGAAGGAGUUUUUGAGGCGGUGGCUACCGAGGUGGUGCCUGAGAGAGCAGAGCCUGUAGCAGAUGAAAGACCUACCGAGCGAACAGUAGUAGGCUUGCAAUCACAACUUGAACAAGUCUGGAGAUGUCUUGCAGAAGAAUCAGAGGGAAUCAUUGGCCUAUAUGGUAUGGGCGGUGUUGGUAAAACUACAUUACUGACCCAUAUCAACAAUAAAUUUCUCGAGAGUCCAACCAACUUUGAUUGUGUGAUUUGGGUAGUAGUUUCAAAAGACCUGCGACUUGAAAAAAUUCAAGAAGAUAUUGGGAAAAAGAUAGGUUUGGUUGGUGAUUCAUGGAAGAGUAAAAGUGUAGAGGAGAAAGCUGUCGACAUCUUCCGGAGUUUAAGAGAGAAGAGAUUUGUAUUGUUGUUAGAUGAUAUAUGGGAGCGGGUUGAUUUAACAAAGGUGGGCGUUCCACUUCCCGGACCCCAAAAUACUACCUCAAAAGUCGUAUUCACAACCCGUUUCAUCGAUGUUUGUGGUAGCAUGGAAGCUGACAGGAAGUUCCAAGUGGCGUGCUUAUCAGAAAAGGAUGCUUGGGAACUGUUUCGAGAAAAAGUUGGGGAAGAAACUCUUCAGAGUCAUCAUGAUAUCGUUGAGCUAGCCCAAAUUGUGGCCAAAGAGUGUGGUGGUUUGCCACUCGCACUUAUUACUAUUGGUCGAGCUAUGGCCUGCAAAAGGACAGCCGAGGAGUGGAGACACGCAGUUGAAGUGCUAAGAAGAUCAGCUUUUGAGUUUGCAGGUUUGGGAAAAGAGGUAUAUCCUCUAUUAAAGUUUAGCUAUGAUAGUUUGCAGAAUGAGACGAUUAGAUCUUGUUUCUUAUAUUGUUGUUUAUAUCCCGAAGAUUAUGGAAUUCUUAAAUGGGACUUGAUUGAUUGUUGGAUUGGUGAGGGAUUCUUAGAGGAAUCUGACAGGUUUAGUGCAGAAAACCAAGGAUACUACAUUGUGGGCACUCUUGUUCAUGCAUGUUUAUUAGAAGAGUUAGAAGAUGAUAAAGUAAAAAUGCAUGACGUUAUUCGUGAUAUGGCUCUAUGGAUAACCAAUGAAAUUGAGAAGGAGAAGAGAAACUUUUUGGUUCGUGCAGGUGCUGGAUUAAAAGAGGCACCGGAUAUUAAAGGAUGGGAAAAUGUGAGAAGAUUGUCAUUGAUGCAAAACCAAAUUAAAACUCUGUCAGAGGUUCCUUCAUGCCCUCAUCUCCAUACUCUAUUUCUUGCCUCUAAUGAUAAUUUGAGGAUGAUCACAGAUGGCUUCUUUCAAUUUAUGCCUUCUCUCAAAGUUUUGAAGAUGUCAAACUGUGUGGAUUGGCCAGUUUCGAAAUUACCUUUGGCGAUGUCAAAGUUGGGUUCACUACAACUUCUUGAUAUUUCACAUACCGGCAUAGAAGAGUUACCAGAAGAGUUGAAGUUGUUGGUAAAUCUGAAAUGUUUGAAUUUGAGGUGGACAUUUGAGUUAAAUAAAAUUCCAUGGCAACUAAUAUCAAAAUUUUCAAGGUUACGUGUGUUGAGAAUGUUCGCUACUGGCUUUGCCCGUUUUGAUGAAGCAUCAGAAGACAGCGUUUUAUUUGGUGGGGGUGAAGUUUUAGUACAGGAAUUGGUCGGUCUGAAAUAUUUAGAGGUAUUGGAGUUGACCUUGGGAUGUCAUCAUGCUCUCCAAAUUUUUUUGAGAUCAAAUAAGUUAAAAAGUUGUAUUCGAUCUCUUCUCCUCCACUUGGCCGGAGAUACAACGUCGAUUAUCGAUGCUACGGCUUUCGCAGAUCUAAACCACCUCAAUGAAUUAUGGAUUGAUAGGGCUAAGGAGUUGGAAGAAUUGAAGAUUGAUUAUACAGAGAUAGUUCGAAAAAGGCGGGAACCUUUUGUUUUCCGCAGCCUUCACCGUGUUACUAUACAUAGCUGCCAGAAGUUGAAAGAUACGACAUUCCUCGUUUUUGCUCCAAACCUCAAGUCUCUCGAUCUAGACCGUUGCGAUGCUAUGGAAGAAAUAAUCAGCGUCGGAAAAUUUGCUGAGACUCCUGAGAUGAUGGGACAGAUAAGCCCUUUUGAAAAUCUCCAAAUGCUUGAUUUAGAAGAUUUGCCACAUUUGAAGAGCAUCUUCUGGAAGCCAUUGACUUUCACUCAUCUGAAAGAAAUAUCUGUGGGUUAUUGCCGUAAUCUUAAAAAGCUUCCACUCGAUUCCAACAGUGCAAAGGAGCGUAAAUUUGUUAUUCGUGGAGAAGAAGACUGGUGGAACCGACUUCAAUGGGAGAAUGAAGCCACUCAAAUUGCUUUUCGUUCCUGUUUCCAAUCUCUUUUUGAUUAACUCUUAUACAUUUUCUCGUCGUUUGCUUCGUGCAAAAAAGACUACGUCUUUUGUUCUCUGUUUUUAUUUCAGUUUCGUUUGUUGUCUCCUGCAAAUCACAAUUAAAUGUUGAAUUAUAUGGAAGUAACGCUUUAUAAAUUUUCCGGCACUGCCAUUUCUUUUUCCUCUUUUUUUUUUUGGGUCGAAUUGAUGCUCUGGCUUUUUUACUUUUUGUCAUCGAAUUUUGCUCUGUUUUUCAAAUUGAUGCUUGAAUAUGUGAAUUCAAUUAAUGCUCACAUAAUUUUGUUUAGUUGCCGUAAAAAGAAUAUAAUUAGACUGCAAUUCGCACUCCCAGAAUGAAUAGAAUCACAACAGAGAAAAUAUUAAGUAUGCUAGCCCUCUUUACAGAAAAUCAAAUGAAAAUAAAAUUUUUUGGAUAUUUGAUUUUCUAUGGUCUACUAUAUACAGUUUAUAAAUUCUUCUGUUCUAAGGAUAACCAAAUCCUUUGUUCAAGGAUUUUUAUUUGGGGUAUUGAUAAUAGUCCACCAAAAUAGUGAAUGCUUGGAUGCUGCUUAAGGAUCUGUAAUCAAUAAGCUGGAAGCAAACGAGAAGGCGGUCGCUACUCUGUACAAAGCCAUGCAGCAAUUGCUAUUCAUCUUAAAUUCUUAAUAAUUACGAAGCUUUGGUAAAAUUUCCGAACAAAGUUGACAUGUUAUUUUGAGAUUUGGUUCCUGAUUUUGUAUGAAUAUCGCUGUUUCGUUUGAGUUGGAUGUGAAUUCAAAUCCAAAUAUUCUUUGUUUUUCAAUUCUGAAAUCAAUUUCUUUUUCUCAAGAAUGUUAUUCAGAAAUGAUUUUUACUAAAUCAUUUUUGAUGAAUUGUUUAAAUUAAACAAUUGGAAUAAGAAUUGUAACGAUUUAUCAUAAGCGUGCUAAUAUGAUAACUUAUUUUACGAACGAUUAAUUAAUUAAUCAAUUAAUGUUAAAUUAUAUAUUAAUCAAUUAGCUAUGUGUUGCAUUUAUCAUGUUUUGUAGGUGAUUCUACAUAAUUUCUAAAAGAAUAUAGUAAAAACACGUUAAAAAUUAUUUAAUGAAGAAAAUUUUAUUAAAUAGGUGACACAAUAAUAAAUGGAUUUCUGUAAGAAUUGAGAUUCUUGAGAUAAUUAUUACAUAAGGAGAAGUUUAGUUGGUUCAAUUUUGACAUGAUAAGAAGACAACACAGCACAGAAAACCCAAAUUGCCACUUCCACUAAUAAAAGAUACCUGUUUGAAAAGUAAUUAUAAACUAUCUUCUUUGUGUUAUUUCUCAAAACUUUUGUGGCACAAAUGUUAUUUCCAUUGACAACAGUACGAAAUACCACCCCUUUCACUUGAGCAGGAGCAAAGCAAAGGUAUGAUGAGCUAUCUCUGUAUAAUUGAAACGCCAUUACUAAACGAUUCUUGAUGAUGGGAGCCACCGUGCCAGCUUUGUCGCUGAUUUGCAUGAUUUAUUAGUUGUCCAGAUGGCGGAUUUUGUACUGUUACCUUCGUUUCAUUCUUCAGAGCCAUGUACAGUUCUAGGAUACCAGAGAAACCAAGGUGGCAUUGAAGUUGCCCCAGUGGUUAGUUUUCCGAUCAUUUUUUUUAUUCAAUUAUUUAUGUUUGUAGAAAAAUGUAGGAAAUAUGUAGAAAUGUUGACAGCUAUGAUUUUGAAACUUUUGCCUAAAAUUGUUAUCAUUACUUCUUGUUUCUUAUUUAAAGAGAAAUUCUAGAAACAUGAAAUGAUUAUUCUACGCUUGUUUUAAUAUUAUGCUAUGAAGAUUAUGAAGGUUUGAUUAUAUGUCACUAUCAAUUGCCUUAAUCGUUUGUCGUAAAUCAAUUAAGCAUUUUGAUGCAAAUGAUUCCCUAUUAAAAAAUUCAAGUCAGAGCUGAAUUGCAAAUUAGUUAGUCGUGCUUGCCAUUCAAAUUAAGUAUUGUAUUUUCUCCCUGAUUUGGUUGAUUCAACUAUGUGCAUUUGCUUAUGAACGUUGUAGUACAGAAAUUGAAACAUCUUGUCUUUUGCUAAGCCCAGAAGCAAAUUCUUUGUAUUCUACUCAUCAGUUUUCUUCAUUCUCUUCGUUGAAAUUUUAUCCAAACAGCGGUUUCGAAAUUGUUUUCACCACAAUACCUUAGUCUUUCAGAUGCUCCCGUCACUGAGUUGCCAGAAGAGCUAAAAGCCUUGGUAAAUCUUAAGUGUUUGAACCGGAGUACACAAAUUAUCUCUCUACAAUUCCAAAACAACUGAUUUGUUACUUUUCGAUGCUACAUGUUCUGCGAAUAUUCAGUUGUGAUUAUCUUGUUCAAAUACCAGAAAAUAGCGUUCUAUUUAGUGGUAAUGAAUUCUUGGUUUGGGAGUUGCUUAGUUUAAAACGUUUAAAUGUAUUAAGCAUCAUCUUGAAAAGUUUUUCUGCCGUCCAAAAACUUAUGAGCUCCCAAAAGUUUCAAAGCUGUACACAAUGCUUGGAGCAUAUAGGCUGUGAUGAUCCAAAGUCAUUUGCCUUGGCAGAGUUGAAACAUCUUGAAAAACUAGGUUUUUCGAGUUGUGGAAAUUUGGAAGAGUUAAAGUUCUGCUGUGUCGAAGUUGCAAAGGCUCGAGAAUGUUUUCGUUUGAACGGCCCUUGCUGAGUUAAGAUGAAGGCUUGUCAUAAAUUGUGGGAAGCGACAGGUUAUUCAAAUAGAAAAAUGUAUGGAGAUGGAUGUUAAUCUUAAGGUUAUUCAAGCAGACAAAUUCGAAUAAAACUUAUGGUAAGUGCUUUUCCAUUUAUUGCAUAUUUAUAUCUAAUUUUUAUUUUCCUUUAUUGUUAAAUUUUGCUCUAUAUUUGUUGUUGUAUGGUGGCAUUCUUGUACAAUUAUUAGCUUUUCAUUUCUCUUCUCACAUUAACUGCCCUUCUGAUCAUGUAGGAUUUGCUGAUGCAAAGAGUCAUAAUUUGGGAUACAAAUGUAAGAAUUAGACAGAUGACGUGUUGUUUUGAAGCUCUCGAAGAAGAAGGACUAAUUAUGUCAUUGAAAGCCUCCAAUUUUGUGAUUGGUUUCUUUUUAUUUUAUUUGUUGUUUUCUCUAUUUUCAGAUCGCUUAAUUGUUAGUUGUUGUAAUGUAAUGUUUUAGUAUAGAAAAUUAUAUUCGGCCAAGACAGCGAUAGGAAGGCACAUUGUGCAUGCACACUAGUGGAUUUGGCAUGCCAACUCCAAUUAGGAUGGAUAACACUUUAUAAGCAUUAGGCUUCUCUCGUACUUGAGUAAUAUAGAAUAUGUUUAUAAGUUGUGAAUCACCCUUUAUAAGUGUUAGGCUUCUGCUAUACUCAGUGAUGUGAAAUAUAUUUAUAAGCACUAAACUUCUCCCAUACACUUUAUGUUAAAAAUAAUAAUAAUAAUAAUAAUAAUAAUAAAAUAAACCCAUUUUAACAGACUCUUUUUUCUUUUUCUAUAUGAACAAAUGCAUUCUUCAAAGCAAUUGUGGGUAGAAGAAGUGAGUAGAGAAGAACUGGGCCCCUUUCAUUCCCCUAAAACCUCACCAAAACCUCUCUUGUAAGCUUUUCGGAUUUUCUUUCUAUAUUUCUUAGGAACUCAUUUUUUAUUGAAUCACUUCUUUUGCAUGCUGCAUUUUUUGUUUGUCGUAUUUGGGUAUUAUCUUAUCUGGAAUACUGUUAUGAUUGAUGGAACAAGUAAUCGAUUUUUGGUCUAAUGGAAGUUGAUUUAUUUAUUUAUUGUUAUUUUUAUUUGAAAUUAUGUACAAUUGCAUUUCAUUCAUUUCUCUCUCUCUUUUUCUUUUUUUCCCCCCAUAUAUUUGUUAUGUAUAAUUGCGUUUCAUUUAAUAUUGAUCAUACUGUAGGUAACCAUGUGAUUGUAGAUUGGGAUUUCAAGUUUGUUGAAUAUUCAUGUAAGUGAAGUAACCGUCACAAUACUAGUGAAAUUGGGAGCUUUAUUCAUGAGUUUGUGGUUUUGAAAAGAACCACAGUUCAACUGAUGAAGGCUCCUUUUUGGGAUUCUUCUUUUUCUAGGCUGCAAUUAGGAUAUGUACAUGAUAGACAAUCUUUUGUUGGCUUGGCAUAUCUUCGCUGAUUUUUUCUUUUAUUCCCCAAUUUUAUAAUUACACACCAUGAAUGUUGGGUGAUUGUAUAGAAAAUUUGUGUUAUAACAAAAACAUUGUGAAGGAGUUUCCGUGCUAAUAGUUAGUGGCUUCUGUUUUAUUGGCAUUGAUUGGGUAGAUUACGUGUUACAGUGAUUCAAUUUGUGUUCCAAACUUUGCUUUAAUUUUCUGUUUUCCCCAACUAUUUAUGUCAAAUUUAAAUCCAGAAGCAUGUACUGAUUUUUUCUUUUUGUAUUAAUCUGUGAAGUUUAUUUGGAAUGGAAGUAACUGGGUCGGGUCUAAUGGAUUAAAUUAUGACAUUGAGGGGAAGGCACUAAAAGGGUUUGCUUGACACAUUUGGUUCUGUGUUUACUCUGCAAGAAAUAGCUUUUGCUUAUUGCAAUGCAGGGGGAAAUCCCGAUUUGGCUGGUGAAUUUCUCUGCAACAAACAGGCAAACACCUCAACCUCUUCUGUCCAUACUUCUGCUGGGGAGGCAAGGGGUAAAGAGUCUUCAAAAUCAUCAAAUAGUAACAUCUCUGAGAAUUCAUUUUAUGGAAAUGGAAAAUCUAGAGCUUCUAAUACAAAAUGGCAUCUGGUAUCAGGACGUACCGUUUCAAGUUUUCUUGGUAAAGAUUAUGUUAAACCUGCACAGCCAGCUAAUGGCACUUUUCUGGCAUCAAAGCCAUUGAAGUUGGAUCCAAAGGAGUUUCCCAUGUCUGCACUUUGCAGAGAAGAAUCUAAACCGAAACAAUCAAAGGAUGACCAUUUGCAGAAGGACAUGGAAGAUUUUCUGUUUAAAUUUCCAGGAGAAGGGUUCCAGCUGAACAGGGAUGUGAUUCAGGAGGUUCUCGGUAAUGUCUUAAAUAUAUUGAUGCCAAUUUAAUACAUAUUGUCCUUUUCAAUGUUCUUUCUUUCUUUCUUUCUCUUCUUUUAUUCUUCUUCUUCUUCUUUUUUCUUUUCGUGUGCAUGUGAUUGCUAAUUUUGUAUUAUUUUUAACUUGCAGAUAGUUGUGGAUAUGAUAUGCAAAAGGUAAGGACUAUAUCCUCCUGAUAGAGGCCUCUGCUUUUUCCCUUCUAUGUACGUAAUUUAGUAAAUCGCAUAUUCUAUAUAUCAUACCAAAAUCCUGUCUUAAAUGCUGCUGGCAUAUGUUAAGGUUCAACUUGCAUUUUGAUUAACGUCCAUUUGCUACGGCUUCCAAAAUUGAGAAUGAGAUACUUUGGUUAAUUUCAGUAGUUGAACCCAAUAGGGUACUUUAUUUAGAUCUUCAUGGUUCAAAGGCCCGAAAAAACUUGCAGGUAUUUGCAAAAUGACAUUCUGUGCUUUUAUUUAUACUUAUUAUUUAAGUGAUAAAAAUUCCCCAAACCUGCGGUCAAGAAAAUUUCAGACAGUUAAAGACUCCAUUUUGUUUCAGCCAAAAAUGUUUAUUUCAAUUAAAGAUUUGAACCAUUUUCAUUUAACCUGAUUGUGAUGCUUUACAUUGUGCACGUUCCUUUCGAUCAAUAAACGUUGAGGUCAUGAUUUUAUAUUCCUAUAUUGUAACCUAAAAUAAUAGUUGGUUUGCCUGUUUCUGUAGCUUGAUAACAUGAAUUUUCCUUCUGAAGUUACUUUGAUCAAUAAAGUUAUUCUUCGGAGAAGAUAUGCCCAUUCUAUAAUCAUUUUCUUAGCUAAUAUGUUUUUUUCACUCUUCUGAGCAUGUCUAAACUAAUUGAUCGCUCGGCAGAGACUGUGGGUAAGAAAACAAAAUUUCAUGGUAAAUCCUCUUAAAAGGUAUGCAUAAUUGAAAUGACCCGCCCCGAAUUCCCCUCAGGCGAGUCUAUCUAGUCUCAUCAAAACGGACUUGAUAAUAAUUCUAUUAGUAAAGACUCUGCCAAAAAUUCGGCAGAAUUUUUUUUUUUUUAUAUAUAACACUCCCAAUCUACAAAUAUGAAUAUAACACUCCCAAUACAAUUCAGUAUACAACAAACUCCAGUGAUCAACAUCUUCAACCAAAAUGCUGAGCUUUAUAUCUCCAGAGUCUCAAAAGAUAAUAUUAUAACUAAUAUUAAUAUCUUAGUUUAUUCUUAAUCCCAAAAGAAUAAUAUAACAAAAUUAUACAAUCCCAACAGGACGAGAUAACCAAGAUGUCCUAACAAAAAUAUUUAUAUCUUCUAACACCAUCACGUGGCCGAGAUUCAAAAUAUAUUUACAGUCGCUAGGUCGGUCUGGUGUACCUGCAACCUCCUGGUGAGGGGGGAAAAAUAUAAUAAAAACGGGGUGAGUUUAAAACUCAGUGAGAUCAGUGAGUGAAUAGUAGUUUUGAAAAUUAAUUCUUACUUUAAAAAAAAUAAUCGUAUCAUUUCCAAACACAAUUUCAUUAAACCAUAAGCGAGAAACCAAUAAUAAAUCAUUAAACAUUUAAAUCAUAUUACUAACCAUAGAAAUCAUAUCACAAUAUCAUAUAGAAUACACAAAUCUAAAAAUCAUCACCAAACAAGUACCCAGAGAAAUAAUCUCGUCAUAUCCGAACCUCAACAGACGGGCAAUGACGUACUAUCUAGGUAACGUCACACCCCGGAGCUACACGGAUAGACAGGGAAAUACCAUCUCAUAUCUCAUCAUAUAUGUGCAUGCAUAAUCUAGUCCCCAAGGGACAAAAGCGCCCAAGCACACGGCCCAAAGCCUCUGUGUAUACUCAGAGGGACCCCAAAGGCCUAUAUCUCAUAUGUAUCAUAUGUAUCAUUUGUAUCUCAAUUAUCUCAUAUCCGUAUAUCUGUAAUCAUCAUACCGCAUGCAUAUGCCCCCAAAAGGAAAAAGCGUCCAAACACACGGCCCAAAGCCUUUAUAUAUAUUCAGACGGGUCCUAAAAGCCUCUCAUCUCAUCUUAUCUGUAUCACUGUAUCUGAAGGGAAUGGUACUGUCUAAUGAUUUCAAAAACAAUCAUUAUACUCAUAUUCACAUACCUCUUAAUCAUAUUUUAAAUCAUACCACAUUUGAAUCCACUUUUCUUAUCUUUAAAAUACUAUCAUGCUUUAUUCAAAGUCGAUACGCAAAAUCAAUAACCAAACAUUUUAAUAAAAUACCAAUGCGUAAAUAAAAUCCAUUUCGAGAAAUCAUUAAAUCAGAACAUUUAAAAUACUUAUUUCGCAAACAUGCUUUACUAUCAUCGCUAACUAUGAAAAUAAGUUUUGUAUAUUCCACUCACAGUGACGGUGUUCACGGUCGGUUCUCGCUCGCGGAUCCUCCUAAAUCAACGAAACGACAUAAUUAUUUUCCGUAAAUCGGAAUUAUGACUAAAUUUUAUGCAAUAAAUUUAAAACGAACAUAUAUUCAUAAUUGACAACUCCUGUGUCCAUAAAAUUACUAAAAUGCCCUUGAGUCUGUAAAUCAUUAACAUGCUUCGAAAUCGUAAAUUACUGAAUUACUCUCGGAAUCGUAAUUACACUCAAUCCUCAAUUCUAGGAAUUACUAACAUAUCCACGGGCUCAGAAAUUACAAAUUUGCCCUCAUAGUGUGAAAUUACCAAAAACUGGAAUUUGGUCAACACUGGCUAGGAAGCUCAAAUCGUAAAGUUCCAAUCACGCUGAGUUCAAUGGUACCGGCGAUGAUCUCCAACGCGCGGCAACGACGCCGGAAUCUAGCUCGGCAGCCGUGAAUUCCACCAAUCGACCGGCGGCAAAACAGUGACUCUCGGUGCCUAUGGAUGGUCGGAAAUGGAAGAGGGAGUCGUGGGGAACAAAAUUCAACCGGUGGUGUAGCCAAAACCGGCGAAAAUCCCGGCGGAGCAAAGUGAAACAGUCGCGGGUUUCAAGCUUCGAUCGCCGGUGUUCCGAUUGGUUUUUGGCGAGGAGGAUGGCAAGGGAACGACGGCCGGCUUCUAAGCUUCAGAUUGGUACCAAGCUCGGCCGAAACGGUGGCCGGAAAUGGGAGAUAUGGCCGGGUCAAGGUCGCGGGUUCCGGGUCGGGUUUUCGGGUCUGUAGUUGGGUCGGUUUGGCAGCUUCUCUCUCACUCUCUGUUACACGUGCAUAUGUUUCCUCUGUUUCUAGCUUAUUCUUUUGCUUUUACUAACUUCUUAACCGCCUCAUACUUAUUCAUUUUUAAUUCACAUAUGUUACAAUAAUUCCCGAGUAUUAAAUAACCAGUGGUCAUAAUUUUUGUACACGACUCUUUUUUUUUUUGGAGAUCGUUAAAAGUGAUUGACGAUCCAUUUUGUAAUAUCAUAGAGGGAUCAUCAAUUCCUUUUCUUUUCUGUGGCUAGGCAACACUUUUUGGCCAAAGUAAGGAAAUCUAUUUUAGGUAAUGUAAAAACCAGUUGUAGGAUGUAAUAGUUUAUUAUGCACUGACAAUAACUUUUUGUAUAAUUGUCAGUUUAAUGAAUACAAGAGGAACUCUGUUGGCAAAUUCAUCCAAGAUAGAUGCUAAAAUUAUUUAUGCAUGCCAGUUGCCUUAACUAAGUUUUCUCAGCACUGGUUUUGAACAGGAAAAUGAAUAUGCAAUUUGUAGAUUGUGCCAUAGUGGAGAAUUUGUAUAUUCUUAUUUAAGUAACAAGGAGAUUAUUUACCUCAUCUUUAAACAAUGAAUCUUUGAGAGAUGAGGAGUGGGUGAUUGGCUGUGUCUUCAUGUAAUUGUUCAUUUAUUUGUAUUUUGAACUGUUAUGAAAAUCUUUAUAUGCCAAAUUAGUAAUACAAGUAUUCAGAUGAUUUUUCCUAUUGAUCAUGCAUUUGUAUCUGCCCACAACCAUUGUAUAUCACUUUAUUCUGAUGCGCAAGCAUCUGUAAUUUAGAAGAAAAGAAAUAAUAAUCAUAUUUUAUUGCUUGGUUCAUGAUUAUUAACGAUUAUGGCUUUAAAAAUCUACAAAUUUCUUGUGUUCAUGUAUGAAUGUGCCAAGUUUGCUGUAUCUUAGAUUACCUUCUUCCAAGAUAACAAGUUCAUAUAUAUUUUUUUUUAAAAUCCUUUUCCAUUACAGUUGAAUUUCAAGUGUUAGUUUUGUUAUUAGUACCUGGUUUCCUGUUAUUAGGAUCUAAUAAACAGUGUACGGAUAUGUGCUCUACUUUUGGAGGGCCUCCACGUGAAAGAAAAUUGCAACAAUUGAAUUCUUCCGGAGGGUAUGGUAAUUAAUUUAUUUUCUCAACUUGUUGUAAGACUAAUAUAUUUCCUUCAGUAGGCACGGCAUGGUGGGAAGGGUUUUUAUUGAAAGAAUUCUGAUAUUUCUUAGACUUUGUUUUGGAAGGGGGUGGAGGGAUUUCUCAUCCAUAUAUGGUUACUUGAUUAGCUUUUGACUGUAUUGUCUCCGUCGUGCAAAGGAAAAUCUAAAUACUAACGAUGGGGAAUUGCUUAGGCACCCAAAAGGCAGAAAUGAAUUACAGAAGGAAGUUUUUGCUGCUUUAUUUAGUGCUGCUGAGAAAUCUGAUGAAUUUCCUGAAAUUACGGUGAAGACCGAGUGGAGGUCCAAAGCAUUAGGAAAGGUGGUGAGUGAACUGCCGGAGGAAUUAGUACCAGAAUACAAGGCUAAUGUGGUGCACUUGCAGCAAGAUAACCAGACCGGUAUGUGCUCUUAUAUUAACUAUAUUGACUGGAUUUGUUAGUGUGUGCAUUUUUUUGUGUAUACUCACUUUUGUAUUUAUGCAUAUUAACAUGUGUAGGAUUCUUGAUUUCUGCCACUUACUGGAGAACUAGUGGAAAGCUUUAUACUGAUAUAUCUGCAAUAACUAAUGGAAACUAUGAUAUGAAUAUUUUCUCUCACCUGGGGAGCUGUGUAACAGAUAUACUUUGUGGCUCUGGAAUGCUGAAGAUUCUGCAAUAACUAAUGGAAAAUAUGAUAUGAAUAUUUUGUCUCACCUGGAGAACUUUGUUACAGAUACCCUUUGUGGCUCUGGAGUGUCUAAAGAAUGCUUCCGUUAGAUCAAAUAUCUUUUAGUUAGAAAAGAUAAAAUUCUCUGAGUCUGAAAGACUGAAACAUUUUGCAUAUUUUGUGAAAGGGAAAUAUCUGUUGAUACUAGCUCAUGCAUUGAGGUAAUAUCGAUGUUAAAGAAAAACAGCAAUGAUUUAUGAUAUAGAAUUGGGUUCACUUGCUUUAAAUGCUGGUCUGAUCAACCAUAUCAACCUGUAAUGAUUCUGCAGAAAUAUAUAUACAAGGAGAAAGUAGCUAAAUUUUUCUUUCAUUUAUGGGUUCGGUCUUUUUUCCCCUUAUUUUUCAGCUUUCCUUCUCCUGAAGUAUGUUAACAAUUGCAGAUAAUGAUGAAGAGGACAGCUUCCAGGCUCUCCUUGGAGCCAUGAUGGAAUAUAGGGGCACAAUGAAGGAAUAUUGUAAAGCUGUAGGUACUUUUUCUCCUGUCAUUUAUGUUUUCUCACACAUUUUGUAUAUGCCCUGAACAUGCACCUUUGUAUGUAUCAAUUGACUUUUAAAUUUUAAAAGCCAUAAAGUAAGAAUACGGUUCCUUGUCAGGCUACUGAUGACAUUCGCUCAGGGGGAUCAUGUUCGAGCAGGAAAAUUUCUAGAACAGGUAAGGUUUCCAUCUACAGCCAUCCAUUGACAGCAGAUAAAUUUUCAUUCAGCAGACUCUGUUAGCAUUCAAGAUGCUGGCAGAUUCACUUGAUUCUUAUUAGCUUGUUUAGUGGCAAAGCCUAUAACCUGUAUUUCAAAGCCAAGUUGUGCUAUUGAUUAUGUUAACUUUUUUGUUAACAUAAAAUGAUAUGGAGGAAAUAAUCAGUGUUGGAAAAUUAGGUGAAAAGAUGAUGUCAAAUCUUGAACCUCUUGCGAAACUCUAAGUUCUUUACUUGAAGAGGCUACCAAAUUUGAACAGCGUCUACUCGAAGGCCUUGCCAUUCCCUGAUGCAUGCAGAAUUUUUGUAUUUAAAUGCCCAGAGCUUAAGAAGCUGGCACUGGAUCUUGAAGGGGCAGACCAAGGUAAAAUUCUUAUCAAGGGAAAGGAAGAUUGGUGGAAACAACUUAAUGGGAGGAUCAAGUAACUCAGAAUACAUUGCUUCCAUUUUUUAAAUCGACUGACAAGUGAUUGAACGGGGCAUCAUCAAUAUCAUCAACAGGGAUGGAGAGAUGCCGGAGCAGAUCAGCAGGGUUUGAAUAUGACCUUCGGCGGUUGCUUUUUUUUUUUGUGAUUUUUUUUCAUUUUUUCCUUCCUGUCAUUUUAUCAUUUCUUUGGCUCUGUUUCUAUUGCGGGUGUUACUGCAUGCUUACUGUUGCUUGACAAAGUUUGCUAGCUUUUUGUUUGCAGCGCUGCUAUACGCCCCGAGUCAAGCCCCGAAAAUUUAUUAAACGACGCCGUUUCGACAGUAACAAUUCUUUUCUUUUCCCUUUGCCUGUUUCUUUCAUCUGCUGUUUCUCUAUCACUUUUCAUUUUUGAUUUCCGUGCUUCCCAGCUGCCCCUAAAUUGUUAUUCUAGCAAUAUACUUUCUCAUCUUUGAAUUUUCAUCCUUGAGUACUCCCACAGCCGUAAUUUCAUCAUUAUAGACUUCACUUGGAAUGCUAGAUUUUUUCGAUUCUUGAGCUACUUCAAUUACAUCUUAGUAUAGGAUCCUCAUCUUCCUUUAUUUCUUCAUCUUAUGAGGUAACAAAUGGAUUUCACAACUCAUCUACUUUUAAGCAAUUACAUAUUAUACCCUGAAUGAUUCAACUGUUCCGACAGUUAAAGAUUUUAUGCUCAACCUGCAGUGCUACGAACAUUGUCCAUGAAAGAUGAGUUUCAGCAUAUAAAAUGAAAUAUAGAUGUUUAAUCUAAAAUAACCCUUCACUGCCAGAAACCUAGGUCACAAAAUUCACAGAUAAUGAUAAAGAACUAAAAAAUUUGAAAAACUCUACAGAUCACACAUCAAGCAAGAUAUCAUGUUUUUUUCCCUCAUUCGGUGGUGAUUGAUUCGCUUUUUGAUGAUGGAUAUGGUAUAAAAGUUUUGACCCAAUUUCAAGCAAACACAAAUAGAAACACAAACACAAUCAGGACUAGAGUUGUGGGCGAUUAUCUCAGGUGUACAAGUGAAACGGUGGUGGCUGUCGAUGGUGGUAGUGGGGUGGUUGGGUAUGCGUGAUGGCUAGAUUUUAGGACAAUAAUGGUUGGAGUUGACCUCAAUCAACGAAGGAAAGUGACAACAAUUUUGACAUCAAAUGGUGCAUUUUUUAGCUUAGUAAAAUGGAACCGUUUUGAAUUUGGGGUUUAAUCCGGGGUUUGACUCGGUGCAAGUAUCAUUUUCCUUUUGUUUAUUAAAUUUUUUAUGGUCACAAAGUAUUACUCGUUCUAUUUGAGAGUGAUGUGAAUCAAUUUUUCAAUUUUAUAUUUUGUGGUCAAUGUGAAUUCAAUUUCAUUUGUCUCCUGCAAUUAUGAAAAAAUUGCAGUCAUAAUAUGGAAAAGUACACCGGCAAAGACUUUGUAAAACCUUCGGAGUGAUACGGGGAAUUCACUUACAACUAAGGACAAUUGGUGGCAAGUUAUUCCAUUCAUUUUAUGUCCAUGCAUCUAUUUAGUUAUUGAAGAUUAGUGGUCCAUUUGUAAAUUUCAGAUUGUCUCUCUCUCUCUCUCCCACUUGAAAUAACAAUAUUUAAUAUAUCUCUUAAAUUAUUAUAAAUUUUAAUUUACUCUCGAUUUAAAAUGGAGCAUGUCGAUAAAUUUUUUUUCUUCUUAAUAAAAUUGACGUAAUUUGUGUUUACAGUAGUUUGAAGUUUGAAAUAUUUUAAAGAUUAUUAUUCUAUAAGGGAGUAAUAUGAAAUGAAAUUUACUUUUCAUGUGUGAACUGAAAAAGGACGAAGCAAGUGUCCCUGCUUUUAUUUUAUUUCAAGGAGGAGUCAUCUCGCAUACUUUGGCUCUUAACAUUACAUUUUUUCUGGUUACAUUUUUUAUUUUUUUUUACACAUGCGUGUGGGUUGCUUUUCUGUAAGCUCCUUAAUAUAUAUUUAAGACAAAUCAUGGAAGAGAUGGGAUUAUAUCAAGAUGAUCAAAGCAUGUAAAAAAAGAAAAAAGAAAAAAAAAAUUAAGAAGUAAGACACUGAAAAUGGAGAAGAGAUGGAAGCAAAAGAUAUUCCAAAACAAAGCAAUCUAUCCCCCUUCGAGGGCAGACUUAUCAGGUUUAAAAAAGUACAUGCUUUGGAUUGGUAGUUGCAAUCAAGGGAAAAUAAAUAGGAUCCAAUGAAAUUUAAAUCUCGGAGAAAAUAAAUAAUCAUGCAGAUUUUCAAGAUUUUAAUAAGGGAUACUAAUAUCUUAUUUUGAUUAAUAACAUUCUUUUACUGUGUUAACUCAAAAAAAAUAUUAUAAUGCUUUACAAUAAAUACAAAUGUCCUAUUAAAUGAAUAUAUAAAAAAUUUAGAAAAUUAUAUAAAAUAAUUUUAAUAUAAUGCGUGAGAUAUAUUUUAUUAAUUUAAAAUGUCAUUUUACCUAAAAAAUAUGAUAAAUUAAUAAUUACAUAUUUGAAGUUAUUUCAAAUAUUAAAAAAAUUUAAUAUUAUUAAUCUUUUAGAUAGAUUAAAUUAUUUUUUAAAGAGAUAGAUUAAAUUAUUUUAAAAUACCUUAAUUGUUUUUACUUUAAACAUUACCGGCCUUUCUUUUAUUUUAUUACAAAUUAAUGCUAACAAGAAAAAGUUAGAUCAUAUUCCACAAAAGCAAAAGUGACAAACACAACCAGCUGGAAUCUUUUAUAAAACUACAAAUUAAAAUGGAUUUUUUUUUUAAAAAUUGUUAUAAAUUGGUGGCCCCUACAAUCCUCAAUAAUUGCACCGAUAUUCACAAGUUGGUGGCCCCUACAAUUCUGUUCCGAUAAUUUAACUGUGCAAGUGCUUAAUAAUUGUUUUGUUUUUUUCUGCAUUCCCUUUCAUGCUCUUAAUAAUUGAAGAGCAUACUUUUCAAAUGUGGAGCCGCAGCUAAUGUCGCUAAUUUAAUUUUGGAUUAAAUUAGGGGACCAUUAUAUUGUAGUGUGCACUAAUGAAUAUGUGAGAUAUUCAUAUUUUAUUAAUUUAAAAUACCAUUUAACCUAAAGAUUUAUUUAUGAUAAAUUAAUAAUUAUAUUUUUGAAAUUACUUCAAAUAUUAAAAAAUUAAUAUUACUAAUCUGUUAGAUAGAUUAAAUUAUAUAUAUUAUUUUCUAUUUAUUAAAAAAUUAAAAUUAUUUUUAAUUACUAUUCAAAAAAUAUAAUGAUAAAAAAAAUCUUAACAUCUUUAUUAAAAAUUUAAAAAUUUACAUGAUCAAUUCUCUAAAUAUUUAGGGUAUAUGUGAACCACGGUGGAGAAGCUUUAUUUAAUAUUAUUGAUUUAAAUAAUAUGUCAAUUAAAAAUGUACAGAGAAGGAAAUUUCGGUGGGUAUUUUAGUCUUUUCAGCAAUUAUCAUGAUCAGAUCAGCCUUUAGCCUUGAAACGUCGAUCAGAAAAGUUUUAAAAUGCUUAAUUGUUUUUCACUUUUAAAAAUUAAUGCUAACAAGAAAAAGCUAGGUCAUAUUCCACAAAAUCAAAAGUGACAAAACAACCAGCUGGUUUCUUUUACUAAACUACAAAUUAAAAUAGAUUUUUUCGAUAAAUUAUAAAUUAAAGUGGAUUCUUUUGAAUACAAGUGAGACAGACGAUUAGGCUCUUUUUAUUAAAGGCAAGUAAAAACUAGUCAAGAAUCGAAUAGUCUUUUUCAAAUUCUUGUUUUAUUAUUUUUCAAAACUAGUUUUUGGUAAUUACAAUCGGGUCAUUCAUUAAUCAUUAUUCAAAGUUACUGUUAUCUUCGGGGGCAGUGGGUAAAAGAUAAUUACUAACUGUUUUUCCUUCAAAAGUUACCGGCUCAUGUUUGCAAGUGUGAAUGUGCGAUGCUCUUUUCUUAAAGGCAAUUACAGUGGGGCCCGAAUCAGAGGUGCCUAAAUCUUUUUAAAAUUAAUAAUAAUAUGAGUAAUAAUUAAUAAUUACAGUGGGUCAACUUUUGAAAUUAGAGUCUAGUAUCUCUCUCCCUGUCAUUACUAAAUUUUCUCUUCCACAGCCUACAGCAGCUUCAGUUUAUCAAACUCAAUCAAUUUUCUUUCUUAACAAAAUUCCAAAGAUGUGUAGUAUUUUUCAGAUCACAUGCGAUGGUGCUCUUUUCAAUCGUUGCUUGGAUUGCUUUCUUGGAAAAGCAGCAUACAUACGUAACCUCCAAGAUAAUCUUGUAGCCUUGGAGACUGAACUGGGAAGACUAAUCGCAGCAAAGAACGAUGUGAUGAUGAGGGUUGUCCAUGCUGAACGGCAACAAAUGAGAAGGCUGGACGGAGUGCAAGUGUGGGUUUCGAGGGUGGAUUCUGUUAAAACUGGAGCCGACGAACUUAUCACAGACGGCUCUGAAGAAAUUGGCAAAUUAUGUGUUGGAGGCUACUGUUCCAAGAACUGCAGGUCAAGCUACAAAUUCGGAAAACAAGUGGCUAGAAAGCUACGACAUGUGGAGACUUUAAUCGCCGAGGGAGUUUUUGAGGCGGUGGCUACUGAGGUGGUGCCCGAGAGAGCUCCGGAACCUGUAGCAGAUAAAAGACCCAUUGAGCCAACAAUAGUAGGCUUGCAAUCACAACUUGAACAAGUCUGGAGAUGUCUUGCAGAAGAAUCAGCGGGAAUCAUUGGCUUAUAUGGUAUGGGCGGUGUUGGUAAAACCACACUAUUGACCCGUAUCAACAAUAAAUUUCUUGAGAAUCAAAACAACUUUGAUUGUGUGAUUUGGGUCGUAGUUUCAAAAGACCUGCGGCUUGAAAAAAUUCAAGAAGAUAUUGGGAAGAAGAUAGGUCUGUUUGAUGAUUCAUGGAAGAAUAAAAGUUUUGAAGAGAAAGCUGUGGACAUCCUGCGGAGAUUAGGAGAGAAGAGAUUUGUAUUGUUGUUAGAUGAUAUAUGGGAGCGGGUUGAUUUAACAGAAGUGGGCGUUCCACUUCCCAGCCCACAAAAUACUACAUCAAAAGUCGUAUUCACGACCCGUUUCAUUGAUGUUUGUGGUAGCAUGGAAAGUCACAGGAAGUUUAAAGUGGCAUGCUUAUCAGAAGAGGAUGCUUGGGGGCUGUUUCGAGAAAAAGUACGGCAAGAAACUCUUGAGAGUGAUCAUGAGAUCGUUGAGCUAGCCCAAACUGUGGCCAAAGAGUGUGAUGGUUUGCCACUCGCACUUAUUACUAUUGGUCGAGCUAUGGCCUACAGAAAGAAAGCGGAGCAGUGGAGACGCGCAAUUGAAGCGUUAAGAAGAUCAGCUUCAGAGUUUGCAGGUUUGGGAAAAGAGGUGUAUCCUCUUUUAAAAUUCAGCUAUGAUAGUUUGCAGAAUGAUACGGUUAGAUCUUGUUUCUUGUAUUGUUGUUUAUAUCCUGAAGAUUAUGGCAUUCUUAAACGGGACUUGAUUGACUGUUGGAUUGGUGAGGGAUUUUUGGGGGAAUCUGACAGGUUUGGUGCAGAAAACCGAGGAUAUGACAUUUUGGACACUCUUGUUCGUGCAUGUUUAUUAGAAGAGUUAGAAGAUGAUAAAGUAAAAAUGCAUGACGUUAUUCGUGAUAUGGCUAUAUGGAUAACCUGUGAAAUUGAGAAGGAGAAGAGAAAAUUUUUGGUUUGUGCAGGUGCUGGAUUAAAAGAGGCACCGGAUGUUAAAGGAUGGGAAAAUGUGAGAAGAUUGUCAUUGAUGCAAAACCAAAUUGAAACUCUGUCAGAGAUUCCUACAUGCCCUCAUCUCCUCACUUUAUUUCUUGACUUUAAUGAGAAGUUGGAGAUGAUCGCGGAUGGCUUCUUCCAAUUUAUGCCUUCUCUCAAAGUGUUGAGGAUAUCACACUGUGGGCAAUUAGAAGGUUUUCAAUUACCUAUUGGGAUGUCAGAGUUGGGUUCGUCACUAGAACUUCUUGAUAUUUCAUAUACCAGCAUAAGAGAGUUACCAGAAGAGUUAAAGUUGUUGGUAAAUCUGAAAUGUUUGAAUUUGAGUUGGGCACAUAGGUUAUAUAAAAUUCCACGGCAACUAAUAUCAAAUUCUUCAAGGUUACGUGUGUUGAGAAUGUUCGCUACUGGCUAUGUGUGUCUUCAUGAAGCAUCAGAAGACAGCGUUUUAUUUGGUGGGGGUGAAGUUUUAGUACAGGAAUUGCUCGGUUUGAAAUAUUUAGAGGUAUUGGAGUUGACCUUGGGAAGUUAUCAUGCUCUCCAAAUUCUUUUGAGCUCAAAUAAGUUGAAAAGUUGUAUUCGAUCUCUUUUCCUACAGUUGUUCAGAGAUACAACGUCGAUUAUUGAUGCUACGGCUUUCGCAGAUCUAAACCACCUCAAUGAAUUAUGGAUUUAUAGAGGUAGUGAGUUGGAAGAAUUGAAGAUUGAUUAUACGGAGAUAGUACAAAAAAGGAGGGAACCUUUUGUUUUCCGCAGCCUUCACCAUGUUACCAUAUAUAGUUGCACUAAAUUGAAAGAUUCGACAUUCCUCGUUUUUGCUCCAAACCUCAAGUCUCUUCAGCUACUCGAUUGCUAUGCUAUGGAAGAAAUAAUCAGCGUCGGAAAAAUUGCUGAGACUCCUGAGAUGAUGGGACAUAUAAGCCCUUUUGAAAAUCUCCAAAGUCUUUAUUUAAAUGAUUUGCCAAUUUUGAAGAGCAUCUACUGGAAGCCAUUGCCUUUCGCUCAUCUAAAAGAAAUGACGGUGCAUCGGUGCGAUCAGCUUGAAAAGCUUCCACUCGAUUCCAACAGUGCAAAGGAGCGUAAAUUUGUAAUUCGUGGAGAAGAAGACUGGUGGAACCGACUUCAAUGGGAGGAUGAAGCCACUCAAAUUGCUUUUCGUUCCUGUUUCCAACCUCGUUCCUGAGCGGUGGUCGCAAAAUUUGAUUUCUGGUGAGUGCGUUUGUCUUUUAAAAGAAGAAUUUAAAAGAAAUUUAUUCUUGUCGAUUGUUUUCUUCUCUGUUUUUAUUUGAUUUCUGGUGAGUGCGUUUGUCUUUUAAAAGAUGAAUUUAAAAGAAAUUUAUUCUUGUCGAUUGUUUUCUUCUCUGUUUUUAUUUGAUUUCUGGUGAGUGCGUUUGUCUUUUAAAAGAAGAAUUUAAAAGAAAUUUAUUCUUGUCGUUUGUUUUCUUCUCUGUUUUUAUUUGAUUUCUGUUUUUAAUGGAAUUAAUGCUUCAUAAAUUUGCCGGCACUGCCAUUACUUUUUUUUUUAAUACAAAUUGAUACUUUAUUUAUAUCUUCUUAGCGAUUUAAUUUCCUGUCAAUAGACGAACGAGAAGAACAUAUGACUUAAACCAAUGCUCGCAUAAACUUGCUGUAAAAAGAUAUAAUCUCACUGAAAUGCACACGUCUAGAAUGAAUAGAAUUAAAACAGGGAAAAUCAAUCAAUUCCACCUUUUGCAAUUUCUUCUGUUCUAACAAAAACCAAUUUCUUUGUUCAAGUAUUUUCGUUUGGGUAUUAAUAAUUCUCCACCGAAAGAGUGAACUCUUGCUCAAGGGAUCUCUAAUCAAUUGCCGGAAGGGCGCCGAGACCUGAUCGGACCUAGGCCCAAGUUUGGUCUUAAAGCCUGGGCUUGAGCCUGGCAAUUAAAUUAAAACAUUAAUUGAUUUCUUGGUUGAUUUGUCGUGUAAUUGAUUUAUGGGGGAUGACACAUCAACAUACUUGAAAAUACACUAAUCUCAGCAUCAUCGGUUAAUAACUUUUAGAUUUAUGCGUAAUCAAUAGUUAAGAUUAGUUGUCAUUAAUACUAAAUAUUUUUUACUUUUUUUGUCUCUUCUAGAAAAAUGCAUCCACAAUUAAAUUUAAUACUUUACAUAAUAAACAAAGCAUAAAUGUUAAAUUUAAGAAACUGCAUUGUAUUUCAGCUGAAGUUGACUUUAAUAUUUAGGGUAGAAAAAAAUUAAAUCCUUAAUGUGUUUAAUUUGUAUCACUUGUGUCAUUAAAAUUUUCUAGUCACCCUAACCAAUUACAUCUCAACCCACUUUGUUUUUGGAUGAUUUUAUUUUUAGACUAUUAUUUUCAUCAUUUUUUUUCCUUUUAACACCAACAUUAGUGUAUGUUACGUAACAUAAUUCAUAUUUGGAUCAUUUGAAAUUUGCUUGUGUUUUAUCUAAAAAUAGAGCUUCAAUCAAAUUGUACCUCAUAAAUUCACAAUAUCUAUGAGGGCUAAUGAGACCAAACUCUGGCAUAUUGUCAAAUGUGCUUAUCCUUUUGCUUGACAUGUCAUUUUAAAAUUGUCAUUCAAUGCCAAAAAAUCACAUCAACUGAUGGCCGACUACUUUAAUUUGAAAGCAUGCAUGCGAUCGCCAAUAAUUAUAACUUAAUUGUUAUUUUGAAAUUUUUUUCUUUAUAAUUUUUAAGUUUAAUACUACUACAUGUGCAGCACAUAAGUUGGAAAAUAUAACAUAAAAUUUGAAAAAUGUGUAGCUUUCGUUCCUUUUUUUUCUUAAAAAUGGGAAAAAAGAAUGUAGUUUUGUUUAAAUUACUGUUGUGAUUACAAUUAUUAUUUUAUUGAUUAAUUGGCAGAGAAUCGUAAUGGUUUUGCAUGGUUGUUAAAACAUUGGAAAAUCCACUACAUCAUCCGUUAAUAACUUUCAGAUUUAUGAUUAAUCAAUAGUUGAGAUUUGUUAUCAUUAAUGCUAAAUAUUUUUUUAAUAUUUUCUCUCUCUCUUAGAGGAUCAUCCAAAGUAAAAAUUUAAUAUUAUAAAUAGUAAACAAAGUAUCAACGUUAAAUCGAAGAAACUGCAUUGCAUUUCAACUGAAGCUAACUUUAAUAUUUAAUGGAGAAAAGUAAUUAAGUCCUUAAUGUGCUUUAUUUACCCAUAUAUAUGGCUAAUUUUUCAAGAUAAAGGGGAAGGAUGAUGCUCAAAAAUAUAAAUUAUAGAAUUAAUUGAACUCUCAAGUAAGUUUAAAGUUCAUUAUUUUUAAUUACUUGUUUAUAAUUUAUUUUUAUUUCGUAUUAAUCUAUGGAUCUAAAUCCCCUUUGGAUUCAUAUACAUAUAUAGACAUAAUGUGUAUGUUAAUCUAUAGGUCUGAAUUCACUUUAGGUCUAUAUAGGUAUUUUGACAAAUGUACUCCAAUCAUGCAUAUUGGCAAGUUCUAACUACUCUAUUGAUAUAUCAAUAUUAUUUCUAACUGCACUAUAGGUCCAAAAAUAAGUUAGAAAUACAAAUUAACAUAAAAUAAAAAUAAUUGGUAGAAAAUACAAAUUAUAAACAUAUAAUUGAAAACGAUAAACUUUAAAUUUACUUAAGAGAGUAAUUAAUUUCAUAGUUAAAAUCUUUAAAUUUUACCCCUCAUCUUAACUUAAGAAAAUUAAUCACUUAUUUUAUUUAAUAAAGAAGAGAUUUUUUUCCCCUAUAUUUCCCAAUUAUUUCUCUCCCUCUCGCUCCCGUAAGUUAUACAACUUGAAGUGAAAUAUGAGUGGUCUGAUUCUAGCUUAAAUAAUUUAUUGUGACAUGCUAUCUAAGGACAAUACAUUACCUAGCUCUACAUAUUUUAUUUAACCUCCGGCCCACCCUGUGCAAACUUGCCUUUCCCCUGCAAGACAAGAUUAAUCAAUGUAUCAAGUCUCAAAUUCAAUUUCGAAUAUGACCAUCGUACGCUCUUGUUCUUCCCUCUUUACGAGUGCAUUCCCCCCAACCUCAAGCUCCCUCUCUCGUCUUCAAUGUCACUGCUUAUAUCCUUAUGUUGUUCUAGUUUGAAAUAGUGGCUUCCACUAUUUCAGGGCCCCCAAAAAUCCAGAAACAUACUAUUCAUCACGAUGACAAAAUUUUUGGCAGGCAGGUGCUUCCUGACUUUCACACGGUAAUUCUCAAAUUCUGAUUUCACCAUAUUUUAAUUACUGAUUAGCAUAUAUUCAAGUGCUCUCCAUUAUAACGGAAGCCGCCGCCUCACUCGUGAUUCCAAACUUUUAUCUUUUUUUCCUUUUUUAAAUUAAUGCAAGUAGCCGCUGUCCUUUUUAUUAAUUAAUUAGUUCGGCCGCCCACAUUUCUUUUCCUAAUGUCUUCUACUGUCGAUUUUCUUUUAUUUUCUCUUUUUUCUUAAAAUAUACUUAUAAUAAUAAAAUAUAAAAAUAAAAAUUAACAUAUCAAAAUAUAAUUUAAUAGAAAAUUAAGAUAAAAAAUAAAAAAAUUAUGAGCAUAUCAAUCAAUAAAUGAAAAAUAAUAAUUUUUAUUUUUAUUAAAUAUAUAUUUUUUAAAAUUAAUCAAUUAUCUGAAUAAAUCAAAUCAUUUAAAAAUAAAUAAAUAAAUUAUUCUUAAAUAAAAAAAAGAAACUUUUUAUAACACUCACUAUGCUGGUUGUAGGGUAGACGCUUUGGGGACUGAAGCUGGUAACUUCUACAAGUAGUCUUAAGUUGACUGGCAACAACUAUAUUGGCAUUUAGACAUAAUGUACUGCAACCAUAUUGGUAUGUUCAAAUGUUCUUACUAUUGUAUUGGUGUAUCAAUAUUAUCUCUAACUGCCUUAUAGAUUAAAAAAAAUCUAAAUUUACAAUUUAACAUAAAUAAAAUAAUUGGUAAAAAAACAAUUAUGGUUUAUUUACUUAUCAGUAAUCAGAAUAGACUGAAAUCGAAAUGAGCUGUAUUACCGUUAAUGUGUUUAUGUUGUCCUUGAAUCGGAAUGAAUUAUUUUAAGUUACUAAAAUAUCAUUGGUUUGUUAUUCUAAUUAUUAUUAUUUAAUAUUUAUUAUAAUAUUUGUCAUAUCAUUAAAAAGAAAUAAUAAUGAUGAUAAUAUUAUCAUUAUUGUUUGUUACAUUAUUAUUAUUCAAAAAAAUUAUUGUUAAUAACAAUAAUUACUUUAUUUCAAUAAUAAUAAUGAUGAAAUUAAUAAUAACAAACAUGACAACAACAAUAAUUAUUUAUUAUGCCAAAAAUAACAAUAAUAAUAAGAAUAAUAAUCAUCAUCAUUUUUUUCCCAAAGAAGCAUUAUCAUCAUCAUUUAAAAAAAAAAUCAUCAUCAUCAUUUUUGUAGUUACUGUUUCAAUUUAGGAAGAAGCUGUUUCGUUGUGCUAACGAUGGGAGAUGUUGUGGCUGCGAUUCGGGGAGCUACUAGUUUAUUGCACUAAUGACGACAGGUGCGGCUGCUUGAUGCGAGGUCCAUGGCCAGUUGUCAGCAGUUCGACUUUGGUAUGGGCGUUGCUGGUUCGAUUUUAGGUGUUGUCUAAUUUCAUUUUCAGGAUUUUAAUUUUAAUUUUUUUUUAUAUUUUCAUUAAUUAAUCAGUGCAAAGUUUGAUUUUAGAAUUUGGAAUGAAGGUAAUUUUGUUAAUCAUGGAAAUGAGAUUCUGAUUGUCGAGAAUGAACUUACAAAAUUGCUGCAAAUUAAGUGAAAACAAAACGCUUUUUCUCUUUGUGUGAUUAAAACAUGAAAUGUACCAUAAAUAAAUAGGUAAAAAAUAAAUCAACACAAUUCAAAAUAGUAAACCAAUUACAAGAGGCACAAAUUUUUAUGUGAAAUACCGAAAAUGAAAAAAAACUAUAGCAUCCUAGUCUAAUAUAAUCUUCUACUAUAUUAAUGGGAUUACAGCACAAAUUCUUCCCUAUCUAACACUAGAGAUUAACAAUAUCAAAAAUCUCAAUAAUCUUAACUUACAAUACAACCUAAUAUAUGUCUCUCUAAUAAGUAGAUAUCUAAAAUAACAGUCUCUAAUAAGUAGGUAUCUCAAAUAAUAGUUAAUAAGAGGAUAAAACAAAAAUUAAGAUUAGUAGAAUGUGUAUAAGGCGAUGCUAUCAACUUAUCUUCUAAAUUUGAGAAAAAUAGUUAAAUUCACUUUUUCGAUUGUACGACCAAAGAUGGAAACCCUUGCCCCAAAACCAAAGGAAUCACCAUUGUGUUUUUUUUCUCUCUUUCUCUUUCUCGUUCUUCUCUUCUACUUUUCUUAAUGUUAGCCGCCACUUGCUUUUAUUCUUUAUAGCAUUUAAAAAGCUACUUUUAAUGGUAAAUUCAUCUAAGUCCAAAACUUAGUGAUAAUUGCACACCAAACAAUCCUUUUUGGACUAUGGACUUUUGGGCCUCCAAAUGAGAUGAAUACAACAAAUCUCCCCCUUCAGAUUAUGUGGGGGGCACUACAAGCCCGCUCUCUGCAUAUAGCUUUUCAGCUUCUCCUUGAAUAAUGACUUUGUCAUCAUACAUAACCCAUUCUUCGUUGUGUAAAUCUUCUCAAGCUAUAACUGUUCUUUCUCAAGCACGUCUCAUAUCUAAUGAUAUCUCACAUCAAUUUACUUAGAUUUCGAAUGGUAUAUCAAAUUCUUUGAACGGCACUCUGACUGUCGCAGUACAUAACAUAGUUGUCUCAUUUUAUAUCCAGCUCUUGUAGGAAAUUCUUCGUCCACAAUAUUUUUUUGCAACCUUCAAUAAUUGUAAUAUCAUUUGCUUUAGUGGUAGAAAAGGCAACUUAUUACUAAAGUUUAGAUUGCGAUGAGCUCCCCCUGCAAAAGUGAGCAAACAUCCUAGUACGAAUUUUUCGGAAUCAACAUCUCCUGCCAUAUCUAUACACUUGUAACACAGGUUUGUCACCACCAAAAUAUAAACAUGCUCUGGAAAUGCCUUUAAGAUAUCUGAGAAAUUUUCACUGUUGUCCAGUGCUCUUUACCGGGAUUGAAGAGAAACCACUGACUACACUAGCUGUAUAAGCAAUAUCUGGUCUUGUACAAAUUAUGGCGUACAAUAAACUGCCAACUGCUGAAGCAUAAGGAACUCCUCUCAUGGAGAAAUGGGUUUUGCUCUUGAGAAUUUUGGGAACAUAAAGAAUAAAGAUGUAAUUUCUUGGACUGCCAUUGUUUCGAGGUAUAUAAACAGAAGACAAGUCGAUAUAGCUUGACAAUGUUUUGAUCAGAUGCCAGAACGAGAUUAUGUCUUAUGGACUGCCAUGAUUGAUGGGUACCUUCGAGUGAAUAGGUUCAAAGAGGCUUUGACGCUUUUUCAGGAGAUGCAAACUUCAAAUAUAAUGGGAGACAAGUUUACCAUUGUUAGCAUUCUUACAGCUCGUGCCAAUCUGGGGGCACUAGAUCUGGGAGAAUGGAUAAAGACUUAUAUUGACAAAAACAAAGUCAAGAAUGAUAUAUUUGCGGGGAAUGCUUUGAUAGACAUGUACUGUAAAAGAGGAGAUGUUGAGAAAGCUCAAAAGGUAUUCAGGAAGAUGCUUUGAAAGGACAAAUUCUCAUGGACGACCAUGACUGUUGGCCUUGCCAUCAGUGGCAAUGGUGAUAAAGCUCUUGAUAUGUUUUCCCAAAUGCUUAGGGCUUCGAUCAAACCGGAUGAGGUAGCUUAUGUUGGUGUUCUGUCUGCCUGUUCUCACAAUGGUAACGAAACUUUUGUGAUAAAUAGUUGCAACUUAAGGUGAGAAUUGGAGGAAAGGAAAUAGACUGAAGUUGUUCAAUCAUCAGUGGUUGCUAUUUGGUUUUAAGUUGUUCAAUUAUCGGUCGUCUCUAUUUGGUUUUCUCCAAUAUCUCAUCUUCAGUUUUGACUCAGAUUCUAUCUUACCACUAUUGUUCUGUUCAUUCUAUUUGUUUCCUACAAAAUAUUUCUCCUGCCUAAAAUUUUUUGAAUCAGUAAGUUUUUAUCUUAUGCAAGAAUUGUGCUGAGAGUAAUUCCAUUUCUCAGUCUCGUUAUGUUUCAAUGAAGACGUAAAACUUGUGUUCUAGUGCACCAAUGUUUAUGCUUCUUACAAUUUGACUUUAAUUUACUUUGUAAAAUUUUUGUCAAAAAGUACUAAAAAGUAGUGCACCAAACACCAACUUUAUUAUAGAGAGGACUUUAGUUAAAUUUUAAGAAAACACUCAAAAGAAAGAGUUAUAAUUUAUUAUAGAAAUAUUUCACAUAAAUAAAAGCCAUCCCAUGCUGCAAAGAUCUUGCUAUAAUCACCAAAAACUAUCGGGAGCUUUUAGGGUUUCCAUAAAAAUGUCAUUUCGUUCCAAAAGUCAAUGGUGGGUAGAAAGUGGUGCAAAUGAGACUCAUUCUUAAUGGUAUAAGUUUUUGCUUAAUUAUGUCUUCCCCAAGAUGAUGAUUUAAUUUCCAUUCUCAAUUAAUUUUCAAGUUUCAACACUUUUCUAUGUAGCAUGACAUUGGAAAGAUCUUGUACAGUUGUACUACUAAAAGCUAGCAUCACACGUUAGUUAUUGUUAAGUUCUGUUUCAACGUGAAAUAAAGGAAGUAGUCCUUCAUUAAAACCAUUAUAGCCAAAUUUCACCUAAUUGGACACUUACAGACUUUCAUUUCAAGUUGGAUUUUGGUCCAACGUUUCAAAGUUUGGCCCAAUUAUUUUUGUCCGGUCAAGUCCUACGCAGCUAAGCCUCUCAAUGAAUGAGGGUGAGAUUGCUAAAAAUUACGACAGGUGAUAUUUUAUUAUUAUUAUUAUUAUUAUUUUUGGGGGAUAAAUCCUCACCAAAGUGAGGAGAUUUUAUCCAAAUCAAAAUAAAAAUAUAACAAGAACUGAAAGUCGGGCAGCCUAAAAGCUAGAUGAACUAAAAGUCAGGCGCCUAAAAACAACCUUAUGCAAAAGAGAAGCAAUAUGAGACCGAUCAAGUAAAAGAAUCCACCGCAACACCUAAAUUGGCCAAAUUAUCUGUUGGUAUUACAAGUUUCUUGUUAUAAAAGUGUAGAAUGAAGUAGGUGACGUAGUUUUAAGUUACAGCUGCAUGCCCAAUCGCAAUAUCAAAUAAUGCUUAAAUAUCAAAUAAUGCUUAAAGUAGUUGCCUAGGCCCGCCACAACUUAUAUUAACUCUUAAAUUUAUAAAUAAUUAAAUUUUUAAAAGUUUGGAUUUAUAUUAAAAAAUCUUCAUAUAAAUAAAUAAUAUAUGCACUUUUACAACAGUCUUUAAAUUUAAAUUUUUCAAAAAAAAUCUUCUGUAUAUCUUUUCUAUUAAAAAAAUUUCCAUAUAAAUAAAUAAUAUACCUAAUUUAAUUGGACCGAGCACAACGCACAUGCAUAGAACACAUUCCGAAAAGCCAUGCUAUUCAGAAAUUGACGAAUGAAAAGUGAGGAGGCAGCAGUCAAUGCUAUUUCGGCUUGGCCCAAAAUUGAUUUAUCAGUUUGACGUGUGCCAGGAAUGAAGAACUGGAAUAUCACCGUCAAGCAGCACCCUGUGGAGCAAUACCAUAGAAUGCACAAUCUGGCUUUGCCAGGUGACACUGGAGGCUUUUUGAAAAGUGCUUCAAAAAGCCUUUUCUGAUCGAGUCUGAGCACUCAAAUUUUGGUCCUCAGAUGGAGCUACAGCUUUCUCUCCAAUAACCAACAAUUUUCUAAACUCAGCUCCUAGUGUGAUGAGAGUUGUUGAUAUUUGUAAAUGGAGAUCCCCGUAUUUGCAAAUGGAGACAUUUACCAAAUCACCAACAUGCUUCAUCCAGUCUACGAAAUUCUGCAGCUGAUUCAAAUCCGGAACCUGAACCAGAGUCGGAGGUAAAUCUUGAGCCAUAUCUAAAGCAGUCUGAAGUUCAAGUACUUGAGCCCUUGACAAUGGUUUUGAAAUUGGAACAUCUUGGAUUACUGCAGACUUGUACCCCUUGGUUUCAAAGGUAAGGAAAGGCAUUGCUUGAGUACAAUUUGGAGGCAGCUUCUUCACCAAUUUUAUUUGGAGGCAAUUGGCAGCGGAUCCAGCUGCACCAAUUUCAGAGCAAAUACUGACACUACUUCAAACAGCACGCUGAAGAAGAGAUAUGUCUAUGGCAAAGACAAUGCAGUCCUCAUUUUGACUUGAGAUGCGGUAAUCAUCAAAGAGAGUUUCCUUGUGAAACUGGGCAACACAUUGAAUCCCUUCACCACUGAGAAGGUUGUGGAGGAAGCAAGCUUUCUCUCUAGUAAGGAAGAGGUGGCAUACCUUCCCCAUUUUGUCUAGGACAGGUAGGAAUCUUUUUUCUAAGAGAUUUACUCCAUUCUCUGUGAGAAAUGCUUUGAACUUCAUCCCUCUGUCUCUAUCCUCACUUAUCAGUAAAAUAGUUGAAAGCACUACAAGGAGAGAAAAGAAGAGUAUUAAGAUAUAUAUAGACAAGAAAAACAUUAGAUGUCGAUCUUACAAGCUAAUACUUCAAACAGUAUCCUAGAAAGCUAAAAACUGCAAAAUGGCUUGAAAUUUGAAAAGAACACAUGCUUUUCCUCCUUAACUUGAGAAAAUGUUUAAUAUAGUGCACCUUACAGAAACAUUUAAGCAAUUAGAACUUUGCACAAAAACAUUCAAGAAGACUAAACAAAUCAGAUGCAGUGUAUUUCUCCAAGCACAAAUGGCAUUGCAUUUUCUCCUCAACUGUAAUAUUUAUUGAUGAAAAUCAGUACAGGUCCCUCAUUUGUUAUGGAAAGCUUUCUUGUAGUCUGACCGGUUAAUUCACGGGUCUAUAAUCAUCUUGCAAAGUUACAGGCAUUUCUUUCGAUUUAAAGUCUUUGCAUCACCACCUCAUCACACACCAAGCCAAUAUUCCGUCUACCUCUACAACAAAAAGUUUUAAGUAAACGAUCCUAAUGCAUGCAGCCAAAUAAAAUGCAGUAAGAAUAUUCAACUUAAAACUCUGAAAGCCAUCUUGGUGAAUUGCCUCCUUAGGGGAAGUUCCAUGCUUUACUAUACUUGACAGGACUGAGCAAAAGCUUCCAUACGACAGAUUUUGACAAUAAUGAUGCCAACAGAUCCUCAUUAAAUCCAUUAAAACUCCAAAGGUUCAUUGUUCAUGGAUGUUUACAGAGUUUUGGUCAUCAAAUAGCUCAGACCACAAUCCCAAACAAAAAAGGAGUGAAAAUUAGAUCACCAGCAGCUAAUUGUAAAUUCUAACUUAACUCUUCAUCUCCUUUGUAAACAGGAGACAAAAUGGAGACACGCAAAAUGAAUAAGGAGAACAUUUGAACUCAAAUGAAAUGAGGGCACGAAAUCAAACAAAUGGCAUGCGCAAACAAACCAAGCCUCAAUCAAAAACUAAAUAACCAUUAAGAAAAAAAAACUGGUCAGAGAAUGAACUCCAAAUUCGGGAGUGAAGCAAGAAGCUUUCAUUAUUUCAGAAGCUCCUGUACAAAUUAAUAAGUUAUGCUCUUUGGAAACAAACCUAAAUUCCAAGAGAAACAGAACUCAAAAAAUUUGCAAUUAUACGCAAAGGAAGCGAAGCACAGCAUUCUAUCACACGUACAAAUUGUAUAACAAGAGAUCGACACAUCGAAUCAGAAGAAUUCAAUUCAAAUUUGUCUCAAAAAUCAAAAUUAGAAGAUUUCACAUUUCGAGAGGAACAAGCGACAGGUCAGAUGCACAAUUUUCAACCACAACAUGCCACAAUUAACGGUUUAUUUCCAUGGAUUUAGAGAGCUGACUGACCUUUUGGCUUUUGGAAUUGAGAAGAACGCGCGCCAAAAUGGAAGAGGGAAAGCGAAAGUGCGGGUUUCAAUAGGGUAUUGGAUUAGCAAAUUUUAUUAGUUUGCGAGGGUAAAAUAGGAAAGAGAUAUCACUAUUAACUUUUUUUUUUAUAAGAAAAAAGAAUAAUAAAGAAUAUUUUAUUGUCAUUUGCAGCAUUUAAUUUUUUUUAAAUGCUAUUAGAAAAAAACGACAAUAAAGAAAUGCUCUUUUUUUAUUUUUUUCUCGAAGGUAAAAUCAAUUAUUUAGCGUCUUAUAUGUAAUCUAACUCCAUUUCUUACUUUAAGUCAUAUCCAACUGACCAAUAAAGUAAUUGUUUUUUUUUUCAUUCAUUUUUACAGAAAAUUAAUAUUGAAAGCUAUUGUAAAAAUUUUUAUUAUCAACCUCAUAGUUUAAUUUUUUUGGGGAAGAAUUGAAUUUUUUUUUUUAAUUUCCAAGAAUUUCAUUCUCUAGUUUUUCCAUUAAUAUUACUUAUCUUGAUACCCAUCUUAAUUAAAAUCUGUAGUUUUAUUCAGGAGUCAUGCUAUUCAUUCACUCACAGACCAAAGGCUUUCCGCAGCAAUAUUAUUAUUUAAAUUACAACAAAGGGGAAAUCAAAUACGUCAUACAGAAGCUUAAAGCUGAAUCUACAAAAUCUAGAGCUCUCAACUACAAAAAUUACACUUGAUGAUCCUCUACAAGAUGAAACUUGUUCAAUAUCUCAUCCAAAGCUUGUAAAGUAACCUUGUAACGAUCUUGAGAUUGCCUGCCUUCCUCGACGACCUGCACGAUGCGUUUGUACAAAUCAUCAUACCUGUGCACCGGAUUUUUAAUAUCAACGCCACUGCAGCUGUGAUCAAGAACAUAAGAGCGUUUAACAUCUUUUCUCCAUCGAGAAAGAAUGUAGUGAGGUGGGAUCUCCUGCAUGCCACUCUGGUUUAGAACACAAAGAAUGUGUCUGCAUAAAUAUCCUCUGAAAUUGAACAACCCACAAACACAAAGCACCUCCUGCAUAAAUAUCUUUCUCGUUGCUACCAAUCUCAAAUUCUUCCUUCACUAUCUAUGUUAUAGGUCCAUCAGCACUGACAUGUUUUGUGCUAUAGCAAGAGUACAUAGCCUCCACCUCCGUCUGAAACUUCCUUAACAUUUCAUUUGUGUACAGUUUUGAGAGUUGAAAUUCAUAGUAACAUCUUGGUUUCUGGAUACAACUUGAAUUUCUUGAAUCCAUAUCUGCCAAGGCUUCCAGUUGAUAAUUCGCCUGCAGUGCUUGAUCAUACUUGUCUAAGAAUUCUUUCAAAGGAGUACUCUUAUCAAGAUAUCCUUCAAAGUAUGAAGUAGAAACCUCAUUCUGCAGGAAUGAAAACACUCCUGAUAAAAAUGCUUCCUUCAAAUAAACAGGAGCCCACCUUUUACGAUCUUCAUAUAAAGUUUGAAUCCAUCCAUGAUCCUUUAUUCCAUGACGUUGAAUCGUGUCCUCCCAAGCUGUCUCAAAUUCCUCAGGCCUAAGAGAGUGAUAAAUUGCUCUAUGCAAUGCAGCUCUAACAGCUUCAUAUUCAAACAAUCCUUGGAGUUUCUCUGAAAUUUUUUGCAUGACGCAUGACAAUGAAAAGCAAUGAUAAGCUCUUGGGAAAGCAUUGCUGACGGCAGUUUUCAAGAUUCUACAUUGGUCAGUGAUGAUUGUUUGUGGACAGCGUCCUAACAUACAUGUAAGCCACGCCCUAAACAACCAUGUAUAUGAUUCUAUAGUCUCACUGGCGAGUAAACCACAGCCCAACAGCACUGAUUGUCCAUGAUGAUUCACCCCAAUGAACGAAACCAGUGGUACAUCAUAUCUUUCUGUCAAGCAUGUAGUAUCAAUUAAGACUACAUCACCAAAGUACCUAUAUGCAACUCUUGACCUGGUAUCAGUCCAGAAGAGGUUUCUCAGGCAUCCCUUUUCAUUUAGAUCCACCACAUUAAAAAAGUUUGGAUCUGUCAACUGCAAACGACAAAAGAAACUCUGGACAGCUUGUGCAUCUCCUGGUUUAAGCUUCAAUUGAUUUGAGCUAUUAACAUCAUUUCCAAAUACUCCAUUAACAUCUAUAUUACCAUUUCCCUCGGUAUCAAGGAUAAGAGUUCGAAACAGUCUAAUUUUUUGAACUUCUUCAGCACCAUCUAAGAGCAAUGUUCUUUUGGUUCCAAUACCCAUGUGCUUAUGAGACUUGUAAAACUUUCCGCUUCUUGGGCUUAACAAACGGUUAUGCUCAAGCUUGACUUCAAUGAUUCUCCACCUUUUGGUUUCCAUCAACCUAAACUUUAUCAUUGCUGGACAGCCAGUUCUUGUUUCUGGUCUUGGGCGGUUUGCCUCGCUUUUCUUCUUUAAGCCUGCACUACUACAGCUCAGCUUUCCUCUAUACUUUUCUCUACUCUUUCGGUACCAUGUAUUGCUAACUCUAACACCAAAACCCUGUUCCUUGGCAUAGCAAUUAUAAAAGUAAUAUACGUCAUCAUACGUCUCAAACUCCAUCCCAACAGCAGGAGGCAAUGGAUUUUGGAUUAUCCCAGUUUGUCCAACAUAUUCAGUCAUCGCACAAUCUCCUAUUCAAAAUCAUCAGCGUCAUCAUCACCUACGGGUUCAGUAUUCAGAGAAACUUCAUCCAUCUACAAUAGAUGUUUAAUGAAGUGAGCUUUAAGGAGAAAAGGCAAAAUCAGUUCAAGGAAUGAUAAUAAAACCGUACAGUUACUUUCACAAAGCUUCGUAUUUCAUCACUACUUUAACAACAUGCAACUGCCUGAGAACAUACAGACAUGUCAUAGAUGCUUGAAUUAAGUAUUGAUACAAAUUAGCACACAUCAUGUGGGACACAAUUUCAGUCACUAAACCCAAUACCUUUUUUUUACAUCAUACCAAGAAACAGAUUAAACCCAAUACCUUCUUUUACGCCAUACCAAAGAACAGAUUAAAUCAUCAAUGAAAAAUUAAUCACAUAAUAAUUUAACUAGACAAUUGAAGAGCUCAAAACAGCACAAUACUUGAAUCUGAUUAUGAUAAUUGUUGAGUCCUUGUAUCGACAGCUUUCCUUCAAUGAGAAGAUUAUGAACAUAAACUACACACAAAAAAAAAAAUUAUUUAAACUGACAGCCCAUGAUAUAAAUCAAACAAAAUUAACUCCUUUUACAAAUCACAUCUUGUAUUCAUUUACAUCGAAACAUAAAAAGGAAGCAGGAGCCAAAAAAAACAACAGCACAGAAACUUCUUUCCAUAAGGUUUACGAAAUAAGGAAUUUAUUAAGACACAAAAUUUGAGGUCACCUAUAAUAAUUUGGUUCUCAUUCUCUUUUUCUUCAUUUUUCACUUAUUGAUGGAGUUAGCAUACAAUCCUAAAUGAUAAAACCCCAUCUCCAUUUUUGAACUAGAGCUAAAGCAAAGCAUUUUAGGAUUCAUCAUUUUUUUUUCUAAAAGACUCAAUAGUACAAUGUUUUUCAAUAUUAAAUACACAACUCAAUCUUCUCCUAAUUUACUCUAAUAAUCUCUUAACUUAGGAAGAUUAAGCUCCACUUGUAAGCUAAAACAAUUUUCUUAAAUCAAGCCCCAAUGCUCUAUACUAUUCAACAAGGCCUCAUAAAUGAUAAAACUACCUCUACAAAGAUACCCAUUUUAGUUUCGCAAACUAAAAUCAAACUCCUGAAACGUAACGAGCAUUAAAACAAACAAGUCCGAACAAGAACUGAAAAAUCAUACAUAAACUCGUUUACACGCUUCGAAAAACACUUUGAAAUUCAAACGAAACAUACCUUAGGUUGAUAAAUUAGUAGCGCAAAAGAAAUUUUAGUGAGAUAUGGGAUCAGGGUUUUUGCCACGGUGAUGUUAAUUGCGACAUUGGGGUGACUCAGCAGCCUUCGAGGCUGAAACUUUGAUUGACCAAAAGCUUCCCGUUCGUUGAUUAUCUAAUUGCAGAAACGAAACUCGCAGUGUACAGAAGAAGUACGCUGAUUUGAUAAUUCUGUGAAAAUCAUUGUUUUUUUGAGAUUUUUAAUGUGUUCGGUAAAUAUCAAAAUCUCAAAAACUUGUCUUUCAUUUUGGGGGGAAAAACCCAUUGAGAUCCUUAUGUUUUUUCUUAUAUAAUCUGGCUUAAUAAUUUGCAAAGUCUAUUACUUUGCACCCAUGCAUGCUGCGUUUCAAUUUUACAAAAUUGUACGUGAGUGCAUCCAGCUAAAAUUUGUAAAAAGAAAAUAACAAUAACAUGUUAAAAAUGUGAUGAUUAUGAAGAAAUUUUAAUUUAGUUAAAUAGGUGACGAUGGAUAGGUAUAAAAUCUGAGAUCUUUUAUGAGAUUAAUAAGUAUGUUGAGUUUGGAUUAGUUCAAUUUUGACAUAAUACAGAAUAAACACAAUCUGCUAAUCUAAGUUAUCAUCUUUUCUCGUCAUCAGGUACCUGUUUGAAAAAUAAUUAUAUACAAUUUUAUUUGCGUUGUCUCUCCAAAAAUUUUGGACUCGAAUGUUAUUUUUAAUUGCUAAAAGUACGAAAAUGCCCCCUUUCUCUUCAGCUAAAGGAGUGCAAAGUCAUCUGUAUAAUUGAAUCUGCAUCAUCAGUUUCUAUUGCUGGCUGGUGUUACUGCAUGCUUACAGUUGCUUGACAAAGUGAGCCAGUUUUUUGUUUAUUAAUUUUUUUUCUUGUCGAGACAGUCACAAAGUAUUACUUGUUCCAUAUGAGAAUGAUGUGAAUCAAUUUUUCAAUUAUGCAUUCUGUGGUAAUUAUUGUGAAUUUAGUUUCAUUUGUCUUGUCUCCUGCAAAUUUUGAAGAAAAUGCAGACAUACAAACUUACAAUAUGGAAGAGUUCACUGGAAAAAACUUUGUGAAAGCUUCCAAGUGAAACAGGGAAUGGGCUUACUAGUAAAGGACAAAUUGGUGGCCAGCUAAUGCAUUCAUUCUAUGUCCAUUCAUCUUUUCGAAUUAUUGAAGACAAGUGGCUCACCACUUUUAGUAUUGGUAAAAUUCAGAUAAUCUCUAUUCCGAAAUAAUAAUAUUCAAAAUAUCUCUUAAAUCAUUAUAAACCUGAAAUCUAUUUUAAUUUUAUUUAAAAGAUAAAAGAAAAAUAGGUUAUGUUGGUGAUUUUUUAUUAUCUUUUUAAUAAAAAUGAAAUAAAUUGAUGUUUAUAAUUAUUUAAAGUAUUUUAAAGAUUGCUAUUUUAUGAGAGAAUAAUAUUUCACUUUUUUAGUGUGAAAGAUUGAAAAAGGACAAACCAAGUUUCCCUAAUUUUUAUUUUAUUUGAAAUUGGUCAUCUCACAUACUUCACCCUUCAACAUUAUAAUUUUUUUGGUUAUAAUUUUAUUAUUUUUUCUCUUUUACACAUGCAUGUGAAUUACUUUUCUUUAAGCUCCUGAAUAUUUAAGACAAAUCAUGGAAGAGAUGAGAGUAUAACAAGAUGAUCAAAAUAUGUAACAAAAAAAUUUUAGAAGUGAAAAAUAUGUUAGAGUCGAAGUAAAACUCUGAGGUGAUGUUUGAUUUGAAGAAAAUGGAGGAGAGGAAAAGAGUGGAAUGGAGAGGAAAAUAGAGAAAAGGAGAGGAGAGGAGAGUGAAAUUUUUUUCUAAUGUUUGGUUUGUCACAUAAUUAUACAAAGAAAAGAAAUCUCUAAUUUUUUAUUUAGACAAUUUUAACCUUAAUAAGUAUUAAGCUUUCAAUAUUUAUCAUGUGUAUAAUUUAAAAAAAGUAAAUGGUAGAAAGCGGUUUCUGAUUCCGGCCACAUCGCCGGCAAUGGAAGGUACUUAUCAGAACAUCAAGAGCCGACCAUCAUUCCCUAGCCAUCACUGCUGUCAGAACACUGCCAGAAAGCUGCCGAUUGAACCGCAAAAAGUCGUGGAAAUCGCUGCCUCAAAUCGGUGAGUUUCGCCUUUUUCUGGUCACGCCGUCACCUUGGCUUUGUCCAUCAAGGCUGCCACUUCCAUUUUCAACCAUCCAUAGCCACUAUUAACGGCCAAAUCGCCGCCGAUCAGCGGGAUAUGUGGAAGUUAAAAAGUUUCUAAAUUUUUUUGACUGGAUUUGAACAACAUACGACCAUUUUUUGAUCUCGAUAACGACGUAGUAAUGUUGAUCAUUGAUCGGCAAGUCGAAUGGUAGUGGCGGUGAGUAACAUGCGCCAAUGACAUCGGCGGCGGCACUAUCCGGCGACUGUUAAAAUUAAUAUUUUAUAUUUUUAGAUUAAAUAAAUUUAUUUUAUUAAACUUUUUAAAUCAUUAUUUAAAUUUAAUUAAUUUAAAAUUAUCUAUAAUGUUGAAUUGAUAAAAUAAAUUUAUAAAUAAUAAUUAUGUGAUUACAUUAAAUAAGUUAAAAAGUUGAAAGGUUAUUUUUGGAAGAUUUAGUUUCCAACACAAAGGGAAUUUGAAUUCUUCACUUCUUAGUGUGGAAUUCAAAUUCUAUAUUGUAAUGGAUAUUAAAUUCCAAUAGAAAUUAAAUUCUUAUAAAUUAUGUCAAACCAAACAACGGAAAUAAAAAAGGAAUUUAAAUUACUUUCCUUUCCUCCAUUGUCUCCUUCCAACCAAAUACAUCCUGAAAAUAGAGAUAUUGAUUAAUUUAGAAGAGAUGCAAGCAAAAGAUAUUCCAAAAAAAAAAAAAGCAAUAUGUCCCUUUGGAGGGCAAACUUGUCAGUUUUAAAAAAGUACAUGCUUUGGAUUGAUAGUUGUAGGAUAUUUGUUUUGUCACUAUGUAUUAGUUGGAGAAGUCAAGCCUUGUGAAGAAUGUUAUGAAAGAGCAAAAGAUAUUCCUGAUAGCUGAUAGAGCUAUAUUUGAUUAUGUAUCCAACGAAUGGAUGUGUUGUUGGAAGAUAUCUGAGUGCAUUAGUUCAUAUGUGUAUGUCAAUGUGCUUUUAAUGAUUUUUCCACUUGUUUGUUGUAAAAGAUUAUUGUAAAUUGAAAUGAACUUGAUGUUGUAAUAUUUUUUCCUUAGUGGAAUUUCACCUAGUAUGUAUUCAGUUGUGUUCUCUAUAAUUUUGCAUUCGAAUAGUUUCACCUAAAUAUAUUAGCAUGAGUAGUGGCCCUUGAAACUUUGGUCAAAAUUAUUGUUAUUAUUUCCGACUAGAUGUAAAUUUUUUAUUAAAUCUCGUUAACACAAUUCUUAAUUAAAAGUAUAGGUUAGUGUUGGUGCAAGAUUUGCCACACCAAAUUCUGCCUAGCUGUCAAAAGUGCAAAAUAAAUGAAGAGAAAGCACAAAUACACGACUUGAAUAAGGAUACAACGAAACUUAAAUUCAAGAGAAAAUGAUAGCUAUAUCUCAAGAUUUGAAAAAAUGAUCAUGUAGAUUUUUAAGAUUUCAAUAAGCGACUGAGAUUCAAAUAAUAUCCUUUAAUUCUAUUAACAAAAAACAAAGACUCAAAUAUUUUAUGAUAAAUAAAAAUAUAAUAUUAAAAUAUAUGUGAUAAUAUACACAUUUUAAAUACUUUCAAUCCAAAAAAAUAGUUAUGUUUUACAAUCUAUUAGACAUAUUUUAUUAAAUUAAUAUAAAUUUUCUAUAAAAUAAGAAUAUAAUAUUAAAAUAAAUUCACUAAACUUUAAAGAAUUUUGAAUGUAAAAUAAUUUUAAUAUAUUAAUACGUGAGUUUUUUUAUUAAUAUAAAAAUUAUUUAACUUUAAGAUUUUUUAAAAUCUUUACAAUAAGUAUAACUAUAUUAUUUACAUUUAAAAAUAUUUAAAUAUUAUUAACCUACAAUUAUAUUUGCAUUUGUUAGAAAUUUUUUAAGUAAAAUAUUUUGCACUUCUAUAUUAUUAGAAUUAUUGCACACAAAGAAAGAAACAUAUACCUUUAGAAAUUGUUUUCUUUUAAAAUAGAGAUGAUGAUUAGUAUAAGGAUGAAAAAAAGGAUAUUAACGAAAUCUCUAUACAAAUUGAUUUUAGUAGGAAAAGAGUGAGAUGAAUGAUUCUUUUACAAUUAGAAACAUAGAUGAUGAUUAUUAUAACGAAGAAAAAAAGAUAAAGAAUAUUAAUUAUUAAUGGAAUCUCUAUGCAAAUUGAUUUUAGUAGGAAAAAAAUGAGUUAAAUGAUUUAGAGUGCGUUUGGAAUUGAGAUUGGGCAGCCAUAGAUUUUAAGUUACAACACUGAAGUGUUUGGUAAAUACUAGCUGCUGCAGAUUGAAAGUUAUGUUGAUAUGAUUUUUCACAUGUAUCAUAGAAAAUAUAUUACAUCUUUAAUAAUUUUUUUAAAAUUUAUAUUUGCUAUAUAUUAUUAUUAUUUUUUUUAUAGUUAUAACUUUUUUUCCACAGCAGCUGUAGCUUAAAAGCCACAGCACCUCAAUUUCAAACAAGUCCUUAGACAUUCAUAGUGUGUUUAUUUUUUGGAUUGGUGAAUAAAAAUUAUUGACAACGCUAACUUCAUCUUCACCGUUCGCAAUCCAACAGCAGCAAUUGUCACCAAUAAUGAUAUCUCCAAUGAUGAUGACAAUUAUUAUUAUUAUUAUUAUUAUUAUUAUUAUUAUUAUUAUUAUUAUUAUUAUUAUUAUUAUUAAUAAUUAAUUAAUUAAUUAAUAUAUUAAUGUUAAGAUUAUUAUUGUUAAGAUUAACAAUAAUUAUUAGUAAUACAAUUUUUUGAAUAAAAAUAAUCACAAUAAUUAAAAUACAAAUUAAUAAUUAUGACAAUAGUUAAUUAAUGUCUUUUUAGUGAAUCAAAAUUAUUGACAACGCUAACUUCAUCUUCACCGUUCGCAAUCCAACAGCAGCAAUUGUCACCAAUAAUGAUAUCUCCAAUGAUGAUGACAAUUAUUAUUAUUAUUAUUAAUUAAUUAAUUAAUUAAUGUUAAGAUUAUUAUUGUUAAGAUUAACAAUAAUUAUUAGUAAUACAAUUUUUUGAAUAAAAAUAAUCACAAUAAUUAAAAUAAAAAUUAAUAAUUAUGACAAUAGUUAAUUAAUGUCUUUUUAGUCAUUUAUAGUAAACAAAUUAUUAUGAUUCCUAUUCUCCUUUCCCAUUUUAGCUCACUUUGAUUUCAGUCUAUUCCGAUUUCUAUCUAAUAAAUGCACCAUUAGUGCUAAAGUAAUAUUUCAUACAUAGAAAAGUAAAAACUACACCUAAGGUUAAGGGAAAGGACUUCAAAACUCUCUUUUGAUUAUAAUACUAGGAAAUAAAACCGCGCUUCGCGCGGCUUUAGAAAAUAAAUUUAGUAUUAUCAAUUUUCUUUCUUUACACUCGACAAAACUGAUAAAAAAUAUAAAUUAAUUUUUUUUAAAUGAGCCAGCGUUAUAAAACUAAUAUUAUUUAUGAAAGUUAACUAUUUUUUUGUUAACUUUAAAAAUAUAUAUUAACGUGUAUAGUUUAAGUGUACAGACUUUAUACCUUUUGUAGUUGAUAAGUUCCAAAUUAAAUUUUGUAAUUGAGGAUCCUUAGCAUUGAAGUAUAAAAGAAAUAAGUAAAAUACAUGUAAAGACUUUUGUAAUUUAUUUCGCAUCGUUUGUAGCUGCGUAGGUGAGCAGUUGUUUAUAUCAAGCUUGCAGCUAUGGCAAGUUCCAAUGGGGAUCAGCAACACCUAGUGCCAAAAUGUUCUUUAUCUGUAUAUAAACCAUGUCUCCAUGGAUUAGAGAGAAUGAAAGGAGAAACAGUUGAUGUAAAAAAGAAUGCUUCUUCACGUACUAUGUUCUUUGGCGAUUAAAUCCUCCAUAACAGCUUGGAAAACUCAGCCAAAUUACCAUUUUGUUGUCUCGAUAGUUCCUUUGAUUUAUCCAUUUGUCUACUGAAUAAUUAAAACACAUAAUAAAAAUCAUUAUUAUAGGGUGAAGUAAGAGCUUGCAAUGUAUAAAUUAAAUUUUAAAAUAUAAUCUAAAAAUGUGAUACCUUGAUUUUGUGAGCUAAUGUGUGAAUAUUUUGAAAUACUUCUUUGUAGACAAUGUUUUUUAUGAAGGUUCGGUCUUCUACCUCUUGAUCGGCAUUUAGUAUGGUCAAUCCUUCUCUUGAGGUAACUCGAGACACGGCGACAUAUAAUUGACCAUGUGUGAAUACUUGCUUAGGGAGAUACAAGCCAACAUGUUUAAGAGAUUGUCCUUGGCUUUUGUUGAUCGUCAUGGCAAAACAUGGUGCUAAAGGAAGUUGUCGUCUGUUAAGCUUGAAUGGCCAUCUUGAUUCAUUAGGAGACAUAAUAAUUCUUGGAAUUGUGACAUUUUGUCCAAUAUUUGUUCCAGAAAUGAUGUCACCUCUAAUGGACCAUUUACCAAGAUGAGUGACAAUUAAUCUUGUGCCGUUGCAUAGGCCUUCUAUUUGAUUUAGAUUUCUGAGAAGCAUUACGGGAGCACCUUCCUUAAGUCGUAUGUCAUGAUUAGGGAUGCCAUUGAAUUUCAAACUAUUCAAAAAUUCAGUUGGAUAUAGAACAUCUUCAUCAUUUGUGUUUGCGCUUGCUUUGCAUAUACUGUCUGAGCUAAAAUAGGUUCUCCCUUGACCAGGUAUUAUAUUCAUAAUCAUCUCGUUCAAUUCAUGCACCAUUUCAUUUUUUGGGGUUAAUAUUGCUCUUUCUUUCAAAUAUGUUGGAUCACUGUAGUUAUGCUGAAUUGAUGGGUAGAUAGUGUCGACUAUUGAUUUUAUCAGAUUUUCUGAUGGUUUCUUACAGAUAUCAGAAGGUAGUUUAACUAAAUCUCUAUCAAUGUCAUCAUAUAAUGAACCAUCUCCAAUCUGCAAUAACCAUUUGUCAAAAGAAGCUAUUUUAGCAGCCUAAGAGCCACUCACACUUCCAUUAUAGAGCCUCAUAUUUUUUUUGAGGUCAUAAAUUUUGAAAAAUGGCCACAAGUAGGAUGAGUUAAGUGAAGCAUCAACAAUGUCUGCUCUUGUCCUCUUUGGCACAACUGGCAAUAUUUGUCGGAAAUCGCCACCACAUACUAUUGUAAGUCCUCCAAAAGGUUUGAUAGAACUAUUUUCAUACAUUGUUCUUAGAAUAUCUCUCAAGGUCCUAUCCAAAGCUUCAAAGCAGAACUUAUGUGUCAUAGGCGCUUCAUCCCAAAUGAUCAAAGAAGUUUUCAUAAGAAGUCCAGCUAAUAAGGUGCCUUGUCGGAUUUCACAAGUGGACUCUGCUGUCACAUCCAAAGGAAUAUGAAAUCGCGAAUGAGCUGUCCUACCAUUAGGCAAUAACAAAGCUGCUAUACCUGAAGUUGCAACAGGCAAGACUAUUUUAGAAUGUGAUCUGAGCUUUGCAAUAAUUGUAUUCCACAAAAAUGUUUUACCAGUACCACUGUGUCCAUUGAUAAAAAAUAAACGCCCUUCUUCAUUGUCAACAGAAUGCAUUAUUGCUUCAUAGGCUGAUUUUUGGCAAGCAUUUAGAGCAGCAAACGAUUUCUCAUGCAACUUCUUUAAUUGAUCACGAUCAUAAUCAAGCUCUUCAUUGACCAAUCGGUUACCUGAAUCUCUUAUCAAAGAAGAAUUAGGAAGUGGCAUUCCAUCUAUGUCUCUCAAACUUUUUCCCAUUUUCAACAUGAUAGUUUAAAUCUCCAACAAUGUGUAUGCUUCAACUUGUUGCUCGGUUAACUGAAGAUCUUUCAAUCUGAAUUUUUUCCUUUGCAAUGAAGUUAUGUCUUCUGAUAAAGUAGUAUAAUUAGAUUUCCAAAGUUGGGGUGCAUCAGAAACCUGACAAUGAAUGAGUAUCGUGACAAAAAGAUGUCUUAAUUCAUUUCCAGUCGCCCAUAUUGCAGCUUCAGUCAAGCAGUCGAUCCAUUCUUUAUCAUCGUCUAAUAAUCCCAAAGCAUAGCACGCAGCUUUAAAAGUUGGAUAUGUCACUCCAUUUACUGUUCUAAUACUUUCAAAUGAAGUGCUUCCUUUUACAAAAUUGAGCAACAUUCUCAUAUAAAAUCGUUCUCCACUUGAAGGAUGUGCAAAGUAAAUUCUUCCGAUUGCUAAGCCAUUUUUUCUCCUAGUCCAAGUUUUGUCUUUUGAAUUCCAUACCCAACAUGUAGGGAAAUCAGAAUAAGUUAACUCUCGUGCAUCAUCAUAAUUCUUGUUUGCCUCCAACCAUUCUGUGAACUUUGUUUUUUCUAUUCCAGGUAUGGUAAGCACAUUUUCUAAGCACUUAGAUUCUUCGAAUAUUACUGUAUGCUCUCCCGGUAAAUGGAACGGCAAUCUUUCAACUGCUGGCUUUCUGUAAUGUAUGUCAAAUUGGAAGAUUCGCCAGCAAGCUUCGGUUGCUGAUAUAUAUCUGCAGUCCAAAUAUGUUUUGAUCUCGUCCAUUUCUUGGGUAGUGUCAAUAGAUUCCAUUGUUGCAGUUGUUCUAUCAGACCCUUUAUGGACAUACUUGAAAAGAUAUUUAACUGAUCUCGAGUAAUUACAAAUCUCAACAUUAAUAUGUGCAUCAAAUUUGACAAUUAAAUUCCUGUGAUAAGGGACCACAUAUCGAUUAUCCAAGAAGACACCUUUCUUUUCGACAUGAAUACCUGUAUUUCUCCUUUUAUAGAUUGGAAAACCAUUUGUAUCCACUGUUGUCUGAUCAUUAAAUUUUUUUGGAAAAUGUUUUGUGCACUUGUCUUGCAUCAUGCAUGGAGAGUGAGAAUUGUGUUUUCCACACGGUCCAUGAAUCAUAAAUUUGUUAACUGCAUUAUAACCAUCAGGAUCAACAUUUAAGUCAGGGAUUUCUGCACUUAUUAUUUUAUCAAUAUGGUCUGCAGAAGGAUUUUUCAUUGUUGGAUGCAAAAAAAGCAGUAUGUGUGCAUAGGGCAAGCCUCUUUUUUUAAACUCAAUUGUAUAUAGACCUGCCACAAAAUAGAGUAAAAUUUAAAAGUUAGAAAUAUUGAUUUUAAUUGUGAAAUUAUUGUUUUUCCCUACACUUUUCAAUAACAAAUGAGUUGAAUUUGUUAUGGAUACGAAUUUGAAGUGAACUUACAUGCAAUUAUUUUUCCAAACGGUUGAUCUUUUUUCAAAUCUUGCAUUAGUUGGAAUAAUUUUAUCUCGAAAACUCUGCAUAUGAUAUCGACUCGAUUGUCAUCAUUAUUUUGUCCAACUAAUCGGAGCAUGUUAUUUAUUUCUUGCCACUUUGGGUUGCAAGUGAAAGUAAGAAAUAAAUCAGGAUAUCCUGCCCAUUUACAAAUUGCCAUAGCAUCUUGAUAAUUUUGUAUUCUAUAUCGUGGUCCCCCCGUGUGUGAUGAAGGUAGAAUAAUCGAUUUUCCAACUUUCGAACAAUCAGAAUCACCUCGAUGAACAGCAUCCAUCAAACCAGAGAAAAGGUCUGAUCGAAGUUUUUGUUGAUUAUUCCGGAUCCAACGAAAUCUUUCUUCUUCAACUGCCAUGUAACAAUCAACUAUAUAUUGUUGGAAUAGUCUACCAGUUUGAAGUAGAGUGUGUCCCUCAUUCAAUCUUUGUUGCAACCUAAAGCAAUAAUAUUGCCUCAUUGUCAGCUUUUGCCUCUUAAAAGGGCUAUCAGUUAUGUCUCUUAAAGAUAUGUCAGGUCUAUAUCCAUCUUCGCCAUAAGGAUAUAUUAACGGGUAUGUCAUGGGCAUGAAGCUUGGAUGCAAAUCUGUGAUUCUCCGAAGUCCCUUUGUGCGAUGCUCUAUAAUAACAUCGCGUUGAAAGUUUGCUUCACUGAAAUCACCAACUAUUAAGCCUGCAACUUCUGAAACUGUUGGUAUAUUGUAUCGACGACCAUCUCUUGUUCUACUAUUAAGGAGUCGUAAACGGAAUGUAGAUUCUGGUUGUGUUUUGUAUCUAUCCCUCGCCAUUCUAAAAGAUUUGACCAAAUUAUUAUGUUGGUCCAACAUUUUAGAUAGUUCAUGAAGAAUUUCGUGAUCAAUUUCUGUCUUCAUUCCAUGUUUUAAUAGAGUGUUGAUUCUAUUGUCUAUCUCAUUUUCAGUAUCAUAGAUAUAGAGCUGAGCAAACUGUGGUUUUUUCCCAACUUCUGGCAACAAAGAACCAAUGUGAUGAUAAUUCUGACCGCUCAUCCUGAAAACAUAAGGACCUUUUGAUCGAUUGAUUGAUGCAUCAACUCGACCUCCCAUAGAUGUGAAAGCAAACAUGGAGUUAUAAGCCCUGAUAUUUUUUCGAAAUUUGGAACCCUUUUGUCCAGACUCUGCCCCGAGAAGAUAUUUGAGUAAAGGAGGUGUUUCUUUCAUGAAUGGAAUCUGCACACGACCUUCCAUACAACAAAAUGUGAAUUUGGGAUGUGAGACCUUUUUGGUUUUCUUGUUCCGUUCCUCGUACCAUAAAAUGGCACCACAAUAUUGACAUGUGUAUGUAGGGGGUCCAAAAUUCCAAGGCGUUGUGUAAUGAACUGUCAAAUUCAACCAAUAAUAAUAUUGUAACAAAGUAUCUUAUUUCGUCUAAGUGAAUAUGGUAAGAAAAAAUAUUACUAAAUAUAUUAAUAUUUUCAUUGUACAUGUAGUUUCAUGCAAAUAUGUACCAUUAUUUGAUGUUACACCAUCCAAUGGAAAGCUUGUGGACUGAUCUAUAUUCUCAUCAAAAGAGAGACACGCUCUUUUUAGUUGUCCAUGUUCAACUGUAUAUUUUUAAAGUUCCAAAAGCAAUGAAUAAGUUAUUAGUUUCAAGUAUUACAAGCAUGAUGAAUAACUAAUAAAGCUCGAUAAAUUUAAAUAUAUAUACGUACAUGUGUGAAGAAGGCGCUUUCCUCUGUUUGUUUGACUCUUUGGAUUUAUAUGUAAUGAUGUUUUAUUAUUAUCAUAUCCAGCUUUACCAGGAGAUUGAAGGAAAUUCCCAAUUGAAAUAUGUUAGAAAUAUAUAUAUUUGUUAAUAUAUAUUAACAUAAAUAAUUUAAAUUAUAUAGGGAUAAUUUUUGUAAUUUGUAUAGUAGGAAUAAAAAUCAUAUUUUCAAGAAUCACAUACCGUUUGAGUGAAGCAAUUUAUUGUCACUUCUAAUGACUUCCAACUUCAUAAAUUUUGUGUAAAAAUUCACAAUUUGUAGCAUCAAAAUGAUUCUCUUUUUUAAAUCAUGUUUGUAUCUAUUAUGAAUAAUCAUAAUUUUCCGCUUAAAUCUUGCAUGCUUGAAUAUGGCCUUCUGCACGACAACAUAUCCAUUGUUUAUUGUGUCACACUGGAAAUUUGAUGCAUAUUUCCUAAGUUUUAAUUUCAUAAUCCUUUCGUGCCGAGCUAAAGAUGAAAGUUGAUGCCGCAAGAGACAAACUUCUGGCGGAAUAUUCCUUGAGUCACCGAAAUCAUUAAUAGUUGCAGAAAUCAAUUCCAUUUACUCUGGUGAACAAUAAAGUGAAUUCAAUAUCACAAAAUAUUCUAAAAUUAACAAAACGUUUUAUUACAAAUCAUAACAAGAGAAACCGAAAAUAUAAAAUGUUUUUUUUCAAAAGAGAGAAUUUUUUUUUCAAUUAUUGAAAUAAGAAUUGCAAUGAAUUUUUCGAACGAAUAUAUACCAUAUGUUAGAAAGAACAAAAAAAAAAUCACUAAAAACAAAACAAAAUAAAAUGGGAUUUAAUUUAACCAAUUCAAUUUAAUUUUAAACUCAUGCCAGUGUCACACUGGCAUUAAUUUUUGUUGUGCUUAUAGCCACGAACAGAGGCUUUUAGAUUACUUCUUUAUUAGGUUAUUAUUCUUCGAAUUUGGUGGGUAAAUUGUGAGCUUUUUCUGUUGUGAUAUUAUCAAAUCAAUCCAUGCAAAAUAAUCAUUAAUGUAAUGUUUUUGUUAUUUUCAAACUGAUAAAUAAUUAUGAAUUGUUUCCAUAAUUGUGUAUUUAGAAACAACGUUAACACAUUUUUUCGGAACAAACUUCUAAGUUUGAUUGAUUUUACGUCUAAUUACGAUACCCUAAAUUAAUAUAGAAAGUCAACAAAAAUCCACUUUAACAGUUCUAAUGUAAAUUUAAAGGCAAUUAAUUUUGAGUAAAUAUGAACUAAAACAAAACUUGAACAAAAUCUGAAUUUAUAUAUAAUAUUAAGGUAGCCACAUUGCAUUUGAAAAUGUCAAUUAGUGGGAUCUAAAUAAAUAAUCACCUUGGAAUUUUUUAAUGGUUGUAGGAGUUAAUAUUACAUACACGGACUAUCAUCUUUGUUGUACAAAUUUCGAUCAAACAUCUCCCCCAACUUUUUUCAUAAAGUAAUCUUUGAUAUCACCGAGCUAUCCAUAAAAAUUGCCACAAGUGAAUAAUGUAAAGAGAAAAACUCAUUAUAAGGAUAUCAUAUUAUCAUUAAAUUCGAAAGUUUCGAAUUACGUUAUUAUACAAUUGGUUACUUUUUAAUUCUAAAUCACCAAUAUUAUUAUUCCCUAUCUCAAUAUGAAUAUUACCACUUGACUUUUUUAUUUGUGUUUAUGAAGAGGUGGGGUGUGAGGAAAAGGAAAAAAUGUUUUUCUUAAGAAUUAGAACAAAUAAUUAGGCAAUAAUUCAAGGAAUUGAGGUUGUUCAUUCUACAUUCCAUUUGGAUUUACAGUGAUUUUCAUAAAUUUUUUCUUUUAUUAAUUAUGCUAACUGCCAUGUACUGUUGUUUAUUCUACUGCGUUUGGGAGAAGAUGCUUGGGCUGCCUAGAACAUAUUUUCUAAUUAAUUUUUCUUGUGAAUACAUUGAAUAAUCUCUAAGGGCUAUAUCCUUUUUCAUUUUACUUUAACGGUUUUUCUUCAACAAAUAUUGGAUGUAUUUAGUGAAAAAGAAAAUUAAAAAUUAGGAAAGAAUUAAUAAAAUUAGUGAAGUCAAAUUGUCAAUCAAUUCUUAUGAUAAAACAAUAAUUAAAAAAUAUAGUCAUAGUUUUCUUGAUUAUAUUCGACUUAUUAAUCUGUUAAAACUUUUUAUAUCUUUUUUUCCAACUUCCCCAUUUGGUGAACUAUAAAAAUGAUAUGUUUUUUUUCCACUCUUUGUCUCUAUCUUUUUUCACUCACAAAGAGUUAAUAGUUAUUAAUCAAUUAAUUUUUUUUGUUUGCAUAAGAAUUAAUAAUGUUGCACACAUGUAUUGUGAAAUAAUUGUUUGUUCAUAAUUAUUUUUUGCAUUUUUUUAGAAGUCAAUAGUCAAAUUAAUGAUAUUGAAUUAAGACAUUUCGAAGUUUGCUAUUUUGUACUUCUAAUAGAAAUGCUUGCAAAUGGGAGGCAUUAAUUUUUCUGUUUACUUUAUCGAAUUUCAUAAAAUUCAAUUCAAACAAAAAAUUGAAGGUUAGAAAAGCAGUUGGAUAGUUUCAUAAAAUUAUUAUUUUAUCAUUUAAAAGAUAUGUACCACAUCAAUUAGGACUAAAUAUUAGAAUCAUUAGCAUUGUUCCAAUCACACAUGCAAAAUCUAUCACUCAAUAGUCAAGUACAUUGUACAAUGCAGUCGAGAACAACUUCAACAUUUAGUUAAACCUUUUCUAUCUGUUUAUUUCCACAAAACACCAAAUAUCCAGAUUGAUACUGGAUCCUCCGAGUCAAAUAUAGCUAGUUCACGUUCAGAAAAGACCCGCCUCUUUUAAUUGUACCUCCUGCAUGCGAAUUAUAUAACAAUUAAAUAAAACUACACCAGAGAUUAAUUAGUCAAUAAAUAUAAACACGAGCUAAAACAUGUGUUUACUAAUAAUUCUUAAACAGGUCUAAGCUUUCAAAGUUUGCAUUGAAAAAUUAAAGUGAAAAUCUUCAAUACCUCCAUGUGUAAAUCGCAUAAAUUAGACAACCAAAGAUUAUUCAAAGAUUUUUCUUUCUUACCUUAUGCUUUUUCGCAAACAAGUAGAUAACAACAAUUGUAAAGACAAGUGAGCAGUAAUCUGUUAAAACAAAGUAAUCCAGUGUUAAUGAAAAUAAGAACAACAUAUUAUAUUUAAAACUAAGUUUUCAUAAUAAUGAAAUCGAGUAAACUUAUUCGAUAAGGAUAAACAAAUAGAACGCAUUGACAAAUUGACAUCAAAUUAAAUUGAUCCAAAGAAAUUGAGAUGCUCAAAUUUGAUUACGUACACAUUAAUUUUCAAAUAAUUAAUCCACACAUUGUUUUAUUCUUCAAACAUCUUUAAACACAGGAGCCAACACUUUCACUCUUAUAUAUUACUGCCAUAGUAACUUGAACUUGGUGAUCAGCUUUUUAAUUGAUUUGCAGUAGCUCACAAUUAAUUAAGCUUGAUCAUCAGUAGCUAUUAUUGAUCAUAAAAAUAUUUGUUUAAUUUACAAUCUAAAGUUACGCUCCAUACUCUAUAUAUGUGAAUUAUAUAUUUGCAUCAUCAACAUUAACAUUAUAAAAUAAUCUGUGCAAUAGGAUGCUCUUGGAGUAUUUUAUUUUCAUCACAAAAUAUAUUAAAAUUAUAUUAGUCAGAGAAUAUAUCUAACACUUUCUAAACACUAAUAUAUAAUAGUUUCUACAAAAUUAUGAAAUAUUUGUACUAAAAUACCAAAAUAUAAAUAUAUAUAACCUAAUUGGAAUCAAUAAUCAAACUUCAAACAUGUCAUACUCUAAAGAAAUUAAAGCAUGAUAGUCUGUGUGUUUGACAUAUUCAACUAAAUGUUUGAUGAGAAUCUGUGAUUGUUAACAGCCAAUAAUGGUUUCUUUAGCAACUCAACUCAACUCAGCAAAACCGCAACCAAUUACAUUUACCAACUCAACUCUUCGCUUCCCCAAUUUCCAACAUUCUCUUCACAUUUACAAAUGGUAGGUGGUCCUAUAAAUCCCAUUCAAGAAUGAACAAUUUUUUUCAGUUCCUAGUAGGUGAAGUUUCUUCCACAUUUACAGAAAUUUCGACAGCAUCUCCCCAUAGUUCUCCAAGUACACGACCUAGAUUUAUGCAUUCAUCUAGUAUGUACCCAGAGAACAUGAGGAGCAGCUAUCGAAAUUUCCUUUUACGUGAAACAAAACUUCACCUACUUGGAACUAAAAAAAAUUAUGCAUUCCCAAACUGUCCAAGUUGGGACAAUUCAAGAAUUAUUAAUAGACAUAUCAUCCUCUUGUCAUCCUAAGAUGACACUGAUAAAACAUGUGUCUACUAAUAAUUCUUAAACGGGUCUUAGCUUUCAAAGCAUGCAUUGAAAAAAAAAACGUAAAUCAAUAUAUAUAUAUAUAUAUAUAUAUAGUUGAGUUUAUUAACAUUACCUAGGUUUGGCGGAGAAAAUAUGAAGAAGAAGAAGUAGUUUGGGCAAAAAUCAAAGGGUUUUGAUUUUCAUUAUUGAUCAAUUGAAAUAGUAGAGUAGUGGACCUUCUCAGCUAGUUCCAUGGAUGUUAAUAAAUCUAAAAUUUGUUAGCACUUAACAUUUGCUAAAGAAACCGUCUUAAGUUUCAAUUCUUUAAAUUAAUGUUAAUUAGAUUUGACAUUGAAGAUUAAUUAUUCACUAAGGCUUAUCAUAUUUUAAAAAAACGAAUAUAAAAGGUUGCAUAUUAAAUAUGGGAUUAUGCAAUUAAAAUUAAACCCUAGUAAUGGCAUUGGUGAGGGAAGAUGAAAGAAUUCCUUCCUAUAUUAAUUAGUUGAUAUAUUUUAAGCCACUAAAGUUUAAUUGUUGGCUUAAUAAAAUAAAUGAAUGUUUCAAGACUUAUAAUUAAUUAUUAUUAAUGGUUAUAUAUUGUUGAAUUUAAAUAGAAAUAGGAAAAGACAUGUAAUCUUUUGUAAUCUAAUAAUCAUUUUCUAUUUAUUUUCUAUUUUUAAUAUUUUGUAAUGUAAUUAUUUUUUAAUUUAAGCUAAUAUAUUAGAUAUUAGAGAAUAUAAAGAGAUGAGAAAUAAUGAUGUCACAAAUCUUAAAUACUUAAUAUUUAUAGAAUUUGAAGAAGCCAAAAAGCACUAAACAAAAGGUUGAAUAAUUAAAUAUGAAAUUAUGACAUUAAAAUUAGGCCCUAGUGGCAUUGUUGAGGGAAGAUGAAGGAACCUUCCUUUCUAUAUUAAUUAAUUGAUGCUUUUUAAAGCCAUUAAAGUUUAAUUAUUGGCAUAAUAAAAUAAAUGAAUGUUUCAAGACUUGUUGAAUUUAAAUAGGAAGAGGAAAAGACAUGUAAUCUUUUGUAACCUAAUAAUUAUAUUCUAUUUUUACUAUUUUAUAAUGUAAUUAUGUUUUAAUCUCAACUAAUAUACUAGAUAAUAAAGAAUAUAAGAAGAUGUAAAAUAGUGAUGCCACAUCACCUCUUGUAGUCAAGGCUUAUAAUUAAUUAAGAGACAUGGAUAGGGAUGGCAAUUUCCGGGUCCGGGUCCGGGUCCGGGUUUGGCUGUUCCGGAUCCGGACCCGGACAUCAAAUUCUCAUAACCGGACCCGCAUUAAACCCGGAUUUUUUAAAUCCGGAUCCGGUCCGGGUUCAACCCGGAAAAAUCCGGGUUUCCGGAUUCCGGGUUUGGAACCCGGAUUGCUUUAUUAUUAUUUUUUUUAGAGACCAUAUGGCUUACUUUAACAAGGCACAGGGGAUGGUGGUUUAAUGUUUUAAUGUUUUCCCCAACAACACAUUACAGAAUACUUCCUAGAAUUGGUUCAAUAAAAUUUGAUGGAUAUUGUUGUUGAGUUCGAAUUUUCCGUCUCUUUUGGUGGAGGUUUCACAUAUUUUCCUAUUACUUUUUGGCAUCUCUUUCUCUUUUGUCUGGUUUGUUUGUCUUUACUUUGCUGCUUCCUUUUCUCCUUUAGCUUAUUCCGAAGAUGCCUUUCUUUCUCAAAUACACCUUGCCAAACGACCUCACCUGUUGACGGCCAUAACCACCGUCUUCUAGGGUGAUCAGAAUCUGCCUCCUCGGCCAUGUCCUCAUCCAUGCUUUUUAAAGUGCUGUAUGAGAACCAUCUGACCCACAUUUGACCUCUCCGACUCUUAAAGUGCCACGCCGCGAAGGAUCUGAUCUGAUCUGAAGAAGAGAUUACAGGAGAGUUGCAGAGAGAGUGAGAGAUUAAGUGACGACGGAGGACUGAGGUGAGGAAUGAGUCACGGCUCACGGGUGAUUUUCCUUGAGAGAGGAACGGAUUACGGUUUACGAAUGAGACUUGAGAGAUUGAAAGGAGAAAUUAUAGAUUUACAGUAAUUUUUAGGUUGAAGGAGAAAUUUCGAGAGAGGAUCAGACGAACGAGACGAGAGAGAUCUAGAUUCUAGGGUUCACUUUUGUUUUUGUUUUUUUUUUAAUUUUUCUAUUUAUAUUUACGGAUUUACGGAUCAAAAUUAAUAUUAAAAUAAAUAAUAUCCGGGUCCGGGUUCCGGGUUUGCGGGUUCAUCUGAAACCGGAUCCGGACCGGAAAAAUGCGGGUUGUCAAAAACUGAUCCGGAUUCCGGAUAAAAACUAUGCCGGUGCGGGUUGAACCCGGACCGGAUUUUCCGGGUUCAAUCCGGGUCCGAUCCGGGUCCGGGUUUGGUUGCCAUCCCUAGACAUGGAUGAAACUAAUGUUAUUUAAGUAACACAUAGUUGAUUUAUAAGCUUAAUGUGUCAAAAUUGUUUAAACCUUUCCAAGAUUAACUAUUGUUUUCUUAUUAUUUCUUUUAUCUAGGUUUAAAUUUUAGGAGAAAUUUGUCAAUUUUCAAUUAUUGGGUGAUAUUGGUAUGCAAAUGAUGUGUUUUAUAGCAAUUUGAAUCUUUCUCAUCUUCAAGACUAUCAUUAGUCGAUAAUGUUGCUAUUACCUCAGGCUCUCGUGAGUCUAAACAUUUUCUAAUUAAUUGAAAAUGAUAUAAUGAUUAAUUAAUUGUUGAUAAUAAAACCAAUUUAAUACGACGUCUCCCCAUUUCUUUCUUUAUUUCUUUUAAACCUCAAUCAUUGUCAAAACCGUUAAUGGGUUGCAAUUAAACACUUAACAAAUCUUAAACUUGUUGUUAGCAAUUAACAUUUGCUAAAGGAAUCGUCUUAAGUUUCAAUUCUUUAAAUUAAUGUUAAUUAGAUUUAAGACGAAAAUUAAUUAUUCACUAAGACUUAUCUAUAAAUAAAAAGUAGAUACAAAUGUUGUAUAAUUAAAUAUGAGAUUAUGACACUAAAAUUAGGCCUUGGUAGUGGCAUUGUUGAGGGAAGAUAAAAGAACCUUCAUUCCUAUUUUAAUUAAAUUAUAUGUUAUGACGUGAAAAAAUAAACAAUCCAUUUUUGUAUUUUGUAGUUUGUGAAGAUUUGAAACAAUGUGCUUUCUUUUCAGAGUGAUAACAAUUGGAUCCAUUGCUUUUUCCUUUUAAUGUUUUAUAAACAUAUAUUGUCUAUUUGCAUCAAAUAAGUCCCAAUCUCUUUUACAAUCACUAAUAAAACACCUUUCAAUUAUUAAACUAUAAAUAUGUGUCAUUCAAAAUUAUGAUGGAAGAUAGAGAAUUUAGGGUGGGUUUCUUCACUGAAGAGUUAAAAAAAAUUGAAAUUUAAAAUUUUUCAAUAAAUACAAAUAUAAGAUGAAUAGUUUCAUUUGUUCAAUAGACUAAUCAUAUUAAAAUAAUGUUAGUAAGGAAAAUAAUUUAAAAAAUAUUCUUAAUUAAAAUAAUUUAAAAAAUGUAAAUUACCUCUCUCACCUCAUUUUUUAAGCAAAAAUAAAAAUAACUUGAAGUUUUAAAAAAUAAUUGAAGUAAUUUAAAAAUAAUCAAUUUGGAAUAAUUCAAAAUUUACCCAAGAGAUUAUUCACAAUAUCAAUCAAUGAAUUAGAAACAUUAAAUGGUAUAACAUAUAACUAUUAUUUUUAACUUAUUGAUCUCAAUCUUGAGCGUUCGGAUUAGAUCUUUGGGGUUUCAUUUUUUAGAUUUCAGUGAUUGAAAGUAUGAAACUCAAAGUAACAAAAAUUAAAUUUAUAUUUUAUCGCAAGUGAAGUGUAGGGAUUAAUCCAAUUAUUUGCGUCUAGCGUUUCUUUUUGUUGCUAUCACUCUUGUUGAUGAUGAUAAGCCUUUUUUUUUUUGCAUUGUCACUACCAAUUUAUUAUCUACAUUCAUCUAUAGAACGAAGCAAGAUGCCAAGAAAGAAAUAUAACACAAGAAAAAUAAGUUAUCCCAAUCGUUCAAAACAAAUACAUACAUAGCCAGAAAAAUAAGACAUAUCAUAUCACACUUAAAUAUUACCACUCUAAAAAGAAAAAAAGGUCAAAAGACUAACACACAUGUAAAAAGAUGACCAACAACAACACUAAACAUGUUUUGUGUAUUGAUUACUUCCACCAUCACUAACUUCAUCAUCAUCAAUAAUUUGGUUUUUUCUCUUUCUAUUCUUACUGGCAUUAGUAACAUGAAAAUCUCCCACAGAAUCUUCCAAAUUAUUUGAUAAGAUAUCAUGAGGAUCCUGUAAUUUUUUAAUCAAGGAAAUUAAAAUUAUGAGUAAACUGAACAUGCUAAUUUUAAUCAUAAAGGAAAACAACUGGGAAAUAAGAGUAAAUAAAAUUACCAUUUCUUGGGAAUGUUCUUCCUUUCUUUCAUAUAUUUCCACAUUUUCAUGAUCUGUAUUGUUUUUUUUCCUACAAAAAACAACAAUUAAAUAAUUUUUUUAACAUUACAUAUAUUGCCUACAAAUUGAACCUAGCACAGGUAGAUAAUACCUUCUUCAAUUCUUGUUCGAGCUCCAAUUUCUCAUCAGGGGUGAAAAGCUUUGACACAGUAAAAUUCUCAAGUCCCUCUUUCAAAUUGUAAUCAUUCAAUUUCAGUUUGUAAUCAUUCAAUUUCAGUUUGUAAUCAUUCAAUUUCAGUUUGUAAACAAAAUCUUUUCCACAAAGGCUUUGAAUUUCUGCAGGGACAUCCUUACUAUAUAAAGGUAGUCUAUUAAACAACUUGUGGGCUGAUGUAUCAAGUAACUUCUCAGCUACAUGAUUGAAUAAGACAAAAGUUGUCUCUGCCGUUUUAUCCAUGACUUUUAUAUGUAUUUUGUACCUACAUUAGAAUAAUGAAUUAGAAUGAAAAACUAACAACAUAAUGAGCAAUUUUUUUUAAAAAUAAUAUUAUUUUUCUUACAUCACAAGAGGAUAGUCACAUUCCUUUUUGCAAGUGCCACACAUAUAAAUACCAUUUGUAGGUAUGACCUUUUUUAUGCAUGUUUUGCACGAAACAUAGUACCAUCCAAAGGAGUUGUCUAUUUCACUAAUCUUGCCCCGCACAGUAACAAUAUAUUCCUACAAUUAAACAAUAAACAUUUAAAAAAAUAAUAAGGACAUUCCAAUAUUUAGGAACAAAUAACACAAAUGGAUGAGCAGGAAAAAAAUAGAAAAAUCACCUUCACUUGAGAACUCCAAUCAGCCUCCAAUAGUUCUUUAAUGCUCAUCCUGUUAAGGAACAUCUCUUCCUCAAAAGUAAUCUUAUUCACAUUCGAACUUUCAAUAACUUGCACAACGUUGGAGACGGUGGAAAAUCUUUCAAUUAAUGAUGCUACAUAAUCUAUUUGAAGAUUUAUAUAGAUUUUUCUUGCACUUGUGGUAGAGAAAUUAACCUCACCUGUUUAGAGCAAAUGUAACGUAAAACGAAACUUGAACAAAAUCUAAAUUUGUGUAUAAUAUUAAAAUAGCCACAUUGCAUUUGAAAAUGUUAAUUAGUGGGAUCUAAAUAAAAUAAUCACCUUGGAAUUUUUUAAUGGUUGUAGAAGUUACUAUCACAAUACAAGGACCCUCGUCUUUCUUGUACAAAUUUGAAUCAAACAUCUCCCCUAACUUUCCCCAUAAAGUAAUCUUCAUUGUUACUGAACUAUCCAUAAAAAUUAACAAAAAUUAAUAAUGUAAAGAGAACCAAUAACUAAAAAAUAACAUAAAUAACUAAAAAAAUAUAAAGUCAUAGUUUUCUUGAUUAUAUUCAACUUACUAAUCCAUUAGAAUUUUUAUAUCUCUUUUUUUCCAACCAGCUCCAACGAUCUCAAUAUCACCCACACCACAUAAACUUCCAAUAACAUCUGUAAUAUUAUGGAAAAAUAACAUAAACAUGUUAAAACAUAAGGAUUAAUAAUUUCUAAUAUACACUUAAAGAUUAACAAACAUUAAUAAUUAAAAAAAUACCUGAGAGGAUUGUGUUAUCAUUCACACGUAAAUCAAUCAAAUUCGAAGAUACGAAUUGAAAUCCAUUAAUCGGAAUCUUGACAGUUCCUUCUUCUAACCUCUUAAGAGAAGUUAUACCAAGAAAAUAAUCUUAUACUGAUUUGAAAGUGGUCUGUACUCGCCUGUAGUUGAAACAACUUUCAAAUUCUUGACAUUGUACAAAGAACCCUCACUCAACAUGUGCUUAAACCUUGUCACUAAGGUUUUCCUGAUUGUUGCAUGCAUUAGAUUUUCCUACGAAAAAAAAAAAACACAUACUACAUUCAGUGUGAAACAAUUGGGAAAAAAAAUUAGAGAAAACAAUGGGAGAAUAAAUUUUUUAUACAACCUUUUCAUCAAUAAAAAUCAUAUCAACACUAAUCAAUUCUCCAUUUUUUUUAGUAUUAGUAGACUCCCACAUCCUACAAAGCCUAACCCUUAUCAUCCAACUAUCUUUAUCAUUGUUCAACUCAUGAAGAAAAGAGUACUCCAUGAAGCACACAAUAUCAAAAAUUCAAAUAAAUCAAACAAUAAAAAUAUAAGUAUUUUUCUAAAGAGGGCGUUGAUUAAAUAAAUAAAAAAACCCUAAACAUAACAAAUCUUAAAUAUUUAGUGUUUAGAGAGCUUGAAGAAGCCAAAAGGCACUAAACAAAAGGUUGCAUAAUUAAAUAUGAGAUAAUGUCAUUAAAAUUAGGAUCUAGUGGCAUUGUUGAGGGAAGAUGAAAGAACCUCUCUUCCUAUGUUAAUUUAUUGAUUAUUUUAAGCCACUAAAGUUUAAUUGCUAGCAUAAUAAAAUUUGAAGGAGCCAAAAGACACUCAACAAAAGGUUCCAUAAUUAAAUAUAUGAUUAUGACAUUGAAAUUAGGCUCUAGUGGCAUUAUUGAGGGAAGAUGAAAGAACCUCUCUUCCUAUAUUAAUAAAUUCAUGUAUUUUAAGCCACUAAAGUUUAAUUGCUAGCAUAAUAAAAUAAAUGAAUGCUUCAAAAUACUUAUAAUUAAUUAUUAUUAAUGGUUACAUAUUGUUGGAUUUAAAUAGAAAGAGGAAGAAACAUGUACAAAGAAUAUCCACUAAUAUUUUAGAUAUUUUAGAUAAUAGAAAAUAUAAAACGAUGAGGUUGAGAGAAUGUGAAAGAACCUCUCUUCCUAUGUUAAUUAGUUGAUGUAUUUUAAGGCACUAAAGUUUAAUUGCUAGCAUAAUAAAAUUUAAAGAAGCCAAAAGGCACUCAACAAAAGGUUGCAUAAUUAAAUAUGAGAUUAUGGCAUUAAAAUUAGGCCCUAGUGGCAUUGUUGAGGGAAGAUGAAAGAACCUCUCUUCCUAUAUUAAUAAAUUCAUGUAUUUUAAGCCACUAAAGUUUAAUUGCUAGCAUAAUAAAAUAAAUGAAUGCUUCAAAAUACUUAUAAUUAAUUAUUAUUAAUGGUUACAUAUUGUUGGAUUUAAAUAAAAAGAGGAAGAAACAUGUACAAAGAAUAUCCACUAAUAUUUUAGAUAUUUUAGAUAAUAGAAAAUAUAAAACGAUGAGGUUGAGAGAAUGUGAAAGAACCUCUCUUCCUAUGUUAAUUAGUUGAUGUAUUUUAAGGCACUAAAGUUUAAUUGCUAGCAUAAUAAAAUUUAAAGAAGCCAAAAGGCACUCAACAAAAGGUUGCAUAAUUAAAUAUGAGAUUAUGGCAUUAAAAUUAGGCCCUAGUGGCAUUGUUGAGGGAAGAUGAAAGAACCUCUCUUCCUAUGUUAAUAAAUUCAUGUAUUUUAAGCCACUAAAGUUUAAUUGCUAGCAUAAUAAAACAAAUGAAUGUUUCAAAAGACUUAUAAUUAAUUAUUAUUAAUGGUUACAUAUUGUUGGAUUUAAAUAGAAAGAGGAAGAAAUAUGUACAAAGAAUAUUCAUCAAUAUUUUAGAUAUUUUAGAUAAUAGAGAAUAUAAAAAGAUGAGGUUGAGGGAAGAUGAAAUAACCUCUCUUCCUAUGUUAAUUAGGUGAUGUAUUUUAAGGCACUAAAGUUUAAUUGAUAGCAUAAUAAAUUUUGAAGAAGCCAAAAGACACUCAACAAAAUGUUGCAUAAUUAAAUAUGAGAUUAUGGCAUUAAAAUUAGGCUUUAGUGGCAUUGUUGAGGAAAAAUGAAAGAACCUCUCUUCCUAUGUUAAUUAAUUCAUGUAUUUUAUGCCACUAAAGUUUAAUUGCUAGCAUAAUAAAAGAAAUAAAUGUUUCAAAAGACUUAUAAUUAAUUAUUAUUAUUAAUUACAUAUUGUUAAAUUUAAAUAGAAAGAGAAAAAAAGUACAAAGAAUAUCCACAAUAUUUUAGAUAUUUUAGAUAAUAGAAAAUAUAAAAAGAUGAGGAAUGAUAUAUAUUAAUAAAGUUACUAUCUAUUAAAUGAGUUAAAUACAAUCAAAUUAAUUAUGAGAAGAUGAAAAGCCAAAUUUAAAAAAAAAAUAUCUAUUUAUUAGAUAAUAGAGAAUAUACAAAGAAGCAAAAUGGUGAUGCCACAUCAUCUCCUCAAGUCCUAGCUUUAUAUAGAUACUAGGAAAUAGAACCGCACUUUGUGCGGCUUUAAAAAAAGAAUUUAGUAUUAUUUUUUUUAUUACUUUACACUUGAUAAAACUGAUAAAAAAAUAUGAAUUGAUUUUCUUUUAAAGAUGACGCAGCCUUAUAAAACUAAUGUUAUUUAUGAAAGUUAAUUAUUUUUUUGUUAACUUUAAAAAUAUAUAUUAAUGUGUAUAGUUAAAUGUAAACAACCUUUUCAUCAAUAAAAAUUAUGUUCACACUAAUCAACUCUCAAUUCUUCUUGGUAUUAACAGACUCCUACAUUUUACAAAGUCUAACCCUUAUUAUCCAACUAUCUUUAUCAUUGUUUAACUCAUGAAGAAAAGAAUACUCUAUGAAGCACACAAUACAAAAAAAUUAAAUAAGUCAAAAAAUAAAAACACAAGAACAUUUCUAAAGAGGAUGUUGGUUAAAUUAAAAAAAAAUCCAAACAUAACAAAUCUUAAAUACUUAAUAUUUAUAUAGUUUGAAGAAGCCAAAAGACACUAAAUAAAGGUUGCAUAAUUAAAUAUGAAAUUAUGACAUUGAAAUUAGGUCCUAGUGGUAUUGGUGAGGGAAGAUGAAAGAACCUUCCUUCCUAUAUUAAUUAGUUGAUGUAUUUUAAACCACUAAAGUUUAGUUGUUGGCUUAAUAAAAUAAAUGAAUGUUUCAAAACUAUAAUUAAUUUAUUAUUAAUGGUUACAUAUUGUUGAAUUUAAAUAGAAAGAAGAAGAGACAUGUAAUCUUUUAUAAUCUACUAAUUAAUUUCUAUUUUUAAUAUUUUGUAAUAUAAUUAUUUUUUAAUCUCAACCAAUAUAUUAGAUUAUAGAGAAUAUAAAAAGAUGAGAAAUAAUAAUGGCACAAAUCUUAACUACUUAAUAUUUAUAGAGUUUGAAGAAACCAAAAGGCACUAAACAAAAUGUUACAUAUUAAAUAUGAGAUUAUAGCAUUAAAAUUAGACCCUAAUGGUAUUAUUGAGGGAAGAUGAAAGAACAUUCCUUCCUAUAUUAAUUAAUUGAUAUAUUUAAGCCACUAAAGUUUAAUUAUUGGCAUAAUAAAAUAAAUUAAUGUUUGAAAAUUUAUAAUUAAUUAUUAUUAAUGGUUACAUAUUAUUGAAUUUAAAUAGAAAGAGGAAGAGACAUAAUCUUUUAUAAUCUAAUAAUUAUUUUUUUAUUUUUAAUAUUUUGUAAUGUAAUUAUUUUUUUUAUAUCAACUAAUUUAUUAGAUAAUAGAGAAUACAAGAAGAUGAGAAAUAGUGAUGCCACAUCACCUCCUCUAGUCCCAACUUUAUAUAUAUAUAUAUCAACUAUAUAUAUAUAUAUAGAUAUAGAUUUUUAAUAUUUUGUAAUGUAAUUAGUUUUUAAUCUCAACCAAUAUAUUAGAUAAUAGAGAAUAUAAAAAGAUAAGAAAUAAUGAUGCCACAAAUCUUAAAUAUUUAAUGUUUAUGGAGUUUGAAGAAGCCAAAAUACACUAAACAAAAGAUUGAAUAAUUAAAUAUGGGAUUAUGACAUUAAAAUUAGGCUCUAAUAGCAUUGUUGAGGGAAGAUGAAGGAACAUUCCUUCAUAUAUUAAUAUUAAUUAAUUGAUGUAUUUUAAGCCACUAAAGUUUAAUUGUUGGCAUAAUAAAAUAAAUUAAUGUUUGAAGACUUAUAAUUAAUUAUUAUUAAUGGUUACAUAUUGUUGAAUUUAAAUAGAAAGAGGAAAAGACAUGUAAUCAUUUAUAAUCUAAUAAUUAUUUUCUAUUUUAAUAUUUUGUAAUGUAAUUAUUUUUUUAAUUUCAACCAAUUUAUUAGAUAAUAGAGAAUAUGAGAUGAAGAGAAAUGGUGAUGCCACAUCACCUCCUCAAGUCCUACCUUUAUAUAUAUACUAGAAAAUAGAACCGCGUUUCACGCGGCUUUGAAAAAGAAUUUAGCAUUAUCCUUUUUUCUUACUUUACACUUGAUAAAACUGAUAAAAAAUAUGAAUUGAUUUUUUUUUUUAAGAUGAGGCAGUCUUAUAAAAAAAUAAAAAAAGUUAUUAACCAGUAAUACAAAUAAAGAAGCAACGCAAGAUAAAGAAUAAAAUGAGAGAAUAUUGUAUAAUGAUUUUAUUCAUUACAAUUGUGUGUGUACAAAACAAAAAGAUGAGCUCUCCUUUGAUAGUUACAUAAUCACUCCAUGAAAUUAAUGAAAAAUUAUGGAUCAUAAUUCCUUGUGAGAUAGUGGGAGUUAUAGGGAAGCUAAAGGUUGCUAAUGAGAGAUAGUGGGGAGACUAAGAGAUAUAUGUUAUGAACAUCUACAUUUAUUUUAAUAAAUUCAUAACACUCCUCCUUGAAUGUUUAUUACAAAGAAUAUGUCUCAUUAAAAUCUUUACAUAAUUGUUAUUGUGUAAUAACAAUCAAAUUAAUUAUGAGAAGAUGAAAAAUCAAAUAUAAAAGAAAAUUUCUCUAUUUAUUAGAUAAUAGAGAAUAUACAAAGAUGAGAAAUGAUGAUACCACAUCACCUUCUCAAGUCCCAGCUUUAUAUAUAUAUAUAGAUAUAUAGAUAGAUAGAUAGAUAGAUUAAUUCAUGUAUUUUAUGCCACUAAAGUUUAAUUGCUAGCAUAAUAAAAUAAAUAAAUGUUUCAAAAGACUUAUAAUUAAUUAUUAUUAAUGAUUACAUAUUGUUGAAUUUAAAUAGAAAGAGAAAAAAAAGUACAAAGAAUAUCCACCAAUAGUUUAGAUAUUUUAUAUAAUAAAAAAUAUAAAAAGAUGAGGAAUGAUAUAUAUUAAUAAAGUUACUAUUUAUUAAAUGAGUUAAAUACAAUCAAAUUAAUUAUGAGAAGAUGAAAAGGCAAAUCUAAAAAACAAAAAUCUCUAUUUAUUAGAUAAUAGAGAAUAUAUAAAGAAGCAAAAUGGUGAUGCCACAUCACCUCCUCAAGUCCUAGCUUUAUAUAUAUAUAUAGAUAUAGAUAUAGAUAUAGAUAUUUUGUCCUAAUUAACUUAAAGAUUUUGAAUCUAAUAUUUUAUAAUAAAUAAAAAUAUAUUCCUAAAAUAAAUAUAAUAUCAAUAUUUAAAAUAUGUUUUAAUAUUUUACAAUCUAUCAUACACAUUUUAUUAUAGUAAAGUAGAUUUUAUAAUAAAUAUAUAAAAAAUUUAGAAUAUGUAGAAUAUUAUAUAAAAUAAUUUUAAUAUAAUGUGUGAGAUAUAUUUUAUUAAUUUAAAAUGUCAUUUUACCUAAAAAAUAUGAUAAAUUAAUAAUUACAUAUUUGAAGUUACUUCAAAUAUUAAAAAAAAUUAAUAUUAUUAAUCUUUUAGAUAGAUUAAAUUAUUUUUUAUAAGAGAGAUUAAAUUAUUUUAAAAUGCCUUAAUUGUUUUUACUUUUAACGUUACCGGCCUUUCUUUUAUUUUAUUGCAAAUUAAUACUAAUAAGAAAAAGCUAGAUCAUAUUCCACAAAAGCAAAUGUGACAAACACAACCAGCUGGAAUCUUUUAAUUACUAUUCAAUAAUUCGAGACGAUUAGGGUCUUUUAUUAAACUACAAUCCUCAAUAAUUGUUUUAAAUUGGUGGCACCUACAAUCCUCAAUAAUUGUACCGAUAUUCACAAGUUCGUGGCCCCUACAAUUCUGUUCGCAAGUGCUCAUUCACAGUCUUCCAGGCCCCUACAAUUCUGUUCCGAUAAUUUAACUGUGCAAGUGCUUAAUAAUUGUUUUGUUUUUUUCUGCAUUCCCUUUCAUGCUCUUAAUAAUUGAAGAGCAUACUUUUCAAAUGUGGAGCCGCAGCUAAUGUCGUUAAUUUAAUUUGGGAUUAAAUUAGGGGACCAUUAUAUUGCAGUGUGCACUAAUUUUUGUGUUUAUCUAAACUCCUUAAAUUUAAGACAUAUUACGGCAUAAAUAAGAAUAUAACAAUAACAAAAGAGUUAGAAAGUGUAGAGAAGAUCUUGCAGAAAUAUAAAUAAUAUCAAUUUUAAAAUAAUUUUUAAUAUUUUAUGAUCCAUUAAAUAUAUUUUAUUAUAUUAAAAUAAAUUUUAUAAUAAAUAAAAACAUCCUAUUAAAAUGAAUAUAUAGAAAAUUUAGAGUAUUUUAAGUAUUAUAUAAAAUAAAUUUAAUAAAAUAUGUGAGAUAUUCAUAGUUUAUUAAUUUAAAAUACCAUUUUAAAAUUAAAGAUUUAUUUAUGAUAAAUUAAUAAUUAUAUUUUUGAAAUUACUUCAAAUAUUAAAAAAUUAAUAUUACUAAUCUAUUAGAUAGAUUAAAUUAUAUAUAUUAUUUUCUAUUUAUUAAAAAAUUAAAAUUAUUUUUAAUUACUAUUCAAAAAAUAUAAUGAUAAAAAAAAUCUUAACAUCUUUAUUAAAAAUUUAAAAAUUUACGUGAUCAAUUCUCUAAAUAUUUAGGGUAUAUGUGAACCACGGUGGAGAAGCUUUAUUUAAUAUUAUUGAUUUAAAUAAUAUGUCAAUUAAAAAUGUGCGGAGAAGAAAUUUCGGUGGAUAUUUUAGUCUUUUCAGCAAUUAUCAUGAUCAGAUCUAGGGAUGGCAAUGGAGAGGGGAGGGGAGGGGACCGAUCUCCCCGUACCCAUCCCCGAUAUUUUGCGUAUGUCCCCGUCCCCUCCCCGUCCCCAUCAGAAUUACUUGAGAGAAUCACCAUCCCCUCCCCGAAUAAUAACAGGGGAUCCCCGAUGGUCCCCGAUCCCCGAAUAACUAAUACAUUUUUUUUCAAUUUUGAGUUAAUCAUAUUAAAAUAAAAAAUUCAAAUAAAAAUAAAGUUCGAAAUAUAUCUUACAUUAAUAUCUAUUACAAAAGUCACAUACAUUAAAUUAGUAAGUAACGCAACAUGCAAGGAAUACAAACUUCUUUUACAAACUAUCAUGAACAAAUUAAUAGUUUAAUACAAAAUUGUUACAAAUAAAAUCGAAUUUAGAUUCAAAAUUAACUUUUUCAAUGGUGGCGUGGGCACUUUAUAAAUGUGGAUUAUUCCCUUUACAACACAAUAGUUAAAUCGGAGCAAAUCAAAAGUAAAUAUUAGAUUGGAUUAGAUUAGAUUAGAUUAGAUUAGAUUAGAUAUUAAAAUUGUGAUUCGCUGUGGACAAUUAUAACAUCUAAAAAUAAAUAAAAAAUAGAUUUAAGUUUAAAAUAUUUAAAGAAUAUUAAAAUUAAAAAAAAAUGUUUGGCUAAUAGAAUCUACUUGGUCUUUUUAAUGUCGUAAAUAAAAAUUUAAGACUUUAAUUAGUUAAUUAGGCCUAAAAAUUUAAUAAUAUAAAUAUUUUGAUAUUUUUUAUUUUUACCAAUAUUUAUAAGUGGAUUCUUUUACUAAACUAUAAAUUAAAAGUGGAUUCUUUUGAAUACAAGUGGGACAGACGAUUAGGCUCUUUUUAUUAAACGCAAGUAAAAAGUAGUCGAAUAGUCUUUUUCAAAUUAUUGUUUUAUUAUUUUUCCUUCAAAAGUUAGCGUGGCUCAUGUUUGCAGGUGCGAAUGUGCGAUGCUCUUUUUUUAAAGGCAAUUACAGUGGGUCCCGAAUCAUUACUAAAAUUUCUCUUCCUCAGCCCACCGCAGCUUCAGUUAAUCAAACUCAAUCAAUUUUCUUUCUUAACAAAAUUCUAAAGAUGUGUAGCAUUUUUCAGAUCACAUGCGAUGGUGCUUUUUUCAAUCGUUGCUUGGAUUGCUUUCUUGGAAAAGCAGCAUACAUACGUAACCUCCAAGAUAAUCUUGAUGCCUUGGAGACUGAAUUGGGAAAUCUGAUCGCUAGAAAGAACGAUGUGAUGAGGAGGGUUGUCGAUGCUGAACGGCAACAAAUGAGAAGGCUGGACGGAGUGCAAGUGUGGGUUUCGAGGGUGGAUUCUGUUAAAACUGAAGCCGAUGAACUUAUCACAGACGGCUCUCGAGAAAUUGAAAAAUUAUGUGUUGGAGGCUACUGUUCCAAGAACUGCAGGUCAAGCUACAAAUUCGGGAAAAAAGUGGCUAAAAAGCUACGGGAUGCGCGGACUUUAAUCAGUGAAGGAGUUUUUGAGGUGGUGGCUGACAGAGCUCCAGAGUCUGUAGCAGAUGAAAGACCUACUGAGCGAACAGUAGUAGGCUUGCAAUCACAACUUGAACAAGUCUGGAGAUGUCUUGUAGAAGAAUCAGCGGGAAUCAUUGGCCUAUAUGGUAUGGGCGGUGUUGGUAAAACUACACUACUGACCCAUAUCAACAACAAAUUUCUCGAGAGUCCAACCAACUUUGAUUGUGUGAUUUGGGUUGUAGUUUCAAAAGACCUGCGACUCGAAAAAAUUCAAGAAGAUAUUGGGAAAAAGAUAGGUUUGGUUGGUGAUUCAUGGAAGAGUAAAAGUGUAGAGGAGAAAGCUGUCGACAUCUUCCGGAGUUUAAGAGAGAAGAGAUUUGUAUUGUUGUUAGAUGAUAUAUGGGAGCGGGUUGAUUUAACAAACGUGGGCGUUCCACUUCCCGGACCAAAAAAUACUACCUCAAAAGUCGUAUUCACAACCCGUUUCAUCGAUGUUUGUGGUAGCAUGGAAGUUGACAGGAAGUUUCAAGUAGCAUGCUUAUCAGAAAAGGAUGCUUGGGAACUGUUUCGAGAAAAAGUUGGGGAAGAAACUCUUGAGAGUCAUCAUGAUAUCGAUGAGCUAGCCCAAAUUGUGGUCAAAGAGUGUGGUGGUUUGCCACUCGCACUUAUUACUAUUGGUCGAGCUAUGGCCUACAGAAAGAAAGCGGAGCAGUGGAGACGUGCAAUUGAAGAGUUAAGGAGAUCAGCUUCAGAGUUUGCAGGUUUGGGAAAAGAGGUGUAUCCUCUUUUAAAAUUCAGCUACGAUAGUUUGCAGAAUGAUAGUUUGCAGAAUGAUACGGUUAGAUCUUGUUUCUUGUACUGUUGUUUAUAUCCUGAAGAUUAUGUCAUUCCUAAAUGGGACUUGAUUGAUUGUUGGAUUGGUGAGGGAUUUUUUGGGGAAUCUGACAGGUCUGGUGCAGAAAACCAAGGAUAUGACAUUUUGGACACUCUUGUUCGUGCAUGUUUAUUAGAAGAGGUGGAAGAUGAUAAAGUAAAAAUGCAUGACGUUAUUCGUGAUAUGGCUAUAUGGAUAACUUGUGAAAUUGAGAAGGAGAAUAGAAAAUUUUUGGUUUGUGCAGGUGCUGGAUUAAAAGAGGCACCGGGUGUUAAAGGAUGGGAAAAUGUGAGAAGAUUGUCAUUGAUGCAAAACCAAAUUGAAACUCUGUCAGAGGUUCCCACAUGCCCUCAUCUCCUCACUUUAUUUCUUGACUUUAAUUAUAAUUUGAGGAUGAUCGCGGAUGGCUUCUUCCAACUUAUGCCUUCUCUCAAAGUUUUGAAGAUGUCACUCUGCCGGAAUUUAACUUUGAAAUUACCUUUGGGGAUGUCAAAGUUAGGUUCACUGGAACUUCUCGAUAUUUCAUAUACCUACAUACAAGAGUUACCACAAGAGUUAAAGUUGUUGGUAAAUCUGAAAUGUUUGAAUUUGAGGUGUACACACAGGUUAAAUAAAAUUCCACGGCAACUAAUAUCAAAUUAUUCAAGGUUACGUGUGUUGAGAAUGUUCGCUAGUGGCUGGUUCAAUUUUCAUGAAGCAUCAGAAGAAAGCGUUUUAUUUGGUGGGGGUAAAGUUUUGAUACAGGAAUUGCUCGGUUUGAAAUAUUUAGAGGUAUUGGAGUUGACCUUGGGAAGUUAUCAUGCUCUCCAAAUUCUUUUGAGCUCAAAUAAGUUAAAAAGUUGUAUUCGAUCUCUUUACCUCCAUUUGACCGGAGAUACAGCGUCAAUUAUUGAUGCUACGGCUUUCGCAGAUCUAAACCACCUCAAUGAAUUAUGGAUUGAUAAUGGUAUUGAGUUGGAAGAAUUGAAGAUUGAUUAUACGGAGAUAGUACGAAAAAGGCGGGAACCUUUUGUUUUCCGCAGCCUUCACCGUGUUACCAUAUAUAGUUGCAGUAAAUUGAAAGAUGUGACAUUCCUCGUUUUCGCUCCAAACCUCAAGUCUCUUACGCUAUUCAAUUGCGGUGCUAUGGAAGAAAUAAUCAGCGUCGGAAAAAUUGCUGAGACUCCUGAGAUGAUGGGACAUAUAAGCCCUUUUGAAAAUCUCCAAAGGCUUAAUUUAAAAGAUUUGCCAAAUUUGAAGAGCAUCUACUGGAAGCCAUUGCCUUUUACUCGUCUGAAAGAAAUGGCGGUACUUGGGUGCGAUCAGCUUGAAAAGCUUCCGGUCGAUUCCAACAGUGCAAAAGAGCGUAAAUUUGUAAUUCGUGGAGAAGAAGACUGGUGGAACCGACUUCAAUGGGAGGAUGAAGCCACUCAAAUUGCUUUUCGUUCCUGUUUCCAACCUUAUUCCUGAGCGGUGGUCGCAAAAUUUGAUUUCUGGUGAGUGCGUUUUUCUUUGAACUCUUGUACAUAUUCUUGUCGUUUGCUUCACGCAAAACACUAGGUCUUUUCUUCAGUCCGUUACCUACACGCAAAACACUGGUUCUUUUCUCUGUUUUUAUUUCAGUUAGUUUCUCUCUCUCUCUCUCUCUCUGUGUCUUCUGUAAAUCACAAUUAAAUGUUGAAUUAAUGGAAUUAAUGCUUCAUAAAUUUGCCGGCACUGCCGUUACUUUAUUUUAGGGGGGUCGAAUUGGUGCUCUGGUUUUUUACUUUUUGCUGUCAAAUUUUGGCCUUUUUUUUUUUUUUAACAAGUUGAUACUUUAUUUAUAUCUUCUUAGCGAUUUAAUUUCCUGUCAAAAGAGGAACGAGAAGAACAUAUGACUUAAACCAAUGCUCGCAUAAACUUGCUGUAAAAAGAUGUAAUCUCACUGAAAUGCACACGUCUAGAAUGAAUAGAAUUAAAACAGGGAAAAUAUUAAGUAUAUUAGCCCUCUUUACCGAAAAUCAAAUGACAAUAAAUUUUUGGAAGUUUUGAUUUUCUACGGUCAAUUCGACCUUUUGCAAUUUCUUCUGUUCUAACAAAAACCAAAUUCUUUGUUCAAGUAUUUUCGUUUGGGUAUCAAGGAUCUCUAAUCAAUAGCUGGAAGCAAUUCAGAGGGCGCCGAGACCCGAUCCGACCUAGGCCCAAGUUUGGUCUUAAAGCCUGGGCUUGAGCCUGACAAUUAAAUUAAAACAUUAAUUGAUUUAUUGAUUGAAUUGUCGUGCAAUUGAUUUAUGGGGGAUGAAAAUUCAACAUACUUGAAAAUACACUAAUCUUAGCAUCAUCGGUUAAUAACUUUUAGAUUUAUGGGUAAUCAAUAGUUAAGAUCAGUUGUCAUUUAUUUUUUGAAAUGUCCAUAUUCAGUGUACAUUUGAAAAAGACCCAAUAAUUUCUCAUAAAUUUCAAUUAAAAAUAUUCAAUUUGUUAUUUCAGUUCUUUUAUUUUUUAUUUUUUCCAACAUGAAAGCGACUUAAUGUUACUAAAUUGAAGCCGCUGCCCCGCCUGUGGUUCCAAACUUUUAUCUUCCUCCUCCUUUAAAUUAAUGCGAGCAGCCUCCGUCCUUGACUAGUUGACUUCUUUUCUUCUUUUUUAAUUAAUUAAUUAAUUAAUUCAGCCGCCCACCUUUCUUUUCCCAAUGUCUUCUACUUUCGAUUUCCUUUUAUUUUCUCUUUAUUUUUAAAAUAUGCUUAUAGUAAUAAUAAAAAAUAAAAAUAAAAAUAAAAAUAAAAAUGAACAUAUUAAAAUAUAAUUUAUCAGAAAACCAAGAUAAAGAAAUAUUAUAAGCACAUCAAUCAAAAAGUGAAAAAAAAAACAAUUUUAAUUUACAUUAAAUAUAAACUUUCAGUGUUAAUCAACUUUUCUAAAUAACUGAAAUUAUUUAAAAUAAAAAUAAAUUAUUCUUCCCAAAAAAACAAAAAUUACACCCACUCUUGGCUGUAUGUCAAGAUUCGCUUUAAGGACUGAAGUUGGUAACUUUUGCAAGCAGUCUUAAAUUGAAUGGCAGCAACCCACGCUUUCAGAUUUAUGGUUAAUCAAUAGCUGAGAGUUGUUAUCGCUAAUGCCGUGUAUUUUUUUUAAUGUUUUUUCUCUCUCCUACAGCAUCUUCUAGGAAAGUGCAUCCGUUGCUAAAAUUUAGUAUUGUAAAUAAUAAACCAAGAAUAAAUAUUAAAUUUAAGAAACUGUAUUGCAUUUAAUAUUUAAGGGAGAAAAAUAAUUGUAGUGUCUUUAUUAAUCAGUAAAAAGAAAAGAUUAGAAUCAUAAUAAAUUGUAUUGUUAUUGAUGUAUUUAUUUUAUUUUAUACUCAAAAUAAAUUAUUUUAAAUUAUUAAAAUAUUAUUAUUGUUAUUCUAAUAAUAAUUAUUAUUUAAUAUUUAUUAAAAUAUUUGUCAUAUUACUAAAAAAGCAAUAAUAAUAAUGAUAAUAUUGGAAUUGUUGUUUUUUAUCUUAUUAUUAAUCAAAACACUUCUGGUUAGCCCAUUCAUACGUGAAGACCAAAACCAAAUCUCUUCUUCUCCUUCUUUUCUUAAAAUACGGGAUGUGUGUGCUCGGACUGCUCUCUCAUUCUUAAAACAAGACUUUUUGAAUUAUCCAAUUAAGUUAAAUUCUGUGGCAUCUGGUAUUUUCAUUUCUUGUUUAUUUCGCAAGUUAUUAUUGCCUAAUGCUAUGUCAACUCUAACAUUAGCAUAUAUAUUUUUUUUUUGGUCGUCUUUUAACACCAAACAUUAGUGUAGGUUAAGUAACAUAAUCAGUACUGGGACAAUUUGAAAUCCCUUUGUGUUUUAUUCACAGUAUCUAUGAGGGUUUAUCCUUUUGCUAGAACAAACUCUAGCAAAUUGUCAAAUGUACUUAUCCUUUCGCUUGAUGACUCAUUUUAAAAUUGUCUUUCAAUGUACACACACAGAGAUAACCACCGACAUCAAGCACCAAGUUUGGAAUUUAAUUGAUAAGCAUACAUUUGAUAAAUUAAUGAAAAGUUUGGGAGAAUAGUUUUGAUCACCCUCGAUUAGGAUGGUAUCACGAAAAAGAUCAAAAAGAAAACAUCGUCUCUUCUUCAACAAAAAUAAAUAUUUUCCGUUAGAAUUUAAAUAAAAUAAUUAUUUUUUUAUUUUUUGAAUUAAAAUUUAAUUAAAUACACAAAUAAAUUAUAUAUUUUUAAAAAAAAAUUUACACCCAGUCACAAGGCUGGCUAUUAAACUUAAAGGGAAGCUUCGGAGACUAAAGUUGGUAACAUCUCCAAGUGGUCUUAAGUUGACCGGAACUACCCCGACUUUAUGUUUGGUAGCCUAGACCUGAUCGGACCUAGGCCCAAGUUUGGUCUUAAAGUCCACAAUUAAAUUGAUUUGUUAAUUUAAUUGUUGUGUAAUUGAUUUAUGGGGAAUGAAUCAGCAUCCCUAAAAUUACACUAAUCUUGACAUAAUGACAUCAUCGGUUAAAAACGUUCAGAUUUAUGGCUAAUCAAUGGUUUGAGAUUUGUUAUCAUUAAUGCUAAAUAUUUUUUAACAUUUUUUCUAUCUCUCUCUCCUGAAGGAAUUUUCUAAGAAAAUGCAUCCACAACACAAAUUUUAAGGAUCACACUAUGUUACGUUAAACGUAACGUACACACACUCACAGCAACAGUAACAGGUCACGUCUUGUUACUGUUGCUGUGAGUGUGUGUAUAUUACGUUUAACAUAACAUAGCAUAGGCCAAAUUUUAAAUUGUAAACAAUAAACAAAAUAUAAACGUUAAAUUUAAGGAACUGCGUUGCAUUUCAGCUGAAGCUAACUUUAAUAUUUUACGAAAAAAAAUAAUUAAAUCUUUAAUGUGAUUUAUUUAUUAAUAUAUAUGACUAAUUUUUUAAAAUAAGAUGCAGGAUGAAACUUAAAAAUAUAAAUUAUAGAAUUAAUUUCUCUCUUCAAUAAAUCUAAAGUUUAUUUUUUUUAUUACAUGCUUCUAUUUUAUUUUUAUUCCAUGUUAAUGAUUGGAGAUUUAAAUCCAUUUCGGAUUUAUAAAUAUGUUUAGAUAUCUAAAUCCACGUGUGAUUCCAAACUAUAACCUUUUUUUUUUUCUAAUUAAUGCAAACAGCCGCCUCUUUGGACUGCUUUUCUUCUUUGAUUAUUAAUUAAUUAAUUCAGCUGCCCACCUUUCUUUUCCUAAUGUUUUCUACUCUCAAAUUUUUUUAAGGACAAGGCUACGUUGCAGACGCUGUACCUAACAGCUGCACCUUAGCCAGCUUCACAAAGGGUGCAUUUGGUAAGCAAUUUUUCUUUCCUGUGCAUAUGUGUCCUUCCACCAUUGGGUGUACGUAACAGAUAAUGUACCGUAACAAGCUCCUAUUUUUAAAUAUGUUUAUAAUGAUAAAAUAUAAAAAUUAAGAUUAAAAUGUAAUGUAAUAUAAAAUUAAAGGUGGAAGAGUAUUAAAAUAAUGUAUAAGAUAUGAAUAAACAAGUCAAUAAGAAAACAAACAAACGGCAAGAGAAAAGGAAUGGUCAUGCAGAUUUUAAGGUGGCAGUGACAAUGAGAUCUCAUUUUAACCGAUAAAGUCUUUUGAAUUUGUCAACUCAAAAAAAUAGAUUCAAAUGUUUUGUAAUAAAUGAAAAUAUAAUAUUAAAAUAAAUGUGAUAAUAUAUAUUUUAAAUAAUUUCAAUACAAAAAACAUUUGAAUGUUUUAUAAUUUAUUAGACAUAUUUUAUUAUAUUAAUAUAAAUUUUCUAAGAAAUAUGGACAUAAUAUUAAAAUAAAUUUAUGAAAAAUUUAAAUUAUUUUGAAUGUAAAAACAUUUGAAUGUUUUAUAAUUUAUUAGACAUAUUUUAUUAUAUUAAUAUAAAUUUUUCUAAAAAAUAUGGACAUAAUAUUAAAAUAAAUUUAUGAAAAAUUUAAGUUAUUUUGAAUGUAAAAACAUUUUAAUGUUUUAUAAUUUAUUAGAAAUAUUUUAUUAUAUUAAUAUAAAUUUUCUAAGAAAUAUGGACAUAAUAUUAAAAUAAAUUUAUGAAAAAUUAAAUUAUUUUGAAUGUAAAAUAAUUUUAAUAUUAUUAAUCCAUUAAGUAUUAAUUAUAAAAAUUAUUUAACCCAAAGAUUAUUUAUAUCCUUACAAUAAAUAUAAAUAUAUUAUUUGCAUUUAAAAAUUUAAAAAUAUUUAAAUAAUAUUAAUCUACAAUUAUAUUUUCAUUUAUUAUAAAUAUUUAAAGUCAAAUCUUUUGCACUUGUAUUUUAUUACAAUUAUGGCGCACAAAGAAAGAGCCAUAUAUGCUUUAUAGCGUUAGAAAUUGGUUUCUUUUAAAGCUGGAAACAGAGAGGAUGAUUAUUAUAAGGAGAAAAGAAAAAGGGAUAAAGAAUAUUAAUGAUUAACAAAAUCUCUCUGCAAAUUGAUUGCAGUAGAAAAAAAGUGAGCUGAGCAAUCUAAUUUAGUGGUAGAGUGAUAUUUCAUUUGUAGCAAAUUACAUCUCAAGGUUAAAGGAAAGACUUAAGAUCUCAGCUUUUGAUCAUAAUACUUUUUUUAAAGAAAAAAAUUAAUUUUAAUAUUUUAUAAUAAAUAAAAAUAUAAUCUUAAAAUAAAUACAAACACACUAUUAAUAGUACAUAUUUUAAAAUAAUCUCAUUAUUUAAAAUUGUUUUAAUAUUUUGUAAUUUGCCAGACAAAUUUUAUUAUUUUCAAGUAAAUUUUAUAAUAAAUACAAACACACUAUUAAGAUAAAUAUAUGAAAAAUUUAAAGUAAUUUGAAUCUUAUACAAAAUAAUUUUAAUAUUGUUAAUAGUGAGAUAAUUCUAUUAAUUUAAAAUGCUACUUAACCUUAAGAUUUAUUUAAGAUAAAUUAAUAAUUACAUUUUUAAAUUAUUUCAAAUAUUAAAAAUAUUUUAAUAUUAUUUAUCUAUUAGAUAGACUAAAUUAUUUAAAUUAUUUUGUAUAAAUUAAUUCUAUUUAAAGGAUAUUAUGAUAAAAAGAUCUUAGUGUUUUUAUUAAAAAUUUAAAAUUUAUAUGACUAUUUCUUUAAAUAUUUAGGGUAUAUAUGAACCACCGAGGAGAAAAGCUUUAUUUAAUAUUUUUGAAUAGUUUUUGAUCAGUACAAUUGCGUCCUUAUUCAGAAUUAUUGUUCUCUUCCGCAACAGUUUUUGUUUAUCAAAGUCAUCAAUUAAAAUUUUAGAAUUCUUAUCAUCAGAAGUAGUCGUUUUAGAAGUUGGGUCUUGGAUCAAAUUUCUACGAGUGCAUGAAUUAACAAUAAAAAAAAUUUCAUUACACACGGUUUAAGCUACAAAACUACUAUUUGCACAGUUGACUAUAAAACUUACCUCCAAUUACACUAAACCUCUCUAUUUGGUAACGUUGAGACUAAAUUAAUUUUAUUAGCAUGAAAAGAUAAUAGAAAUAUUAUCAUAAAUAUAAUUGUUGUUAAUCAAUUAGUACAUGUGAUAUAAAGGUUAAAUGUGCACUAUAUUUAAUAAAUAAUUAAUGGAACAUGUUAAACAAAAUGUUAAUGUAUAUUUAUAUAGUGUUAGGAAUAUGCAAAGUCAAGUCCUCAAUUUGCAUUAUCCUGUAUAGAAUAUUACUCUAAAAAUGUUUUACUAUAAUUGGCUUAGAACAUUUGUAAAGAAAAUAAUAAUCGUAAUAAUAAAUAACAUACACCGUCACAUAGCAUCUAGACAAUGAUAGAAAAUUAUUAAAGGGAGUGCAAACAAUUAAUUAGAAAUUUUUAUGAUAACUUUUAAUAUUCAUGAUAAUAACAAAUAAAUACAUGUACCACUUUUUAAAAAUAUUAAAUUUGACGUGCUCCAUUAAUAAAUUAUUAUUGUAAUUCAGACUCUAUCUAUAUAUCCUUGCAUUAAGAAUAAUUAAGUCAUAAUAAAAAUUUUCGUAACUACAUCUCAUUUCUUCCUCAUAAUAAUAAUUAGAUUGGUUCGAAUAUUAUAACUAUAUAGAUUUAGGGCGUGUUUGGUGCAUGGGAUUAUGUGGUAUUACACUACUAUUCACAUUAGCUUAUUUCCAAGAAGAUGUUUGGCAAACUUUGACACCUCAUUAUGCUGCAUUAUAAUGCAGCAUAAUGAGGCAUGGGGCCGCAUUACGCAAACCCGAGGGAACCUCGGGUUUGCGUAAUGCAGAAGCUUUUUGCCUCAAUUGAGGCAACAGUUAAUGCCUCAAUUGAGGCAAAUUUAUUUUAUUAAAAUAUUAUAAAAAUAAAUUAUUUUAUUAUUAAAUACUAAUAUAAUGAAUAAAAUAUAAAAAUAAAUUAUAUGAUAAUAUUAUUUUAUUUAUUAAUGAUUCAUAUAAAAAUAAUAUAUUAAUAUUAUAAUAUUAUUUACAUUAAUAUUAAUUUUAAAAUUAAUAUUAUUUAAAUUUAUAAUUAUUUAUGUUAAAUUAUAAAUUUAUUAAUAUAUUAAAAUGUAAAAAUAAUAAUAUAUUGUAAAUUAAAAUAUAAUUGAAUAUUAUUGAAUAAUAAUUUAUUAAUUUAUAUUAACAAUUAUAAUAUUAAUUAUAAUCUAAAUUUAUUAUUUACAUAUAAUAUUAAAUUUUAUAAAUUUAUUUUAUCAUAAUUAUAAUACAAAUUUUAGAAAUUUAAUCAUUAAUUUUUAAUAUUUACUAAAAAAAUUGUUAAAUUUCUACAAUUAAGAUUUCUAUAUUUAUUAUUUUUCUAAGUAUUAAUAAAUAUUAAUUUUUAAUUAUUUAAUUUAAUUAAUUAUAAAAAUUAAUACAAUACAAUGUAACACCAAAUAUAGUUUAAUUAAAAAUUAAUACAGUACAGUGUAGCACCAAACAUUGUACAGCAUUAUUAUAAUACAAUACUAACGCAAUACAGCAUAAUACAAUACACCAGCAUUAAAAUAAUGCAAUACAACAUAAUACAAUACAAUGUACCAAACGCACCCUUAGUGUAUAGCCACAUCCAAUUUAAAUAUUGACCCAAUUGGGAUGGUCCCCAAAAAAAAAAUUCGUUAAAGGAUAAUUCUAAUUAUUUUUACUUCUCAAACGUUAGUGGGACGUUUCUAUUAGCGCACUCGUAAGCCAAGUUGUCAAAUAUUUAUAUUAAACUACAAUUGCUGACAAGAAAAAUCAAGAUCGUGUUGCGCAAGUGGGUCCCGAAUAGGACGUGCCUAAAUCUCUCGUAAGCCAAGUUGUCAAAUGUUUAUAUUAAACUAACAAUUGCUGACUAGAAAAAUCAAGAUCGUAUUACAAGUGGGUCCCGAAUUGGACGUGCCUAAAUCUUUUUAUAAUUUUCCCAGUGUAGCGGACAGAGGUCAUUACUAAAUUUCUCUUCCACACGCCACAGCAGCUUCGGUUAAUCAAACUCAAUCAAUUUUCUUGGCUUCUCCGCUUAUCAAUAUUACAAGGUAUGGGUAGCAUUUUUCAAAUCACAUGCGAUGGUACUAUUUUCAAUCGUUGCUUAGAUUGCUUUCUUGGAAAAGCAGCAUACAUAAGUAACCUCCAAGAUAAUCUCGUUGCCUUGGAGACUGAACUAAGGAAACUAAUCGCAGCAAAGAACGAUGUGAUGACGGCGGUUGUCAAUGCUGAACGGCAACAAAUGAGAAGGCUGGACCAAGUGCAAGUGUGGGUUUCGAGGGCGGAAGCUGUUAAAACUGAAGCUGAUGAACUUAUCAGAGGCGGCUCUCAAGAAAUUGAAAAAUUAUGUCUUAGAGGGUUCUGUUCCAGGAACUGCACGUCAAGCUACAAGUUCGGAAAACAAGUGGCUAAAAAGCUACGAGCUGUGGAGACUUUAAUCGCCGAAGGAGUUUUUGAGGCGGUGGCUGCCGAGGUGGUGCCUGAGAGAGCUCCAGAGCCUGUAGCAGAUGAAAGACCUACCGAGCGAACAGUAGUAGGCUUGCAAUCACAACUUGAACAAGUCUGGAGAUGUCUUGCAGAAGAAUCAGCGGGAAUCAUUGGCCUAUAUGGUAUGGGCGGUGUUGGUAAAACUACACUAUUGACCCAUAUCAACAAUAAAUUUCUCGAGAGUCCAACCAACUUUGAUUGUGUGAUUUGGGUAGUAGUUUCAAAAGACCUGCGACUUGAAAAAGUUCAAGAAAAUAUUGGGAAAAAGAUAGGUUUGGUUGAUGAUUCAUGGAAGAGUAAAAGUGUAGAGGAGAAAGCUCUCGACAUCUUCCGGAGUUUAAGAGAGAAGAGAAUUGUAUUGCUGUUAGAUGAUAUAUGGGAGCGGGUUGAUUUAACAAAAGUGGGCGUUCCACUUCCAGGACCACAAAAUACUACCUCAAAAGUCGUAUUCACAACCCGUUUCAUCGAUGUUUGUGGUAGCAUGGAAGCUGACAGGAAGUUCCAAGUAGCAUGCUUAUCAGAAAAGGAUGCUUGGGAACUGUUUCGAGAAAAAGUUGGGGAAGAAACUCUUCAGAGUCAUCAUGAUAUCGUUGAGCUAGCCCAAAUUGUGGUCAAAGAGUGUGGUGGUUUGCCACUCGCACUUAUUACUAUUGGUCGAGCUAUGGCCUACAGAAAGAAAGCGGAGCAGUGGAGACGUGCAAUUGAAGAGUUAAGGAGAUCAGCCUCAGAGUUUGCAGGUUUGGGAAAAGAGGUGUAUACUCUUUUGAAAUUCAGCUAUGAUAGUUUGCAGAAUGAUACGGUUAGAUCUUGUUUCUUGUAUUGUUGUUUAUAUCCUGAAGAUUAUGGCAUUCUUAAAUGGGACUUGAUUGAUUGUUGGAUUGGCGAGGGAUUUUUUGGGGAAUCUGACAGGUCUGGUGCAGAAAACCAAGGAUAUGACAUUUUGGACACUCUUGUUCGUGCAUGUUUAUUAGAAGAGGUGGAAGAUGAUAAAGUAAAAAUGCAUGACGUUGUUCGUGAUAUGGCUGUAUGGAUAACCAGUGAAAUUGAGAAAGGGAAGAGAAACUUUUUGGUUCGUGCAGGUGCUGGAUUAAAAGAGGCACCGGAUGUUAAAGGAUGGGAAAAUGUGAGAAGAUUGUCAUUGAUGCAAAACCAAAUUGAAACUCUGUCCGAGGUUCCUACAUGCCCUCAUCUCCUCACUUUAUUUCUUGACUUUAAUGAGAAGUUGAAGAUGAUCACGGAUGGCUUCUUCCAAUUUAUGCCUUCUCUCAAAGUUUUGAAGAUUUCACACUGUGGUAGGAAUUGGAAAGAUUUGAAAUUACCUGUUGGGAUGUCAAAGUUGGGUUCACUAGAACUUCUUGAUAUUUCACAUACGCUGAUAACAGAGUUACCAGAAGAGUUAAAGUUGUUGGUAAAUCUGAAAUGUUUGAAUUUGAGGUCGACAGAAUUGUUAAUUAGAAUUCCACGGCAACUGGUAUCAAAUUCUUCAAGGUUACGUGUGUUGAGAAUGUUCGCUACUGGCUGGUUAAAUUUUCAUGAAGCACCAGAAGACAGCGUUUUAUUUGGUGGGGGUGAAGUUUUGAUACAGGAAUUGCUCGGUUUGAAAUAUUUAGAGGUAUUGGAGUUGACCUUGCGAAGUUAUCAUGCUCUCCAAAUUCUUUUGAGCUCAAAUAAGUUAAAAAGUUGUAUUCCAUCUCUUUUCCUCCAGUUGGCCGGAGAUACAACGUCGAUUAUUGAUGCUGCGGCUUUCGCAGAUCUAAACCACCUCAACGAUUUAUUUAUUUAUAAAGGCAUUCAGUUGGAAGAAUUGAAGAUUGAUUAUACAGAGAUAGUACAAAAAAGGCGGGAACCUUUUGUUUUCCGCAGCCUUCACCGUGUUUCUAUUGGGGGGUGCGAUAAAUUGAAAGAUGUGACAUUCCUCGUUUUUGCUCCAAACCUCAAGUCUCUUUGGCUAUUCGAUUGCGGUGCUAUGGAAGAAAUAAUCAGCGUCGGAAAAUUUGCUGAGACUCCUGAGAUGAUGGGACAUAUAAGCCCUUUUGAAAAUCUCCAAAGGCUUGAAUUAUGGGAUUUGCCAGCUUUGAAGAGCUUCUACUGGAAGCCAUUGCCUUUCACUCAUCUGAAAGAAAUGGUGGUACAUGGGUGUCAUCAGCUUAGAAAGCUUCCACUCGAUUCCAACAGAGCAAAAGAGCGUAAAUUUGUUAUUCGUGGAAAAGCAGACUGGUGGAACCGACUUCAAUGGGAGGAUGAAGCCACUCAAAUUGCUUUUCGUUCCUGUUUCCAACCUCGUUCCUGAGCGGUGGUCGCAAAAUUUGAUUUCUGGUGAGUGCAUUCGUCUUUUAAAAGAAGAAUUUAAAAGAAAUUUAUUCUUGUCGUUUUCUUCUCUGUUUUUAUUUCAGUUUCUUUCUCUCUCUCUCUCAAGGAUCUCUAAUCAAUAGCUGGAAGCAAUUGAGAGGCGCCGAGACCCGAUCGGAUCUAGGCCCAAGUUUGGUCUUAAAGCCUGGGCUUGAGCCUGACAAUUAAAUUAAAACAUUAAUUGAUUUAUUGAUUGAAUUGUUGUGUAAUUGAUUUAUGGGGGAUGAAACAUCAACAUACUUGAAAAUACACUAAUCUUAGCAUCAUCGGUUAAUAACUGUUAGAUUUAUGGGUAAUCGUAAUCAAUAGUUAAGAUUAGUUGUCAUUAAUACUAAAUAUUUUUUACUAUUUUUGUCUCUACUAGAGGAUCUUCUAGAAAAAUGCAUCCACAACAAAAUUUAAUAUUUUACAUAAUAAACAAAAUAUAAAUGUUAAAUUUAAGAAACUGCAUUGCAUUUCAGCUGAAGCUGACUUUAAUAUUUAGGGUAGAAAAACAAUUAAAUCCUUAAUGUGUUUAAUUUCUAUCACUUGUGUCAUUAAAAUUUUCUAGCCACCUUAACCAAUUACAUCUCAACCCACUUUUUUUGGAUGAUUUUAUUUUUACACAAUUAUUUUCAACAUAUCAUGAUGUAUUCGUCAAAAGCUGGAAAUGACUGUUGCCCGUCAAAAUUCACAUUUUUUCCUUAACGAUAAAGUUUUAAUAUAAUUUUGAAGUUAUAACGUCAUAAAUAUAUUGCAUAAUAAUAAGAAAAAGGACCUAAAUGGUAAAAGUGAUAAAUAAUAAGAUCGAAGUAUCAUUUUCCAAUGUUAAAUGAGGCAAUGCCAUUCUCCGGUUCUCUUCUUUAAAUGCGUGAUGUGUGUGCUCUGUUUUCUCUAUUAUUCUUUUUCUCUUUUAGAUUUUGAGAACGUAAAGGGUGCAGGAGUCUUUAUCUUGUUAAAACAAGUCUUUUCGAAGUAUUCAACUAAAUUAAAUCAUGGCCUAAUGCUGUGUCAAUUCCAUCAUCAGCAUUUUUUUUUUCCUUUUUAACACCAACAUCAGUGUAUGUUUGGAUAAUUUGAAAUCUGUUUGUGUUUUAUCUCAAAGUAGAGCUUCAAUCAAUUUGUACCUCACAAAUUCACAAUAUCUAUUAAGGAUAAUAAGACCGAACUCUGGCAUAUUGUCAAAUGUGCUUAUCCAAUUCCAAAUUAAAAUGUUGACAGUGUUUCAUCAACCAAGAACUUGUCUUCGAUAGUUAAUCGGAUUAAAGGGAAUAAUUAAUGAGAGCAAUUAAUUAAUAUUAGCCGGCAUCGUCUGUUUCAUAGGUACUCGUGGUUCACUAACAUAAGCGUUGAAUUUGUAUAGUAGCUUGUUCCUUUCCUUCGGUUUUACUUAAUGAAAACCUUGGCUAGAUCGUACACCAAUGUAAAAUCGAAAACCCUUAUGCCACGAAGAGUUCUUAGUGCAAUUGAGAUCAAUGAUAAUCAGCUGAUAGGGAAAACAUUGUCUGAUUGUCAUAAACAAACUUCUUGAAAAUGCCAUCAGUAACAUGGAAGAUUUGGAGGUUAUUCAAAUGCUGACUUCAGGAAUGCAGAUUAAUAUAUUAUGGAGACAGAUUGAGUGCAAUGGCUAAUUGUAACAGGGAAUUUUUAUUGUACAAACAGACCAGCCAGCAAAGAAUAUUCCAAAUCUAGGACUAAACAAGUCAAUAAUAAAAUAAACAAACGGCAAGAGAGAGUGAUUAUAUCUACAACACCAUCGGCUACUACAAAUUCAACUUUUCAACAGUUGUUACUCACCAUGAACAGAAAAAAGAAAAUUACAACAAAAAAUUGGUUGCUAAAAGACGUCUAUUCAUGGUAAUGCCUCUCAAAUGGGUUCAAAACAUGGAAGAAAAGCAUUUAGUGUGGCUUCAUCGUCCCAUUUCAGCUCACUCCACCAGUGUUGCAGGGGCUUAGUCAAAGUGGCUUUCAAGAAGUUUUAUUACCACCUCAGUUCAAAUCCUAAGAGAGGUAGGAGGAUAAAAGAAUUAAUUUGGACUUUACCUAGCCCUCUACCUUUGUUAAAUUUAUGUUAAAAAAAAAAAUAGAUUUGAGAUUGGUAAUAUCCUUAUUUUUUGUUUUCAAAGGAAACUGAUUUAGGACCAAUGAGACUUUGAUCCAAUGGGAGAAGCCUUUCACUUAUAAUGUUAAGUAUAAGGGUUCGAUCCUCCAUAAGAGCUUUAUGAAGGUUAAUUUCAGUACUUCCUUAGUUAUCAGUUAAUUGAGUGGAGACAGUCUCUCCCUUACGAAAUGUGAGUGGAGUAGGCACCCCUCGAAUAUUAGAGAAGGUUUAAAGUAUCUGAGCAAGUGCUUUAGUGGGUUAAUAUAUGGCGGUAGUUCCAGUUGUUUAGUAUGAUUGUAGUACGAUUGUAUAUAUUAAUUGUAAUAUCUAAUGUAAUAUCAAUAACAAUCUGUGCAUAACAGAAUUCAAAAAAAGAAAAGAAAAAAGAAAACUGAUUUAGGUGGUUUCUUGGUUAAGACUUUUUCUUUAGCAUACUUAGUUCCACGUGCUAUUUAGAUAUUUUUCGACAUACUUAUUACUUAGUUCCACAUGCUAUUUAGAUAUAUUUCGACCAAAUGAACAAGCGCAAGCCAUUGACACUUAGCUUAAUUUCAGGGUCAAGCUAUAUUUGAAACUCAAAUAUUAACCUAUUAAUAUUUUCAAUUCAUUCAAUUAUAAAUUAGAGAUGAUAGAAAUUCUCAUAGGAACAGGGGCCCUAGGGGAUUUUAGAGGAUUUUUCCCAUUCGGGAAGGGUAGGAGACAAUUUUAUAUCAAGUUUCUUAUUCCCAGAGACUAUAAUAUUUUUUUACCUAAUUUCUUAUUCAGGGAAGAUAUGGAGAUGAUGUGGACUUUCCAUCCCCUCCCAAUUCUCCAUUUUUAUUUUUAAUUUUUAUAUUAUUUUUCUAGAAUUAUUAGUGAAAAUAAUAAAAUUUAAAUUGUAAAAAUUUUAUUAAUGAAUAAAUAAAAAUAAAAAUUUUAGACACCUUUUUCCCAAACUUGUAGCUUGACUUGCAGUUCUUGGAGCAGUAGCCUCCAAGACAGUUUUUCAAUUUCUCGAGAGCCGUCCCUUGUCAAUUCACCAACUUCAGCUUCCACAGCCGCCACCCUUGAGGUGAUGUUUGGUUGGGAGGAGAGAAUGGGGGAGAGGAAAGUAAUUUAAAUUCUACUUUUAUUUUUAUUGUUUGGUUGCACGAAAUAUAUAAGAAUUUAAUUUCCAUUAGAAUUUAAUAUCCUUUAUAAUCUAGAAUUUGAAUUCCACACCAAAGAGUGAAGAAUUCAAAUUCCUCUUAGGUUGAAAACCCAAGUUUCCAAAUUUGUCCUUCAACAUUUUAACUUGUUUAAUGCUAUUAAUAAUUAUUAUUUAUAAUUUUAUUUUAUCAAUUUAAUAUUAUAAAUAAUUUAAUAUUAAUUAAAUUUAAUGAAUGAUUUAAGACAUUUAAUAAAAUAAAUAAACUUAUUUAUUUAUUUAAUAUGCAAAUAUAUAAAUAUAAAUUAACUAUCGCCGGAACUUCGCUGGACCGUCGCCGGAAGCUGUCGAAAUUUCACCGAAAAGUCACCAACCACUGUUGAUCGGCGUUGGCUUAUGUUGACCGCUACUGUUGACCGGCUUUUAUUUAUAUUAAAUUAUAUUAAAUAGUUUAGUAUAUUAAAUUAUUUUAUAUUUUAUAUUAAAUAUAAAUCAUGAAUUGUUUCAUAACUUUUUGAAAUUAAAAAAAAUUGGUAUUAAUAUUAAAUUAUAUUUUAUUACUAAUAUAGAUAAUUUAGUAUUUAAGGUAAAGGAUAAAUUUGUCCAAAGAAAAAAAUUAUAAUUUCUUUCCUUAUCAAAUUUGAUGUCAAACCAAACAUUGAAAUUUAAUUUUAUUAAUCUCUUCCACUCAUUUCUCCUCCAUUCCACUUUUUUCUUCUCCUCUCCUUUUUUAAAACCAAACACCACCUGAAAGCCAACCUUGCACUUUGUUCAGCCGUCUCAGUUGUUGCUGCUCAGGAUUGGCGACCCUCAUCAUCACAUCGUUCUUUGGUUCAAUUAAUUUCUGCAAUUCGGUCUGGAUGGCAACCAGGUUAUCUUCAAGCUGGCUUAAAUAUCAUGCUUUUCUGCGGGUACAAUUUAUGAAGCCAGUGAAAAUUACGCAUACAAUAGGAGUGCAACACAGUGUGUAUUCGGUUGUGGUGUCUAUGAUUUUGCAGUCGCAGAAGCUUAUUCACCUUAUGAAGACUGAUCAGGUGGGCACCGUCGCUCUCCUUACAUUCUUAUGGAGAGCGAUAGUCCAUGUAGUCAGAUCUCACUGAGAGAACUAGCCGAGUGGGCAAUCGCUCCGCCUGAUCAAAAUUUGUCAUCUUAUAAUAAUAUCUUGAGUAGGUCUUGAAUUUUUUUUCCAAUUUUAAUCUUUAAAAGGUAGAAGAGGUGAAAAAAACCUAAAUAGUAUUUGUGUCCUCCUAAAUAACAUUUCUUGAACAUCAAUGGAUCUUAAAACUUAAUUAAGAAAAUAUUAUAGAUUUAUAAAUUAGUGGCCCUUAAAAUUUAUUUGCAAGUAACAAUUAGAGAAAAGUCGUCAGGCCCAAAAGACUUAGAGCAUCACCAAAAGACUCUUCAAAUAAGAUUUUAUUAAUUAUUUGAAGAGCCAUCUCAAUAUUUAAGACUCCAAAAGACACUCCAAUUAAGAUUCUUCAAAUAAGAAAUAAUUCUCUCUCUUCAAAUUUGGAGAGUUGAUUUCUCCCUCUUCAAUUUAUACUUUAUUACUUUCCAUUGGAGAAAAAGAGAGAAGUGCUUUAAUUGCUAUUGACUUUUUCUUUAAAAAAAUAAUUAUUUGAUUAAAAUAAUAUUAAGUUAUUUCUAUUUGAAGAGUCUUUUGGAGAAUAUUAUUUUUUUUUACUCUUCUAUUUGCCACAUAGAUAAGCAAAUAGAUAUUUGAAGAGUAAAAUUUAUAGAGUCUUUUGGAGAUGCUCUUACUAAAAGUCGGCAACUCGUCAUGACCAAAAUUCUUCCGAGUGUGAAAUACGGCAUGCGCAGAUGCAUUAAAAACAAAAGCCAGCUAAGAUAUUCUUUGUAUACUUGCAUUCCCUAUCAUCUUAUUAAUAAUUUCAGACACGUCGUUCGUUCCCUGUGACUUUUCAUAUGCAACAGCACAGUCAGUGUUACAAUUUACAUUUCGAAUUGGGUGUCAUCUAUAUACUCUACCUAGAUCUAACAUGAUAUUGCAGUAUUGCACUGAUUUUUUUGUCGCAGCGUUUCUCUAUGAAUUCCUUAAACUUUAAACACAUCAUGGAAUAAUUAUUUUCUUAAAGACCAAAUUAACAUAAUUCUUAAAUCAUUUAUAAAACAACAUUUAUCAUAUAACAGAUCGUACACGAAUCAAUUUUCCUUGAACAGUAGCAAACAAACAAGAAUCUCAACCACAUCACGAGAUCGCCCACGUCAAACCAAGUAUUCUUAAUGAGUGGACCAGCUAAUAUAUUCAAAAUUGGAAUUAAUUGAGGAUAAUGAUUAGUGCUAAUACAUUUGCAAAGAAAAAUCAUGCCUAUUGAAAAACUCAUCUUAUUAGCAGCAGCGUUAUAAGUAGCAUCCAAUCAUAGUUUCACGCAAGAUUUUGAGAUUAUUCAAAUGCUGAUCCCGGGAAUGGAGAUUAAUAGAUAAUGGAGACAGGUUGACUGCAAUGGCUAAUUGUAAGAGGGAUUUUUAGCCGUAAAAACAGAUCAACUAGCAAAGCAAAUUCCAAAUCUUGGAAUGCAGUAGCAAAAAAACGAAACAAACAAAUGGCAAGAGGAAGUGACUAUACAACAAUAACAUCGACUUGCAAUUCAACAUUUAUACAGUUUUACACACCAAGAAAAGAAAAAAUUACAAUAGAAAUUUGGCCACUAAAAGAUGCUCGUUCAUGCUUAUGCCUGUCAUAUGGAUUUGAAACAUGGAGUAAAAGCAUUUAGAGUGGCCUCAUCCUUCCACUGCAGCUCAUUCCACCAGUAUUGCUCUCCCCUAAUAACAAGUUUUCGUUCCUUGGCGCUGUUGUAAUCGAGUGGAAGCUUCUUGAGAUUCGGGCAGCCAGAUACAAACAAUUCCAAGAGAUUUGGAAAGGGCAAUGCAUUCAAACAGAUCUUCUUCAGAUUUCUUACAACUUGCAACCGAAGAUAUUGGAGUUUCGAAAAAGUUUUUUGCACUGGAACUUCUGGAACUUCUUCCAAUUUCCAAACACUGAUUAUUUCUUCCAUCUCAUAACAACGUUCUACAUGGACCAUCUUGAGAUUUGGGGCAAAAACAAGCCAUGUCAUCUCCCUCAAUUUACUGCAAUAGUCUAUGGUAACACUUUGAAGGCUGUUGAAACCAUAAAGUUCUCUUGUUGUUUGAAUUUCUGCAUAGUCAACCUUUAGCUCUUCCAAACUUGUACAAUACACAAAAUCUAGUUUGUCAAGAUACUUGAGAUCUGCUAUGGACAAAAUAUUCCAUGACCUUGAAUCCUCACAGCGGCGAAGCUCUAAAGCAUAUUUACAACUCUUGUACUGUUGGCAGCUCAAAAGUCUUCGUAGAGCAUAAAAACUUCUUAACGUGACGCUUAAUACAUUUAAAUGUUCCAAAGUAAUCAACUCCUCUACCAAAAUUUCACUACCACCAAAUAGAACGCUAUCUUCUGGUACUGUAUUAGCAGAGCCACAAUCUAGCAUCCUCAACACCUUUAACCCAGAAAAAUUACAAAGCAGUUGCCGUGGAAUCGUAUGGAGAUAACGCAUGUACUCCAAGUUCAAACACUUUAGAUUUUUCAAGGCUUUUAAUUCAUGUGGCAACUCUUUGAUGAAAGUUUCUGAAAGAUUAAGAUAUUGUAGUGAAACCAAUUUUGAAAUUCCUGAAGGCAAUUGACUCAAGGAGCGAUUCUUUGAUAGGUUUAAAACUUUAAGAGAAGGCAUAAAAUCGAAGAAAUCACUAGGGAUAGUAUCUAACAUAUUAAUGCCGAGGAACAAAGUUAUAAGAUGAGGGCAUAUUGGAGUUAUUGGUAAAAUCACAAUUUUAUUUCUCAUCAACGAUAUCCUUCUCUUAUCUUCCCAUUGUUUAACUUCGGGUGGUUCAGUUAAUUCAAUACCGGCAGAAACCAAAAAGUUUUCAUUCUCCACUUCACAGGCUAUCCACAAGGUCAUAUCACGAAUCACAUCAUGCAGUUUUACAUAAUCUGAUCCUGCUUCUUCCAAUAGGCAUGCAUGAACAAGAACACCAAUAAUGUAGUAUCCUUGGUUAUGUACUCCAUUAAUUCCUUCAUAUUCCUUCAGAAAACCCUCACCAAUCCAACACCCUAUCAAUUCAAUUUUGCUAAUUUGAUAAUCCUCAGGAAAUAAACUACAGUAUAACAGACAAGAUCUAAGGACGUCACUAGACAAACUAUCAUAACUGAAUUUUAAAAGACGAAACACCUCUUUCUCCAUACCUGGAAAUUCAUAAGCUGAUCUCCUUAACAUCUGAAUUGCAUAGCUCCAUUCUUCGGGUGUCUUCUUGCUGCUCAUGGCACGACCGGUGGUAAUAAGUGCAAGUGGCAAACCACUACACUCCUUUGCCACAGUUUGGGCUAACUCCGGAAUAUCGGGAUGACUUUCAAGAGUCUCUUCUCCGACCUUCUUUAGGAACAAUUCCCAAGCAUCUUGAUCUGCCAAACACUCCACCUUGAACUUUUUUUGAGCUUCCAUGAGGCCACAGACGUCCACAAGACGAGUUGUAAAGACUAUCUUUGAUGCAUUUCUUGAACUCGCAGGAAAAGGGACACCCACUUUGGCUAAAUCAAUUCUUUCCCAUAUAUCAUCUAACAAUAGCAGAAAUUUCAUUUUGCUCAAUAAAUUGAAUAUGCCUGAUGCUUUCUCUUCAAAGCUUCUAUUCUGAAGCCAUCCUAUUCUUUCUCCGAUUUUCUGUUGUAUUCUCUCAAGUUGCAUGUCUUUUGACACCACCACCCAAAUCACAAUAUCAAAAUAAUUUGGUGUAUUAAGGAACCUGUUGUUGAUUUGGGUUAAUAGUGUAGUCUUGCCGACUCCCCCCAUGCCAUAAAGUCCGAUGAUUCCAAAUUGUCCUUCUACAAGACAUCUCCAAACUUUAUCAAAUGUUGAUUCUAGGCCGAUUAUUGUUGGCUGAAGAGGCCUUUCAUCCACUGCUGGUUGUGGUACCUUUUCAGCUACCACUGCAAAAGCUCCAUCAUCUAUUAAAGUAGCCACAAGCUGCAGCUUUUUAGACACCUUUUUCCCAAACUUGUAGCUUGACUUGCAGUUCUUGGAGCAGUAGCCUCCAAGACAUAGUUUUUCAAUUUCUUGAGAGCUGUCCCUUGUCAAUUCACCUACUUCAGCUUCCACAGCCUCCACCCUUGAAAGCCAACCUUGCACUCUGUUCAGCCGUCUUAGUUGUUGUUGCUCAGCAUUAGCGACCCUCAUCAUCGCAUCGUUCUUUGUUUCGAUUAGUUUCUGCAAUUCGGUCUGGACGGCAACCAGGUUAUUUUCAAGCUGGCUUAGAUAUGCUGCUUUUCUGCGGGUACAAUUUAUGAAGCCAGCGGAAAGGGCAUCACAUAUAAGUUGGAUUCCCAAAAUAUUACCCAUAGUUUGUAUGAGAUUCAGAGUACAAUAGAAGGAAUGCAACACAGUAUGUAUUCGGUUGUGGUGUUUAUGAUUUUACAGUCGCAGAAGCUUAUUCACCUUGUGAGGGCUGGUCAGGUGGGCACCAUCACUCUCCUUACGCUUUAUAGAGAGCGAUAGUCCAUGUGGUCAGAUCUCAUUCAGAUAACUAGCCAAGUGGGCAAUCGCUCCACCUUAUCAAAAUUCUUCAUCUUAUAAUAAUAUCAUGAGUAGGCCUUGAAUUUUUCUUUUAAUUUUAACAUUUAAAAGGUGGUGGUGAAAAAGUCUAAAUAGUAUUUUUGUCCUCGUACUUUAAUAACAUUUCUUGAAAGUCACUCGAUCUCAAAAUUUAAUUAAGAAGAUAUUAUAGAUUUAUAAGCCCUUAAAAUUUAUUUGCAAGUAAGCCCAUAAGACUUACUAAAAGUCGUCAACUCGUCAUGACCAAAAUUGAAAAUUCUUCCGCGUGUGAAAUACGGCAUGCACAGACGUAUUAAAAGCAAAGGCCAGCUAUGAUAUUCUUCGUAUACUUGCAUUCCCUAUCAUCUUAUUAAUAAUUUCAGACACGUAGUUCGUUGCUUGUGAUUUUUCAUAUGCAAAAGCACAGUCAGUGUUACAAUUUACAAUUACAAUUGGGUGCCAUCUAUAUACUCCUUCCUUGUUUUCAAAAUAUGUUGUAGGAUGGGUAAUUGUAACAAAAGUGAUUUUUAAAAAGAUUUAUUAUAAUAUUAAAAUUAACUUUUAAUUUUUUUAAAUUAUUUUUGAGCUUUCUGAAAAAAAAAUCCUAAACCGGUCUCAGAAGUAUAAUUAGAACCACGAAUUUAUAAAAUGAUCAAAGGAAUCCAUCGCCUAAUAUUAUAGUACGCAAUGGAUUGCUAUAAACUAAAUUGCUAUGAUCUCACUUCAUAAUAAUUUAUUUUCAAUCUCCAUCAUGGUAGAAAAAUUUCAUCAAUCAACAUACCCUACCACCACCCAAUAGUCGACCAUUUAUCAUCUUCUAUCCGUAAAAAAACGAAAAAAAAAAAAGAGAAAAGGAAAAAUUUAGUCCACAAAAGAAAAUAUCGCAAGACCAAACAGAGAGAGAAAAUAGAAAAAGCAAAGAGCUGUACUGAAUACCGGCGGUGAUGGCUCGGUACUUGACCAUUUAGGUUUGAUUCUGCAUUAACAUAAUAUUUUUUCUGCACUGCAUUCACAUCACAACCAUUGAAUAGUCGUGAUCUAUUUUUCUAAAGCGAAUAAUAUUAUCUUCUCGUGUCGGUGGCUUGAUCAUAUAACAAAAUAGACUAAUAAUGUUUCAAUAGACAUUUUGGUAAAUGGAAGAAGUUAUGAUCUGUCCAUUUUUAUGUUACUUUAUUUUAAUUUGUUAAUUACUAUUAAUAUCUUUGAGUGGGGCAGAAUCUUGACCUAAGAUAUAGGGAUGGCAAUGGGGCAUAUAUGGGUUGGAUUUACUCUGCUCCAUAUCCAAAUCCAUAAUAAAAAUUAAGAUCCGUAUCUGCUCCAGAUCCGUCAUGAAUCCAUAUUUUUCGGUCCAUAUUCAGAUCCAAAAAAGAAAUAAAUAUCUAUAUCUACUCCAAAUCUGAAAAAAAUUAAAAUCCAAAUCUGCUCUAAAUCUGUCAUGAAUUCUAAAAUUCAGUAAUAAAAAAUUAAUAAUUUUUUAGAUUGAAAAUUGAAGGCUAAAAUGUAUUGAUAACAAAUAAAUUAUAUAAUUUUUCUCAAAAAUAUAAUAAAUAUUGUAUCUUAUACUUUUUCACCAAAACAACAAAUAAGAAAGAUAAUAAAAUAUCAUUUAGAAGUAAUUGCAGGAGUAAGAUCAAUCUAAUAUUAUAUUGUCUCCUUCAUCAUUCUAAUAUCCACGAUACACCUACCCUCAUUCCUACAACAUUAGAUAAUGACAUAUAAAUUAAAUAUGAUUUAUAUUCAGUCCUUUAUUAUUUUUAUUAUGACCAUAUUUGACUAAAUAUAUGAAUAACUAUAUUUCUUAAAAAUUAUUUGGCCAAUAUAAUAAAAUAAAUUGCCAAGUUAUAUUACUUGGCUUACAAUUUAAAUAUUGCAUGUACAUGCUUUGGGGUUGGCUGGCCUUUAAAUUUACAAAACUAACUUUUAAGUUUUAAGAGUUUAAAUGCAUGGUAAAUACUACUAAUAUGCUAUGAAUAAAAUUUAUUAUCAUUAUAAUUCCACAAUUGUUAAGAAACUUUUAAAAUAAAAUAAAAUUAAAAGAUGAGUGGAUAUGGAUAUGGAUUUAGAUAUUAAGAUAGAUCCAAAUCUGCUCCAGAUCCGUCUUAGAUCCGCACAUCGAUAUCCAAAUCCGAUCCAAAUCUAUUUUAAACCGAUCCAAAUCCGAUCCGAUUGGAUUUGGAUCACGUGGAUCUUGGAUCAGAUCCAAUCCAUUGCCAUCCCUACUAAGAUAUGACUAGGCUCCACAUGUUAUAUAUUAAUUUGAUUAAGCCCAGCUAAUUGUUAAUUAUUAAUUUGAUUGCGGCUUUUUAUUUUACCCACAUUUUUUACGCGUGAAAUCUUUCUUAGUGAAAAACUACACGUAUUUGCAAAUAUUCGGAAUGGACAUUUUCGAAAAAACAAGUAAAAGAAAAUGACUAAAAAGUAAAAGAAAAUAGACACCCAAUUGUAAUUACGAGUACAAUAGAAGGAAUGCAACACAAUACCGAUUUUGCAGUCGCUGAAGCUUAUUCACCCUAUGAGGGCUGAUCAGGUGGGGGCCGUCGCUCUCCUUACACUCUUAUAGAGAGUUAUAGUCCAUGAUCUCAUUGAGAGAACCAGCCAAGUGGGCAAUCGCUCCACCUGAUCAAAAUUCUUCAUCUUAUAAUAAUACCUUGAGUAGGCCUUCAAUUUUUUUUUUCAAUUUUAAUCUUUAAAAGGUAGAAGAGGUGAAAAAGUUAAAUAAUAUUUUUGUCCUCCUAUAUAACAUUUUUUGAAAAUCACUCGUUCUUAAAACUUAAUUAAGAAAAUAUUAUAGAUUUUUAAGUUAGUGGCCCUUAAAAUUUAUUUGCAAGUAACAAUUAGAGAAAAGUCGUCAUGCCCAAAUGACUUACUAAAAGUCUGCAACUCGUCAUGACCAAACAUCUUCCGAGUGUCAAAUACGGCAUGCGCAGAUGCACUAAAAACAAAGGCCAGCUAUGAUAAUCUUUGUAGUAUUAAUAAUUUCAGACGCGUCGUUCGUUGCCUGUGACUUUUCAUAUGCAAAAGCGGAGUCAGUGUUACUUGCAUUCACUGUCACCUUAUUAAUAAUUUCAGACACAUCGUUGGUUGCCUGUGAUUUUCAUAUUCAAAAGCACAGUCAGAAUUACAAUUUACAUUUGGAAUUGAGUGCCAUCUAUUUAUUCCAGCUAAAUCUAAAAUGAUGUUGCAGUAUUGCACUGAUUUUUUAGUCACAGCGUUUCUCUAUGAAUUCCUUAAACUUUAGACCCAUCAUAGAAUAAUUAUUUUCUUAAAGACCAAAUUAACAUAAUUCUUAAAUCAUUUAUAAAACAACAUUUAUCAGAUAACAGAUUGUACAUGAAUAAAUUUACCUUGAACCGUAGCAAACAAACAAGAAUCUCAACAACAUCAAUAUCAUAAUCCCUUCUGACCUUAACAGUAAUUUUAUUCGUCCUUAAUUCAUAGGUAUAAGUAUCCCAAUAUAUACUUGAUGUCAACCUUUACAAUUCUUUACAGAAUUGCAGCAGACCAAAUUUGUAUGCAAAACUGAAAUCAUACAGUAAUUGAAUACAGUGAAAAUAGACAUGAUGGGAAUUAGUAUAUAUAAAUAUCUUAAUAAUUUAAAAGUUUCUUAAACUGAUUUUACAUAUCUGAAAAAUUAUAGAAAUCGGAACUGCUGCAGAAAUCAUAAUUUUCCAGCGAAUGUGUUACAACUUCAGAAACUCAUAAGAAAUUAAAUUCUUGGGAUCACAAAAUAAUUCAUCAAUUUAAGAGAUUCAGCAGUACUUUUAUUACAUCAAUUCUUCAAACAAUCACCAAUCUAACAUUCAUCAAAAUUAAGUCAUAAAAGUCAUGUGGUUUAUAAAAAGAAUUACCUGAAAAAGAUUAGCCUUCCCCUUUCAAAAGCAACGAGAAACUCCAAAAACUCUUCUUCCAUUGCCUAUUCAAACAUGAAAAAAAAAAAUUAGUAUCUCUUCUUUAAACGCGCGAUGAGUGUGCUCUGUUUUCUCUGUUCUUUUUCUUUUUUAGAUUUCGAAAACGUAAAGAGUGUUGGAGUCUUUAUUUUCUAAAAACAAGACUUUUCCAUGUAUUCAGUUAAAUUAAAUUAUGUCCUAAUGCUAUGUCAGUUCCAUCAUUAGCAUUUUUUUUUUCCUUUUAACACCAACAUUAGCGUAUGUUAAGUAUCAUAAUCCAUAGUUGGACAAUUUGAAAUCUCUUCGUGUAGUUGACUGGCAACAACUAUAUUGGCAUUUAGACAUAAUGUACUGCAACCAUAUUGACAUGUUCAAAUGUUCUCACUAUUGUAUUGGUGUGUCGAUAUUAUCUCUAUCAGUCCUAUAGAUCCAAAAAUAAUCUAAAUUUACAAUUUAACUUAAAAUAAAAUAAUUGGUAGAAAACAAUUAUGGUUCAUUUACUUAUCAGUAAUUAAAAUAGACUGAAAUUAGAAUGAGUUGUAUUGACGUUGAUGUGUUUCUGUUGUCCUCGAAUCGGAAUGAAUUAUUUUAACUUACUAAAAUACCCUUUGUUUGUUAUUCUAAUUAUUAUUAUUUAAUAUUUAUUAUAAUAUUUGUCAUAUUAUUAAAAAGAAAUAAUAAUGAUGAUAAUAUUAUCAUUAUUGUUUGUUAUAUUAUUAUUAUUCAAAAAAAUUGUUGUUAAUAACUAUAAUAACUUUAUUUCAAUAAUAAAAAUGAUAAAAUUAAUAAUAACAAACAUGACAACAACAAUAAUUAUUUAUUAUGCCAAAAAAUAACAAUAAUGAUAAGAAUAAUAAUCAUCAUCAUUUUUUUCCCAAAGAAGCAUUAUCAUCAUCAUUUCAAAAAAAAAAAUCAUCAUCAUCAGCAUUUUUGUAGUGGCUGCCUAUCGGCUGCUGCUUUCAUGUGAGAUUGACUUGCGACGCUUCAACUACUAUUAUUUCUGGCAAUGUCAGGUGUUGUUGUUUCAAUCUGGGGAGAAGCUGUUUCGGUGAGCUAACAAUGGGAGGUGUUGCUGCUCGAUGCGAGGUCCAUGGCCAGCUGUCUUGUUUUACACCCAGCUCUUGUAGGAAAUUAUUCAUCCACAAUAUUUCUUUGUAACCUUCAAUAAUUGUAAUAUCAUUUGCUUCCGUGGUAGAAAAGACAACUCAUUACUAAAGUCUAGAUUGCGAUGAGACUGCCUUCCCUACAAAAGUGAGCAAAUAUCCUCAUAGGAAUCUUUCAGAAUCAACAUCUCUUGCCAUAUCUGUUAAGAAUAACAUAUGCUGAGUCAGCUACUGAGUCAUCAAGCCACGCUGGAAGUCAGUUUUGCAGUUAGUUAGAGAGCUUAUCAGCUUCUCUCCAAAAGUUUGUUAUGUGUAUUAGAAUAUGUGCUCACGAGUUUUGUGAGUUUGUAACCUUGAAAAGAUUCUCACACUACUAUAAAUUGUAUUGUGACUCAAUUAAUAAAAGUUGUUGAAGCUUUGCAUUUUCUCUCAGUCAAAAUUUUCUCUCUAUUUUUCUAAGUAACCAAACAAAAUCUACAGAGCAUUUUGUAUUUUAACUUGGUAUCAGAGCUUGAAUCCAAUGGCCUUAAUCGGUUCCAAUCAACAGUCGAGCAACACUUCCAUAACUUCUUUCACCUUCACAAAUCCAAUUAAGCUUGAUCGUGCAAACUAUACGAUCUGGAAACAGCAAGUACUUUCUUCAAUUCGUGGCAAUGGUCUUGAAGGCUAUAUUGAUGGAUCAAGGAUCUGUCCUAGUCAAUUUCUUUCUCCAGAGGCUAGAUCUGAAGGUUCUUCUUCUUCUAACAUCGAAGGUCAAGAGAAUCCAGAGUAUGCAGCCUGGAGACGUCAAGAUCAGCUCCUGCUCAGCUGGAUUCUGUCGUCCAUGAAUGUAGAUAUUCUCAGUCUUGUGGUAAGCUCUAAGACUUCUUUUGAGUUGUGGAAAAAUCUAGAAAAACAAUUUGGAUAUGAAUUUAUGGCUAAGAAGGUUCAUCUGAAAAUGCUUUUGAGUAACCUGCGAAAAGGAUCUCUAACCAUGUCUGAGUAUUUUACAAAGCUUAAGUCAGUUACAGAUGGUCUUGCUUUAGUUGGUAGCCCUGUGCAUGAUUUGGAUUUAAUCACUCAUCUUAUUACUGGUCUAGAUCAGUCAUAUUAUCCUGUAGUAGUCUAUAUUGAGGCAAACAUGUUGAAAAUGGAUCUUAGUGAGGCUUAUGCUAUGCUUCUCACACAUGAGGCUAGACUUGAGAAUAAUAAGCUUCAUGAUAGUAAAGAAACCAAGAACAAUUAUGCAACAAAUGUAGCUCAGGUUGGAAAUUUUUCAAAGAAAGGUAAUAACAAUAAUCAAAACAACUGGAAGGAUGGAGGAAACAAUUGGAAUAAUAACUCUGGUGGAAGAGGUGGUUACCAAGGGUUCAAUCCAGGAAGAGGAAACUGGAAUAAUAAUAAUUUCAGAGGUGUUGCUGGUGGAUUUAACAGUGGAUUUCCUGGUCUCGUGGCUUCAAUAACAAUUAUGGCAGAGGUGGUUUCAACUCAGGCCAAAAUUUGGUGGUUGUUGAAGCCAACAAAAAUAAAUUCCUACUCUAAAUAAAUUGUGUAUAGUGAUUGAGCAGGGUCGUGUCCACAGAGAUCGGUAAUUAUUUAAAUCCUUUUGAAACGUAAAACGCAAAAUGGGGGAAUUGUUGACAAUAAUAAAAAUCAAAUUAAAGUAACAAGAAUGCAAAUUAAAGUUGUAAUUCAAAUUGGAGAAAGCUCUGGUUGAAGGAAUUAACUCAGCUUGAUUCGACUACUGAUCAUUGAUUCAAAUAUAGAUUAUUAUUACUCAUGAAUAGACCGGUUAUAGCUACUGAGACCCUCUAAUAGCCAAUCUCUCCUUAACUAGUCGAUAACCAAGGUACGACCGUUGGUUAUUUCCCUAAUCAAUAGACAACCCUAGAUACGAUCAUAGAAUUUAAUCAAUUGACAGCCUGAAAAACCAGAGAGACCCAAAUCCUAAUCAACACAUAUGAUGAUUCAUUUAAAUUAGAUUGUUUAUUCUCACAACACAACUCUCUGCUAUGUUAUUUGUCACAAGCAUUAAAUUCUUCAUACGAUGAAUCCUUUAAUUGACAAUAGAUUAAGUUGAUAAUUAAAUAGUGGCCAAUUACCUAAUUAACAAACAUAAUCAUGAAACUAAUUCAGAGAAUAAACAAAUACCCAAAAAGCAAUAAAACAAUUAAAGCACAAGAAAGAUCUCAUAGUAGUGAUGAAUCAAAGCUUCAUUAACCUUCAACCAGAAAAAUAAGUUUAGUUCUUCAUAGAGAGAAGAGAAAAAUUAAAUCUAGGGUUUCUUUCUUUUUUUUUUUUCCAAUCCAAAAAAUCCCCCUUUUUCACAAUAGAUUCCUCCCUUAAAUACUCUCUCUCUCUUCUCCUCUAGAAUUUUAUUUAAAAUAAAAUACUAAUAUCUGAAAUAUUAAAUUCGUAAUUACAAAAAUAACCAAAAAUACAAAACACGUUAAACUAAAAACUGCAGGUCCGCAGUUGACAGCACGCGCCCACGCCUUAUCAAUAAAGUUCUUCUGACGCUCAUAAUUUCUCCAAGAGAACAAUCAUCCUUAAACAUCAUCUUAUAGCUCAAUUUUAUCACCAACCAAUAGAAUUGCACCUACAAAAGUAAAUCACUAUUAUUAAGUGCAAAACAUCGAUAUUAAAAGAAGUAAACAAUGCAAAACUAGUGCAUAAAUUGCACUCUAACAGAGGUGCUGGAAAGAAUUUUGCUCAGGGAACUGGUGCUGCUUGUCAGAUAUGCUUCAGGUUUAAUCACACAGCAGCUGAUUGCAGAAACAGGUUCAACAGAAAUUUUAUCCCAAAUUUUCCAGCUCCAGCUCCAAAUUACUUCUCUAAUCAGCACCAAGGACCAAGAGCAGCCUUCAUAACAACAUCUGAAGGAGCUGCUGAUCAGGGAUGGUUUCUGGAUAGUGGUGCAACUCACCACUUAACCAACACAGUUCAGAAUCUGAGUGAUGGUAAGAUCUAUUUUGACUCAAACUUACUUACUGUUGGUAAUGGCCAAGGUUUUAGAAUUACUCACAUAGGUUAUACACAACUUCACACUUCUUUUGGCACCUGCUUACAACUACAGAAUAUUUUGUGUGUUCCUCAAAUUACCAAGAACCUCAUUAGUAUUUCCAAACUCCUCACUGAUAAUGAUAUAAUCAUUGAAUUUUUCUCUGAUGUUUGCUUUCUAAAGGACAAGGUGAAGGGCACUCUGUUGGCUUAGGGGAUUGCUAGAGAUGGCCUAUACAAGCUACUGUCAAAAAAGGAAUCUCUCUCUUCUUCCACUUCUGUUCUGCCAGUGUCUCAUCCUAGUUCUAUGAUGUCAACUCUUUCCUGCAAUAAUGUAAUUACUUCUGUUCAAAGUUCAAAUAAUGACUUCUGUUUUAAGUUUACAUUUCCUGUAAGCUUUCAAACUUCAAUUUCUGUGUCAGCAAAUAUAUUGCACAAUAGACUUGGUCAUCCAAGUAAGCAUGUCAUACAAACUAUUCUCAGAAACAAUUGUUUAAUGUCAGCCAAUGUUAAUAAAUCAAAUUUUCUUUUCUGUGAUGCCUGUCAACUUGGAAAGUUACAUCAAUUACACUUUCCCGCUACUAAAAUCAAAACAAAAUAUCCCUUAGAAUUAAUACACACAUACUUAUGGGGACCAGCUCCAGUUUUAUCACUAGAUGGUUAUAGAUACUAUAUUUCCUUUGUUGAUGACUUCACCCGAUAUUGUUGGAUCUUUCCCUUAGUUUUAAAAUCUGAUGCCCUUACUACUUUCAAAAACUUCAAGAGCUUAGUUGAGAAACAAUUCAAUCUGCCCAUCAGAAUUUUACAGUCUGAUAUGGGAGGUGAAUUCAAAGCUUUUCAGUCAUUUCUUCAACAAUAAGGUAUCCAAGCUAGAUUUAGUUGUCCCUAUACUCACCAUCAAAAUGGUGUUGUUGAGAGAAAACAUAGACACUUAGUAGAAACUGGAUUAACACUCCUUGCUCAAGCAAAAAUGCCUAUUUCUUUCUGGUGGGAGGCUUUCCAUACAACCUCUUAUCUCAUUAAUAGAAUGCCUACCACUACACUGAACAACUUAUCUCCCUAUCAAAAGCUUCAUAAUCAGCCACCAAACUAUCAACUUCUCAGAGUUUUUGGUUGUGCUUGCUAUCCUUUUCCCAGGCCUUAUAAUGACCACAAGCUUGAUUUUCAUUCCCAAAAAUGCUUGUUUUUAGGUUACAGCCCUCUUCACAAAGGAUAUAAGUGUCUAACAAAGUCAAGCAAAGUAUAUGUUGCUGUUCAUAUUAUUUUUAAUGAGUCUGAUUUUCCCUAUUCAGAGUUGUUCGCUUCAUCUGAAUCUUCUUCCAAUUCUCUGUCAUCAUACUCUCCAUCUAUUUGUAUCCUCAAUGACAGUGGCUUGCAUCAGUCAUCAGCUAUAUCUCCUGCUUUAGCAGAGUUACCAACUCACAUUCACCUCAACAUCCUCACCAAGCCCCACACUCUCCUUGUCCCUCUCCAGUCUCAAAUUCCUACGGCUCAUCAUCACCACAUUCUUCAUCACAUAAUGCUUUAGCCAAUCCCUCUGAUGAAUUACAACCAUCAUCUCAACCUGUCAUUUCAACUCAUCAGAUGGUUACUCGAGCCAAAUCUAGUAUUUUUAAACCAAAGACCUACCUUACAGCUACCGAAGACCUUGAACCAGUGAGUGUUAAAGCAGCCCUGAUUGAUACAAAGUGGAAAAUGGCUAUGCAAGAAGAGUAUAAUGCUUUGCAGAAGAAUGACACCUGGACAUUAGUUCCAGCUGAAACCGCUACAAAACUCGUUGGAAAUAAGUGGGUUUUUAGAGUUAAAUAUAACCCAGAUGGUAGCAUUUCCAAGUAUAAGGCUCGGUUGGUUGCAAAAGGUUUUCAUCAAACUUAUGGAGUAGAUUUCUUUGAAACCUUUAGUCUAGUUGUUAAACCCUACACUGUUCGUAUUGUUCUCAGCUUAGCAGUCAUGCAUUGUUGGCCAGUUCGGCAAUUGGAUGUUAACAAUGCCUUUCUUAAUGGCAUGCUUACUGAAAAUGUGUUUAUGCCUCAGCCAGAAGGCUUUAUCAGCUCUCAGUUUCUCAAUCAUGUCUGCAAAUUACAAAAAGCCAUUUAUGGUCUUAAGCAGGCUCCAAGGGCUUUGUAUGAUAGAUUGAAAGGGUCUUUAGUUCGGUGGGGUUUCAGAUCUUCAAAGUCAGAUACUUCACUGUUUUUCAAGCAUAUUGGCAAUAAUGUUCUCAUCAUCCUUGUUUAUGUAGAUGAUAUCCUGAUAACAGGCUCUAGUGCUGUUUAUAUUUCAGAGGUUAUCAGUCUACUUAGCUCAGAAUUUGCACUUAAAGAUUUAGGAGAUUUUAACUACUUUCUUGGGGUAGAAGUGACUCCAUCUGCUGAAGGAUUACAUCUAUCUCAAACUAAGUAUGUUGGUGACAUCUUAAGAAAAGCUCAUAUGCUUGAGAGUAAAGGCUGCAAUACACCUAUCAGUAUUGUUGAUAAGUUGCAGAAGGACAAAGGUUGCUCAUUUACAAAUCCCUCACUUUACAAAAGCAUCAUUGGUUCUCUGCAGUAUCUGACACUGACCAGACCAGAUAUCGCAUUCACUGUAAACAAAUUGAGUCAGUUUUUAGCUGCUCCAACUAUCUUGCAUUGGCAGGCUUGCAAGAGGGUAUUACGAUAUCUACAAAGCACAACACAUUUUGGACUGCAGUUCUUCAAGUCAGGUCCUCCAAGUCUCAUAGCAUAUUCUGAUGCAGAUUGGGGGUCUGAUCCAGAUGAUAGAAGAUCUGUUGGAGGGUAUUGUGUUUAUCUUGGAUCCAAUCUUGUGUCUUGGUCAUCUAAGAAACAGAACAUUGUUUCCAGGUCAUCUGCUGAAUCUGAGUAUAGAGCUUUGGCCUUAGCUACAUCUGAGGUUUUGUGGAUUACAUAUCUGUUGAAAGAGCUCAAAGUAUCACUUCCCAAACCUCUUGUUCUUUACUGUGACAACAACAGUGCAGAAGCUUUGGCUAGCAAUCCUAAGUAUCAUUCCAGAACUAAACAUAUAGAACUGGAUUUACAUUUUGUCAGAGAACACAUUGCCAACAAGGAUCUCUUCAUUGAACAUGUGUCUAGUUCUGAUAAGUUAGCUGAUGUGCUUACCAAACCUCUGAGUUUUGAUAAUUUUGCCUAUAUGCGAACUAAGCUCAAUGUCUGCCCACGACCUUGAGCUUACGGGGGCAUGUUAAGAAUAACAUAUGCUGAGUCAGCUGCUGAGUCAUCAAGCCACGCUGGAAGUCAGUUUUGCAGUUAGUUAGAGAGCUUAUCAGCUUCUCUCCAAAAGUUUGUUAUGUGUAUUAGAAUCUGUGCUCAUGAGUUUUGUGAGUUUGUAACCUUGAAAAGAUUCUCACACUACUAUAAAUUGUAUUGUGACUCAAUUAAUAAAAGUUGUUGAAGCGUUGCAUUUUCUCUCAGUCAAAAUUUUCUCUCUGUUUUUCUAAGUAACCAAACAAAAUCUACAGAGCAUUUUGUAUUUUAACUAUAUCUACACACUUAUAACACAAGUUUGUCACCACUAAAAUAUAAACAUGUUCUGUAAAUGCCUCUAAGAUAUCUGAGAAUUCAUUUCACUACUGUCCAGUGCUCUUUGUCCAGAUUGGAGAGAAACCGACUGACUACACUAACUGCGUAAACAAUACCUGGUCUUGUACAAAUCACGGCGUACACCAAACUGCCAACUGCUGAAGCAUAAGGAACUCCUCUCACGGAGAAAUGGGUUUUGCUCUUGAGAUCUUUGGGAACAUGAAGAAUAAAGAUGUAAUUUCUUGGACUGACAUUGUUUCGGGGUAUAUAAAUAGAGGACAAGUGGAUAUAGCUCGACAGUAUUUUGCUCAGAUACCAGAACGAGAUUAUGUCUUAUAGACUGCCAUGAUUGAUGGGUACCUUCGAGUGAAUAGGUUCAGAGAGGCUUUGACACUUUUCCGGGAGAUGCAAACUUCAAAUAUAAGGCCAGACGAGUUUACCAUUGUUAGGAUUCUUACAGUUUGUGCGAAUCUGGGGGCACUAGAACCGGGAGAAUGGAUAAAGACUUACAUUGACAAAAACAAGGUCAAGAAUGAUAUAUUUGUGGGGAAUGCUUUGAUAGACAUGUACUGUAAAUGCGGAGAUGUUGAGAAAGCUCAAAGGGUACUCAGGAAGAUGCUUCGAAAGGACAAAUUCACAUGGACGGCCAUGAUUGUUGGCCUUGCCAUCAGUGACCCAUUUCCUACGAUCAGACCGGAUAAGGUAACUUAUGUUGGUGUUCUGUCUGCCUGUACUCACAAUGGUAACGAAACUUUUGUGAUAAAUAGUUGCGACUUAAGGUGAGAAUUGGAGGAAACGAAAUAGACUGAAGUUGUUCAAUCAUCGGUGGUUGCUAUUUGAUUUUAAGUUGUUCAAUCAUCGGUCAUCUCUAUUUGGUUUUCUCCAAUAUCUCAUCUCCAGUUUUGACUCAGAUUCUGUCUUACCACUAGUAAUUAAAAGUGAGGAGGCAGCAGUCAAUGCUAUUUCGGCUUGGCCCAAAAUUUCACCAGUUUGUUAGUGUUCUGCAGCUCUUGCUGCUUUCCUAGAGAUUCUGCAUCUUUUGCAAUUUGAUUGAUUAAAAAAAAAAAAAUUAGUGGCCAUUUAGAAUGAAGGAGAGAUUUGUGUGAAUGGUAUAGGUGAAAAAUUGGAUGAAAAUAAACAGGCAACCGUCCGUAUAAAACAACAAUAACAAUAUACAAAAAGAUAAGUAGACACUUCUGUAAUUCACGAAAGGAAAUUUAUGGUUGUUUCUGAAAAACAUACAUAUUAAUUUCACUUAUACUCUAAGGUGGGAUAGAUGUCAACUAGCUAUGCUAAUGAUACCUUGCCAUCAUGACUGGACUUGUGAGGAAUUUGGAAACAUGUAUGAUGAUUGUUACUUACACAAUUGUAGAAAGAAAUGCUGAGGUGGCUUGAACCAGAUGGUGAAAUCGUCUAACACACUUAAUUGUUAGAUGUGUUUUGGAUAUUCACAGUUAGGUUGAAAUUUGUAGUUUUCACUUGAAAGAAUUCAGUUAAAAAUUGAUUGGUAGAAUUGUAAAAUAGUCUAAAUUUUUAGUUCAAACCCAUUGCAUAUUUAAGAACAUCUUAAAUGAAUUGCUUAUUGCUAUCAUCAUCAUUAUUGUCCAUAUAAUAAUAAUAAUAAUAAUAAUAAUAAUAAUAAUAAUAAUAAUAAUCAAUAGAAAUGUUAUCUUAUCCACUAUUUUAUAUAUGUUUCCACUAAAAUCUAUUUAAUUAUUCUUUAUUUUUUUUCAACUGUUGCAUGUUAGAUUUAUUCGAUUUCCUAAGUUAUAUCAAUAGAAAUGUUAUCUUAUCCAUAAAAAGUUAGAUCUAACAAUUAUGAAAAUUACUAUAGUGCUGCUUUGAAUAAUUUUUUAAAAAUACCACAAGUAAAUAAUAAUUAGUUUAAAUAGUGGAGACUAAAAAGCAUUCACCCUUAUUUUUUAUCUGUUAUUAGUUUUUUUUAAUCUGUUAUACAUUUGAAACAUUCCAUUAAUUGCCAAUUAUGUAAGCGAGAUAGUAAUUAAUUUUUUUUAUUUAAAAAAAGUGAAAAUUAAUCCUAUGCAAUGUGAAUAAAUUUCUUUCCUUUUUCCUUCACUCUUUUUAUUUGAUAAUUAAGUUUCAAUCUAUGUACGCAAAAUUUCUGCAACAGCUGCAAAACAUAAAAAUAUAUGAUUGUUAAGGGAAACACGCAGAAGUUCAUCACUUCAAUGUUCAGUAUUUCCAAUUUUGGCAUUAAGCUCUUACGAAUAUAUUCCACUUAGAAAGCAAAAUAUUAGAAUUGUGAUUUUAAUUCAUUCAUCAUAUCUCAUUUCAAUCCCAAAAUAUUCAAGUGGAUCCAAGUUACCAUAAGGCUUCAGAGGCUCGAGCCUUAGCCAGAGAUGGUUAAUUGAUAGACUAGGUAAGAGAAACCAAGGUUGAAGUAUGUAGAAAUGUUAUUUCAUUUAUUUUUAUUUAUGAUUUUUUGUAAAAUGUAAGAAAUAUGUAGAAAUGUUGCCAGCAAUGAUUUUGGAACUUUGCAUAAAAUUUUUAUCAUUAUUGUUUUUGGUAUUAAGAAAUCCGAGGCGGUGAUUAGACGUAUGUUGCAACAAUUAAGAAAUUUCUUAUUGGAGAUAAUUUGGUAGGUUGCAACAAUUAGAGAAUCAUUUUCCUGUCAGUUAAUCAAUCAAUAAUAAAUUUCAAAUUGCAGAAAAUAAAAUAAUACUGUCGCACUUAGAAUCAUCUUUUCUAUCUCUUUCAAUUGUGACAAUCAUUUGUAACAAAUAAAUCAAUUUGAUGCACAUCAUUUCCCCAAUUCAAAGUUCAAGUCACUGCUCAAUUGCAGAGUAGUUAGUAGACAUGCAUGCAUGUUUAAUUAAGUACUGCAUUGUAGUAUCGAAAAUCAUAACAUCUCACCAAGCCCGGAAGCAUAGCUCUUUAUCUUGUAAAUGUUGAAAUCUUAUGCAAACUAUGGGAACCAUGAGCUCACUCUCAGUGUCACUUGAUUCCAUUUUCUGUUCUUGCCUUGAUUUCGAUGUUGGGAAUGUGACGUCUGAGUCUAAGGUUGAAGAUAAUCUCGAUGCCUUGCGGACUGCAAUGGAAAUAAAAUAUUUGUGUGUUGAGAAAUGAUGAAAUGAUGCAAUGGAAAUAAAAUCUCAAUCUCUUGAGAAAUGAUGUGAUAAGAAGAGUUACUGUUGCUGAAGGACAACAUCAAAUGCAACGAAUGGAUCGAGUGCAGGGCUGGCUUUCAAGGGUAAAAUCUGUGGAAAAUAAAGCUGAUGAUUUGAUGAGACACAGCUCUCAAGAGAUUGAGAAGUUAUGCCUUGGAGGCUUCUGUUCCAGGAACUGCAAAUGAAGCUACAGCCGUGGGAUAGAAUUUGCAACAAUGCUACGAUUGUGGAGAGUUUAAUGGGUGAAGGAUCAUUUGAAUAGGUGGCUGAGAGGGUGCCAGAAGAUGCAGCAGAGGAGAUAAAUUGUGAGCCAACAAUAGUGGGCAUGUUGUCGACUUUUGAGAAAGCCUGGAGAUGCCUUGAAGAAGAAUCAGUUGGAAUUAUUGGCCUAUAUGUCAAUGGGGGAGUUGGAAAAUAUUUACUCAAAUCAACAACAAGUUCCUUGAUAGUCCAAAUAAUUUUGAUGUUGCGAUCUGGGUAAUGGUCUGCCAAGAUUUGCAACCCCAGAAGUUUCGGGAAAAGAUUGGGAAAAAGAAAGUCUUGUUCGAUGAGUACCGGAUUGAACUAUAUUAGAUUAUAUUUAAAUAAUAUUAAAUAGUAUUUAAGUUGGUAUUCUAAUAUAAAUAUCAAUUAUCCAUGAAAUUUUAUAAUCAUAAUUAAAAUAAAUUUAAAAAGCAAUUACUAGGAAAAUUAAAUAUAUUGCAAAAAGUUAUUGGGUAGUCAUAAUAUAAUAGGCAAAUAAAAUUAAAUAAAACAAAUUACAUAUUUAAUUAUAUUUAUCAAAUAUUUAAAAAUAUUAUAUAAAAUAUUAUAUAAAAUCAAUUAAUUAAUGAUAUUAUUAAUUUUCAUGAUUAUUUUUAAUAUUAUAUUACUGAUUAUUAAAUUUAAUACAAUCAAAUAAUGCAAUAAAUAAUUAAACAUUCAAUUUUAUUGAUUAAUUAUUAAAUAUACAAGUAAUGAAAAUUUUAUCUCAAGAGUUGGUAGAAGCGAAAGUACUAAUUUAAUUAGAUCAUAGAUAAUAAAUAAAAAUAAAUUUUAAGUAAAUCAUAAUAAAAAAUUAAUUAAUUAAUUCAAUCAAUCAAUAUUAGGUGUAAAUAAAAAAAUGAUAUAAAUAAAAAUCUCAUAAAUGUACAACUUUUAUCUUUAAUCUUAUCCUAAAAGAACAAAAAGCAGAAUAUAUAUUGAAGUGUUUUUCACACCUUUUCAUUAACUGGAAUGCAUGUAUUUAUAUACAUCAUUUGUAACUAAUAAAGAGAAAAUAAAGGAAACUAUACAUGAGAGUAUCAAGGAGAAUAAUGGAAGAGAUUGUUGUCCGUAACUUGUGGAGAGUAUCAUGGAGCUUGAGAUUAUCUGAUAUGCCCCCGCAAGAGGGUGUUGCCAUUGGCGACACCCAUCUUGAACCUUAAUUCAGAAAAUGGUCGCUUAGAGAGGGGCUUGGUUAGGCUAUCAGCAAGUUGAUCUGCUGUAGAUACAUAAGAUACGCGCAAUAGCCCUUUGUUGACCCAAUCACGAACAAAAUGAUAAGCAAGAUCAAUGUGUUUUACCCUUGAAUGAAAGACUGGAUUGCGACACAAAUAGGUAGUUCCAAUAUUAUCACAAUAGAUGGUAGGAGUUUGACUCAAUUGAAGGCCAAGUUCUUGAAGUAGAUUCUGAACCCAUCGAACUUCAGAGGCUGCAUUUGCGACAGCCAAGUACUCAGCUUCUGUUGUGGAACGAGCUAUUGAUUUUUGUUUGUUCGAGCGCCAUGAGAUAGGAUUGCCGCCUAGAUAAAGCAUAUAGGCUGAUGUAGAAGUAAUGAAAAUUUAAUCUCAAGAGUUGGUAGAAGCGAAAGUACUAAUUUAAUUAGAUCAUAGAUAAUAAAUAAAAAUAAAUUUUAAGUAAAUCAUAAUAAAAAAAUUAAUUAAUUGAUUCAUCAAUCAAUAUUAGGUGUAAAUAAAAAAAAUGAUACAAAUAAAAAUCUCAUAAAUGGACAACUUUUAUUUUUAAUCUUAUCCCAACUAAACACAUGUGUAAAUUAGGAUUAUUAAUUCCAUAAUUUUCGGAUUAAAUUCAAAUUUAUUCCCCCUUAAUCCAAUUCAACUAAACUUGUCAAACAUGGGAUAAAAAUUUAAUUAUAAAAUUAGUCCAAUUCCAUACUUAAUCCUAGCAUCCAAAUAUAGCUCAAGUUCUUUGCUUAAAGAAGCUACCAAAUUUGAAGAGCGUUUACGGGAAGGCCUUGCGUUUCCCAGAUGUAUGCAGAAUUUUUGUAUCUAAAUGCCCAGAACUUAAGAAGCUGACGCUGGAUUUUGAAAGGGCGGGCCAAGGUAAAAUUCUUAUCAAAUGAAAGGAAAAUCGAUGGAAACAACUUCAAUGGGAGGAUCAAGCAACUCAGGAUGCAUUGCUUCUGUUUUUCAAAUCAACUGACAAGUGAUUGAAGGGGGCAUCAUCAGCCUGGAUGGGGAGAUCCUGGAGCAGAUCAGCAGGGUUUGAAUCUGCAUCAUCAACAUCAUCAGGAUCUCUAUUUCUAUUGCUGGUCGUAAUGCCUGCCGACUGUUGCUUGAAAAAGUGAUUAAGUGAGCCAGUUUUUUGUUUAUUAAAUUUUGUUUUGUAGAGACAGUCACAAAGUAUUUUUCUUAGUUGUUCUAUAUGAGAGUGAUGUGAACCAAUUUUUCAAUUAUAUAUUCUGUGGGAAAUUGCAAGUAUUUUUAAAAUAUGAUCGUUAUUAAAGGAAACAAAGGAAUCAACACAGCAUACUGAACCUCAGCAGUAUGAAGCUAAUGAUUAAACUCCUCACACAAUUCAUAACAUGCAAAACCAUUCACAAAAUCAUCCACAGCAACCAUAAUUGGCGUCCAAUAGAAAUUUACAAGAAUUACUUUUCUGUUCAUGCAAUCGGCGUCUGAACGCGGCUGAUCGGUCACCGGUGUUGGCGUUUACUGUGAUUAGACAAAUUGUAGCACUUCAAAAAUAACUUCUAUAGGGGUAAUUUCGAUUUCACAUAAUUAAUUUUAUUUACAAUAUUUUAUUCCUGCAAGGUCAACUGAGAUUCUUUCCACCGGGCACACCCUUCAUGUUCUUUUAUUUUCUGUCUUUUAUUAGCCGUUGGAUUUUACUACUCUUAUAUCCAACGGCUUGCCACAACAAGACAAAUGAGGUGGUACCUUUCAACCGCUGAAAGGUAGUUUUGGCCCCAAGUGAAAGAGGGAAAUAGGGAAUUGAUGCUAUAUUUUAUAUUUUCUAUUUUACUACUCUUGUAUCCACCGGCCUUUCUUAUAUUUUAUUGCAAAUUGAUGCUAACAAGAAAAAGCUAGAUCAUAUUCCACAGAAAAGUGAGAAAACAACCAGAUGGAUUCUUUUAUUAAACUACAAAUUAAAAUGGUAUCACAAAUUCUCAUCAAUUUAUUUAAAUAUAUUCUUUUAACCCUCUUUUUAAUUUCACAAAUUCUCAUCAAUUUAUUUAAAUAUAUUCUUUUAACCGGAAACAAUUGAUAUCACUUAUUAAGAAUAACAAAAUUUACUAUUUAAAAAUGAAGAUCAAUAAAUUUUUAUCAAUCAUGAAAGUUAAUGAGUGUCAAGAAAUUAAUUUUUGCUAAACAUACAAGCUAAUAACUAUUAAAAAAAUCUUAUAUUAUAGAGAUCAUAUAUAUUAAGAAAGACCAAAAAAAAAAUUAAAAAAAUAGUUAAAUUCAGUGUAUAGUUUAUAGGAUGUGAGAGUGGUAAAAGAAUAUAUAAUUGUAAAAUAGAGAAAAAGAAAAAGAGAUUAGUAGAGAAUAAUUUUGAGAUUUUUUAAUUUUUAAUUUUUAAUAAUAAAUUUAUUUUAAAAAAUAGGUGUGGAGAAAAAUUUGAUGGGUUCAAGCAAUUCCACCUAAUUUUAUAUUAUCAAUACGCAAAUGAAAGUACAAAAAUACCUCUAAUAGAGUGAAAUAAAGAGUUCUCUAAUCUCUAGGGUUUCUCAUUCCAAUUUUGAAAUUUCCCUACUUUAUUUUGAAUUAACCCUCUUUGUUACCAUUGAAUUGUAACAUUCAAAAUUUGAAUAUGUUUUUACAAAUAGAAGAUUAUUGGGACAAAAACAAUAAGAAAUAGAAAACCUAGUUGAAAAAGGAUAUUACAAAAAAAGAAAUUGCCAUUACCAUUCAAACAUUUACACAGUAAAGGCAUUAACAGCAUAAGGCGGCAAUAAAACUUACUCAUAAUUAGGGGUGGCAAAAAAGUCCGAGCCGGCUUAGGCCCGGCCAAGCCCAGUCUAGAUCCGUGGACUUAAAGUCCGACCCGUAAGGAUGUGGGCUUAGAUAUAGACCUAAAAAUUACAAAACCCACAUAUAUUAGACCUAAACAAGAACUUAGCAAAAAAACCCAAACUUUCUAAAUUUAUGAAUAAAAAAUAAAUUUAAUUUAAAUAAAAAAAAUUAAAAUAUUAAAUUAAUUGAAUUUUUUAUAUUAAUAUUUAUUAUUUUAUUAAAUUAUAUUGUUAAUAUUUAAUGUAUUUGACUAUUAUUCUAUUUAUAUAUUAUAUUAUUAUUUUUAAUUUAAAUAUUUUUCUUAAUUUAAAAAAUUUUUAUAAUUAAUUUAAAAAGUUCAGGCCCAGCCCGAGUUCGGUCCAUCCAAAUUUAACGGAUUUUUGAAGAACCUGAACUUCGUUUGAAUGAUAUGGGUCCGGCCCAAGCCCGCAAAUUGCCAUCCCGUGAUAAUAACAAACAGAUAUGGCCCAGCCCGAGUUCGGUCCAUCCAAAUUUAACGGAUUUUUGAAGAACCUGAACUUCGUUUGAAUGAUAUGGGUCCGGCCCAAGCCCGCAAAUUGCCAUCCCGUGAUAAUAACAAACAGAUAUAGAUAGAUCGAUGGAUGGCAUUUUUUAAAUGUACCUUAAAAACCAAAACAAAAGCAAAAAUAUUAAAAUAUUACACCAACUGCUAACUAAUUAAUCUAAUAAAACGCCUCGCUUAAUCAUUUCCAGUCCACUAAACACGCUGAACGGAUUCCAGCCUCUGAAGUCUCAUCUCAUUGUUAAAUUCAUUGAUGAAAGCUUCAACUCGCCGAUUCAACUCAUCUUGACUCAUCGAUUCCUCCCUCCUCAGCGACGUUCUGUCACUGAACGUCUCAGAUUUCCUCAGCUCACGUUUCGCCCAAGCCGUCGGAUCAUUCUCAUCAUUAUCACUACCACAGGCGAUGGUGAUGAUGUGGAAGGUGGAAGAAGCGGCGAUGGUGAUGAUGAUGAUGAUGAUGAUGAUGAUGAUGAAGUUGACUAUGAUGUAAUUGUACGGCGGCGACAGCCAGAACCUCAAAGAAAUGAAGAGGCUAGGGAUUGUCGAUACCGUGAAACAAAUGUACGGGAUUAUUGCUACCUUAAACAGCAUGAAAGUUGAAACAAACCCGGCUGACAAAAAUAACAACUUUGCUACCCGCGUUACUGUCUCUAAUCUGCUUGAUUUUGGGUCGAAAUUUUGAAAAAGAUCCCCCAUUUUUCAAUUUUCACACACAAUAAAGAAGGAAAAAGAAAGGUAGCUAGAUUUUUUUUUUGUUUUUCAACAAGGGAAGAAAUAAGAAAAGAACAUUAAAAGGAUUUUUCAGGCUUUGAUGGUCAUUAAAAUGAGACCCAGGAAACCAUUGAAGCUAAAAAAAAAACGAGAAGCCAUGUAUUUAUAUAUGCUGCUUUGCUUUACAAAAUCUGACUGGCAUCAGGGUGAAAAAAAAGUGCCAUUUGUUGGUACAGAGAGACAGAGGAGAGUAGAGAGGCAGAUGCAGGGGCAGGGGCGAAGUCAAGGGACCAUUGAAUGGGCAAGCGAGGUUUCAAUUUAUGUAACGAGGGACGAUUAAAGUUCUUGCAACUUUCCUGCCGUCUGAUGAAAUCUUGACCGUUCGAUGGUACAAUAAUGGUUAUAAUGAUCUUGAAAGUGUUGGAGAGAUAAGUUUGUACAGAUUAUGUACGCUAAAUAAAAUCACAUUUAAAAUGGUUUUUGAUUUUAUUCUAUUACAGAUUACUUUUAUUAAAUAAAUGAAGGUACAUUGAGUGAGUGAGUGAGUGACUUCACGAUUUUGCACUAACGCCGCUGUGUUAUCCUCCGCGGCACUUGUCCUCAUCAUUUGUAAUUGAAAAGCUGAUUUAAGAUUUUAGAAUAGUGCCUUUUGGAAAAAAAAUAUAUAUAUAUAUCAACGGCCGAUUGAGAUUUCUUUUUUGAAGAUUUAAAAUUAAUUUUUUAAAAAAUUAAAAAUUAAUUUUAAUAUUUUAUAAGUUUUAAAAAAAUUAUUUUUAAUAAAAUCACUUCAUAGUAGAUUCCGGAAAGUAGAUAUCUAUGCUUUUUAAAUUUUAAUUUUAAGAAUUAAUUUUUUACUUAAUAUAAUCCUUGCAUAUAUUAUAAAAUUUUAAAAUCAUCUUCAUUAAUUACAAAAUAAGAUCAUUAAUUUUAAGGAGAUUAUAAUCAUUAUCAAUUAUAGGGAGAUUAAAUGCUUAAAGUGACAAGUGCAAAACUAUUUAAAAAUAGUCAGUAAAAGUAUAGGUGGGCAAUUAGUUCAAUUCUAUUUGAAUCAACUAAAUUAAAUUAUAUCGUGUUUCAUAAAUUUUUAAAGCAACUGAUUUUUUGUUUGGUUUAGAUAAAAAUUAAACUAAACCGAAAAAUCAAACGGUUCAAAGAAAAAAAAGUUAAAAACAAAUUUUAUAAACUGAUCGGUUUCCGUUAGAUUCAAUUCCAAAUCUAAACAAACCAAUCCAAAGUGAAAAUAAACAUUUUUGUUGAAUGCACUUUUAAUUUGUUUGGAUACGUCUCGACCCUCCAGUCUCUUGAUUAAAGUUCAUUUAUUAGGGUCCGCUUGUAAUACAGCGUCUGUAUCUCAUACAGUCAAAUUUAAUAUUUUAUUAAGAAAAAGGGCAACCGUUAGAUAGAAGUAGAUACAUCCAAUGGUUAAUAUCUGUGAUUACUCAUUUUGGUGACCGGAUAUGCCAAUUAUUAUUUCAUCAAUUAACUUACCUAAAAAAUCAUAGCCGUUGGAUUGAGAUGCCUCUCUCUCCCUCAAAAUAACAGCCUUCGUAUUCUCUCUGCUAUUGUUUUGUCCUACAUCUAGAAUUUUGGAUGAAUGAACUUGGUAUUCAAGAACAUUCACCACCCAUCACAGCAAAGAGCAAAGAUAUAGUCGAAGGAGUGCCAUUUAUUCAGGCUUACUUGAUCUGUCAGUCUCGCUUCAAUUCGUCACUCAUUUUCUUGCGCUCAGCUUCAAUCUAUCACUCUCAGCUUCAGUUCGUCACUCAUAGCUUCAAUUUUUUCACUGUCGUGAAUCAUCUCUCUUGCUGUAUCUCUCUCUUAUGUCUUCCAAUAAUUUCGGUGAGCUCUCUCUCUAAUUUAAUAUAUGAUUAAAAAUCUUAUCAUCUUAUCAUGUCAUUUAAAUAUGCUUGAAGUUUCAAUUUAGUUUAUGAAUAUUACUUGAAAUUUUAGAUUCAAUAAUUUUAGUUUUUUUUUUCUCUAUCAUCAAUCAUAUAUUUUUUCUUGCUCUUUAACUUCUUAUCUUCAACUAAAUGUGACCUUACAUUUAUUUAGUGUAUGAUCAAUUUUUAAAUGCACAAUAAGCAUUGCAAAGUUGGCGUUAUGCAAAGGCUAUCACAAUGUGAGCGUUCAAUUGGACAGAGUGUCAUGAUCAUACAUCCUUGAACCCAAUAUUUAUUCCAAUAACAAAUGUAGAUACGUAAACUACUUUUUUUUUUUAAAUAAAAAUAAAAAACUUCAAUGAAUCAAUCAAUUAUUUUCUGAAAUGUUAUGCGAAUUGUGAUUGUGAGAUUAAAAAAAAAUAUCCAUGCAAAUCAAAUUGUAACCGCCCUCUCAAGAUAAACCAAGUAACACAAAGCAUCAUUAACUCUUUCUUGUUUCAGCCACAGUACUAUUUUUUGCUUGAUGAGAAUAUAUUUAAAUAGUAUUUAAGUUGGUAUUUUAAUAUAAAUAUCAAUUAUCCAUGAAAUUUUAUAAUCAUAAUUAAAAUAAAUUUAAAAAGCAAUUACUAGGAAAAUUAAAUAUAUUGCAAAAAGUCAUUGGGUAGUCAUAAUAUAAUAAGCAAAACAAAUUAAAUAUUUAAUUAUUUUUAUCAAAUAUUUAAAAAUAUUAUAUAAAAUCAAUUAAUUAAUGGUAUUAUUAAUUUUCAUGAUUAUUUUUAAUAUUAUAUUAGUGAUUAUUAAAUUUAAUACAAUCAAAUAAUGGAAUAAAUAAUUAAAUGUUUAAUUUUAUUGAUUAAUUAUUAAAUAUACAAGUAAUGAAAAUUUAAUCUCAAGAGUUGGUAGAAGCGAAAGUACUAAUUUAAUUAGAUUAUAGAUAAUAAAUAUAAAUAAAUUUUAGGUAAAUCAUAAUAAAAAAAUUAAUUAAUUGAUUCAAUCAAUCAAUAUUAGGUGUAAAUAAAAAAAUACAAAUAAAAAUCUCAUAAAUGUACAAUUUUUAUUUUUAAUUUUAUUCAAACUAAAUACAUGUGCAAAUUAAGAUUAUUACAUCCUUGAACCCAAUAUUUAUUCCAAUAACAAAUGUAGAUACGUAAACUACUGGGAAGCAGCACACGUGUCCUGAAGAGAGAAAAAAAUCGAGCAAAUGCAGACAAUGGGAGUUGGCUAAAAGUUGGAUCUGCAAUUUACAAAAUCUGUAACUUAUUAGCCAGCUCCCAAAUUGUGUAGUCUUUUUUCAAAUUGUACAGACAUUUAUAAAUUGGUGGCCCCUUGAAAAUUUAAUGCCAAGCAGAUAAAAGUCAUCAAGCACAGUCCUCAAUAGUUGUUUCGUGUAUAUUUAUAAAUUGGUGGCCCCUACAUCUUUAAUAAUUGGGAUUGAAUUACGGUAUAAUUGUAGAAUCAUGUCUCAAUUACAUUCAAUUGUUAGAUAUAUUUACGUUGGUAAAAUUUACUGAUAUCUAAUAAUUAAACGUAACUAUAACACAAUAUUAUAAUUACACCACAAAUUUUCUCUAAUAAUUAUUCCGAUACUUAUAAAUUGGUGGCCCCUUAGUAAUUUAACAGCAGCCUGCAAGUGUCAACUAAUGAAAAGUCAUCAUUCACAAUCUUCCAAGUGAAACAGGAAAUAUACAAAAAUUAAAACAUGUCAUUCUUUUUUUUUCAUUCCCUGUCAUGUAACUUACACCCAAAUACAUAAAUAAUAUAAAAUGAAUGGAGAGAUGCCAGGAGCAGAUCAGCAGGGUUUGAAUAUGACCUUUGGCGCUUGCUUUUUUUUUUUUUUGUGAUUUUUUUUUCAUUUUUUCCUUCCUGUCAUUUUAUCAUUUCUUUGGCUUUGUCUCUAUUGCGGGUGUUACUGCAUGCUUACUGUUUCUUGACAAAGUUUGCUAGCUUUUCCUUUUGUUUAUUAAAUAUUUUUAUCGUCACAAAGUAUUACUCGUUCUAUUUGACAGUGAUGUAAAUUAAUUUUUCAAUUUUAUAUUUUAUCGUCGAUGUGAAUUCAAUUUCAUUUGUCAUCAUGCACAAUCCUCAAUAAUUGUUUCGAUAUUUAUAAAUUGGUGGCCCCUACGUCCUCAAUAAUUGUUCCGAUACUUAUAAAUUGGUGGCCCCUUAAUAAUUGGUGUUUGAGGAAUUAAAUAGAGCGAUCAUGAUCUUUUCCAAAUGAAAGUGAGCAAAUGGUUGAGCAGGUCACCUUGAUCAGGUGGUAUGAGUUUGAUCAAAUCACCUCGACCAGGUACAAUGAGGUUGAGCAGAUCAUCUUGAUCAGGUGGUGUGAGCUUGAGCAGAUGACCAUGUGGUAUGAGCUUGAGCAAAUCACAUCGACUAGGUGCUAUGAGGUGGAGCAGAUCACCUCGACUAGGUACUAUGAGGUGGAGCAGAUCACCUCGACCAGGUGCUAUGAGCUCGAGCAGAUCACUUCGACCAUGUGCUAUGAGCUUGACCAGAUCACCUCGACCAGGUGGUCUAAACUUGAGCAGAUCACCUCGGCCAAGUGAUGACUAGGAAUAAAGACUCAGUUAAAAUAAACCACCACAAAGCUCCUCCGAAAAAUCAGGGCACGAAUCUGAUUAAUCAAUGGUUAUUGUCACGAUCUAAGGUCGUGGGUGUGGGGUGUUUUAUAAAAAUCCCGAGAAAAUCACACCAAGGGAAGGCUCUUUUUCUCUGGAUCUGACGGAGAAAUCCUUUCUGGAUACUCUAUUUUACUUUUCUGCAAAUUAUUCAAAAAGCUUUUGGUUUUAAAAUAAUGUUUAUUUAGCCAUAUGAAAAAUGACAUAUUUGGUUUUUCCUGUAAACCCCAUAACUGACUUGAGCGUUGGAGGGUUUACGCCAGAAAAACUUCCGGCACCUCUGACCAUUCUCUGUAAUUUCAGGUACUUAUUGAUCGUCAGCUUGAAGAUUAUAUGCUCAUGAAUGUUCUGCUCAUAGUCAGAGAAUAUUCUGACUAUAUUAGCCAUGACAUUUUAGUAAUUUCAGGUACUAAAAAAAAAUUAAAAUUGUUGGCGUGAAAAGCACAAAUCCUAUUUUUUGACAAUUUUAUCUUUGUCAAUUUCAAAGAUUUACAAUAUCAUAGGUAAAGAUUAUAACUAUUUCAUCUUCAAGUUUUUAAUUUUAUAUUUUUUGUAGGAACUUUAAGAAAAUAUCAAUAAUUUAAAGAGAAUUUUUGAAAUUUUUAAUUUUAUCUUUCUUGUAGGAAUUUUAAGAAAAUAUCAAUAAUUUAAAGAAGGUAAAAUAACCAAUAAUUUUAUUUUUUUUUUAGUUAUUUCCGUUUAAAAACUGUUCUUUUAUUAGCCGUUGGAUUUUACUACUCUUAUAUCCAACGGCUUGCCACAACAAGACAAAUGAGGUGGCACCUUCCAACAGCUGAAAGGUCGUUUUGGCCCCAAGUGAAACAGGGGAUGCACUUACUAUUAAGGACAGUUGGUGGCCAGCUAAUGCACUCAUUUUAUGUCCUUUUAUCUUUUUGAAUUCCUGAAGACAAGUGCAUUCAUUUUGUGUCCUUUCAUCUUUUUGAAUUACUGAAGACAAGUGGCCAGCUAAUGCAUUCAUUUUUUGUCCUUUCGUCUUUUUGAAUUAUUGAAGACAAGUGGCUCAUCGCUUUUACUGUAGGUAAGAUCUUGAUAAUCUCGAUUAUCAAAAUAAUAAUAUUCAAAAUAUUUCUUAAUUUUAUUUAAAAGAUAAAAGAAAAAUAAGUUAUGCUGGUAAAUUUUUUUAUUUUUUUAAUAAAAAUAAAAUAAAUUGAUGUUUAUAAUUGUUUCAAAUACUUUAAAGAUUGUAAUUUUAUGAGAGAGUAAUAUUUCACAUUUUUAAUGUGAAAAGUUGAAAAGGGACAAAGCAAGUUUCUCUGUUUUUCUUUUUCUUUUUUUAAAUUUGGUCAUCUCAAAUACUUCACCCUUCAACACUACAAUAUUUUGGUUAUAUAUAUAUAUAUAUAUAUAUAUAUAUAUAUUUUACACAUGCAUAUGAAUUACUUUUCUUUUAAGCUCCUGAAUAUUUAAGACAAAUCAUGAAAGAGAUGAGAAUAUAAUAAGAUGAUCAAAAUAUGUAACAAAAUUUUUUUAGAAGUGAAACAUCGUUAGAGUUGAAGUAAAACUCUGAAAAUAGAGAUACUGAUUAAUUUAGAAGAGAUGCAAGCAAAAGAUAUGCCAAAAAAAAAAAAAAGCAAUAUGUCACUUUGGAGGGCAAACUUGUCAGUUUCACAAAAAUACAUGCUUUGUAUUGAUAGUUGUCACUAUGUAUUAGGGUGCGUUUGAAAUUAUAGUGCUGUACCUUUUAAACUACAGUUGUUGUAGAAAAAAAUAAAAAAUAAAAACUACACCUAAGAUUAAGGAAAAGUACUUCAAAACUCUCUUUUGAUCAUAAAACCUUUUGUCUUAAUUAACUUAAAGAUUUUGAAUCUAAUAUUUUAUAACAAAUAAAAAUAUAUUACCAAAAUAAAUAUAAUAAUAUCUAUUUUAAAAUAAUAUCAAUAUUUAAAAUAUGUUUUAAUAUUUGACGAUCUAUUAGACACAUUUUAUUAUGUUAAAGUAAAUUUUAUAAUAAAUACAAACAUACUAAUAAAAUGAAUAUAUACAACAUUUAGAGUAUUUUGAAUAUUAUAUAAAAUAAAUUUAAUACAAUGCAUGAGAUAUAUUUUAUUAAUUUAAAAUGCUAUUUAACCUAAAGAUUUAUUUAUGAAAAAUUAAUGAUUAUAUUUUUGAAAUUAUUUAAAAUAUUAAAAAAAUUAAUAUUAUUAAUCUAUCAGGUAGAUUAAAUUAUUUAUAUUAUUUUGCAUUUAUUAAAAAAUUUUAAAAUCAAUCUUUUUAAUUACUAUUCUAAGGAUAUAAUAAUAGAGGCAACUCCGUUGCGUCAUGGUUUUGGUACCCCGUCGUUUGUCUUUUAGCACAGUCAUCGUUGGAUUUUAUCUCACGGCUGCAGAAGAGACACAGAGACGCUAGGGAGCAACCUGACAAAAAGGUCAUGGGCCGGUAAGCUGCAGGGAAAAUAUUUAAAAUACAAAAUCUUCCCUUAAAUUUUUUUUAAUAUUUAACAUGUUAUAGUUUCUAAUCUCAUGAAUAGUAGAGGAUAAAGUUUUAUCUUAAAAAAAGUAAUCCCAAGGGUCUCCUUGGGAUGAAAUUUUGCCUCUAUUAGAAUUAAGUGGUGGGCUCAUUAUUGUUACUUUUAUUUUUUUUAUACCAAACAUGAUAUAGGAUUAUUUUAUACUAAAAUUAUCCAAUCCUAUGAUAUAUAACUAAAACUAAACAGGCACUUAGGGUAUAUAUGAGCCACGGUGGAGAAGCUUUAUUUAAUAUUAUUGAUUUAAAUAAUAUCUCAUUAAAAAUGUACUGAGAAGAAAUUUCGGUGGGUAUUUUAGUCAAUCACAUGAUCAGCCUUUGGACUUGAAACGUCGGUCAGAAUGAUUUAUUCUAACAAGAAAAAACUAGGUAAUAUUCCACAAAAGUAAAAGUGACAAAACAACCAGCUGGAUUCUUUUAGGAAAUUACAAAGAGUAAUGAUACAGUCAUAAAUUUUUAUAUAAAUUUAUUUUAUAUAAAUUGAUGUGGUAUUAAUUCAUUAGUUGAAUGAAAAUAUAAAUUAAUAAAAAUAAAUUAUAUGGACCAAGUAAUAUUUAAUUCAAUCAAUCUUAUUAUGUCACAUCAAUUUAUAUAAAAUAAAUUUAUAUUUGUAUUAUUACUCAACUAUAAAUUAAAAUAAAUUUUUUCGAUAAACUACAAAUUAAAGUGGAUUCUUUUGAAUGCAAGUGGGACAGACGAUAAGGCUAAAAAUUAGUCAAGAAUCGAAUAGUCUUUUUCAAAUUCUUGUUUUAUUAUUUUUCAAAACCAGUUUUUGGUAAUUACAAUCGGGUCAUUAAUCAUUAUUCAGAGUUAUUGUUUCCUUCAGAAGUUAGUGGCUCAUGUUUGCAAGUGUGAAUAUGCGAUGCUCUUUUUCGAAAGCGCAAUGACAGUGGGUCCCGAAUCGGACGUCCCUAAAUCUUUUUAAAAUUUUUGCCGUAUAACGAACAGAGGUCAUUACUAAAAUUUCUCUUCCACAGCCUACAGCAGCUUCAGUUUAUCAAACUCAAUCAAUUUUCUUUCUUAACAAAAUUCCAAAGAUGUGUAGCAUUUUUCAGAUCACAUGCGAUGGUGCUCUUUUCAAUCGUUGCUUGGAUUGCUUUCUUGGAAAAGCAGCAUACAUACGUAACCUCCAAGAUAAUCUUGUAGCCUUGGAGACUGAACUGGGAAGACUAAUCGCAGCAAAGAACGAUGUGAUGAUGAGGGUUGUCAAUGCUGAACGGCAACAAAUGAGAAGGCUGGACGGAGUGCAAGUGUGGGUUUCGAGGGUGGACGCUGUUAAAACUGGAGCCGAUGAACUUAUCACAGACGGCUCUGAAGAAAUUGGCAAAUUAUGUGUUGGAGGCUACUGUUCCAAGAACUGCAGGUCAAGCUACAAAUUCGGAAAACAAGUGGGUAAAAAGCUACAAGAUGUGAAGACUUUAAUCGCCGAGGGAGUUUUUGAGGCGGUGGCCACUGAGGUGGUGCCCGAGAGAGCUCCGGAACCUGUAGCAGAUAAAAGACCCACUGAGCCAACAAUAGUAGGCCUGCAAUCACAGCUUGAACCAGUUUGGAGAUGUCUUGUAGAAGAAUCAGUGGGAAUCAUUGGCCUAUAUGGUAUGGGCGGUUUUGGUAAAACCACACUAUUGACCCAUAUCAACAAUAAAUUUCUUGAGAGUCCCACAAACUUUGAUUGUGUGAUUUGGGUCGUAGUUUCAAAAGACCUGCGACUUGAAAAAAUUCAAGAAGAUAUUGGGAAGAAGAUAGGUCUAUCUGAUGAUUCAUGGAAGAAUAAAAGUUUUGAAGAGAAAGCUGUGGACAUCCUGCUGAGAUUAGGAGAGAAGAGAUUUGUAUUGUUGUUAGAUGAUUUAUGGGAGCGGGUUGAUUUAACAAAAGUGGGCGUUCCACUUCCCAGCGCACAAAAUACUACCUCAAAAGUCGUAUUCACAACCCGUUCCAUUGGUGUUUGUGGCAGCAUGAGAGCUAGGCCGGUUAAAGUGGCAUGCCUAUCAGAAAAGCAAGCUUGGGAACUGUUCCGCGAAAAUGUUGGGGAAGAAACUCUUGAGAGUGAUCAUGAGAUCGUUGAGCUAGCCCAAACUGUGGCCAAAGAGUGUGGUGGUUUGCCACUCGCACUUAUUACUAUUGGUCGAGCUAUGGCCUACAGAAAGAAAGCGGAGCAGUGGAGACGUGCAAUUGAAGAGUUAAGAAGAUCAGCUUCAGAGUUUGCAGGUUUGGGAAAAGAGGUGUAUCCUCUUUUAAAGUUUAGCUAUGAUAGUUUGCAGAAUGAGACAAUUAGAUCUUGUUUCUUGUAUUGUUGUUUAUAUCCUGAAGAUUAUGGCAUUCUUAAAUGGGACUUGAUUGAUUGUUGGAUUGGUGAGGGAUUUUUUGGGGAAUCUGACAGGUUUGGUGCAGAAAACCAAGGAUAUGACAUUUUGGACACUCUUGUUCGUGCAUGUUUAUUAGAAGAGGUGGAAGAUGAUGAAGUAAAAAUGCAUGACGUUGUUCGUGAUAUGGCUAUAUGGAUAACUUGUGAAAUUGAGAAGGAGAAGAGAAACUUUUUGGUUUGUGCAGGUGCGGGACUAAAGGAGGCACCGGAGGUUAAAAGAUGGGAAAAUGUGAGAAGAUUGUCACUGAUGCAAAACCAAAUUAAAACUCUGUCAGAGGUUCCCACAUGCCCUCAUCUCCAUACUUUAUUUCUUGACUUCAAUGACAAUUUGAAUAUGAUCGCGGAUGGCUUCUUCCAACUUAUGCCUUCUCUCAAAGUUUUGAAGAUGUCAAACUGCGUGAAUUUAACUUUGAAAUUACCUUUGGGGAUGUCAAAGUUAGGUUCACUAGAACUUCUUGAUGUUUCGAAUACCGGCAUAAGAGAGUUACCAGAAGAGUUAAAGUUGUUGGUAAAUCUGAAAUGUUUGACUUUGAGGUGGACAUUUGAGUUAAAUAAAAUUCCACGGCAACUAAUAUCAAAUUCUUCAAGGUUACGUGUGUUGAGAAUGUUGGGUACUGGCCUUUUGAAUUUUCAUGAAGCGUCAGAAGAAAGCGUUUUAUUUGGUGGGGGUGAAGUUUUGAUACAGGAAUUGCUCGGUUUGAAAUAUUUAGAGGUAUUGGAGUUGACCUUGCGAAGUUAUCAUGCUCUCCAAAUUCUUUUGAGCUCAAAUAAGUUAAAAAGUUGUAUUCGAUCUCUUUUCCUCCAGUUGGCCGGAGAUGCAACGUCGAUUGUUGAUGCUACGGCUUUCGCAGAUCUAAACCACCUCAAUGAAUUAUAUAUUAAUAAAGGUUUUGAGUUGGAAGAAUUGAAGAUUGAUUAUACGGAGAUAGUACGAAAAAGGCGGGAACCUUUUGUUUUCCGCAGCCUUCACCAUGUUACUAUAUGGCGGUGCGCUAAAUUGAAAGAUUCGACAUUCCUCGUUUUUGCUCCAAACCUCAAGUCUCUUGUGCUAGGUAAUUGCCAUGCUAUGGAAGAAAUAAUCAGCGUUGGAAAAUUUUCCGAGGUUCCUGAGAUCAUGGGACAUAUGAGCCCUUUUGAAAAUCUCCAAAGGCUUCAUGUAGAAGAUUUGCCAGAUUUGAAGAGCAUCCACUGGAAGCCAUUGCCUUUCACUCAUCUGAAAGAAAUGGGGGUAAGAGCAUGUGAUCAGCUUGAAAAGCUUCCACUCGAUUCCAGCAGUGCAAAAGAGCGUAAAUUUGUUAUUCGUGGAGAAGAAGACUGGUGGAACCGACUUCAAUGGGAGGAUGAAGCCACUCAAAUUGCUUUUCGUUCCUGUUUCCAACCUUAUUCCUGAGCCGUGGUCGCAAAAUUUGAUUUCUGGUGAGUGCGUUUUUGUUAACGCUUAUGUUUUAUUCCAGUGUAUUUUUCUUCUGUCUUCUGCAAAUCACAAUUAAAUGUGUGAUACAUGUUACGGGUAAUAUACAUGCAGUAUUUUUGGUACACUGCAAAUCACAAUUAAAUGUGUGAUACAUGUUUACGGGAAAUUUAUAGACAUGCAGUAUUUUUGGUGGGGUCGAAUUGAUGCUCUGGUUUUUUUUUGUUGUCAAAAUUUUCUCUGUUUUUUCAAAUUGAUGCUUUAUUUAUAUCUUCUUCGUGAAAAGUGAUUUAAUUUCCUGCCAAAAGACGAACGAGAAGAACAUUAGAGUCAAACUAAUGCUCACAUAAAUUUCCCGUAAGAAUAUAUAUAUAAUUAGACUGGAAUAGUAGCCCUCUUUACAGAAAAUGACGCGAAAGUUAAUUUAGAAAGAUAUAUUCUUGAUUAAUCCAUUUUCUGAAGCUUUUAUUUUGUAUGGUCAAUUAUACCUUCAUACUAAAAAUUUCUGAAUUUAUAAAUUAGUGCAACUUGACAAUUUUUACUGAUGAUAUCUUCUAUUUUUCCUUUCUUUCUUUUUUUUUUUUACUCUCAUUGAAUGUUACUGUCAUUUUACUUACAAAUAGGUUUGAAUUUUAUUUAGUUUUCUCAUAGUAUUUGUGCAAGUACUAGAAGGUCAAACCCCGCAUACUUUGAUUGCCAAACCACCGUCCAAUUUAAAAAAAGAAAAAAAGAAAAAAAAUGUGUAAUCCAUGAAUCUGGUUAAUUUUGUUUGUUUGUUUUUUUUUUUUUAAAUAUCAUUCUUUUUCGGCCACCCAAAAUAUCAUUGAUGACUUUUCUGGUCUAAUGCUAUGUAAAUAGUAUGUUAAGUAAAACAUAAUCAAUUAUUUGUGUUUUAUCUCUAAUUAGAACAUCAAUCAGUUCAGUACCUCACAAAUAAUUCGCAAUAUCUACAAAAUACUAUAAUGGCUACAAAACAAAUCCUGCUUGCAAAUUGUCAAGGAUACCUAUCCGUUCGCUUGACAAGUCAUUUGAAUAAAUAUUGUUCACAUUCCUUACUCUGUCAAUUAUCCAAAGCACCAUCAACUUUAGUUUGAAUAGUAUACAUGCCAUCACCAUUACCAAGAAUCAAGCAUGAAAGAGUCAUUCUAUAGAGUGCAGAACAUGACUCUAUGCGGUAGUCAAUUUGACACACGACGAACAACAUAUGCUGCAUAACAUACAAAUUAAUUUCCCAUAUGUGAUGCAAUUUUCUCCUCAACAUAUGCGCAAUUCUUUCCAUUCCGGCCGUUGAUUGAACCCUUUGGCAACAAGACGAGCUUUAAGCCUGUCAGCAGAACCGUUGGAAUGUCUUUUAAUACAAAAAUCCAUUUGCAGCCAACAAUAUUGGAAGGGAUGGGAGGUGGAACAAGCUUCCAUGUCCCGUUACGAACAAGAGCAUCAUACUCUUCUGACAUAGCUUGACGCCAGUGAGGAUUUUUGAUAGCUUGCGUCACAGUUGUAGGUUCACAAUCAGAAGAAGGGCUAAAAUGAGCACGGAGGUUAAGUUUUUGUAACGGCUUGUGAAUCUUAUUUUUAGCUCGGGUAGUCAUAUCAUGAUGAUUUGUGGGGCAAUGAUGUAGUGGAGUUUGGGAAGAUGAUUGAAGAGGAAGUGAAGAAGUGCUUUGUGUAGAGGUAGAAGUAGGUUGGGAGGAUUGCUGCGGAGAUGUUACCGGUAGAGAAGAAGGAGCAGUACACGGUGGCAACUCCAGAGGGCCCAUAGUGAAACACUUGCGUAAUUAGGAGUGGUAGAAGAGCUUGUAAUGAUUUGUAUGGAAAAACAAACUCUACAAAUUUAACGAGACGUGAAAUGAAAAUUUGAAAGGUGGAUGGGUCAAAACAUAAAUAAGCACUUUGAGAUAAAGGAAUAUCCUAUAAAAACACAAGGCUUAGAGGGUGGUUCGAGUUUAUAUGAUGAAACACAAACAUUCAAAAAUUUUAAGUUUAUAUUAAUUAGGAGUGGUACCAAAAAUUAAUUAGGAGUGGUCCGCGGGACAUGUAGCUAUGGGGUUGUUGGAUGUGUUUUGGAUAUUUACAGACAUGCUGAGUUUGAGUUUAUAUCUCAACUUAAAAUUUGUAGUUUUCACUUGAAAAAAUUCAGUUAAAAAUUGAUUGGUAGAAUUGUGAAAAAAGUUUAAAUUUUUAGUUCAACCCGAUUGCAUAUUUAAGAACAUCUCAAAUGAAUUGCUUACUGCUAUCAUCAUCAUUAUUGUCCAUAUAAUAAUGGAUCUUUAUUAUAUAUAUAUGUUUCCACUAAAAUAUAUUUAAUUAUUCUUUAUUUUUCCAUUGUUGCGUGUAAGAUUUAUUUGAGUUCUAAGUUAUAUCAAUACAAAUGUUAUCUUAUCCAUUAAAAGUUAGAUCCAACAAUUAUGAAAAUUACCAUAGAGUUGCUUUCAACUAUUUUUUAAAAAUACCAGGAGUAAAAAAUAAUUAGUUCAAAUGGUGGAGACUAAAAAGCGUUCACCUUUAUUUUUUAUCUGUUAUUUAUUUUUUUCAUUAAUGCACAUGCUAUACAUUUGAGACAUUCCAUUAAUUGCCAAUUAUGUAUGUGAGAUAGUAAUUUAAAUUAAAAAAAUAAAAGUGAAAGUUAAUCCUAUGCAAUGUGAAUAAAUUUCUUUCCUUUUUCCUUUACUCUUUUUAUUUGACAAUAAAGUUUCCAUCUAUCAUCUAUCAUCUAUGUACGCAAAAUUUCUGCAACAGGUACAAAACAUAAAAAUAUAUGAUUGUUAAGGGAAACGCGCAGGAGUUCAUCAUUUCAAUGUUCAGCAUUACCAAUUUUGGCAUUAAGCUGAAUAUAUUCCACUUAGAAAGCAAAAUAUUAGACUCGUGAUUUUAAUUCAUUCAUUAUCUCUCAUUUUAAUCCCAAAAUAUUCAAGAGCAUCCAAGUUACCAUAAGACUUCAGAGGCUCAAGCCUUAGCCAGAGAUGGUUAAUUGAUAGACUAUGUGCCUGGGUCGAGCACUGGAAGCCUGCAAUGCAGACUGAUUGAUUUAUCAGUUUAACGUGUGCCAGGAAUGAAGAACUGGAAUAUCACCGUCAAGCAAGCACCCUGUGGAGCAAUACCGAAGAAUGCACAAUCCAGCUUUGCUAGGUGACACUGGAGGCUUUUUGAAAAGUGCUUCACGCUCACUUGCACAGAUUGAGCAUCCCCUCUGGAUAUUGCCCUCUCUGAUCGAGUCUGAGCACUCAAAUUUUGGUCCUCAGAGGGAGCUACAGUUUCUCUCCACUAACCAACAAUUUUCUAAACUCAGCACCUAGUGUGAUCAGAGUUGUUGAUAUUUGCAAAUGGAGAUCCCCAUAUUUGCAAAUGGAGACAUUUAACAAAUCACCAACAUGCUUCAUCCGGUCCACGAAAUUCUGCAACUGAUUCAAAUCUGGAACCUGAACCAGAGUCGGAGGUAUAUCUUGAGCCAUAUCUAAAGCAGUUUGAAGUUCAAGACCUUGAGCCCUUGACAAUGGUUUUGAAAUUGGAACAUCUUGGAUUACUGCAGACUUGUACCCCUUGGUUUCAAAGGUAAGGAAAGGCAUUGCUUGAGUACAAUUUGGAGGCAGCUUCUUCACCAAUUUUAUUUGGAGGCGAUUGGUAGCGGAUCCAGCUGCACCAAUUUCAGAGCAACUACUGACACUACUUCGAACAGCACACUGAAGAAGUGAUAUGUCUACGGCGAAGGCAAUGCAGUCCUCAUUUUGGCUUGAGACACAGUAAUCAUCGUAGAGAGUUUCCUUGUGAAACUGGGCAACACAUUGAAUCCCUUCGCCACUGAGAAGGUUGUGGAGGAAGUAAGCUUUCUCUCUAGUGAGGAAGAGGUGGCAUACCUUCCCCAUUUUGUCUAGGGCAGGUAGGAAUCUUUUUUCUAAGAGAUUUACUUCAUUCUCUGUGAGAAAUGCUUUGAACUUCAUCCCUCUGUCUCUAUCCUCACUUAUCAGGAAAUAAGUUGAAAGCACUACGAAGAGAGAGAGAGAGAGAGAGAGAGAGAGAAUUAAGAUAUAUAGACAAGAAAAAUAUUAGAUGUUGAUCUUACAAACUAAUACUUCAAGCAGUAUCCUAGAAAGCUAAAAACUGCAAGAUGGCUUGAAAUUUGAGAAGAGCACGUGCUUUUCCUCCUUAACUUGAGAAAAUGUUUUAUAUAGUGCACCUUACAGAAGCAUUUAAGCAAUUAGAACUUUGCACAAAAACAUCAAGAAGACUAAACAAAUCAGAUGCAGUGCAUUUGUCCAAGCACAAAUUGCAUUUUGUCCUCAACUUUAAUAUUUAUUGAUGAGAAUCAAUACAGGUCCCUCAUUUGUUAUAGAAAGCUUUCUUGUAGUCUCACCAGUUAAUAUGGAUAUUAGAUAAGGAAACUUUAUUAGGUUGCGAGGGUAAAAAAGGAAAGAGAUAUCAUUAUUUUAUUAUCGAUAAUUAUUAAAUUUUUUUCCAAAAAAAAGAACAAGCAAUGAUAUUUUAUUGUCAAUUGCAACCUUUAAUUUUUUUAAAUGCUAUUAGAAACACAAGAUAACAAAGAAAUACUUAUUUUUUCCUAAAACUAAAAUCAAUUGUUUAACUUCUUAUUUCAUAAUCCAACUCCAUUACUAAGUUAAAAAAAAUUGUUUCAAAAUUACUUGAGUCAUAUUCAAUGGACCAACAAAGUAACCGUUUUUAUUUUUAUUGAUUUUUGCAGGAAAUUAAUAAGUUAAAAAUAAUGAAAGCUAUUGUAAAAAAAUUUAUUAUCAACCUCAUAAUUUUUUUUUUUUUGGGGAAGAGAAUUCAAACAUUUUUUUUUUUUAAUUUCCAAGAAUUCUUGACACCCAUCUUAAUUAAAAGCUAUAUUUUUAUUCAAGAGUCAUGCUAUUCAUUCACUCACAGACCAAAGGCUUUCCGCAGCAAUAUUAUUAUUUAAAUUACAACAAAGGGGAAAUCAAACACGUCAUACAGAAGCUUAAAGGUGAAUCUACAAAAUCUAGAGCUCUCAACUACAAAAAUUACACUUGAUGAUCCUCUACAAGAUGAAGGUUGUUCAAUAUCUUGAGAUUGCCUGCCUUCCUCGACGACCUGCACGAUGUGUUUGUACAAAUCAUCAUACCUGUGCACCGGAUUUUUAAUAUCAACGCCACUGCAGCUGUGAUCAAGAACAUAAGAGCAUUUAACAUCUUUUCUCCAUCGAGAAAGAAUGUAGUGAGAUGGGAUCUCCUGCAUGCCACUCUGGUUUAGAACACAAAGAAUGUGUCUGCAUAAAUAUCCUCUGAAAUUGAACAACCCACAAACACAAAGCACCUCCAAGUCGGAGGCAUUGUACAAAACAUCGAAAGCCCUUGAAUCUUUCUCGUUGCUACCAACCUUAAAUUCUUCCUUCACUAUGUAUGUUACAGGUCCAUCAGCACUGACAUGUUUUGUGCUAUAGCAAUACAUAGCCUCCACCUCCGUCUGAAACUUCCUUAACAUUUCAUUUGUGUACAGUUUUGAGAGUUGAAAUUCAUAGUAUCAUCUUGGUUUCUGGAUACAACUUGAAUUUCUUGAAUCCAUAUCUGCCAAGGCUACCAGUUGAUAAUUCGCCUGCAGUGCUUGAUCAUACUUGUCUAAGAAUUCUUUCAAAGGAGUAUUCUUAUCAAGAUAUCCUUCAAAGUAUGAAGUAGAAACCUCAUUCUGCAGGAACGAAAACACUCCUGAUAAAAAAGCUUCCUUCAAAUAAAUAGGAGCCCACCUUUUAUGAUCUUCAUAUAAAGUUUGAAUCUAUCCGUGAUCCUUUAUUCCAUGACAUUGAAUCAUGUCUUCCCAAGCUGCUUCAAAUUUCUCAGGCCUGAGAGAGUGAUAAAUUGCUCUAUGUAAUGCAGCUUUAAUAGCUUCAUAUUCAAACAAUCCUUGGAGUUUCUCUGGAAUUUUUUUGCAUGAUGCAUGACAAUGAAAAGCAAUGAUAAGCUCUUGGGAAAACAUCACCAACAGCAAUUUGCAAGAUUCUACAUUGGUCAGUGAUGAUUGUUUGUGGAGAGCUCCCUAACAUACAUGUAAGCCACGCCGUAAACAACCAUGUAUAUGAUUCUAUGGUCUCACUGGCAAGUAAAUCACAAGUCCACAACCCAACAACACUGAUUGUCCAUGAUGAUUCACCCCAAUGAAUGAAACCAGUGGUACAUCAUAUCUUUCAGUCAGGCACGUAGUAUCAAUUAAGACCACAUCACCAAAGUACCUAUAUGCAACUCUUGACCUGGUAUCAGUCCAGAAUAGGUUUCUCAAGCAUCCCUUUUCAUUUAGAUCCACUACAUUAAAAAAGUUUGGAUCUGUCAACUGCAAAUGACAAAAGAAACUCUGGACAGCUUGUGCAUCUCCUGGUUUAAGCUUCAAUUGAUUUGAGCUAUUAACAUUAUUUCCAAAUACUCCAUUAACAUCUACCAUUUCCCUUGGUAUCAAUGAUAAGAGUUCGAAACAGUUUAAUUUUUUGAACUUCUUCAGCACUAUCUAAAUGCAAUGUUCUUUUGGUUCCAAUACCUAUGUGCUUAUGUGACUUGUAAAACUUUCCGCUUCUUGGGCUUAACAAGUGGUUAUGCUCAAGCUCGACUUCAAUGAUUCUCCACCUUUUGGUUUCCAUCAACCUAAACUUUAUCAUUGCUGGACAGCCAGUUCUUGUUUCUGGUCUUGGGCGGUUUGCCUCGCUUUUCUUCUUGAAGCCUGCACUACUACAGCUCAGCUUUCCUCUAUACUUUUCUCUACUCUUUCGGUACCAUGGAUUGCUAACUCUAACACCAAAACCCUGUUCCUUGGCAUAGCAAUUGUAAAAGUAAUAUACAUCAUCAUACAUCUCAAACUCCAUUCCAACAGUAGGAGGCAAGGGAUUUUGGAUUAUCCCAGUUUGUCCAACAUAUUCAGUCAUCGCACAAUCUCCUACGACCUCAAAAUCAUCAGUGUCAUCAUCACCUACUGGUUCGGUGUUGAGAGAAACUUCAUCCAUCUACAAUGGAUGUUCAAUGAAGUGAGCUUUAAGGAGAAAAAGCAAAAUCAGUUCAAGGAAUGAUAAUAUAAUCAUACAGUUACUUUCACAAAGCUUCAUAUUUCAUCACUGCUUUACCAACAUGCAACUGCCAGAGAACAAACAGACAUGUCAUAGACGCUUGAAUUAAGUAUUGGUACAAAUGAGCACACAUCAUGUGGGACAAAAUUUCAGUCACUAAACCCAAUACCACUUUUUACAUCAUACCAAGGAACAGAUUAAACCCGACACCUUCUUUUAAACCAUACCAAGGAGCAGAUUAAAUCAUCAAUGAAAAAUUAAUCACAUAAUAACUUAACCAGACAAAUGAAGAGCCUGAAACAGCACAAAACUUGAAUCUGAUUAUGAUAAUUGUUGAGUCCUUGUAUCUACAGCUUUCCUUCAAUGAUAAGACAAUGAACAUAAACGAGACACAAAAAAAUUAUUUUAAACUGACAGCCCAUGAUAUAAAUCAAACAAAAUCAACUCCUUUUUUUACACAUUACAUCUCAUAUUCAUUUACAUUGAAACACAAAAAGGAAGCAGGAGUGGGAAAAAAACAACAGCAGAGGAACUUAUUUCCAUAAGGUUUACGAAAUAAGGAAUCUAUUAAAACCCAAAACUUGAGGUCACCACUAAGAAUUUGGUUCUCAUUAUUUUUUUCUUCAUUUUUCACCAAUUGAUGAACUUAAAAUACAAUCAUAAAUGAUAAAACCCCAUCUCCAUCUUUUUGAACUAGAGCUAAAGCAAAGCAUUUUAAGAUGUUUCAUCAUUUUUUAAAAAAAAAAAAAACUCAAUAGUACAAUGUUUUUCAAUGUUAAAUGCACAAUUCAAUCUUCUCCUAAUUUACUCUAAUAAUCUCUUAAUUAAGGAAGAUUAAGCUUCAGUUGUAAGCUAAAACAAAUUUCUUAAAUCAAGCCCCAAUGCUUUAUGCUAUUCAACAAGGGCUCAUAAAUGAUAAAACUACUUCUAUAAAGAUACCCAUUUUCUAAAUUAAUUUCACAAACUGAAAUCAAACUCCUGAAACGUAACGAGCAUUAAUAUAAUCAAGCCCGAACAAGAAUUGAUAAAUGAUACAUAAACUCGUUUACACAUUUCGACAGACACUUUGCAAUCAAUGAGCAAAAAAUUAAUGGAGAAGAUAAAAUUCAAACGAAACAUGCCUUACAUUGAUAAAUUAGAAGGGCAAAAGAAAUUUUAGUACGAUAUGGGAUCAGGGUCUUGCCACGGUGAUGUUAUUUGUGAAGUUCGAGCGACUCAGCAGCCUUCGAGGUUGAAAAUUUGAUUGACCAAAAGCUUCCCGUUCGUUGAUUCUCUAAUAGUAGAAACGAGACUGGCAGUAUACACAACAAGUUCGCCGAUUUUAAAUUCCGUUGUUUGAGAUGGAAAAUUUUUUGAAAAAAUUAAUGUGUUCGAUGAAAAUCAAAAUCUCAAAAACCUUUUGUUUUUCAUUUUUUUGGAAAAAACCAUUGAGAUCCUUACUAUUUUUUCUUAUAUCAUCUUGCUUAAUAAUUUGCAAAGUCUAUCGCAUAGCACCCAUGCAUGAUGUAUGCUGCGUUGUAAUUUACAAUAUUGUACAUGAAUAAAUCCAGCUAAUAUUUGUUAAAAGAAAAUAAUAAUAACAUGUUAAAACUUUAAAAUUUGAUUAUUAGAAGAAAUUUUAAUUUAGCUAAGUAGGUGACAUGAUAAUAAAUAGAUACGUAUAAUGUCCGAGAUUUUUUAUAAGAUUAAUAAAUAUGAUAAAUUUGGAUUAGUUCAAUUUUGACAUAAUUGCAAACAAUUUAAUUUGUGUUGUUUCUCUAAAAGUUUGAGACACAAAUGUUAUUUCAAAUUGAUAAAAGUACAAUUUAAUCCCACUUGCUCUUCAACUAAAAAUUAAACAUGCAAAUACACACACUAAUUUAAAGUCAUCUGUAUAAUUGAAACGCCAUGCACUAGUAGUAGGUCAGAGAAACCAAGGUUGAAAUGUGUAGAAAUGUUGAAACGCCAAUAAUAAUUGAAACGCCAUGCACUGUUCGUUUAUUUUUAUUCAUGAUUUUUUGUAAAACGUAAGAAAUGUGUAGAAAUGUUGCCAGCAAUGAUUUUGGAACUUUGCAUAAAAUUUUUAUCGUUAUUGUUUUUGGUAUUAAGAAAUCCGAGGCGGUGAUUAGACGUAUGUUGCAACAAUUAAGAAAUUUCUUAUUGGAGAUAAUUCGGUAGGUUGCAACAAUUAGAGAAUCAUUUUCCUGUCAGUUAAACGGUUCAUUUUCAGCCAUAACAUGCUAAAAAUGCUACACUUAACGGUUCAUUUUCAUGGAUUUUCUCGGGAAACAAACAGAAAAUUACGGUUUAGAGAGUUGACUGACGUUUUGGCUUUUGAAAUUGAGAAGAUCGCGCGCCAAAUUGGAAGAGGGAAAGUGAAAGUGCGAGUUUUAAUAUGGGCAUUAGAUAAGGAAAUUUUAUUAGGUUGCGAGGGUAAAAAAGGAAAGAGAUAUCAUUAUUUUAUUAUCGAUAAUUAUUAAAUUUUUUUCCAAAAAAAGAACAAGCAUGGAUAUUUUAUUGUCAUUUGCAACCUUUAAUUUUUUAAAUGCUAUUAGAAACACAAGACAACAAAGAAAUACUUAUUUUUUUCCUAAAACUAAAAUCAAUUGUUUAACUUCUUAUUUCAUAAUCCAACUCCAUUACUUCGUGCUGGUUUUUUCAGGUGAAUAACAGCUAAAAAUAAUUUUAAAAGCUGUUACCAAUUCUCAUGAACUGUUACAAUUAAAAAAAUCAAGCAUGCAUGGAUGGUUAAGUGUGUAGAGAGAACCUCCAUCCUUAUAAUUCUUACUUAUGCAUGGUUAAGUGUUUAUAUUUAAACACUAAUUUCUAGGCUUCUUUUUCCCAUGUGGGAUAAGCCUCAUUUCCUUUCAAAUUUCCAACUUCAAGGGUGAACUUUGAGAGACAAUUUCUCAUUCACCCAAGCACCAUUUUGAGAAAAUAAAAUUAUACUUUUGAAGUAUGAACGGAAUAGAAUCCGAAUCUCACAAUAUUUCCCACUUUAGUUAAAUAGGACCCACUCAAAAUGUGCUCUCAAAAUAACAUGUUAUGCUAUUUUUUCAACAAAAUUGUGGGCCAACAAUAGUGGGCAUGGUGUCGACUUUUGAGAAAGCCUGGAGAUGCGUUGAAGAAGAAUCAAUUGGAAUUAUUGGCCUAUAUGUCAAUGGGGGAGUUAGAAAAUAUUUACUCAAAUCAACAACAAGUUCCUUGAUAGUCCAAAUAAUUUUGAUGUUGCGAUCUGGGUAGUGGUCUGCCAAGAUUUGCAACCCCAGAAGUUUCGGGAAAAGAUUGGGAAAAAGAAAGGCUUCUUCGAUGAGUCAUGGAAGAUAUGAAGUUUUGAAGAGAAAGCACUCGACAUAUUCAAGAAUUUAAGCAAGAUGAAGUUUGUAUUACUGUUGGAUGAUAGAUGGGAGCAUGUUGAUUUAAUUAAAAUUGGUGUCCCUCUUCCAAGCAGAAAAAUUACAUUCAAGAUAGUCUUCACAACUCGUUCUAUUGACAUUUGUGGCCUCAUGGAAGCUCACAACAAGAUUAAAGUGGAGUGUUUAAAUGACAAAGAAGCAUGGGAAUUAUUCUGCAAGAAGGUUGGAGAAGAUGUGGCGACUCUGUCCAAGUGCUAAGGAGAUCAGCCUCUAGGUAUGUAAAAACAAGUAUAUCCUCUUUUGAAAUUCAGUUAUGAUAAUUUACCAAGCGAUAAAAUUAGAUCGAGUCUGUUAUACUGUAGUUUGUUUCCAGAAGACUUUCCAAUUAGCAAAAUGGAAUUGAUACUGAGAUACGAAAUCAAGGAUACUACAUUAUUGGUGUUCUUGUUCCUUUAUGUUUAUUGGAAGAAGAGGCUCCACUGUUUGUAAAAGUGCAUGAGGUGAUACGCGAUAUGCUUCUGUGGAUAGCUGUGAAGGUUUUUUUUUUUUUUUUUUUUUUUUUUUAUAGGGAUAGCAUGUGAAGUUGAGAAGGAGAGAGAGAAUUUUGCAAGGAUUAACUGAAGUACCAGACAUUUGGAAAUGGGAAGGGUUGAGAAGGGUGUCUUUGAUGAUCAACAAAACUGAGAAGGUAUCAGAAAUUCCUUCAUCUCACGAUCCACUAACUUUGUUGCUUCAACAUAAUUAUUUAGAGGUGAUCAAUAAUGACUUCUUCCAAUCUAUGCAUUCCCUUAGAGUUUUGAACUUAUCAUGUAAUCAUUCUCUAACUGAUAAUUUCAAAGUUAGUUUCCCUACAUACGAGAGUUGCCGAAUGAGUUAACGUUCGUAGUGAAUCUUAAGUUUUUGAAUGUGGAGUAUGCACGGUUUCUUCAUUCAAUUCCAGGGCAAGUGAUAUCCAGUUUUACGAUGUUACAAGUUUUGAAGAUGUUUGGUUGUGGCAGGUCAUCUUCUGAUCGUGAGCCACACCAGAAGAUAGCGUUUUAUUUGGAGGCAGUAAAUUUUUGAUUGCGGAGUUGUUUGGUUUGAGAGACAUUUAGAUGUGUUGACCAUCAUCCUAAGAAGCUCCCAUGCUCUGAAAAGAUUUUUGAGCUCCAACAAACUUCAAAGUUGUUGAUGCCGAAAUCCGGAUGAGUUGAUCGAAUCUCAGAUCCCUGCAUCAGCAUUGAAUUUGUUUGGUGGGAAGCUGAUGAUUAGUUAGCACCAUGAGCAGAUUUUCUAUGAGCAGAUGUUCUGUGAGCAGAUCAGAUGUUCUCCUCGUUCUACGACCAGGGUCUCUGCUCGAUCAACUUCACCACGACCAGGAUCUCUCCUCGUAAAGCUUCUUCUCCAGAGGUUCCUGCGCACACAGACAAGUCAGAGUACGCCGGUUGUUUUCCCGGCGCAAACCCUCCGACGCUCAAGUCAGAUAUGAAGGUUCGGGGAACGCUUGCCACAGAUCUUAUGGCUUUUGUGUAGUUUUCUUUAGAAUUGCUUUUAUCUCUCUUCUAAUCUCAAAAUUGCUAACCCUUUUACCUUCGUUGGCUACCUUUUUAUAGGCUUCCUCUCAAUCCCAGUUUUCCGCAGUCUAUGCCGUUAUCCCACGUUCUCCUUCAAUUUUCAUCCCUCCUUUUUCGGGUAGUGGCCUUUAAAUGCUUUUAAAUGCUACAUCAUGGGAAACGUGGGGUAUCGCAUCUCUCGUAACGGUUCUGGGAAGAAUGUAAACGCCAUAAUUCUGUGGGAUCGUGUUCCUGCUUUUCCAGGAGAUGGGUAUCAGCUCGGGAUACACCUUUUGUCAGUAUCCGUCUCUGAUCGGUUCAUGUUGCCCUCUGCUCUGCUCGUACAGUUACACUUGGCUGAGGUGAUUCAUGCCGGGGGUGAUUCAUGCCGAGGUGAAAACAGUACUAUGGCCGACCUGGUAUCAUUAUUGGCUCAACACCAGUCCCCCAGUUUCUGGUCUUGUGAGUGAAAUGAGUCAAGAGUAGAAACUGAUAUUCAAAUCUUACCAAUCCGGGGGCUUCUCCUCUGGUCUUUCAUCUAUCGGGAUGGUCCUGAGGUAUCAUUUUUCUUCAAGGGAGAUUUUGACCUGAGUAUGGAAUAGGAAGUCAUCUGCUCAAGUUUAGACCACGUGGUCGAGGUGAUCUGGUCAAGCUCAUAGCACAUGGUCGAGGUGAUCUGCUCCACCUCAUAGCACCUGGUCGAGGUGAUCUGCUCCACCUCAUAGCACAUGGUCGAGAUGAUCUGAUCCACCUCAUAGCACCUGGUCGAGGCGAUCUGCUGAAGCUCAUACCAUCUGGCCAAGGUGACCUGCUCAACCAUUUGCUCACUUUCACUUGGAGGAGAUCAUGGUCGCUCUAUUUAAUUCCUCAAACACCAGUCCCCCAGUUUCUAGUGUUGAGAGUGAAACAAAUCAAGACUGGAAACUUUAGUGGUCUGCUCGUCUUCGCUUGGUUGAGCAGAUCCUGGCACGCUUGGCUUCUGUCUCGCCAUAAAACAGGCUUUGAGACUUUGUCGAGCCUUUGCAUGCCUUCGAUUCUUCAAGGAUUGGGAUUCUGCUCGCCUUCUCGUGGCCGAGCAGAUCCUAGCACGCUUGGCUUCUGUCUCGCCAUAAAACAGGCUUUGAGACUUUGGUGAGCCUUUGCGUGCCUUUGAUUCUUCAAGGAUUGGGAUUCUACUCGCCUUCUCGUGGCCGAGCAGAUCCUGGCACGCUUGGCUUCUGUCUCGCCAUAAAACAGGCUUUGAGACUUUGGUGAGCCUUUGCGUGCCUUUGAUUCUUCAAGGAUUGGGAUUCUGCUCGCCUUCUCGUGGCCGGUGGCCGAGCAGAUCCUGGCACGCUUGGCUUCUGUCUCGCCAUAAAACAGGCUUUAAGACUUUGGUGAGCCUUUGCGUGCCUUUGAUUCUUCAAGGAUUGGGAUUCUGCUCGCCUUCUCGUGGCCGAGCAGAUCCUGGCACGCUUGGCUUCUGUCUCGCCAUAAAACAGGCUUUGAGACUUUGGUGAGCCUUUGCGUGCCUUUGAUUCUUCAAGGAUUGGGAUUCUGCUCGCCUUCUCGUGGCCGAGCAGAUCCUGGCACGCUUGGCUUCUGUCUCGCCAUAAAACAGGCUUUGAGACUUUGGUGAGCCUUUGCGUGCCUUUGAUUACUUCAAAGAUUGGGAUUCUGCUCGCCUUCUCGUGGUCGAGCAGAUCCUGGCACGCUUGGCUUCUGUCUCGCCAUAAAACAGGCUUUGAGACUUUGGUGAGCCUUUGCGUGCCUUUGAUUCUUCAAGAUUGGGAUUCUGCUCGCCUUCUCGUGGCCGAGCAGAUCCUGGCACGCUUGGCUUCUGUCUCGCCAUAAAACAGGCUUUGAGACUUUGGUGAGCCUUUGCGUGCCUUUGAUUCUUCAAGGAUUGGGAUUCUGCUCGCCUUCUCGUGGCGAGCAGAUCCUGGCACGCUUGGCUUCUGUCUCGCCAUAAAACAGGCUUUGAGACUUUGGUGAGCCUUUGCGUGCCUUUGAUUCUUCAAGGAUUGGGAUUCUGCUCGCCUUCUCGUGGCCGAGCAGAUCCUGGCACGCUUGGCUUCUGUCUCGCCAUAAAACAGGCUUUGAGACUUUGGUGAGCCUUUGCGUGCCUUUGAUUCUUCAAGGAUUGGGAUUCUGCUCGCCUUCUCGUGGCCGAGCAGAUCCUGGCACGCUUGGCUUCUGUCUCGCCAUAAAACAGGCUUUGAGACUUUGGUGAGCCUUUGCGUGCCUUUGAUUCUUCAAGGAUUGGGAUUCUGCUCGCCUUCUCGUGGCCGAGCAGAUCCUGGCACGCUUGGCUUCUGUCUCGCCAUAAAACAGGCUUUGAGACUUUGGUGAGCCUUUGCGUGCCUUUGAUUCUUCAAGGAUUGGGAUUCUGCUCGCCUUCUCGUGGCCGAGCAGAUCCUGGCACGCUUGGCUUCUGUCUCGCCAUAAAACAGGCUUUGAGACUUUGGUGAGCCUUUGCGUGCCUUUGAUUCUUCAAGGAUUGGGAUUCUGCUCGCCUUCUCGUGGCCGAGCAGAUCCUGGCACGCUUGGCUUCUGUCUCGCCAUAAAACAGGCUUUGAGACUUUGGUGAGCCUUUGCAUGCCUUUGGUAAUUUCUUCGAAACUUGGGAUUCUGCUCGCCUUCUCGUGGUCGAGCAGAUCCUGGCACGCGUGGCUUCUGUCUCGCCAUAAAACAGGCUUUGAGACUUUGGUGAGCCUUUGCGUGCCUUUGAUUCUUCAAGGAUUGGGAUUCUGCUCGCCUUCUCGUGGCCGAGCAGAUCCUGGCACGCUUGGCUUCUGUCUCGCCAUAAAACAGGCUUUGAGACUUUGGUGAGCCUUUGCAUGCCUUUGAUUCUUCAAGGAUUGGGAUUCUGCUCGCCUUCUCGUGGCCGAGCAGAUCCUGGCACGCUUGGCUUCUGUCUCGCCAUAAAACAGGCUUUGAGACUUUGGGGAGCCUUUGCGUGCCUUUGAUUCUUCAAGAAUUGGGAUUCUGCUCGCCUUCUCGUGGCCGAGCAGAUCCUGGCACGCUUGGCUUCUGUCUCGCCAUAAAACAGGCUUUGAGACUUUGGUGAGCCUUUGCGUGCCUUUGAUUCUUCAAGGAUUGGGAUUCUGCUCGCUUUCUCGUGGCCGAGCAGAUCCUGGCACGCUUGGCUUCUGUCUCGCCAUAAAACAGGCUUUGAGACUUUGGUGAGCCUUUGCGUGCCUUUGAUUCUUCAAGGAUUGGGAUUCUGCUCGCCUUCUCGUGGCCGAGCAGAUCCUGGCACGCUUGGCUUCUGUCUCGCCAUAAAACAGGCUUUGAGACUUUGGUGAGCCUUUGCGUGCCUUUGAUUCUUCAAGGAUUGGGAUUCUGCUCGCCUUCUCGUGGCCGAGCAGAUCCUGGCACGCUUGGCUUCUGUCUCGACAUAAAACAGGCUUUGAGACUUUGGUGAAUCUUUGCGUGCCUUUGAUUCUUCAAGGAUUGGGAUUCUGCUCGCCUUCUCGUGGCCGAGCAGAUCCUGGCACGCUUGGCUUCUGUCUCGCCAUAAAACAGGCUUUGAGACUUUGGUGAGCCUUUGCAUGCCUUUGGUAAUUUCUUCAAAACUUGGGAUUCUGCUCGCCUUCUCGUGGUCGAGCAGAUCCUGGCACGCGUGGCUUCUGUCUCGCCAUAAAACAGGCUUUGAGACUUUGGUGAGCCUUUGCGUGCCUUUGAUUCUUCAAGGAUUGGGAUUCUGCUCGCCUUCUCGUGGCCGAGCAGAUCCUGGCACGCUUGGCUUCUGUCUCGCCAUAAAACAGGCUUUGAGACUUUGGUGAGCCUUUGCAUGCCUUUGAUUCUUCAAGGAUUGGGAUUCUGCUCGCCUUCUCGUGGCCGAGCAGAUCCUGGCACGCUUGGCUUCUGUCUCGCCAUAAAACAGGCUUUGAGACUUUGAUGAGCCUUUGCGUGCCUUUGUAGUAAACUUUGACUGGUUUCUUAACUCUAGCCUAGCUCUCUUUUCUUAAAUCAUUCUCAUAUUGAGUAACUUUCAAGAAAUCAAGUUAACUAAGUUAAACAGUCAGCCCUAAUAUAAGCACAAUUAGUUGAAUGAAUAUAAGGCAUCCUCAUAUCACAUAGUAGGAUUUAGAGAAAUAAUUAAAUUUUCAUGAGAAAAUUGUUUGUAAAUAAAAAUUUAACUUCUGACCUGUUCUGAUUUCUGCAAACGUCUGCCUUCAUUGUGCUCUCAUUUAAGGGUUUUGCUACCUUGUUUAAGCACGCUCAUCCAUUUAUGUACUGUAACAUUCUGAUUUGCUUCGACUAGAUGAAAAUUGAUAGAAACAAAAAUUUGGCUUCUCGUACCGGUCCCCACAGACGGCGCCAAAUGUUGAUGCCGAAAUUCGGAUGAGUUGAUCGAAUCUCAGAUCCCUGCAUCAGCAUUGAAUUUGUUUGGUGGGAAGCUGAUGAUUAGUUAGCACCAUGAGCAGAUUUUCUAUGAGCAGAUGUUCUGUGAGCAGAUCAGAUGUUCACCUCGUUCUACGACCAGGGUCUCUGCUCGAUCAACUUCACCACGACCAGGAUCUCUCCUCGUAAAGCUUCUUCUCCAGAGGUUCCUGCGCACACAGACAAGUCAGAGUACGCCGGUUGUUUUCCCGGCGCAAACCCUCCGACGCUCAAGUCAGAUAUGAAGGUUCGGGGAACGCUUGCCACAGAUCUUAUGGCUUUUGUGUAGUUUUCUUUAGAAUUGCUUUUAUCUCUCUUCUAAUCUCAAAAUUGCUAACCCUUUUACCUUCGUUGGCUACCUUUUUAUAGGCUUCCUCUCAAUCCCAGUUUUCCGCAGUCUAUGCCGUUAUCCCACGUUCUCCUUCAAUUUUCAUCCCUCCUUUUUCGGGUAGUGGCCUUUAAAUGCUUUUAAAUGCUACAUCAUGGGAAACGUGGGGUAUCGCAUCUCUCGUAACGGUUCUGGGAAGAAUGUAAACGCCAUAAUUCUGUGGGAUCGUGUUCCCGCUUUUCCAGGAGAUGGGUAUCAGCUCGGGAUACACCUUUUGUCAGUAUCCGUCUCUGAUCGGUUCAUGUUGCCCUCUGCUCUGCUCGUACAGUUACACUUGGCUGAGGUGAUUCAUGCCGGGGGUGAUUCAUGCCGAGGUGAAAACAGUACUAUGGCCGACCUGGUAUCAUUAUUGGCUCAACAAAAGUUGUACCUGAUCUCUCUAUCCUAAAUGCUUUGAUUCGAAGUCAGUUGAUGUUUUUGGCUAGGCUGAUCUGAAGCAUCUCAAUAGGCUAUAGAUAUUGCGAGUUGUAAGCUUUUGGAAGAAGUGAAGAUUGACUUUGUUGGGAAAGCACAAUGAACCCAUGGUUUUCACAGCCUUAUGUCACGGAAGUUGUCUAAAUACUGCACGGGUUGCUGCGCAAAGUAACCAUCCUAUGACAUUGAGCCAUGUUGAAAUAUCAUUUUGCUGUAAACUGAGGGAUUUGACAUAGCUUGCUUUUGCUCCAGACCUUCUUGUUGUUUCCAGAAAAUGUUGCCAUGAUAUAGAGGAAAUACUCGGUGUUGGAAAAUUAGGUGAAGAGAUGACGUCAAAUCUGGAACCCCCUGCAAAACUCCAAGGUUACGUUUGGCAUAUAGGAUUGGAUUAAAUUGGGUUCUAUUUAUAUUUUUAUGUUUGGUACAGUUCCGGAUUGAACCAUAUUAGAUUAUAUUUAAAUAAUAUUGAAUAGUAUUUAAGUUGGUAUUUUAAUAUAAAUAUCAAUUAUCCAUGAAAUUUUAUAAUCAUAAUUAAAAUAAAUUUAAAAAGCAAUUACUAGGAAAAUUAAAUAUAUUGCAAAAAGUUAUUGGGUAGUCAUAAUAUAAUAAGCAAAUAAAAUUAAAUAAAACAAAUUAAAUAUUUAAUUAUUUUUAUCAAAUAUUUAAAAAUAUUAUAUAAAAUCAAUUCAUUAAUGGUAUUAUUAAUUUUCAUGAUUAUUUUUAAUAUUAUAUUAGUGAUUAUUAAAUUUAAUACAAUCAAAUAAUGUAAUAAAUAAUUACACGUUUAAUUUUAUCGAUUAAUUAUUAAAUAUACAAGUAAUGAAAAUUUAAUCUCAGGAGUUGGUAGACGCAAAAGUACUAAUUUAAUUAGAUCAUAGAUAAUAAAUAAAAUAAAUUUUAAGUAAAUCAUAAUAAAAAAAUUAAUUAAUUGAUUCAAUCAAUCAAUAUUAGGUGUAAAUAAAAAAAGAGUAACGAUAUAUCCACAAACUCUUACACAAACUCAUGUGUCAUGAUAAGAUUGAUUGAAUUAAAUAUCACUUGGCCCACAUAAUUUAUUUUUAUUAUUUUAUAUUUUCAUUCAACCAAUGAAUUAACGCCACAUCAGUUUGUACAAGAUAUGUUUGUACAGGAAUUUGUGGCUGUAUCAUCACUCAUAAAAAAAAGAUACAAAUAAACCUCUCAUAAAUGGACAACUUUUAUCUUUAAUCUUAUCCCAACUAAACACAUGUGUAAAUUAGGAUUAUUAAUCCCAUGAUUUUAGGAUUAAAUUCAAAUUUAUUCCCCCUUAAUCCAAUCCAACUAAACUUGUCAAACAUGGGAUAAAAGUUUAAUUCUAAAAGCAUCACUAAAAGGCUCUUCAAAUAAGAUUUUAUUACUUAUUUGAAGAGCCAUAUCAAUAUUUAACGCUCCAAAAGACACUUCAGUUAAGAUUCUUCAAACAAUAGAUGAUUCUCUCUUUUCAAAUUUCGAGAGUUGAUUUCUCCCUCUUCAAUUUGUAUUUUAUUAUUUUUCAUUGGAGAAAGAGAGAGAAGUGCUUUAAUUGCUAUUGACUUUUUCCUUAAAAAAAUAAUUAUUUGAUUAAAAUAAUAUUAAUUUAUUUCUAUUUAAAGAGUCUUUUAAAGAAUAAUAUAUUUUUUUAUUUUUUUUAUUUAUCACAUAGGUAAAUAAAUAAAUAUUUAAAAAAUAAAAUUAAUAGAGACUUUUGGAGAUACUCUAAAAUUAGUCCAAUCCCAUACUUAAUCCUAGCAUCCAAAUAUAGCCCAAGUUGUUUGCUUAAAGAAGCUACCAAAUUUGAAGAGCGUUUACGGGAAGGCCCUGCGUUUCCCAGAUGUAUGCAGAAUUUUUGUAUCUAAAUGGCCAGAACUUAAGAAGCUGACGCUGGAUUUUGAAAGGGCGGGCCAAGGUAAAAUUCUUAUCAAGGGAAAGGAAAAUCGGUGGAAACAACUUCAAUGGGAGGAUCAAGCAACUCAGGAUGCAUUGCUUCUGUUUUUCAAAUCAACUGACAAGUGAUUGAAGGGGGCAUCAUCAGCCUGGAUGGGGAGAUCCUGGAGCAGAUCAGCAGGGUUUGAAUCUGCAUCAUCAACAUCAUCAGGAUCUCUAUUUCUAUUGCUGGUCGUAAUGCCUGCCGACUGUUGCUUGAAAAAGUGAUUAAGUGAGCCAGUUUUUUGUUUAUUAAAUUUUGUCUUAAUUGGCGUCCAAUAGAAAUUUACAAGAAUUACUUUUCUGUUCAUGCAAUCGGCGUCUGAACGCGGCUGAUCGGUCACCGGUGUUGGCGUUUACUGUGAUUAGACAAAUUGUAGGACUUCAAAAAUAACUUCUAUAGGGGUAAUUUCGAUUUCACAUAAUUAAUUUUAUUUACAAUAUUUUAUUCCUGCAAGGUCAACUGAGAUUCUUUCCACCGGGCACACCCUUCAUGUUCUUUUAUUUUCUGUCUUUUAUUAGCCGUUGGGUUUUACUACUCUUAUAUCCAACGGCUUGCCACAACAAGACAAAUGAGGUGGUACCUUCCAACUGCUGAAAGGUGGUUUUGGCCCCGAGUGAAACAGGGGAUGCACUUACUAUUAAGGACAGUUGGUGGCCAGCUAAUGCAUUCAUUUUAUGUCCUUUCGUCUUUUUGAAUUAUUGAAGACAAGGGGCUCCUCGCUUUUACUGUAGGUAAGAUCCAGAUAAUCUCGAUUAUCAAAAUAAUUAUUUUAAAAUACCUUAAUUAUUUUUUUUUUUAUGUUGCGUUUAUUAAACUAGAAUAAAAAUGAGUUGAAAUCGGAAUGAGUAGGAACAAGAAUGAAAAUGAAAAUAAUGAAUGGGAAUCAAAAUAAGUUGUUUACUUGAACUAUAGAAAUCAAAAUCGUAAUGAGUUGAGUUACCAUUAAUGUGUUUAUUUUGUCUUGGAAUCAGAAUCGAAACAAAUUAGAUUGUAACAAAUUACUAAAAAGUACUUAAUGGAUUAUUGUUAUAAUUAUUAUUAUUAUUAAUUAAUUAAUUGUACAAAAUUUUAAUUAAUUAUAAUAACUAUAAUAAAAUUAUUAUAAAAAUAUAUUAACUAAUAAUAUUAAUAUAAAUUACUUAAUUAAAAUAAUAUAUUAAUUGUGAUUAUUUAUUCAAAAAAUAUAAUUAUUAAUAAUUAUUUUUAAUAAUAUAUUAAUUCAUAGUAAUAAUUAUAUAUAUAUAUAUAUAUUUAUUUAAUUGUAUUAAUUUUAUUUAUUUAUUAUUAAUAAUAAAUGAAUUAAUUAUUAUAAUUAUUGUUAAUAAUUAUUAUAAUAGUAUAUUAAUUAAUUAAUUACAAUAAUAAUAUAUUAAUUAAUGUGAUAUUUAUUUAGGAACAAUAAUUAUUAAUAUAUUAUUGUUAAUAAUAUAUUAAUUAUUGUGAUUAUUUAUUCAAGAACUAUAAUUUUUAAUAAUUAUAGUUAAUAAUUUAUUUAUUUAUUUAUUUAUUUAUUAAUCAUAAUAUAUUAAUUAAUUAAUUAUAAUAUUAUAUUAAUUAAUUAUAAAAGAGGAUAAAGUGGAUAUUUUUAAUUUUGGGAAGGGCAAAAUAGUUAAUCCUAGGAAUGAGAGACUCUUUCUCACCUCUGCAUGGGAAUCAAUCUCUCAUUCUCUAUUCUCAAAUAGUAGUAGACCCCAUCAUUUCGAUUCUAAUUCUUACUCCAUAUUUGUGAAGUAAACAUCAUCAAUCAUUCUGAUUCUGAAUUUUUGUGAAUGGAGAGAUGCCGGAGCAGAUCAGCAGGGUUUGAAUAUGACCUUUGGCGCUUGCUUUUUUUUGUGAUUUUUUUUUUUCAUUUUUUCCUUCUUGUCAUUUUAUCAUUUCUUUGGCUUUGUCUCUAUUGCGGGUGUUAUUGCAUGCUUACUGUUGCUUGACAAAGUUUGCUAGCUUUUCCUUUUGUUUAUUAAAUUUUUUAUGGUCACAAAGAAUUACUUGUUCUAUUUGAGAGUGAUAUGAAUCAAUUUUUCAAUUAUAUAUUUUGUGGUCAAUGUGAAUUCAAUUUCAUUUGUCUCCCGCAAUUAUGAAAAAAUUACAGUCAUAAUAUGGAAAAGUACACCGGCAAAAACUUUGUAAAAGCUUCGGAGUGAUACGGGGAAUUCACUUACUACUAAGGACAAUUGGUGGCAAGCUAUUCCAUUCAUUUUAUGUCCAUCCAUCUAUUUAGUUAUUGAAGAUAAGUGGUCCAUUUGUAAAUUUCAGAUUGUCUCUCUCUCCCUCUUGAAAUAACAAUAUUUAAUAUAUCUCUUAAAUUAUUAUAAAUUUUAAUUUACUCUCGAUUUAAAAUGGAGCAUGUCGAUAAAUUUUUUUUCUUCUUAAUAAAAUUGACGUAAGUUGUGUUUACAGUAGUUUGAAGUUUGAAAUAUUUUAAAGAUUAUUAUUCUAUAAGGGAGUAAUAUGAAAUGAAAUUUACUUUUCAUGUGUGAACUGAAAAAGGACGAAGCAAGUGUCCCUACUUUUAUUUUAUUUCAAGGAGGAGUCAUCUCACAUACUUAAGCUCUUAACAUUACAUUUUUUUUUGUUACAUUUUUUUUUUAAUUUUUUUUUUUACACAUGCGUGUGGGUUGCUUAUCUGUAAGCUCCUUAAUAUAUAUUUAACACAAAUCAUGAAAAAGAUGGGAUUAUAUCAAGAUGAUCAAAGCAUGUAAAAAAAGAAAAAAGAAAAAAAAAUUAAGAAGUAAGACACUGAAAAUGGAGAAGAGACGGAAGCAAAAGAUAUUCCAAAACAAAGCAAUAACAAAGCAAUCUAUCCCCUUUCGAGGGCAGACUCAACAGGUUUAAAAAAGUACAUGCUUUGGAUUGGUAGUUGCAAUCAAGGGAAAAUAAAUAGGAUCCAAUGAAAUUUAAAUCUUGGAGAAAAUAAAUAAUCAUGCAGAUUUUCAAGAUUUUAAUAAGGGAUACUAAUAUCUUAUUUUGAUUAAUAACAUUCUUUCACUGUGUUAACUCAAAAAAAAUAUUAUAAUGCUUUACAAUAAAUACAAAUGUCCUAUUAAAUGAAUAUAUAAAAAAUUUAGAAUAUUUAGAAUAUUAUAUAAAAUAAUUUUAAUAUAAUGCGUGAGAUAUAUUUUAUUAAUUUAAAAUGUCAUUUUACCUAAAAAAUAUGAUAAAUUAAUAAUUACAUGUUUGAAGUUAUUUCAAAUAUUAAAAAAAUUUAAUAUUAUUAGUCUUUUAGAUAGAUUAAAUUAUUUUUUAAAGAGAUAGAUUAAAUUAUUUUAAAAUACCUUAAUUGUUUUUACUUUAAACAUUACCGGCCUUUCUUUUAUUUUAUUGCAAAUUAAUGCUAACAAGAAAAAGCUAGAUCAUAUUCCGCAAAAGCAAAAGUGACAAACACAACCAGCUGGAAUCUUUUAUAAAACUACAAAUUAAAAUGGAUUUUUUUUUUGAUAAAUUACACAUGAAAGUGGAUUCUUUUGAAUAUAAGUGGGGUAGGCUCUUUUAUUUUAUUUUUGAAUAUUGUAUAACGGGACUGUAGACUCUUUUAUUAAACUACAAAUUGUAUAGUCUUUUUAAAAUUGUUAUGAAUUAGUGGCCCCUACAAUCCUCAACAAUUGUACCAAUAUUCACAAGUUGGUGGCCCCUACAAUUCUGUUCCGAUAAUUUAACUGUGCAAGUCCUCAUUCACAAUCUUCCAGGUCAUGCUCUCAAUAAUUGUUUUUUUUUUUUUUUUUUUUUUUUUUUUUCUGCAUUCCCUUUCAUGCUCUUAAUAAUUGAAGAGCAUACUUUUCAUUUUCAAAUGUGGAGCCGCAUCUAAUGUCGCUAAUUUAAUUUGGGAUUAAAUUAGGGGACCAUUAUAUUGCAGUGUGCACUAAUUUUUGUGUUUAUCUAAACUCUUUAAGUUUAAGACAUAUUAUGGCAUAAAUAAGAAUAUAACAAUAACAAAAGAGUUAGAAAGUGUAGAGAAGAUCUUGCAGAAAUAUAAAUAAUAUCUAUUUUAAAAUAAUUUUUAAUAUUUUAUGAUCCAUUAGAUAUAUUUUAUUAUAUUAAAAUAAAUUUUAUAAUAAAUAAAAACAUCCUAUUAAAAUGAAUAUAUAGAAAAUUUAGAGUAUUUUAAGUAUUAUAUAAAAUAAUUUUAAUAAAAUAUGUGAGAUAUUCAUAGUUUAUUAAUUUAAAAUACCAUUUUAAAAUUAAAGAUUUAUUUAUGAUAAAUUAAUAAUUAUAUUUUUGAAAUUACUUCAAAUAUUAAAAAAUUAAUAUUACUAAUCUAUUAGAUAGAUUAAAUUAUAUAUAUUAUUUUCUAUUUAUUAAAAAAUUAAAAUUAUUUUUAAUUACUAUUCAAAAAAUAUAAUGAUAAAAAAAAAUCUUAACAUCUUUAUUAAAAAUUUAAAAAUUUACAUGAUCAAUUCUCUAAAUAUUUAGGGUAUAUGUGAACAUCGGUGGAGAAGCUUUAUUUAAUAUUAUUGAUUUAAAUAAUAUGUCAAUUAAAAAUGCGCGGAGAAGAAAUUUCGGUGGGUAUUUUAGUCUUUUCAGCAAUUAUCAUGAUCAGAUCAGCCUUUAGCUUGAAACGUCGGUCAGAAAAGUUUUAAAAUUAAUGCUAACAAGAAAAAGCUAGGUCAUAUUCCACAAAAGCAAAAGUGACAAAACAACCAGCUGGUUUUUUUUACUAAACUACAAAUUAAAAGUGGAUUCUUUUGAAUACAAGUGGGACAGACGAUUAGGCUCUUUUUAUUAAACGCAAGUAAAAAGUAGUCGAAUAGUCUUUUUUCAAAUUAUUGUUUUAUUAUUUUUCCUUCAAAAGUUAGUGUGGCUCAUGUUUGCAGGUGCGAAUGUCAGAUCACAUGCGAUGGUGCUUUUUUCAAUCGUUGCUUGGAUUGCUUUCUUGGAAAAGCAGCAUACAUACGUAACCUCCAAGAUAAUCUUGAUGCCUUGGAGACUGAAUUGGGAAAUCUGAUCGCUAGAAAGAACGAUGUGAUGAGGAGGGUUGUCGAUGCUGAACGGCAACAAAUGAGAAGGCUGGACGGAGUGCAAGUGUGGGUUUCGAGGGUGGAUUCUGUUAAAACUGAAGCUGAUCAAUUUAUAAGAGACGGCUCUCGAGAAAUUGAAAAAUUAUGUGUUGGAGGCUACUGUUCCAAGAAUUGCAUGUCAAGCUACAAGUUCGGGAAAAAAGUGGCUAAAAAGCUACGGGAUGUGCGGACUUUAAUCAGUGAAGGAGUUUUUGAGGUGGUGGCUGACAGAGCUCCAGAGUCUGUAGCAGAUGAAAGACCUACUGAGCGAACAGUAGUAGGCUUGCAAUCACAACUUGAACAAGUCUGGAGAUGUCUUGUAGAAGAAUCAGCGGGAAUCAUUGGCCUAUAUGGCAUGGGCGGUGUUGGUAAAACUACACUACUGACCCAUAUCAACAAUAAAUUUCUCGAGAGUCCAACCAACUUUGAUUGUGUGAUUUGGGUUGUAGUUUCAAAAGACCUGCGACUCGAAAAAAUUCAAGAAGAUAUUGGGAAAAAGAUAGGUUUGGUUGGUGAUUCAUGGAAGAGUAAAAGUGUAGAGGAGAAAGCUGUCGACAUCUUCCGGAGUUUAAGAGAGAAGAGAUUUGUAUUGUUGUUAGAUGAUAUAUGGGAGCGGGUUGAUUUAACAAAGGUGGGCGUUCCACUUCCCGGACCAAAAAAUACUACCUCAAAAGUCGUAUUCACAACCCGUUUCAUCAAUGUUUGUGGUACCAUGGAAGUUGACAGGAAGUUUCAAUUAGCAUGCUUAUCAAAAAAGGAUGCUUGGGAACUGUUUCGAGAAAAAGUUGGGGAAGAAACUCUUCAGAGUCAUCAUGAUAUCGAUGAGCUAGCCCAAAUUGUGGUCAAAGAGUGUGGUGGUUUGCCGCUCGCACUUAUUACUAUUGGUCGAGCUAUGGCCUACAGAAAGAAAGCGGAGCAGUGGAGUCGUCCAAUUGAAGAGUUAAGGAGAUCAGCUUCAGAGUUUGCAGGUUUGGGAAAAAAAGUGUAUCCUCUUUUAAAAUUCAGCUAUGAUAGUUUACAGAAUGAUAGGGUUAGAUCUUGUUUCUUGUACUGUUGUUUAUAUCCUGAAGAUUAUGGCAUUCUUAAAUGGGACUUGAUUGAUUGUUGGUUUGGCGAGGGAUUUUUUGGGGAAUCUGACAGGUUUGGUGCAGAAAACCAAGGAUAUGACAUUUUGGACACUCUUGUUCGUGCAUGUUUAUUAGAAGAGGUGGAAGAUGAUGAAGUUAAAAUGCAUGACGUUAUUCGUGAUAUGGCUCUAUGGAUAACUUGUGAAAUUGAGAAGGAGAAGAGAAACUUUUUGGUUCGUGCAGGUGCUGGAUUAAAAGAGGUACCGGGUGUUAAAGGAUGGGAAAAUGUGAGAAGAUUGUCAUUGAUGCAAAACCAAAUUGAAACUCUGUCAGAGGUUCCCACAUGCCCUCAUCUCCUCACUUUAUUUCUUGACUUUAAUCAGGAGUUGGAGAUGAUCGCGGAUGGCUUCUUCCAACUUAUGCCUUCUCUCAAAGUUUUGAAGAUGUCAAACUGUUCGAAUUUGAAAUUACCUGUUGGGAUGUCAGAGUUGGGUUCAUCACUAGAACUUCUCGAUAUUUCAGAAAACAGCAUAACAGAGUUACCGGAAGAGUUAAAGAAGUUGGCAAAUCUGAAAUGUUUGAAUUUGGGGUGGACAAGGGAGUUAAAUAAAAUUCCACGGCAACUAAUAUCAAAUUCUUCAAGGUUACGUGUGUUGAGAAUGUUCGCUACUGGCCGGUUCAAUUUUCAUGAAGCACCAGAAAACAGCGUUUUAUUUGGUGGGGGUGAAGUUUUGAUACAGGAAUUGCUCGGUUUGAAAUAUUUAGAGGUAUUGGAGUUGACCUUGGGAAGUUAUCAUGCUCUCCAAAUUCUUUUGAGCUCAAAUAAGUUAAAAAGUUGUAUUCGAUCUCUUUUCCUCGAGUUGACCGGAGAUACAGCGUCAAUUAUUGACGCUACGGCUUUCGCAGAUCUAAACCACCUCAAUGAAUUAUGGAUUGAUAAUGGUAUUGAGUUGGAAGAGUUGAAGAUUGAUUAUACGGAGAUAGUACGAAAAAGGCGGGAACCUUUUGUUUUCCGCAGCCUUCACUGUGUUACUAUGAUUUCGUGCCGUAAAUUGAAAGAUUUGACAUUCCUCGUUUUUGCUUCAAACCUCAAGUCUCUUCGGCUACGCAAUUGCUAUGCUAUGGAAGAAAUAAUCAGCGUCGGAAAAUUUGCUGAGACUCCUGAGAUGAUGGGACGUAUAAGCCCUUUUGAAAAUCUCCAAAUGCUUGAUUUACAAGGUUUGCCACAUUUGAAGAGCAUCUUCUGGAAGCCAUUGCCUUUCACUCAUCUGAAAGAAAUGGAGGUACUUAGGUGCGAUCGGCUUGAAAAGCUUCCACUCGAUUCCAACAGUGCAAAGGAGCGCAAAUUUGUUAUUCGUGGAGAAGAAGACUGGUGGAACCGACUUCAAUGGGAGGAUGAAGCCACUCAAAUUGCUUUUCGUUCCUGUUUUAAAAGUGAUGCUUUAUUUAUAUCUUAUUCGUGAAAAGUGAUUUAAUUUCCUGCCAAAAGACGAACGAGAAGAACAUUAGAGUCAAACUAAUGCUCACAUAAAUUUCCCAUAAGAAUAUAUAAUUAGACUGGAAUGCACACCUCUAGAUUGAACAGAAUUAAAGCUGAGAAGAUAUUGAGUAUAGUAGCCCUCUUUACAGAAAAUGACACGAAAGUUAAUUUAGAAAGAUAUAUUCUUGAUUAAUCCAUUUUCUGAAGUUUUUAUUUUGUAUGGUCAAUUAUACCUUCAUACUAAAAAUUUCUGAAGUUAUAAAUUAGUGCAACUUGACAAUUUUUACUGAUGAUAUCUUCUAUUUUUCCUUUUUUUUUUUUUUUUCACUUUCAUAGACUGGCAGCGGAUCCUGCGGCACCAAUUUGAGAGAAUAUACUGACACUACUUCGAACAGCAAGCAGAAUAUGUCUACGGCAAAGGCAAUGCAGUCCUCAUUUUGGCUUGAGAUGCAGUAAUCAUCGAAGAGAGUUUCCUUGUGAAACUGGGCAACACAUUGAAUCCCUUCGCCACUGAGAAGGUUGUGGAGGAAGUAAGCUUUCUCUCCAGUGAGGAAGAGGUGGCAUAUACCUUCCCCAUUUUGUCGAGGGCAGGUAGGAAUCUUUUUUCUAAGAGAUUUACUUCGUUCUCUGUAAGAAAUGCUUUGAACUUCAUCCCUCUGUCUCUAUCCUCACUUAUCAGGAAAUAAGUUGAAAGCACUAUGAAGAGAGAGAGAGAGAGAGAGAGAGAGAGAGAGAGAGAGAAUUAAGAUAUAGAGACAAGAAAAAUAUUAGACGUUGAUCUUACAAACUAAUACUUCAAGCAGUAUCCUAGAAAGCUAAAAACUGCAAGAUGGCUUGAAAUUUGAAAAGAGCACGUGCUUUUCCUCCUUAACUUGAGAAAAUGUUUAAUAUAGUGCACCUUACAGAAGCAUUUAAGCAAUUAGAACUUUGCACAAAAACAUCAAGAAGACUAAACAAGUCAGAUGCAGUGCAUUUGUCCAAGCACAAAUUGCAUUUUGUCCUCAACUUUAAUAUUUAUUGAUGAGAAUCAAUACAGGUCCCUCAUUUGUUAUAGAAAGCUUUCUUUCUUGUAGUCUCACCAGUUAAUUCACAGGUCUAUAAUCAUCUUGCAAAGUUAAGGGCAUUUCUUUCGAUCUAAAGUCUUUGCAUCACCACCUCAUCACACGCCAAGCCAAUAUUCCAUUUACCUCUACAACAAAAAGUUUUAAUUAAACAAUCCUAAUGCACGCAGCCAAAUAAAAUGCAGUAAGAAUAUUCAACUUAAAAAUCUGAAAGCCAACUUGGUGAAUUGCCUCCUUAGGUGAAGUUCCAUGCUUUACUAUAGUUGACAGAACUCAGCAAAAGCUUCCAUACAACAGAUUUUGAAAAUGAUGAUGCCAACAGAUACUUAUUCAAUCCAUUGAAACUCCAAAGGUUCAUUGUUCAUAGAAGUUUACAGAGUUUUGGUCAUCAAAUAGCUCAGACCUAAUCCCAAACAAAAAACGAGUGAAAAUUAGAUCACGAGCAGCUAAUUGUAAAUUCUAACUUAACUCUUCAUCUCCUUUGUAAACAAGAAACAAAAUGGAGACACGCAAAAUGAAUAUGGAGAAAAUUUGAACUCAAAUGAAAUGAGGGCACAAAAGCAAACAAAUGGCAUGCACCAAAAAACCAAGCCUCAAUCAAAAACUAAUUAACCAUUAAGAAAAAAAUUGCCCAGAGAAUGAACUCCAAAUUCAGGAGUCAAGCAAGAACCUUUCAUUAUUUCAGAAGCUCCUGUACAAAUUAAUAAGUUAUGCUCUUUGGAAGCAAACCUAAAUUCCAAGAGAAACAGAACCCAAAAAAAUUUGCAAUUAUACGCAAAGGAAGUGAAGCACAGGAUUCUAUCACACAUAGGAAUUGUAUAACAAGAGAUCGAUAUAUCGAAUUAGAAAACUCAAUUCGAAUUUGUGUCAAAAAUCAAAAUUAGAAGAUUUCACAUUUCGAGAGGAACAAGCAACAGAUGAAGUUCAAAAUUUCAGCCAUAACAUGCUAAAAAUGCUGCACUUAACGGUUCAUUUUCAUGGAUUUUCUCGGGAAACAAACAGAAAAUUACGGUUUAGAGAGUUGACUGACCUUUUGGCUUUUGAAAUUGAGAAGAUCGCACGCCAAAUUGGAAGAGGGAAAGUGAAAGUGCGAGUUUUAAUAUGGGUAUUAGAUAAGGAAAUUUUAUUAGGUUGCGAGGGUAAAAAAGGAAAGAGAUAUCAUUGUUUUAUUAUCGAUAAUUAUUAAAUUUUUUUCCAAAAAAAAAACAGGCAAGGAUAUUUUAUUGUCAUUUGCAACCUUUAAUUUUUUUAAAUGCUAUUAGAAACACAAGACAACAAAGAAAUACUUAUUUUUUUCUAAAACUAAAAUCAACUGUUUAGGGCCCGUUUGGUAUUGUUUCUAAAUUUAUAUUUUCUGACAAUAAAAAUGAAAAUGAAAAUGAUGUUUUGCAGUUGCUGUAUUUUAAAUUUAAGUAUACGUUUGGUAUCAUUUUCUAUAUCCUAUAUUUUAAAAUUAAAAAUAAUAAUAUGUGUUUGGUAAACACAUUUGAAAAUAAUAAAAACAGAGAAUAUGCGUUUGGUAAUACUUUUUUUAAAAAGAGUUUUUACUAGUAUUUACGUCAUAUUUAUAGUUAUAAAAUAAUUAUUUAGCUAAUACAUACACAAAUACAACAUAAUAAUUUAAACAAAAUUAUUAUAAAAAAAUUACAUGAUAAUAAAGUUUUAGAAUUAGCAUUAAUUAAAAAAAAGUUUUACAUUGUCAUUAUUUUUACACCAUAAUUAAGAUAUAUAUUACAACACAUGAUUUAAACAAAAUAAUUAUAAAAAAAUUACAUGAUAGGCAUUAUGCAUUACGCAUGUAAUCAUGCCACAUAAAAGCUGCAAUUCUAUCUCUUAUAGCAUUCAUCUUUGCGACACUUGAAGGAGAUAAAUCAAUAUUAGUAAGUGACCUACUAGUGUCUCCUUCUUCGUUGGUAACCAAAUCUUGCACAUCAAAGUCUCCAAAUAACCUAUCACAGGCAAUAAAUUCAAAUUGUGAAUCCCAUCUAAAGCAAUAAAUUGAAAUUACAGAUUGUUUGAUUGGAUUGAAUCCUAUCCUGGGCAAAGCUUGAAAAAACUUUAUUUCUCUCUAGUAACAAAAGUCCUAUUUGCCUAAUGCAUUUUCUCUGUAAAAAAAAAAAAAAUUGGAGUGACAUGCAAUAAAUUCAACUUGUGCAUCAUCAACAAAAUGGAAUUUGGAGUAAAAUCAACAUCAUGGCAAUGACAAUCGUGAACAAUAUCAUCUUUACAUGCUAUUAAAAACAAUUAAAAUCACUCAAAUAAUUUCUGAAAUUUUUAUUAAAUUCUCAGGUUUUUUUUUUUCAUUCUAAAUGUCAUAUAUACAAAUUCAUUACUGUCCAAAAACAUCCUACUUUAAGAAAUAUUUAAAAGUUAAUUAAGUAAAAAAUCUUGUAAAUUAUAAUGUCUUUUUUUUUUUUCGUUUUAAAUUGGUUUCCAAAGAAUGAUGUCUAUGCUUACAGAAGCAAAACAUGCCAAACAGCAGCAGCGACAUUUUGUGAAUUGUUUUUAACUUAAACAAAACAAAUACCGGCAAGUGACAGAUCCGAGAGAGCAACAGCAGCUGGCGUGAAGACGAGCAGCAACGGCUGAGCAGAGCAACAGCGGAAACAGAGCAGCAGCGAAGACGAGCAGCAGCGGAGCAGAGCAGCAGCAGAAACAGAGUAGCGGCGGCUAUGGCGGAAACACAGCAACGACAGUGGUUGAGAGUGCAGAUUUGCUGAGGAAAGGGAGAGAGUGCAGAUUUAUUGCAACUGAAUCAAGAAGGCUGCGGGGGAAAGGGGAAGAGAGAGAGGCAAUGAAGAGAUAAGGAGGAGAGAGUGGAUCGGGAGAAAUAAAGAGAGAGAAAGAUGUUGGAUGAAGAUAAGGGGAGGGAGAGAGUGCAGAUUUGCUGCAACUGGAUGAAGAAAGUUGGGGGGAAGAGAGAGCGGCAGUGAAGAGAUAAGGAGGAGGUCACGAUUUUUCUUUUGUUUUUUAAUUCAUUUUUAGGUUUAGGUGGCGUUUGUUUUUUUGUCUGAAAUCUGAAUAGACUUGAAUUAGUCUGAAUUCUGAAUAGGUCUGAAUGUCUGAAUCUGAAUAAUAUGUUUGUUUUUUCGUCUGAAUCUUGAAAAAUAAGUAUUAAGUUGUUUGUUUUUUUCAACUUAAAAAGCUGAAAAUAUAUACUUUUACAUUUGUAUCCUUAUUAAAUUUGAAUGUCAAAUAAAUAAUAUAUUAAAUACCACAAUAUUUUAACAUUUAUAAGUAAAACUAUAUUCAAGUGAAUACAUAAUUAUUUUAGAAUUUUAAUAUAUAAAAUACCAUAAAUUUCAAAUUUUAUCGUAUAUAAUAUAAGAAAGAAAAAACAGGGAUAUUUUUAUGUGGGGUAGAUAUCUAUGGGUGAGUUUUGGGAUAGACAUGAAAAAUAAAUUAUAAAACAUGGAUAUUUUUGACAUUAGCAAGUAAUUGACUUAAUUUAGAUUUCUCCAUUAAGUAAAAAGCCAAAAAAAUUAGCUUAUUUUAUUAAGUCAAAAUUAUUUAAAAAUUCUCAUUAAGUUAUAAAAACAAACAACUCUAAUUAACUUAAUUAAUUAAGUUAAGUCACUUUAAGUCAUUAAGUUAAAAAACAAACGCAACCUUAGUCUGUAAAAUUUGGAGAACAUGUUUAACUUGUUUUCAGUUGUAUAGUUAUAAUAAUGAAUCCGAAUUUUGUGUUUUGUAAUUUGUUUUGUGAAAAAAAUCCACCAAACAUGUUUUAUGUGUGUAUUAUAAAAAUGAAAACGCAAAUAUGGCUUGAAAAACGGUACCAAACGGGCCCUUAACUUCUUAUUUCAUAAUCCAACUCCAUUACUAAGUUAAAAAAAAUUGUUUUAAAAUUACUUGAGUCAUAUCCAAUAGACCAACAAAGUAAUCGUUUUUAUUUUUAUUGAUUUUUGCAGGAAAUUAGUGGCUUAAAAAUACUGAAAGCUAUUGUAAAAAUCUUUAUUAUCAACCUCAUUGUUUUUUUUUUUUUUUGGGGAAGAGAAUUCAAUUUUUUUUUUUAAUGAAUAUCGCUGUUUCGUUUGAGUUGGAUGUGAAUUCAAAUUCAUUUGAGUUGGAUGUGAAUUCAAAUUCAAAUAUUCUUUGUUUUUCAAUUCUGAACUCGAUUUCUUUUUCUCAAGAAUGUUAUGUAGAAAUGAUUUUUACUAAAUCAUUUUUGAUGAAUUGUUUAAAUUAAACAAUUGGAAUAAGAAUUGUAACGAUUUAUCAUAAGCGCGCUAAUAUGAUAACUUGUUUUACGAAAGAUUAAUUAAUCAAUUAAUAUUAAAUUAUAUAUUAGUCAAUUAUAUAUGUGUUACAUUUGUCAUGGUUUGUGCGUGAUACUACAUAAUUUCUAAAAGAAUAUAGUAAAAACACGUUAAAAUGUUAUUUUAAUGAAUAAAAUUUUAUAAUUUUAUUAAUUAGGUGACACAAUAAUAAAUGGAUUUCUGUAAGAAUUGAGUUUCUUGAGAUAAUUAUUACAUAAGGAGAAGUUUAGUUGGUUCAAUUUUGACAUGUUAAGAAGAGCAUCACAGCACAGAAAACACAAAUUGCCACUUCCACUAAUAAAAGAUACCUGUUUGAAAAGUAAUUAUAAACUAUCUUCUUUGUGUUAUUUCUCAAAACUUUUGUGGCACAAAUGUUAUUUCCAUUGACAACAGUACGAAAUACCACCCCUUUCACUUGAGCAGGAGCAAAGCAAAGGUAUGAUGAGCUAUCUCUGUAUAAUUGAAACGCCAUUACUAAACGAUUCUUGAUGAUGGGAGCCACCGUGCCAGCUUUGUCGCUGAUUUGGUAUUAUUCUUAACUUGCAGAUAGUUGUGGAUAUGAUAUGCAAAAGGUAAGGACUAUAUCUUCUUGAUGGAGGCCUCUGAUUUUUUCCCUUCUAUGUAAUUUAGUAAAUCGCAUUUUCCUUUGUGAUUGAUAUAUCAUACCAAAGUCAAGUCUUAAAUACUGCUGUCAUAUGUUAAGGUUCAACUUCCAUUUUGAUUAACGUCCAUCUGCUGCUGCUUCCAAAAGUGAGAAUGAGAUACUUUGGUUAAUUUCAGUAGUUGAACCCAAUAGAGUACUUUAUUUAGAUCUUCAUGGUUCAAAGGCCUGAAAAAACUUGCCGGUAUUUGGAAAAUGACAUUCUGUGCUUUUAUUUAGACUUAUUAUUUAAGUGAUAAAAACUCCCGUAACCUGCUGUCAAGAAAAUUUCAGAUUGUUAAAAGACAACAUUUUGUUUCGGCCAAAAAUGUUUGUUUCGAUUAAAGACUUGAACCAUUUUCAUUUAACCUUGAUUGUGAUGCUUUACAUUAUGCAUGUUCCUCUCAAUCAAUAAAAGUUGAGGUCAUGAUUUUAUAUUUCUAUUUUGUAACUUGAAAUAAUUGGUCUGCCUGUUUCUGUAGCUUGAUAACAUGAAUUUUUCCUUCUGAAGUUAAUUUGAUCAAUAAAGUAAUUCUUCGGAGAUGAUAUGCCCAUUCUAUAGUCAUUUUCUUAGCUAACAUGUUUUUUCUUCACUCUUCAGAGCAUGUCUAAACUAAUUGAUCGCUCAGCGGAGACUUUGGGUGAGAAGACAAAAUUUCUUAGUAAAUCCUCUGAAAAGGUAUGCAUAAUUCUCGAGUAUUAAAUAACCAUUGGUCAUAAUUUUUGUUCUUUUUUUGGAGAUCGUUAAAAGUGGUUGAUGACCUAUUUUUUACUAUCAUAGAGGGAUCAUGAAUUCCUUUUCUUUUCUGUGGCUCGGCAACACUUUCGGGCCAAACUAAGGAAAUCUAUUUUAGGUAAUGUAAAAACCAGUUGUAGGAUGUAAUAGUUUAUUAUGCCCUGACAAUAACUUUUUGUAUAAUUGUCAGUUUAAUGAAUACAAGAGGAACUCUGUUGGCAAAUUCAUCCAUGAUAGAAUAUAGAUGCUAAAAUUAUUUAUGCAUACCAGUUGCCUUAACUAAUUUUUCUCAACACUGGUAUUGAACAGGAAAAUGAAUAUGCAAUUUGUAUAUUGUGCCAUUGUGGAGAAUUUGGAUAUUCUUAUUUAAGUAUCAAGGAGAGUAUUUGCCUCAUCUUUAAACAAUGAAUCUUUGAGAAAUGAGGAGUGGGUGAUUGGCAGUGUCUUCAUGUAAAUGUUCAUUUAUUUGUAUUUUGAACUAUUACGAGAAUCUUUGUGUGCCAAAUUAGUAAUACAAAUGUUCAGAUGAUUUUUCCUGUUGAUCAUGCGCGUGUAUCUGCACACAACCAUUGUGUACCACUUUAUUCUGAUGCGCAAAUAUCUGUAGUUUAGAAGAAAAGAAAUAAUAAUCAUAUAUUAUUGCUUGGUUCAUGAUUAUUAAACGAUUAUGGCUUUAGAAAAUCCACAAAUCCUUUGUGUUCAUAUAUGAAUGUGCAAAGUUUGCUAUAUCUUAGAUUACCUUCUUCCAAGAUAACAAGUUCAUAUAUUUUUUUUAAUCCUUUUUCAUCACAGUUGAAUUUCAAGUGUAAGUUUUGUUAUUAAUAGCUGGUGUCCUGUUAUUAUGAUUUCAUAAACAGUGAGCGGAUAUGUGCUCUACUUUUGGAGGGCCUCCACAUGAAAGAAAAUUGCAACAAUUGAAUUCUUCUGGAGGUUAUGGUAUUUAAUUUAUUUUCUCAGCUUGUUGAAAGACUAAUAUAUUUCCUUCAGUACGCACGGCGUGGUGGGAAGGGUUUUUAUUGAAAGAAUUAUGAUAUUUCUUAGACUUUGUUUUGGAAGGGGGUGGAGGGAUUUCUCAUCCAUAUAUGGUUACUUGAUUAGCUUUUGACUGUAUUGUCUCCGUCGUGCAAAGGAAAAUCCAAAUACUAACGAAGGGGAAUUGCUUAGGCACCCAAAAGACAGAAAUGAAUUACAGAAGGAAGUUUUUGCUGCUUUAUUUAGUGCUGCUGAGAAAUCUGAUGGAUUUCCUGAAAUUACGGUGAAGACGGAGUGGAGGUCCAACGCAUUAGGAAAGGUGGUGAGUGAACCGCCGGAGGAAUUAGUACCAGAAUACAAGGCUAAUGUGGUGCACUUGCAGCAAGAUGACCAGACCUGUAUGUGCUCUUAUAUUAACUAUAUUGUUGGAUUUGUGAGUGUGUACAUUUUUGUGUGUAUACUCACUUUUGUAUUUAUGCAUAUUAACGUGUGUAGGAUUCUUGAUUUCUGCCACUUACUGGAGAACUAGUGGAAAGCUUUAUACUGAUAUAUGUGCUAUAACUAAUGGAAACUACGAUAUGAAUAUUUUCUCUCACCUGGAGAACUGUAUAACAGAUAUAAUUUGUGGCUCUGGAAUACUGAAGAUUCUGCAAUAACUAAUGGAAAAUAUGAUAUGAAUAUUUUUUCUCACCUGGAGAACUUUGUAACAGAUACAUUUUGUGGCUCUGGAAUGUCUAAAGAAUGCUUCAGUUUAGAUCAAAUAUCUUUUAGUUAGAAAAGAUAAAAUUCUCUGAAUCUGAAAGACUGAAACAUUUUGCAUAUUUUGUGAAAGGGUAGUAUCUGUAGAUACUAGCUCAUGCAUUGAGGUAAUAUCAGUGUUAAAGAAAAACAACAAUAAUUUAUUAUACAAAAUUAGGUUCACUUGCUUUAAAUGCUGGUCUGAUCAACCAUAUCAACCUGUAAUGGUUCUGCAGAAAUAUAUAUACGGGGAGAAACUAGCUAAAUUUUCCUUUCACUUAUGGGUUUGGUCUUUUUUUCCCCUAUUUUUCAGCUUUCCUUCUCCUGAAGUAUGUUAACAAUUGCAGAUAAUGACGAAGAGGACCGCUUCCAGGCUCUUUGUAGAGCUGUGAUGGAAUAUAGGGGCACAAUGAAGGAAUAUUGUAAGGCUGUAGGUACUUUCUCUCUUGUCAUUUAUGUUUUCUCACACAUUUUGUAUAUGCCCUGAACAUGCAGCUUUGUAUGUGUCAAUUGCCUUUUACAUUUUAAAAGCCAUAAAGUAAGAAUACAGUUCCUUGUCAGGCUAUUGAUGCGUUCGCUCAGAAGGGUCAUGUUCAAGCAGGAAAACUUCUAGAACAUGUAAGGUUUCCAUCUACAGCCAUCCAUUGACAGUGUCAAAGUAUUUGGCUGCAGCUUCUAGAAGCUACAUCUAGAAGCUUUGAUGCAGCAAAUGUUGAAGGCACCGCCAAGGAGAAAAAGAAGGAAGAAUGAAGAAGAUGUUGCAGAAGUUGAUCUUGACAAAUGAUGGUUGGAACGCCAAAAUGGAAGAAAGAAAAAAGGUUGGAACACGGCUUUGAAGAAGCCACGAGAAGAAUAAAGAAAAUAUUAAAAUAAUAGCUAAUUUUGGCUAUAUAAAGGAAGCUCCCCUUUUUUUGGUUUGUGUAUCCAAUCCUCAGUUUCUCUUCUUCAUUCAGAGAGUGUUUCUUUGGGGUGUAUUUGGGGAUUAGGUGAGAGAAAAUUAUUUCUGAAAGAGUGGUUGUAAUAAUUUUCCACAUAGUGAAUAUUUUUUCUCUGGUUGUCUUUUUGACAACGGCCGUGGUUUUUCUCCAUAUUUGGAGUUUUCCACGUAAAUCUUGUGUUGUGGGAUUGAUAUUAUUUUUCAUUUAAUUUUUCUUGUUAAUUUGUUAAUUGAAAAAUUGCUUGGAGAGAUCCUGGGAGGAAGCUCAAUUUCCUAACAGUGGUAUCAGAGCCAUUGAUUGAAGUUUUUUGGUGUCGGGGCACUGCUCACGUAUACGGUACUGUUUACGUAUACGGUACUAUUCACGUGAAGCAGUGGGAGCCAAUCCAAACAGUUCGUGGUGAAGAGUAAAAGCUUAUCUGCAAAGCAAAUAUGUCAGGAUUGAAAUUUUCAAGUCCGGUGAAAUUUGAAAUAGAAAAAUUCGAUGGGAGAAUUAACUUUGGCUCGUGGCAAGUUCAAGUCAAAGAUGUGUUGAUUCAAUCUGGGUUACACAAGGCAUUGAAAGGGAAGCCAUCCCCUGCUUCCAGUAGUGGCUCUGGAAAAGCUAGUAUAAGUGAUGAAGAUUGGGAAGAAUUAGAUGAUCGAGCUGCAAGUGCCAUACGACUAUGUCUAGCAAAGAAUGUUCUUGCAAAUGUAGGAAAAAUUCCUACAGCGAAAGAACUUUGGGAGAAGCUAGAAAAGUUGUAUCAGACAAAGAGCAUCUCAAAUCGAUUGUACCUGAAGGAGCGAUUUCACACACUGCGAAUGGCUGAAGGUACAAAAAUUUCUGAUCACCUCAGUGUUCUCAAUGGUAUUGUGUCAGAACUAGAAGCCAUUGGAGUUAAAAUUGAAGAUGAGGACAAGGCGCUUAGGUUACUAUGGUCACUUCCAACUUCCUACAAACACUUGUUACCUACUUUGAUGUACGGGAAGGAGACAGUAGAUCUUGAAGAAGUUACUAGUACUUUACUCUCAGAAGAAAGAAGACUGAAUGGUGAAAGUACUAAAACUACAGAUGUCUCGGCUUUGGCAGUUGUAGGGAAUUGGCAGAAAGAUAAAUCUAAGAAGAAAGGAGUCUGCUGGGGGUGUGGACAAUCGGGGCACUUAAAAAGAGAUUGUCAUAGUAGAAAUAGAGUAGGAUCGGCAAGUGGCUCCAGAUUAGAUAUUGAUAGUAUUGCUAGUGGUAAGUCUCUCAUCAUCGUGGGAGACGAUGAUCCCUUAUAAAAUGGAUGAUGAUGACAUCCUCAUGGUAUACCGCUAGUACCAUGAAAGGGGAUAUGUUACUACUAGCGGGUCCACAAGAUUUACACACAAGGCAUGGUUGGCAUUGAUGCAGGGUGUGUGGUGGAAUUUAUGUCGAUGGCUGACAAACUUCCAGGAAGACCAACAUGGAAGUUGCACCAUAAAUUUCAGCAAGAUAUUUCGACAUGUGCCGAUGUAAAAUUCUUAGAAUUGUUAAUUAAUUCUAAGUGGUAUACUCUUUAUGGUGGAGUAUGAUAAUUCUCUAUGGUGAGGAUUAUGACUAAGGUGAAAAUAGUAAGGUUAGUGUGGAGAUUGAUUGAUUCUCAAUCAAAACUCCAAGUGGGAGAAUGUCAAAGUAUUUGGCUGCAGCUUCUAGAAGCUACAUCUAGAAGCUUUGAUGCAGCAAAUGUUGAAGGCACCGCCAAGGAGAAAAAGAAGGAAGAAUGAAGAAGAUGUUGCAGAAGUUGAUCUUGACAAAUGAUGGUUGGAACGCCAAAAUGGAAGAAAGAAAAAGGUUGGAACACGGCUUUGAAGAAGCCACGAGAAGAAUAAAGAAAAUAUUAAAAUAAUAGCCAAUUUUGGCUAUAUAAAGGAAGCUCCCCUUUUUUUGGUUUGUGUAUCCAAUCCUCAGUUUCUCUUCUUCAUUCAGAGAGUGUUUCUUUGGGGUGUAUUUGAGGAUUAGGUGAGAGAAAAUUAUUUCUGAAAGAGUGGUUAUAAUAAUUUUCCACAUAGUGAAUAUUUUUUCUCUGGUUGUCUUUUUGACAACGGCCGUGGUUUUUCUCCAGAUUUAGAGUUUUCCACGUAAAUUUUGUGUUGUGGGAUUGAUAUUAUUUUUCAUUUAAUUUUUCUUGUUAAUUUGUUAAUUGACAAAUUGCUUGGAGAGAUCCUGGGAGGAAGCUCAAUUUCCUAACAGACAGCAGAUACAUUUUCAUUGAGCAGACACUGUUAGCAUUCAAGAUGCUGGCAGAUUCACUUGAUUCUUAUUAGUUUGUUUAGUGGCAAAGCAUAUAACCUGUAUUUCAAAGCCAAGUUGUGCUAUUGAUUAUGUUAACUUUAUUGUUAACCUAAAGUGAUAUGGAGGACAUAAUCAAUGUAGGAAAAUUAGGUGAAGAGACGAUGUCAACUCUUGAACCUCUUACAAAGCUCCAAGUUCUUUACUUGAAGAAGCUGCCAAAUUUGAAGAGCGUCUACUGGAAGGCAUUUCCAUUCCCAGAUGUAUGCAGAAUUUUUGUAUUAAUGCCCAGUUCUUAAGAACCUGCCACUGGAUUUUCAAGGGACGGGCCAAGGUAAAAUUCUUAUCAAGGGAAAGGAAGAUUGGUGGAAAGAACUUCAAUGGGAGGAUCAAGCAACUCAGAAUGCAUUGCUUCCAUUUUUCAAAUCAACUGACAAGUGAUUGAAGGGGGCAUCAUCAACAUCAUCAACAGAGAUGGAGAGAUUCUGGAGCAGAUCAGCAGGGUUUGUAUAUGAUCUUUGGUGGUUGCUUUCUUUUGUGAUUUUUUUUUUCUUCCUGUCAUUUUAUCAUUUCUUUGUCUCUUUUUCUAUUGCUGAUGUUAGUGUAUGCUUACUGUUGCUUGACAAAGUUUGCUUGCUUCUUGUUUAUUAAAUUUUUUAUGGUCACAAAAUAUUACUUGUUCUAUUUGAGAGUGAUGUGAAUCAAUUUUCAAUUAUAUAUUUUGUGGUCAAUGUGAAUUCAAUUUCAUUUGUCUCCUGCAAUUAUGAGAAAAUUGCAGAGUCAUAAUAUGGAAAAGAACACCAGCAAAAACUUUGUAAAAGCUUCGGAGUGAAACAGGGAAUUCACUUACUACUAAGAACAAUUGAUGGCGAGCUAUUCCAUUCAUUUUAUGUCCAUCCAUCUAUUUAAUUAUUAAAGAUAAGUGGUCCAUUUAUAAAUUU